UUUUUCUCCAGAAGAUGAUUGCUGUCAGCUUGACAACCAAAAUGCACUCAAUGAAGAUUUUGGUUCUUGACUCUAUGGGCCCUAAUCUGGGUGUGGUUAUUGACUUCUUGAAGUGCUUCCCCUGCUUGGAGAAACUCUAUGUCAUUGUGAGUACUCAUAUUUAUUGCUAGAAAUGUCAAAACAACAUUGGUUCAGAAUUAUAAUCUUGUGAAUUACUAGUAUUUAGCUGCCAAUUUGUUAACAACUAUCUUUAUAUCAUAUAUUUUUCCUAUCCCCAGUUGAAUCGGCACAAGGAUGUAAAUUAUGUGUGGAAGCAUGGUCCACUGGAUCCAGUUCGGUGCCUUGAGCUCCAUCUAAAAAAAGUGGCAUUGAAGAAUUACAAUGGUGACAGGAGGGCAUUUACUAACCUUGCUAAGUUCUUUAUUUUGAAUGCAAAAGUGCUGAAAGAAAUGGAAAUCGGAUUCUUUCACAUUGGCAACGACGAAUGGGUUUGUUAUCAACAUAGGCAGCUACAAGUUGAGAAUAGAGCUUCUCAAGACGCUCGAAUUGAACUAAAAGAUGAUAUGGACCUGAAAUUCACUGACCAUGUGCAUACCCAUAAUUUGUCAAUUGCUGAUCCCUUUGACAGAUCCUUGUGUGGAUGCUCCAAGUGUGUUAGGUAGCCCUUCUGAAGAUUGUGUCACCCUCUGUCCAAAGCCAAAACAACGUGGGCCGCCCUUGCUUGUCUGUGUUGUCACACCCUUAUGACGCUAUGCAGAAUGGUCUACUCACUUCAGGAAUGGUAUUGAUUUGUGCCAGACUCUGGAGCAACCCAGGAUUGAGGAGGUGGUGCCUGGGCCAAAGAUUAAAAUUGAUUUUGCAAAUGUACAAGACCCUUGAAUGGUAGUACUAGUUGUCUGUUAUGCUUAGUUCGUACUUGUUGUUUCUAUUCUGCUCAAAGUCAUUAUAAGCUUAGACCAUGUGUAGGCUACAAGCCUAUAACUAACAUAUUUGUGUCUCUACCUCUUGCUUUGAUGAAAAAACAUAGCCUUGUAUUUCUUUGUUUAAAAGAGUGCGGUGUAAAGUUUAUUUCCUGGCAUACAAUUCAUUAGUCAUUACCACUUUGUUAGCAGGUCAUUGAGAGCACCUGUAGAGUACAACUAAUAUGUGCAACCUUGUCUGCUAGUUUAGUCAAGAAUGUAUGGUUGAUUCACAGAAUUCAUUUAUUUCACGGAUUUUAAAUUUGAUAUCUUGUGUUUAUACCAUUCUUCUAUUCUCAUAAAAGAAAACCAAGUAAAAUUACUUACAUUAUAUUUUCCUGUGCUAAAUUUAAGGUGGAUUUAAAAGGCAUACUCUGUAUUUUUAUGGUUUCAUGACCUCAUUCUGUCACAAAUUGCUAUAUUUACAUGUCCUGAAUCGACAGCAUGGAGCAAUUGGUUAUUGUGUUUAGACAAUUGAUUCUGCUGGUUUUUUUUAUCCCAAUCCAUUUAUUUGUUGACAUGGCACAUAAAGAUUGCCUGGUGGGGUUCACACUCAUCCAGGGGAUGAUUCUUGCUUUGGAUUAUCAAAAGAGAUGAAAGUUACGAACAAAGCAGCUUAUCAAGUGAUGAAGUAGUAAAUUUAUUUUGUCUUGCUUUUAUGUGGCUGCAGUACAUUAUUUGGCUUCUUCAGGAAAGAGAUGCUUCUCCUUUCUUUUUUCCCGUUCUCUGUUCACACAUACCAAAAUGGGAGACUUUCAGACACUUUUUUUAAUUGAAAACAUUCAGUUUUUGCUGACCCCUCCUUAGGUGCUUAGACUUCUUCAGUUUUGCACUCCAUGUUUCAUCUUUUCAGGACUUGAAACCAGAUGAACAGGCAAGAAAAUGCUUGUAAACCUUUCUUCGGUAAGUCUCUGUAUGCUUCUAUUUCUCUUGCUAGAGACUAUGUUCUAAAUUUCCUUUUUACUAUCUAAGCUAGAGAUUAUUAUUUUUCAGUCAUGUUGAGAUCAGCGUUUUGUUUUCUGAUACACCAACUAUGUUUCUUCAGUAUUAUUUUUCAGUCAUGUUGAGACAUUCAGUGGUUUCAGUGUACUUCUGUUUUCUCAUCCUUAUGCCUGCUAUCUAUGAGGUUUUCCGUUAGACUCGUACCGUGUGAUAGCUGUGCAAUAGGCAGCGUAAAAGAUGCCCUUGAUGGUGCAAGAAUUCUGUCUAGAGAACGUAUGGGCCAACACCACUGCCUGGGCCAGGGCAAAAGGAGUGUCUGGCAUCAAAUGUAUGGUUGAAAAGCUUCUUGAACCAUCCUGUGGAUACAAAAACGGCAGAUCAGUGGACAAGGGUAGCAUGUUCAGUCCCAGUGCAGAGCCGUGCUUACUUCAAUUAUCGCGGUGGAAUUCCAACACUUACGAGCAGAGUAGCAAGGGACCAACCUGACGACUGGAUCGACAUGCCGGAAGCUUUGACUCUAGAGAGAUCGCUUCCAAAAUUACAAGUCGUGCGUCCUGAACUCUCGAUCAUUUGGAAUUGGAUGGCGACUUGCAUGCUUUCGGUGCAGGUGGGGAGUUGGACAGAAUGUAGCACCUAUAUUUUGGUCGAGAUCACCAGAUCGGCAUUAAUUAAUGUCUGAAUUUUGACGGGCGAGCUCACCACCGAUCUAGUCGGUCAGUCGCAGGUGACAAUUACAUGAUGGCAGAGAAUAGCUCUGAACUUUUGCCCCAAUCAAAUGCAGAGAUAUCACACAAGACACAUAGCUCAGUUUGGCCUGCGUAAAUCGUACACAAACAACAACAUAUAUGGAUUUGCCACCACAAGAGUUAAAUAGAACUCAGGGGUGCUACACAACACAAGCUUCCCCAACAGCGAAUUAAAAACAUAUCUACUACUAAUGUCUGUUCUAACUCAAGCAACCCAGCAAACGAGGGAGGCUGGCGACAGAUUUAGGAAGAAAAAAAAAUACUAGCUCACACUACAGAUAAAUCACCUUGAGUACAUGUGAUCCGCUCAACAGAGUCACUUUUGGAACCAAAUGCUGAUGGCUGGCCAGUUGAAUUGCAGACUUUGCAGAUUAAGUAGCAGGACUGGAUUCUCCAGAUGCAUUACUUGACUUGGAUCCACGAACUGCUGUUCAAGAUGGGUGUAGGACAUAUUAUAAAAAAUUGCUACUCGUAGGAGUGAAUAAAAAUUGCCCCUCGUUUCUGGUCCACUCCUUGUCAUCCUUAUACAUCUGAUCUUCACAGACUCUGCUGACACGGAUUAUGCACUUGGGGAGCAAGUUGGUUGCUUUCUCAAUGGAAUACUCCAGAGCCUUCACCCUGCCUGGAGCUGCUCUGAAACAAUUGAUUUGGACCUCGAGCUCUGCAGGGCCUGGAAGAUGCUCGACACCCAAGUCUGCAUAAAAGUCGGAUGCGAUCAACAUUGGGCUCAAGUCAAGACGGAGACAACGGAGUGCUGGCAUAGCACCUGGUGCAAAUGUUAGCCGCAGUCCACCCGGUGAUUUCACUGUAACAUGAGUAAGGAAGAGUGAAUAGCGGAAGCAGAAGACCUUUAGCAGUUUGAAUCCGUCACUACCAAUGAUCAGCUUUUCAUUAAUGGCCCUUCUUGUUAUCUCAAGCUCCAGAUGAGCCAGAGAAGGCAUGCCCAUGAGAACUUGGAGAUCCUCCUUAUCAAAUUCCAUGACCUCUAUGCAUAGUUUCAUGAGAUUCUCGAGGGAGGUCAUUCCCCUGGGAACCUUUCCAAAACCUGACUGAAUUUUAAGAACUUGGAGGCACGGGUAUGUGUAGCAUGGGUUACAGAACAGACGCGUGGCUGUCUCUAUAUCAGUACGAAGAUACCGAAGGUUGCAUUUGCCCGACUCAUUUACUUCCUCCGCAAAUCUUACUAGGUCGUCGGUUUGCAUGAAGCGUAACUCCUCCAAGGCGUGCAGACUACGGAACCCACCUGCAGGCAAUAGUGUGUUGCGAUUGACAAAUAGGCGCACCAAUUUCCGUAACUGCGCCACGGUUGAUGGAAGUCUUGGAAGUGAAUAACAGUAUCUCAAAUCCAGAGUCUCCAAGUGCUGCAGCUUUCCAAUUUCACAAGGAAGCUCAGUAAUCUUAGAAGUGCCAAUUCUCAAAUACCUCAGCUGACGCGAACUAGCUAUAUGUUUUACAUGCUUGUUUUCCAACCAUUUACAAUCUCCAAGAUCCAACACCCGCAAAGCAUGGAAGUCCACAAGGUGGGGCAUCUGCUCAACUUGCCAAAAGAUAGUCAGUGAGCGAACAUGUAUCUUGGUCUCUGUAAUUGCCCCAACUGCCCCUUUAUGCUCUUUGCCACUAGAUUGCAUGGACAGACGACGUAUCUUAUUUGGGAAAGAAUUGCAUACACGCCCAUUUAAGACAGUUGCAAAAUUCUCUUCGUCUGAUAAAGAUAUAAUAAGGUCAAGCACCAUAUCAUGGACCCUACAAUAUUUCACCGAAGUGUCAUAAUUACCAUAAACUGGCUGGAUCAUAUUUCUAUUAACAAGGUCAUUAAAACAGUUCUCUGCUACUUGAUCCAAACUUCCCCAUUGUGUAGCAAUGAAUCCUUCUGCUAUCCAUUUCCAUUUCAGCACUUUAAUAUUGAUCAUGGAGUCCUCUGGAUAUAAGCACAGGUACAGUAAACAAGUCUUCAGGUGGUGGGGAAGAUCCAGGUAACUAUGUAACAAUAUAUCUUUCACCCCUUUUAAGUUCCCAUCCUUAUCAAACGAAGAACCAGUACCAAUGGAAUCUUGCAGUCUCUCCCAUUCAUCCUUGUUAUGUUUCUUACUGGCAAGCAAACUUGCAAAUGUAAUUAUAGCCAGUGGCAGUCCGCCACAUUUUUUUAAAAUCCUAGCAGAGACUUCUUUCAGUUCAGAAGGACAUGAAUCAUUUUAGUAGAAAAUUCUCUUAAAGAACAAUCUUUGAGAAUCAACAUCAUCUAGAGGUGCCAUUUGAUAUGGUUGCUCAUUGGAUAUGGAACAACAUAGAUUAGCUUCACCGGUCGUGUAGUAGCAAUUAUUCUACUACCAUUAUUAUUGUCAGGAAAUGCUGCCUUGACCAAUUUCCAAUCUUGUUCUUUCCAUACAUCAUCAAUAACAAUGAAGUACCUGCAGUCAAGAUUGUGUACUGUUAAGCAUUGUCAUUAUUGUGAUGAAUUUCACUUGCACUUAACUUGAUAUAUGCAAAGAGAUACAUAAAUGUUUCAUAUUUACAUUUCCGUAACCUUUUCUUGCAUCAAUCAAAAUGUUAGAAGUACUAACUCAUUGCAUCCCGAUGGUAAGUGAAAACAAAAGUAUAUGAAGCACAUCAAGGGACUACAGGACAUAUUAUUAAUAGAAGAAAGAAAUAAGUCUACUUGACCCAUUAAACUAGUGUCAAGUUUGAGUUUCAAUCUCGAACCCUAAUACUAGCAGUAGAAGCACAAACAUCAACUAUUUGCAACCAUAAUGAUUCAUGUGAUGUCUUGGCUACAUGCCAUCCAAUUUUUUUGUGGGACCUAUAUUUUGUCCUUUGUUCUCCAUCCUGUGUGCACAUGGAGCCAUGCCGCCUUGCACACGCAGCCAUCCAGACGAGAUGAAACUGCCACGAUUUGGAUUUGAUGUUAAGGCUCAGGUUUGAAUUCUAAUCGAUUUAUUGCAUCACCUUCAGAACAUCUUUAGAAUCAAUAAAGCUUUGUCCAAAGAAAGGAGUGACGUUCAUAAAACGGUUGUGGUUUGGGUCGGGGUAAAAUGAAGUACUAUUUCUUUUUUGAAGUACUAUUUCAGCAGCCUGGACAACGUCUUUGUUGGGUAUAGUCUGAAAUUAGAACACUUCAACCCAGGCAAUUUUAGAAGUUACGGAAGAAAUAGGCGCCAACGCAUAAAAAGAAGAGGAAAGUGGAGUUGUGUGUUAACUAUCACCAAUCGAGCUAUUAGUAAGGACAUUUUUGAUUGAGAAGGAGUAUGGCCCAAAGAGGAAAGUAAAUCAGACUGAUCCAGCAUUGGUGGGUUGAACUGAAGUGAACUUUUUUUAUGUGUGCCUGUUUAUGAAGCUAAGAUGAAUGAGUGUUUGUCAUCAACAGUUACUGGGUCGGCUAGUUUGAGGUAAUGCGAAAACAAUCUAGAUGUUCGAGGAACUAAACAUACUCAAUACAGCUAUAGAGAUGACCAUUUGAUCUAGCCUGGUAACUUUAAAUAAUAAUAAUUGUUCAUGUCGUCCAAAUAUAUGAAUCAAUUAAUGCUAGGUGCUUGUAUAAAGAGGGGAAAUAAAACAAAUCAUCUAUAUACUCCGCACCUCUUUCCUGUCAAGAUAUGUUUGAUUUCACGGAUUAGCUGUUCCUUUUCCCAAUUCUGACAAUCUUUGUACGCAUCUUUAUCGAUCUGAGACAAGAUAUCUUUGAGGAGCUUCACCAGAUCAAGUGUGCGCGACACUGACACACAAGCUUGACACUGGAAGUCUCCUCCUAAUGCAAUCUUGCGAUAGACUUCCAUGGCCAGGGUCGUCUUCCCCAGCCCUCCUGAUCCAACAAUCGGCACCACUUUCAACUCUUUACUCUCAUCCAUCAGCAAGGCAAUGACGUGCUUCAUUGGGCCGUCCAUUGCCACCAAGCCCUUGACCUCCUCAUGGAUAGCAGUUAUCGGGUCUAUCUCCACCGUCUUCGUUGCACUGUAGUAAUUCUCUUCAAGCUUGUACCUAGCAUCAUUUUUACAGUAAAAACUUAAUUAAGCUCAUGUUGCAUCAUCCAGAAAUACAUCAUUUUUACAGUAAAAACUUAAUUAAGCUCAUGUUGCAUCAUCCAGAAAUACAUACAAGUGCAAGAGUUAGAUCCUCGACAACAACAGCAAAAAAAAAAGUGCCAGAGUUACGAAAAAUGUAGUACCUGUCACGGCGCUCACUUUCCUACAUGACGCGAGCCUUGAGCUCCUUGAUCUGGGUUGCGAUGUCAUGGCGCGCCCACAGAGUCUUGAGCCGAUGCGCAGUCCUCUUCAUGAACUUUGGUUUGGCGUCGCCGCUGCCAAGCCGGUCCAUGAAGCGGUCGAUGCAGUCUUCUAUGUCGUAGCUAAGAUCGCGCACUCUGUCUCUCCAGCCCUUGGCCAUGAUGUCGAGUUUCUCCUCCAUGCCCGUUAGUCUCUCCAGCAAGACUCGCAUGCCGGUGAGCUCGCGCUCAAGGAACUGGAUCUCCUUGCGGACCCGCUUGAGAAGAUUGUACUCGUCGCCCAGCAAGGCGGUGAGCUUGCCGAGGAGGUUCAUCGCCCCCGUCCCAACGCCCACCCCCGCCAUCUCUCUCCGACCCCGUCUCUCCCCUUCGCCGCCUUGACUCUGGAUCUGCUCUGCUCUGCUCUCUGGUGAAGAAGAAGCAGCUGAGUGAUUGGUGUUUGGUGGCGGAGGAAGAGGAGCAAUGGCGCUGGGGACACCAAUAAUGGAGCACGCUUGUGCAGCGCUGCCGUGGGGAGAGAAAGAGAGGGGCUGGGGACACUGGUCUGUGAAGGCGAGUGACGAUGGGGACUUGUCCUUGCUAAUUAAGCUAGCUGCUGCACGAUGCACUGUUGCUUGCUGUGUGGCUGGUGGGACGAAGCUGCCCGUUGUGUGAGGCUGCCGAGCAGGUCCCACGCGGCAUCUCGAGCAUACCGAUGAAGGUGGUGAGUGCCCACGCACAGACCAUUUGGUCUCCAAGCAGGCGCGUGAUGAGUGGAUCGUUGAUUUCGCGCACCGACGGUUUCACACCAUAUCCAUUAGAUAAGUUUUUUUUAAAUACAUAAGGAUUUGAAUCCUAGAAUUUUUUUACAUAGUUUGAUUCAUGUGGGAAAAAAUAUGCCGAGGAGCUUCCUUUUUUCUCUCUACUAUCUUUUAAUAUUUCCUGUUUGCUUUUAGUAGUAGGAGUAAUUCUUGUUGUUCGUUUUAAUUUUUUUGUUUUCUUUCAUUUUUUUUAUAGUUCUAUACAUUAUCCGUUUAUAGAUAAUGUCUGUGAAGGCGCGUGACGAUGGGACGCUAGCUCCUUGCUAAUUAAGCUAGCUGCUGCACUAUGCAGACAAUACCGACGAUGGUGGUGAGUGCCCACACAGAGACAAUUUGGUCUCCAAGUAGCCGCCUGAUGAGUGGAUUGUUAAUUUGGCGCACCGACGGUUUCACACUAUAUUGAAACAUUUCGAGCAUCAAUUUUUUUUUCACACACCUACAAAUGUGAUUCUAUGUUAAAAUUUGCAUGCAUUCAAAGCAAAUAUCAGUCAAAAGAAUGAAUUUACUGUUCAUCCGAGAUCAUGUGAGUCCAAGCUCACAAUAGCACUUUACAGAGAGGGCAUGAGUAUGCGGAUUUGAAUCCUAGUUUUUUUUUUCUUGAAAAAAAGUAUCUUAGUAUUUUUUUAGAUCAUUUGAUUCGUGGGAAAAAGAACAUGACUAGGCGCUUCCUUUUUUCUCUCUACUUCUUUUCAUAUUUCUUUUUUAUAUUUUGGUAGUAAUUUUACUUUUUGUUCCUUUUCAAUUUCUUGUUUUCUUUCAUAAAAAACGUGUAAUUUCAUAUAUAAUCCAUUUAUAUUACUUCCAAAAUAUGUUUAUGUAAUAUAUUGUUUCACAUGCCUAUAUAAUUAGGACAUCUCCAAUGGCGACCCGUAAAUUUCCUCCCGCAUCCGUCCGUGGACGCGAGAAGGGGGGCAGUUCGCGGACAAGGAUGCAGGAGGCCGCCAUCCAAUCCUAACAGCAUAUAUUUCAAAAACCUUUUCAACAAACCGGACAAAAUUCAUGCAAAAAUGGUCGAAUAUCAUAUAAACAUGACGGAUUUCAUACAAACCCGACGAAAAUGUUUAUAUUUUGAACACAUUUUAACUAAAAAGGUAAAAUUAUGUGCGCGUAUGCUCGCGUGGAGCUUCACUCCCACGACACGGAUACACUAGACUAGUAUACGGACAACCACGGCGUAUCCUCACUACAAAAAAAAGACACAUCCGUGACAUUUUGGGCUGAACGAAUUUUUUUCCUGUCAUACAUAUGACACUUCUAUGACGAUAAUUGUGACAAAACCCGGUAUCAUCAUAGAUGUGAUGGGCUCCUACUUCUAUGACAAAAAAUUAUGACAGAAAAUGGACUUUUCGUCCUGGGCGGGCCGGAGACGCAGCUGCAUGACAUUCUUUGGGCCGUCCAUGACGGAAAAAACCGUGGUAGAAGCGAGGGGGAGGAAAAUUUCGGGGAGUUGUCGGUUACGGUGGGAGGUCGGGGGCGGAGCGAUGCGCGUUUCUCUCGUGCGUACGCGCGUGUGUGCGAGGCGUUGGCUCUAACUGAAGCCGAGCGAUGUGUUGGGCUCUAACUGAACCUGAGCGAUUGCACUGCAGGCUACACGUUACUGAACCCGAGCGAUCGAUCGAUGGCUGUUAACUGAACCCGAUGGAGCGAUUCCUUCGCUACNNNNNNNNNNNNNNNNNNNNNNNNNNNNNNNNNNNNNNNNNNNNNNNNNNNNNNNNNNNNNNNNNNNNNNNNNNNNNNNNNNNNNNNNNNNNNNNNNNNNNNNNNNNNNNNNNNNNNNNNNNNNNNNNNNNNNNNNNNNNNNNNNNNNNNNNNNNNNNNNNNNNNNNNNNNNNNNNNNNNNNNNNNNNNNNNNNNNNNNNNNNNNNNNNNNNNNNNNNNNNNNNNNNNNNNNNNNNNNNNNNNNNNNNNNNNNNNNNNNNNNNNNNNNNNNNNNNNNNNNNNNNNNNNNNNNNNNNNNNNNNNNNNNNNNNNNNNNNNNNNNNNNNNNNNNNNNNNNNNNNNNNNNNNNNNNNNNNNNNNNNNNNNNNNNNNNNNNNNNNNNNNNNNNNNNNNNNNNNNNNNNNNNNNNNNNNNNNNNNNNNNNNNNNNNNNNNNNNNNNNNNNNNNNNNNNNNNNNNNNNNNNNNNNNNNNNNNNNNNNNNNNNNNNNNNNNNNNNNNNNNNNNNNNNNNNNNNNNNNNNNNNNNNNNNNNNNNNNNNNNNNNNNNNNNNNNNNNNNNNNNNNNNNNNNNNNNNNNNNNNNNNNNNNNNNNNNNNNNNNNNNNNNNNNNNNNNNNNNNNNNNNNNNNNNNNNNNNNNNNNNNNNNNNNNNNNNNNNNNNNNNNNNNNNNNNNNNNNNNNNNNNNNNNNNNNNNNNNNNNNNNNNNNNNNNNNNNNNNNNNNNNNNNGACUGUAGGAGGUUCGUUUCGUCCGUUUUGCGGUAUGCCACACCCCUCCCGAUCAACAGGACCCCCGUUUCCACCGUAGGAGGUCCGUUUCCUCCGUUUUGUGGUACGCCACACCUUUCCCGAUCAACAGGGCCCCGUUUCGACCGUAGGAGGUCCGUUUCCUCCGUUUUGCGGUAUGCGCGACUAGGCAUUCAAGACCCCGCCCGUAUGUACACAUACGUGACCGUAUUUUCUUUCUUGCACCCUGGCCGCUGUACGUACGUCUACAUGCUACGUGCGCGCCUCUACUACGACACGUGUGCGCCUCUACAUCGACUAGUAUGUACGUACACGUUGGCGACCAGGAUGACAAUGCUACGUACGCUUCGACCAGGUGGGUCCCGACUGUCAGGCACUUCCUUGCCUGCGAAGAUGUAGCUGGUGGGUCCCAGCAGUCAGGGGGCGAAUCGUUUUUUUGCCCGGACGCACUUCCUUGCGUGCGAAGGUGUAGCUGCUGGGUCCCAGCGGUCAGGGGGGCGAAUCGUUUUUUUUUUGCCCAGACGCACUUCCUUGCGUGCGAAGGUGUAGCUGCUNNNNNNNNNNNNNNNNNNNNNNNNNNNNNNNNNNNNNNNNNNNNNNNNNNNNNNNNNNNNNNNNNNNNNNNNNNNNNNNNNNNNNNNNNNNNNNNNNNNNNNNNNNNNNNNNNNNNNNNNNNNNNNNNNNNNNNNNNNNNNNNNNNNNNNNNNNNNNNNNNNNNNNNNNNNNNNNNNNNNNNNNNNNNNNNNNNNNNNNNNNNNNNNNNNNNNNNNNNNNNNNNNNNNNNNNNNNNNNNNNNNNNNNNNNNNNNNNNNNNNNNNNNNNNNNNGCGAAGAUGUAGCUGGUGGGUCCCAGCAGUCAGGGGGCGAAUCGUUUUUUUUCGGACGCACUUCCUUGCGUGCGAAGAUGUAGCUCGUGGGUCCCAGCAGUUAGGGGCGAAUCAUUUUUUUCGCGAAAUACGGUGGCCCGUCCGGUGGGUCCCCGCUGUCAGGUGGAGGAAUAAUUAUUUUGCGCGUAAUAAGGAGGCACUUCCUUGCGGCUGCCGUGGACCCAGCUGUCAGCCUCUCCACGUACAGUCCACGUCCGAUGGAAGUCGUUCCUUGACCAUAUUGACCACGCCGCGUCGAGAGCACCACGGCGGUGGACGACGGCGAGGCCUAGGAAGGGGAUGGCGCGGAGCCAGGGAAGACGCGGCAGUGGAUGCGCACGCGGAGAGGAGUACGAGGGUUCACUGGUUCGGCUGCGCUGCCGUCGUCGUAGAAUAACAGGGGGUGUGGGUCAGUGGGUGAGUGGAGGGAUGGCCUGGCUAGCGGUGGGAGUAGUAGGGGGCGGUGAGGCCUCCGCGGCAGCACAGCCGACCACGGGAGGCAGGAGCAGGCGGCAAGACCGGCGCUGCUUUGGGCGGCUGGAGCAGGAAGACCAGAGGUUGAAGAAGCACGACGGUCGUUGGAUGGACAUCGUACGGUCACUGUAGCUAGAAUCGUUUAUAUUGACUAAGUUGACAAAGCCCUUGGUACGUCAACUUAGUACGCCCACAGGUCAGCUUCCGAAAUGGUGCGCCCAAGAUGUCAGGGGGAUAAAUCAUUUUUUGGGCGGGUGAAGCUAGAAUAUCCGAGAUUGAAGAAGAAGCAUGGCAUCCAUUGGAUGGCCAUCCAACGGCCACUGCUGCUAGAACCGUGUGUUGACUAUAAGUUGACAAAGCCUUAUAUACCCGUCAACUCUGUUUUUUAGGGGACGCGUCAACUUAGUAAGGCCAGAAGUGUGUGGCAGAGAACUUUAGCCCAUUUGAGAUUUGUAAGAAUGUGUAGCCCAUUUUUGAAUUCUAAUGAAAUUUACUACAGCCCAUUUACAGUUUGUUAAAAGUACAGCCCAUUUCAACCAACCAUUCAAAACAGAAUUCAAUAAAAUUUCUCACAUUUUGAUGGGAUCCGAAUAUUUUUAUCUCAAAAUUUUAGUCAGAUUAAAUACAAUUUCAAUAUAAAUUUAUAUUGCGUAAAAAUCCAACGAAACAUUCCGCUCGCAACAAUUAAUGAAAUUAAAAUUUUCAAUAUUCCAAAAAUAAUAUUUUAUAAAGUAAUCACUGUUUGGUGCAUUUUUUUAUAGUUACUACCCAGUUUUUAUAAUUACAUCCCAUUUAUUAUUUCUUAAAGCCCAUUUUCUUGUUAAGCCUAAUGCAUCCCUCCUAGGAAAGAUUUGCAGCCCAGCGGGGCAGAGAAUAACAACUUGACCUUGCCUGGGUAUUCCUAAAAAAAGUAUAGCUGGGCUAGCCAUUUUCAGCUUGAAAAAAAUUAAUAUCUGGGCUGGAUAUCUGGCCUGGGCUAGACGGACCACAGCCCGCCCAGUUAAUACCUGCAGCGAUGUUUUCGUUGUUGUUCAGAGAAGAAAAAUUAAUAUCUGGGGUAAACAUCAAAAAACUCUGCAGUGCUCACACCUCAAAAACACAAAUACUGCUCGAGCUGCUUGGUCCCAGCUGUCGGCCGCUUCUUGUGCAAUCCUCUCGUUUAUUGACUACUCCCUCCUUUCCGGUUUAUAAUGCUCAAUUCAAAAAUCUCACCAAUCAAGGUAGAUGACGAGUGGUGGAAUACCUUUUCUAGUUUUGCAAAAGCACCUAAUUAAUGCUCUUGUUAUCCUCAAAAAAUUAUGUUUAUCAAUGCAUUAAUUGCAAUGCAUGCAUGCAUAAAGUACAUGCAUUGGUCAAUUUUCUCUUAAUACUUGCAUGCAAUGAUUUAAUGCACCUUGGAAUCUGAACAUGUGAUGGAAAACAACCAAAUUGAGCCUUAUAAAAUAGAAAAACUAAAAUUUUGAGAUAAGCCCUAUAAACCAGAAAGGAGGGAGCACAUAGGUAGACAAUGGUGUGGGACCGUGAUGUCAGAAAACCAGGAGGAAACAAAAUAAAUUAUAGUUUUAUAUAUAAGGAGGCACUUGCGUACGUGAGGCUAUGGACCUGGUGGGUCCCCAUUGUCAUCCUAUCCAAGUAAAGUGAUCUCCUCGCCCGCGCGCGCUUUCCGCCCGAAACAGUCAGCGCCGGCCGCCCCGCUUCCCGGUGCAGGCGAUUGCUCCGCCUUCAAACGACACAAGUGCCGUCCAUCCGUCCAUCUGCCGCACACAUUAAUUAUACGCGGUUGCCGAGGCGGCUACUCCGGCGUCACACGUCUGUCCCUCCGCCCGCCCACCAUUGCUAUAUAAACUGCUGCGCCAGCCAUAGCCGCAGUCAUCCACAUCUGUUGCCUUUCUCCUGUCCACACCACUACUGCCCACCAUGGCUUCCUCGCGCUCCAGCGCUCUUCGGAACGGGCGGACGACGGACCACAAGGAGAAAAAAUUGAUCGCCGCUGCUGACAGCAAAGGGCGUCCUAUUCGAAAAUAUCAAACGCAUAUCUUGCUAAAAUCAAUGAGCAAAAUUUGACAAGGUUGUCCCAUUCCAAAAUAUCAAAUGCCUACGAUUGUGGAAUGGGCAGGGUUUGCCAUCAGUUCGGACAUUGACAUGGCAACUCGUGCUAAAUAAACCAGCUGUUCUUUUUGUGCAGUUCCACCAAAAUCAACCAAAUUCACGCGUAGCUUGUAUGAUUUCGCCCUUAUAUGUUGCAACGCCUUGAACUUAUGGGCACCUCCUUUCUUGUGGUGGAAAUGAAUGAUUCGAUGUAUUCAUGAACAUUUUGUGCAGUUCCCGUUGAAAUCAAGCUGAGCACCCCUGUUUGCACAAAUACAAAAAAGUGAUUAGUAUAAAGCAAACUGUACUAUGAAUUGACAGUUUCAACAGGCACAUACAUGGUCCAUGUAGAGCACACUUUUAGAAAAAUGGAACUCACCAGAAAGAAUCCUAGAACAACAUUGUACUCGCGCAUUACAGCAAAAAAAUGGAGAUUUGUCAGUCCUUCUGAGCUGAAGUUAGUUUGGUCUUGUGGGGAGUAAUGUAACCAUCCUUCAACUGCUCCUUCUGAUGAGAAUACUAGAACAACAUUGUACUCGCGCAUCACAGCAAAAAAAUGGAGAUUUGUCAGUCCUUCUGAGCUGAAGUUAGUUUGGCCUUGUGGGGAGUAAUGUAACCAUCCUUCAACUGCUCCUUCUGAUGAGAGGAUAGACAGUGCUUCUUCAUCCUGGCAUAAUCGGAACUAGUCACUUCACGUACUCCAUAUUCUUCUUCAGAGGAAGAUGAUCCUAUUGUGCAAAGACAAGAGGAAAACUAAAUGAAGCACUUCUCAAGGACAAUACCACUUUUUCAUGACAGUAUCGAAACAGUAGCACAACGCUAAUAGAGAUGACAAAGCUCAAUCAUAUGGAUGAAUUAGUGGGCGAGUACCAACCUUUAUCAGGAGGCUGAUUGUGUAGAGCAUACAGAUGAAGCACUUCUCCGGAACCAUCUGUUGCUCUCUACUAUGGUGGCCAUGCUUACUAUAUACUCCUCAAUUAGUUUAAUGUUUCCAACAUCUUUUUGUGCAGUUCCACUAAAAUAUAUGGUAUCUUCAAAGAAGAUCCCUGUUUGCACAAGUAGAGAUAAUUACGUAUGGCAUCAAAUCAGUGGCAAAACAAUUGCUCGUUCCAGCCAUAGCAAUAAAUUAAGAUCCAAAACUAUAUCAUUACUUGUGUCAUCACAGUUCCAGUGCUUCAUUACAGCACCGAGAGUUGAUUUUUGUUUUUCUACCGCUUGUUCUUCCCCUUCAUCACUUGGUUCAAUAACAGACAAGCUUCGCCUUCAAUGUAAGAUUUGGCAAGUCAAUUAGGGAGCACAAGUAUAGUACUAAACUUAAUUUUCUGAUGAAAGUGGCAAAAUACAGGCCAGCAGUGGUGAAAUAUCCUUAUCUUACCUCAAUGGGAUAUUACAGUGCACAUACAGAUUGGAAGUCUUGUCUCCAUUUGUGCAGUUCACUAAAAUCAAGUAACAUUAUCGUACAAGUAGCACAACAUAUGAAAGCACACUGCAGAAUCAUGUGAAAGAAGGCUAGUACUGACCUCUCAUGAUGCGGAAUUCAAACAACUCACAAGAAGAAGAUCUGAACCAAAUUCGCCUUAACGGAUAGGAAGUAAGAUCUCCUCUUGUGAAGUUCCACUAAGAUCAAGCAAUCAAGCAACGUUGUCGGUGCGACAUUUUGGUUGAACUGCACAAAACACUCGUAAAACAAAAGUGUUUUGUGCAGUGCAACAAAAGGUCACAAUGGCAAUGAGCUGAAGUAGAUAACCCUGUUUACACAGAGGUGCAGAGGAAACAAUUAGUGGUCAAUAACGGUGGAUGACACAGAAGCCAACAAAAGAAGCAUCUACCUUAUCGAAAUGGGAAAGAAAGCAAGACAGUAGCAUUUCUCAAACGGCACCAGCACCAUGUGCAUCUACCAAUGUACUGUGGUCAUGCACAGUCUGUUGCAACAAAGAACAAACAACCAAGGAGCAUAUUUGUGUUGGUCCCAGUUUUGUUAUCUUUAGACACCUUUCCCUAUGUGAGCGCAGCAAAUCUAGUCCUGCUCAAACUCUAUAGCCUUGUCCCUUCCUUUCCUUUUUGAAAUAGUACUUUCGCCCCUUCCUUUCCUCUUUGAACCACAUCCUAGAUUUAUGCGAUACAACUUUCCCCACUACUUUCCCCCAUUCCUUUCCUCUUUGAACCACGUCCUACAUUCAUGCUAUACAACUUUCCCCUUCAUUUCCUCUUUGAACCACGUCCUAGAUUUAUGCUGUAUACAAAUUUUCCCACUACUUUCCCCCACUCCUUUCCUCCUUGAACCACGUCAAAGAUUCAUGGUAUACAUGCAGCUAGAGCAAUGCAUGUGGAGUAAGUAAAAUAUACAUUAAGGUUCUUGGGGCGUGGUUCGGUGGGCGACGGGAUGGCGGCGAAGAAGAAGGGUCGGAGGCCCUCCCGCGCCGCCGCUGGGUGGAAAGUGAACAGCAGCGCGGUAGUGGAUUCCCUCCCUCACCGACGGCGACAGCGUUAAGCCUCCUUCCCUUCCCGGCGGACGGAUCCUGCCAGCUCUUUGAGCAGCAGUGAGGGGAGAGAGAGGCCAAUGAAGUCUUGUUUAGAUCUAGAGAGGGCGAGAGAGUGUGAAGAGAGAACCUACAAGCGCCGAGGAUCCAGCGGGAGAGGGCGAGAGAGUGUGAAGAGAGCAACUACAAGCGCUGAGGCUCCAGCAUGUAUAUAUAUACUGGAGAGAGAGUGUGAAGCGUGCAAACCCUAGAAAAAAAUUUGACCAGUCAAAGAAUCCUCCUGGCAAAAAUUAUGCUCAAGUGUAGUUAUCAAACCCGAGACCUCAAGUUUGAUGAGCGAAUAGGCUAACCAGCUACACAACCCUCCCGUUAUGUUCAACGAGAGGAAAAUAACCUUUUAUACAUUCCUGCAUUCGUGUGACAGGCAUGCCGUGUUUUUUUUGUAUGUGUGGGAGUCAUUAGGAUUUCAAUCAUGAUCGUGUCAUGUGGCUUUGGUGGUAAGACUAUCCAUAGUGGUGCAGAAAUAAUGCAGCCUUAGUCACCUUACCUCUCUCCACGUAGUACGUUAGGUCCCACCAGUCAGAGGGUGAAACAAACGAAUUAAUAAGAAAAAUUAAAAGCGCCAGCGGUGUAUCUUACUACCUCACACAUCUUGCUACUGCUCGGGAACACUGUCCAAUUGAUCCCUCUGUUCGCUCACGUACUAUUUUAAGUGAAUCCUUAUUAUAACAUGCACACAAAUUUUGGGCACUUGUAUUCGACUUAAGUCAGUGUGCCACCGUAUCUCGUAUACUUACUACUCCCUCCGUCUAGGUGUAAUAAGUCAUGUUAGAAGGUGCAACGGGACCAAGGUGCAUGCGUGUGCGUGUGUGUGUUUAACAGCAUGUGUGUGUUAGAGAGUGCGACAGAUCGACCUACUCCUACAGAGAUAUGGUGUGUAGUGUACGAUUUUAGCUGUGAGAGUCGAUGCAUCCUCUCGUUUCCGGGCGUGUCCGGUAGGGACAUGCCGAUAGCUGCCACGCCCGCUCCUGACCAGCCUGGCCCACCCAAAGCCCCUCCACCGCCCGCGCGCGCUUCCUGCCCGAAACGGUCAACACCGCUCCAAAGAAUCGGUGCCGCAUUCAUGCCCGGGCAGAGCAGACGCGACCUCUCACUGGCGCAAGAGUGAUCGUUGCUUCGUCCGUCGAACUUACUGCUGGGUCUAUGUGAUUUGAUGGCUCAUUGGUCUUUAUUACUGAGGUGGUAGGACUGCUGGAUGUCCCACGCUUUCGGUGAAAGGAGGUAGUAGAUUACAAUUUUCUCCAUUCUUACAGCGGAGGAGUGCAAGAGCAGUGAAAACACGCAGGCUCAGUGAUUACAUGGCCCACCUCACACUAUCACCGUGCGACACCUAACUCUUUACAUAGUACUCCCUCCGUUCCUAAAUAUUACUAGAUGAGUCCCUGCUCGUUGCUGCGGAACAAUGGUAUAUCUCUCUGCGCAAAAUUAUCGAUUUCAUAGAACUAAAAAAAAUCUAUAACCGCAUGACAAAUGUGGUAGCCGAACUAAAUAAACUCCCAUCAUCAUUUAGAUCAUCCCACAUAAGGAAAAAUGAUCAGCCAACUCCUAUUGCAUAAUGAGAUUAUAUUUUUAUUUUUGACAUGUUAAUGGGACUUAAAAGCUCACUUACAUGCAUGCUACCGGUGCAUGCUUGCAUGCAGACAUGUUGAUGUGAUUUAAAACCCACUCACAUGCAUGUGCCACAGUAUUUCUGCAUGCUUGCAUGUGGCUUAGUGCUGAGCCUCUCAACGUCUGGAUCAGACGGCUAUUAUGACUGAUUUACUUCAUCUAACGGCUACGUCAAUUUUGAUGAUGUGGCUCAAGGAGAGGAUAGAGAAUUCCUAGUAGUGGGGGCUAGCUAUUACUAGUAGAUAAUUCUUUGUAGAGAUUCCACUAGGUGAACUACAGACGGAACAAAAUGAAUGAAUCUACACUUAAAAUGCAUCUAUAUACAUCCGCAUGUGGUUACUGGUGAAAUCUCUACAAAGACUUAUAUUUAGGAACGGAGGAAGUACUAGUAUAGUACUAGUACGUACUGUAAUUUAUCAGCGAGAUAAAUUAGUACAAUGCUAUGAAGCUUCCAGCUCCUGUUACAUGUAUCUUGCGUCCAAGGUUGCCCGUUGCAACAUUUCAUAAAAUACAAAGGAGACUAACAUGCAUGCUAUUGCAUCUCAAUGAUUGACAGAUCAUAGCAAAUAUGUACUCCCUCCGUUCCAAAAUAAGUGUCUCAACUUUGUGCAAACUUUAGUACAAAGUUGUACUACUACUAAAGUUGACACUUAUUUUGGAACAAAGGCAGCUAAAGAAAAAGAAACGAUCCAUGCAGUCCCUAGCCCUUGAACCGUGAACCCUGACCAGGCUUCAAUUUGCUGGCAACGUUCGAGCUUCCUAAUAAAUGAAGUUUGCAACCUUUUGACCAUCGGAUCAUUUUGUGCAGUUUCACCAAAAUCGAGAUGAGCAUCCCUGUGGCAAAGAAAUUGAAGAAGCGUGAUUAGAAUAAGAUUACUAGGACUAGUUGAUGAGACAUAAACUCAUCACAAAUACAGUACGUAGAAGCCAGUAGAGGUAUCAGGUAUUUGCGGGGCAAAGAAGUAGAGAAAUAUCCACAGGGAGUGAUGUGGGCAGCUGGAGCAGUGGUGCAAGCCGGCUGUAAAGGGAGUUGUACCUGAGGGACGUAGCUCGAGCUGUUGGGUAACGUUGCAGAAAAUUAAAAAAAAUCCUACGGUUUCACCAAGAUCCAUCUAUGAGUUCAUCUAAGCAACGAGUCAAGGGAGUGAAUUUGCAUCUAUAUACCACUUGUAGAUCGCGUACGGAAGCGUUCGAGGGAACGGUGAUGAUGGAGUCGUACUCGACGUGAUUCAGAUCACCGAUGACCAAGUGCUGAACGGACAACACCUCCGUGUUCAACACACGUACGGUACAGGCGAUGUCUCCUCCGUCUUGAUCCAGCAAGGAGGAAGGAGAGGUUGAGGAAGACAGCUCCACCGGCAGCACGACGGCGUGAUGAUGGUGGAGAGACAGUACUCCGACAGGGCUUCGCCAAGCACGUGGAGGAGGAGAGGUGUUGGGGAGGGGAGGGGCUGCGCCUUGGCUUGUGGUGCGGCUGCCCUCCCCUCACCCCUCUAUUUAUAGGGGAAGGGGCAAGGGGGCCGGCCCCUCUAGAUGGGAUCUAGAGGGGGGGCGGCGGCCAGGGAGGGGGGACUUGCCCCCCAAGCAAGGGGGGUGCGCCCCCUUUAGGGUUCCCCCCCCCCCAACCCUAGGUGCAUGGGCCCAAGGGGGGGGGGCCAGCCCACCAGGGGCUGGCUCCUUCCCCAUGCAGCCCAUGUGCCCCCCCGGGAGGGGUGGCCCCUCCCGGUGGACCCCCGGAACCCCUCCGGUGGCCCCGGUACAAUACCGAUAUGACCCCGAAACUUUCCGGUGUCCGUUUGACAACUUCCCAUAUAUAAAUCUUUACCUCCGAGCCCUUCCGGAACUCCUCGUGAUGUCCGGGAUCUCAUCCGAGACUCCGAACAACAUUCGGUAAUCACAUACAAGUCUUCCUAAUAACCCUAGCGUCACCGAACCUUAAGUGUGUAGACCCUACGGGUUCGGGAGACACGUAGACAUGACCGAGACGGCUCUCGGGCAAUAACCAACAGCGGGAUCUGGAUACCCAUGUUGGCUCCCACAUGCUCCUCGAUGAUGUCAUCGGAUGAACCACGAUGUCGAGGAUUCAAUCAACCCCGUAUGCAAUUCCCUUUGUCAGUCGGUAUGUUACUUGCCCGAGACUCGAUCGUCGGUAUCCCAAUACCUCGUUCAGUCUCGUUACCGGAAAGUCACUUUACUCGUACCGUAAUGCAUGAUCCCGUGACCAAACACUUGGUCACUUUGAGCUCAUUAUGAUGAUGCACUACCGAGUGGGCCAAGUGAUACCUCUCCGUAAUCCGGAGUGACAAAUCCCAGUCUCGAUCCGUGUCAACCCAACAGACACUUUCGGAGAUACCUGUAGUGCACCUUUAUAGUCACCCAGUUAUGUUGUGAAGUUUGGUACACCCAAAGCACUCUUACGGUAUCCGGGAGUUACACGAUCUCAUGGUCUCAGGAAGAGAUACUUGACAUUGAAAAAAGCUCUAGCAAAACGAACUACACGAUCUUGUGCUAUGCUUAGGAUUGGGUCUUGUCCAUCACGUCAUUCUCCUAAUGACGUGAUCCCGUUGUCAAUGACAUCUGAUGUCCAUAGUCAGGAAACCAUGACUAUCUGUUGACCAACGAGCUAGUCAACUAGAGGCUCACUAGGGACAUGUUAUGGUCUAUGUAUUCACACGUGUAUUACAAUUUCCGGAUAAUACAGUUAUAGCAUGAAUAAAAGACAAUUAUAAUGAACAAGGAAAUAUAAUAAUAACCCUUUUAUUAUUGCCUCUAGGGCAUAUUUCCAACAGUCUCCCACUUGCACUAGAGUCAAUAAUCUAGUUACAUUGUGAUGAAUCGAACACCCAUAGAGGUCUGGUGUUGAUCAUGUUUUGCUCGCGAGAGAGGUUUAGUCAACGGAUCCGCGACAUUCAGAUCCAUAUGUACUUUGCAAAUAUCUAUGUCUCCAUCUUGAACAUUUUCACGGAUGGAGUUGAAACGACGCUUGAUGUGCCUGGUCUUCUUGUGAAACCUGGGCUCCUUAGCAAGGGCAAUAGCUCCAGUGUUGUCACAGAAGAGUUUGAUCGGCCCCGACGCAUUGGGUAUGACUCCUAGGUCGGUGAUGAACUCCUUCACCCAAAUAGCUUCAUGCGCUGCCUCCGAGGCUGCCAUGUACUCCGCUUCACAUGUAGAUCCCGCCACGACGCUCUGCUUGCAGCUGCACCAGCUUACUGCUCCACCAUUCAACAUAUACACGUAUCCGGUUUGUGACUUAGAGUCAUCCAAAUCUGUGUCGAAGCUAGCGUCGACGUAACCCUUUACGACGAGCUCUUCGUCACCUCCAUAAACGAGAAACAUGUCCUUUGUCCUUUUCAGGUACUUCAGGAUAUUCUUGACCGCUGUCCAGUGUUCCUUGCCAGGAUUACUUUGGUACCUUCCUACCAAACUUACGGCAAGGUUUACAUCAGGUCUGGUACACAGCAUGGCAUACAUAAUAGAUCCUAUGGCUGGGAUGACACUCAUCUCUUCUUUAUCUUUUGCCGUGGUCGGGCAUUGAGCCGAGCUCAAUCUCACACCUUGCAAUACAGGCAAGAACCCCUUCUUGGACUGAUCCAUUUUGAACUUCUUCAAAAUUUUAUCAAGGUAUGUGCUUUGUGAAAGACCUAUGAGGCGUCUCGAUCUAUUUCUAUAGAUCUUGAUGCCUAAUAUAUAAGCAGCUUCUCCAAGGUCCUUCAUUGAAAAACACGUAUUCAAGUAGGCCUUAAUGCUGUCCAAGAAUUCUAUAUCAUUUCCCAUCAAAAGUAUGUCAUCUACAUAUAAUAUGAGAAAUGCUACAGAGCUCCCACUCACUUUCUUGAAAACGCAGGCUUCUCCAUAAGUCUGCAUAAACCCAAAUGCUUUGAUCAUCUCAUCAAAGCGAAUGUUCCAACUCCGAGAUGCUUGCACCAGCCCAUAAAUGGAUCGCUGGAGCUUGCAUACUUUGUUAGCGUUCUUAGGAUCGACAAAACCUUCCGGCUGCAUCAUAUACAACUCUUCCUUAAGAUAACCGUUAAGGAAUGCCGUUUUGACGUCCAUCUGCCAUAUCUCAUAAUCAUAGUAUGCGGCAAUUGCUAACAUGAUUCGGGCGGACUUAAGCUUCGCUACGGGAGAGAAAGUCUCAUCGUAGUCAAUAUCUUGAACUUGCCGAUAACCCUUAGCGACAAGUCGAGCUUUAUAGAUGGUAAUAUUACCAUCCGCGUCCGUCUUCUUCUUAAAGAUCCAUUUGUUUUCUAUCGCUCGCCGAUCAUCGAGCAAGUCAGUCAAAGUCCAUACUUUGUUUUCAUAAAUGGAUUCUAUCUCGAAUUUCAUGGCUUCAAGCCAUUUGUUGGAAUAUGGGCCCGCCAUCGCUUCUUCAUAGUUCGAAGGUUCACCGUUGUCUAACAACAUGAUUUCCAGGACAGGGUUGCCGUACCACUCUGGUGCGGAACGUGUCCUUGUGGACCUACGAAGUUCAGUAGCAACUUGAUCCGAAGUACCUUGAUCAUCAUCAAUAAUUUCCUCUCCAGUCGGUGCAGGCACCACAGGAACAUUUUCCUGAGCUGCACUACUUUCCGAUUCAAGAGGUAGUACUUCAUCGAGUUCCACUUUCCUCCCACUUACUUCUUUCGAGAGAAACUCUUUUCCCAGAAAGGAUCCGUUCUUGGCAACAAAGAUCUUGCCUUCGGAUCUUAAGUAGAAGGUAUACCCAAUGGUUUCCUUAGGGUAUCCUAUGAAGACGCAUUUUUCCGACUUGGGUUCGAGCUUUUCAGGUUGAAGUUUCUUGACAUAAGCAUCGCAUCCCCAAACUUUUAGAAACGACAGCUUAGGUUUCUUCCCAAACCAUAAUUCAUACGGUGUCAUCUCAAUGGAUUUAGAGGGUGCCCUAUUUAAAGUGAAUGUAGCUGUCUCUAGAGCGUAUCCCCAAAAUGAUAGUGGUAAAUCAGUAAGAGACAUCAUAGACCGCACCAUAUCUAAUAGAGUGCGAUUACGACGUUCGGACACACCGUUACGCUGAGGUGUUCCAGGUGGCGUGAGUUGUGAAACGAUUCCACAUUUUCUCAAGUGUGUACCAAAUUCGUGACUUAAGUAUUCUCCUCCACGAUCUGAUCGUAGGAAUUUUAUCUUUCGGUCACGUUGAUUCUCUACCUCAUUCUGAAAUUCCUUGAACUUUUCAAAGGUCUCAGACUUGUGUUUCAUUAAGUAGACAUACCCAUAUCUACUCAAGUCAUCAGUGAGAGUGAGAACAUAACGAUAUCCUCCGCGAGCCUCAACGCUCAUUGGACCGCACACAUCGGUACGUAUGAUUUCCAACAAGUUGGUUGCUCGCUCCAUUGUUCCGGAGAACGGAUUCUUGGUCAUCUUGCCCAUGAGGCAUGGUUCGCAUGUGUCAAAUGAUUCAUAAUCGAGAGACUCCAAAAGUCCAUCAGCAUGGAGCUUCUUCAUGCGCUUGACACCAAUGUGACCAAGGUGGCAGUGCCACAAGUAUGUGGGACUAUCGUUAUCAACUUUACAUCUUUUGGUAUUCACACUAUGAAUAUGUGUAACAUUACGCUCAAUAUUCAUUAAGAAUAAACCAUUGACCAUAGGGGCAUGACCAUAAAACAUAUCUCUCAUAUAAAUAGAACAACCAUUAUUCUCGGAUUUAAAUGAGUAGCCAUCUCGUAUCAAACGAGAUCCAGAUACAAUGUUCAUGCUCAAACUUGGCACCAAAUAACAAUUAUUAAGGUUCAUAACUAAUCCCGUAGGUAAAUGUAGAGGUAGCGUGCCGACGGCGAUGACAGCAACCUUGGAACCGUUCCCGACGCGCAUCGUCACCUCGUCCUUCGCUAGUCUCCGCUUAUUCCGCAGCUCCUGCUAUGAGUUACAAAUAUGAGCAACGGCACCAGUAUCAAAUACCAGGAGUUACUACGAGUACUGGUGAGGUACACAUCAAUUACAUGUAUAUCUAAUAUACCUUUAGUGUUGCCGGCCUUCUUAUCCGCUAAGUAUUUGGGGCAGUUCCGCUUCCAGUGACCCUUCCCCUUGCAAUAAAAGCACUCAGUCUCGGGCCUGGGUCCAUUCUUUGACUUCUUCCCGGCAACUGGCUUACCAGGCGCGGCAACAUCUUUGCCGUCCUUCUUGAAGUUCUUCUUACCCUUGCCCUUCUUAAACUUAGUGGUCUUAUUGACCAUCAACACUUGAUGUUCUUUCUUGAUUUCAACCUCUGCUGACUUCAGCAUUGAAAAUACUUCAGGAAUGGUCUUCACCAUCCCCUGCAUAUUGUAGUUCAUCACAAAGCUCUUGUAGCUUGGUGGGAACGACUGAAGGAUUUUGUCAAUGACCGCCUCGUCCGGGAGGUUAAUGUCCAGCUGGGACAGGCGGCUGUGCAACCCAGACAUUUUGAGUAUGUGCUCACUGACAGAAUUGUUUUCCUUCAUAUUACAACUAUAGAACUUGUCGGAGACUUCAUAUCUCUCGACCCGGGCAUGAGCUUGGAAAACUAGUUUCAGCUCCUCGAACAUCUCAUAUGCUCCGUGUCGCUCAAAACGCUUUUGGAGCCCCGGUUCUAAGCUGUAAAGCAUGCCGCACCGAACGAGGGAGUAAUCAUCAGUACGUGUCUGCCAAACGUUCAAAUCGUCUUGCAGUGCUGGGAGAGCAGGUGGGUCACCUAACGGUGCUUCUAGGACAUAUGCUUUCUUGGCAGCUAUGAGGAUGAUCCUUAGGUUCCGGACCCAGUCCGUAUAGUUGCUGCCAUCAUCUUUCAGCUUGGUUUUCUCUAGGAACACGUUGAAGUUCAUGUUGACAUGAGCGUUGGCCAUUUGAUCUACAAGACAUAUUUGCAAAAGGUUUUAGACUAAGUUCAUGAUAAUUAAGUUCAUCUAAUCAAAUUAUUGAAUGAACUCCCACUCAGAUUUGACAUCCCUCUGGUCAUCUAAGUGUUACACGAUCCGAGUCGACUAGGUCGUGUCCGAUCAUCACGUGAGACGGACUAGUCAUCGUCGGUGAACAUUCUCAUGUUGAUCGUAUCUUCCAUACGACUCGUGUUCGACCUUUCGGUCUUCGUGUUCCGAGGCCAUGUCUGUACAUGCUAGGCUCGUCAAGUUAACCCUAAGUGUUUUGCAUGUGUAAAAUUGUCUUACACCCGUUGUAUGUGAACGUAAGGAUCUAUCACACCCGAUCAUCACGUGGUGCUUCGAAACGACGAACUUUAGCAACGGUGCACAGUUAGGGGAUAACACUUCUUGAAAUUGUUGUAAGGGAUCAUCUUAUUUACUACCGUCGUUCUAAGUAAACAACAUGCAUAAAACAUAAUAAACAUCACAUGCAAUUAUAUAAAGUAGUGACAUGAUAUGGCCAAUAUCAUAUAACUCCUUUGAUCUUCAUCUUCGGGGCUCCAUGAUCAUCUUGUCACCGGCAUGACACCAUGAUCUCCAUCAUCAUGAUCUCCAUCAUCGUGUCUUCAUGAAGUUGUCACGCCAACGACUACUUCUACUUCUAUGACUAACGCGUUUAGUAAUAAAGUAAAGUAGUUUACAUGGCGUUCUUCAAUGACACGCAGGUCAUACAAAAAUAAAGACAACUCCUAUGGCUCCUGCCGGUUGUCAUACACAUCGACAUGCAAGUCGUGAUUCCUAUUACAAGAACAUGAUCUCAUACAUCACAAUAUAUCAUUCAUCAUUCAUCACAACUUUUGGCCAUAUCACAUCACAUGACAAUUGCUGCAAAAACAAGUUAGACAUCCUCUAAUUGUUGUUGCAUCUUUUACGUGGCUGCAAUUGGGUUCUAGCAAGAACGUUUUCUUACCUAUGAAUAACCACAACGUGAUUUUGUCAACUUCUAUUUACCCUUCAUAAGGACCCUUUUCAUCGAAUCCACUUCAACUGAAGUGGGAGAGACAGACACCCGCCAGCCACCUUAUGCAACUAGUGCAUGUUAGUCGGUGGAACCGGUCUCACGUAAGCGUACGUGUAAGGUUGGUCCGGGCCGCUUCAUCCCACAAUACCGCUGAAGCAAGAUAAGACUAGUAGCGGCAAGUAAGUUGACAAGAUCUACGCCCACAACAAAAUUGUGUUCUACUCGUGCAAUAGAGAACUACGCAUAGACCUAGCUCAUGAUGCCACUGUUGGGUAACGUUGUAGAAAAUUAAAAAAAAUUCCUACGGUUUCACCAAGAUCCAUCUAUGAGUUCAUCUAAGCAACGAGUCAAGGGAGUGAAUUUGCAUCUACAUACCACUUGUAGAUCGCGUACGGAAGCGUUCGAGGGAACGGUGAUGAUGGAGUCGUACUCGACGUGAUUCAGAUCACCGAUGACCAAGUGCUGAACGGACAGCACCUCCGCGUUCAACACACGUACGGUACGGGCAACGUCUCCUCCGUCUUGAUCCAGCAAGGAGGAAGGAGAGGUUGAGGAAGACAGCUCCACUGGCAGCACGACGGCGUGAUGAUGGUGGAGAGACAGUACUCCGACAGGGCUUCGCCAAGCACGUGGAGGAGGAGAGGUGUUGGGGAGGGGAGGGGCUGCGCCUUGGCUUGUGGUGCGGCUGCCCUCCCCUCACCCCUCUAUUUAUAGGGGAAGGGGCAAGGGGGGGCGGCGGCCAGGGAGGGGGGACUUGCCCCCCAAGCAAGGGGGGUGCGCCCCCUUUAGGGUUCCCCCCCCCAACCCUAGGCGCAUGGGCCCAAGGGGGGGCGCCCAGCCCACCAGGGGCUGGCUCCUUCCCCACGCAGCCCAUGUGGCCCCCUGGGAGGGGUGGCCCCUCCCGGUGGACCCUCGGAACCCCUCCGGUGGCCCCGGUACAAUACCGAUAUGACCCCGAAACUUUCCGGUGUCCGUUUGACAACUUCCCAUAUAUAAAUCUUUACCUCCGGACCCUUCCGGAACUCCUCGUGACAUCCGGGAUCUCAUCCGGGACUCCGAACAACAAUCAGUAAUCACAUACAAGUCUUCCUAAUAACCCUAGCGUCACCGAACCUUAAGUGUGUAGACCCUACGGGUUCGAGAGACACGUAGACAUGACCGAGACGGCUCUCGGGCAAUAACCAACAGCGGGAUCUGGAUACCCAUGUUGGCUCCCACAUGCUCCUCGAUGAUGUCAUCGGAUGAACCACGAUGUCGAGGAUUCAAUCAACCCCGUAUGCAAUUCCCUUUGUUAGUCGGUAUGUUACUUGCCCGAGACUCGAUCGUCGGUAUCCCAAUACCUCGUUCAGUCUCGUUACCGGCAAGUCACUUUACUCGUACCGUAAUGCAUGAUCCCGUGAUCAAACACUUGGUCACUUUGAGCUCAUUAUGAUGAUGCACUACCGAGUGGGCCCAGUGAUACCUCUCCGUAAUCCGGAGUGACAAAUCCCAGUCUCGAUCCGUGUCAACCCAACAGACACUUUCGGAGAUACCUGUAGUGCACCUUUAUAGUCACCCAGUUACGUUGUGACGUUUGGUACACCCAAAGCACUCUUACGGUAUCCGGGAGUUACACGAUCUCAUGGUCUAAGGAAGAGAUACUUGACAUUGAAAAAAGCUCUAGCAAAACGAACUACACGAUCUUGUGCUAUGCUUAGGAUUGGGUCUUGUCCAUCACGUCAUUCUCCUAAUGACGUGAUCCCGUUGUCAAUGACAUCUAAUGUCCAUAGUCAGGAAACCAUGACUAUCUGUUGACCAACGAGCUAGUCAACUAGAGGCUCACUAGGGACAUGUUAUGGUCUAUGUAUUCACACGUGUAUUACGAUUUCCGGAUAAUACAGUUAUAGCAUGAAUAAAAGACAAUUAUCAUGAACAAGGAAAUAUAAUAAUAACCCUUUUAUAUUGCCUCUAGGGCAUAUUUCCAACACGAGCUUGAGGAGGGCGGCGGGAGGCGGCAACUGCCUACGUCGCGGCAGUGAGCAAGGGACGAAGGCAACCUCACCGGCUUUGUGAGAGAGAACGGCGGGGACCCUUGAUCGGGACGUGCCGACAGUGGGUUUUCGCUGUCGGCGACGGACACCGCAUCUACACUAAGCAUCCACCCCUUCCCCAAGCGGACGUGAUCCGCCGGGAUGUUAGAGAUGUGGCCACAGUCGUUUUAUGCGAGAGAGUGUGAAGAGAGCAACCCCAGCAAGCAACCGCGUAGGCUGGCCCGUCCUGACUAUGUAUAUAGUGGAGCGGUUUCCUUUUCUCUCCAUAUGAACCUAUCAUAUUGCGUACGUGCCACUGAAGAAAAAAAAUUAUUUAUAAAUGACGCGGCACCUACUACUCGUUCUCCUAUAACCAUGCGCUUGGCAUCUCCAAAAUAUUAACCUUGCGAUUGGCUCUUCGCCUCUUCGGGAAGUCGAGCAAUAAUGGUAGUGCAGUAUAUAUCGUUCUGGCUAUAUGAGACCGAAUGAAUUGUUGCACGUCCACCACGUGGGCGAGGGUCGAGGGGCGAGGGAGAGUGCUACUACAUACGGAGCAAAAUGAGUGAAUGUACACUCUAAAAUACGUCUAUAUACAUCUGGAGUAUGUACUAGUAGUUCAUAUUGAAAUCUACUAAGGACAUAUAUAUUCCAAACAAUAUGAUAUAAUCUCUAUAACCAAGGUAGUAGGGACGAGUAGUAAACGGAGGGAGUAGUAAAUUUUUCUCCUCGUCCUGCGAGCCACCGCGCGCUUGGGCGAGGGAGGAGCAAGCUUCACCUCAUCCUGCGAGCCACCGCGCCCGUGGGCGGGGGAGACGGCGUACUAAGCAAGCUUCUCCCUGUUCUGCGAGUUGACGGGAUACAUCAAAAGUACUCCAGUGUAUAGAGCCUUGCCUCUAAGGUAGGCCCCACAUGGUUUGCCUCUUUUUUUAAUUUCACAUAACGCGUCAAGUCGCAAUUUGUUUAUUCACCCGUGGUAGACGAUCCUCCCUCCACCAAGUGGACAACCAGUACACGUGCCAAAUUACCACGUAGGCUGCCUUUUUCGUACAGAAAUGAGCUCCACCGUGUACCCGCGCGGGUGUGGUUGGGAAAGAGACGGGAGUACGUGCGCCAUGCAUGCACCUCUUCUCUUCAUGCACGUCCCCCACCUAUGUGGGUGUGUGUGAGAGAUACAAACCGCGUUCGUGAGUGUUUUUAUUUUUGUGGUGGGGGUGGGGGUGGGGUGGGGGGUUGAUUUUGUGAAUUAUUUGUGGGAAUAUGUGCCGAUGACAUCUCAAACAAAAUUUUGCAUGCAAUGUGUGUGAAAUGGAGGCCUAUCCAUAUCAUACAUAGAGGGCCGGGCAAUCUAUGAGAAGAGAGGGAGGGGUCAUAGCUAUCGAUAGAGUCGAAGAGAGGAUCAAGUACGGGUGGGUGCGAGAUCGAUGAAGAGAGCCAUCGAAAUUGCGUGUGUGUGUGUGUUCAAGUCAAAUAUAUAGGGCGACUAGCCUACCAAAACGUUUGAGGGCACAUGUCAAGUUUGUGUGUGGCAGGGAGACAUGACUAGAGCGCUUGAUGUAUCGGUGUGUGUGGGGGGAGGGGUGGGGGGGGUAGGCAGAGGCCUAACUAUAGAGGUAGAACGACUCGUAUAUGUGUUGAGAAGGAGAGACCUGGCUAUGUCAUGAGGGAGAUCGGUCGACAUCCAUACAUAACUGAAGGACGGGAAAUAUGAUGGGACAGAGAGAGAGAGGAGAGAGAGAGGAAGGGAGAGGGAGGGAGAGGGGUAGAGUGCUGGAUGGGUGAUGGAGUUGCUUCUCGGAGAUGUUGGGAGAGGCCUACUAGACAAACUGAGGGUGGAACUGCAAUGUUAUCAAUAAGAGUGGGGAUGUGUUUCUGUGUGUCCCUGUGCGUGAUAGAUCUGUCGGGACGCAUCCAUGGAUGAUGAAGGGGAACAAUGUGUUUGGUAAGCAAACCUAACUAGAUCGGUAGAUCAAUUGUUGUUUGUCGGAGGAAGGGAGAGACACAACUAAUGAGGUAGAUCGAUCGAUGUGUGGGUAAAAAUGAGUUAUAAGGACCUAGCUGGCUAUAUGUAUAGCGAGAGAUCGGUCGGUGUACGUCCAUUAUUUAGAGGCAAAUAAGGCCCAGCGAGACGGAUAGACAGAGAGAAUGGAGCUAGGAGGUGGUGCGAGAGGCCCAACUACUAGCUGGAUAGGGGGAGGAGUGUGCGGUUGUGAGAUCGAUUAAAAGAGGGGUGAGAGUUUAGACGUGUGUAUGACCAUAUGAGAGACACGAGGCAAGGACACAUAAAGGAGGAGAUUGAAGUUGUGUGUGUAUGUUGUAGGCAGGCAUCGCUGGAGAGGUUUAUCGAUCGAUGUGUGUUGGAAAGGAGUUGUGGAGACUCUGGGAGAAUGACCUAAAGGAAAAAAAUGAAUGUGUCCGGUGGAUAGAAUGCCGAGGGAGGGGAGGGCGAGGAGGGUGUGUGCAUGCACGAGAGAAAGUUAGUGGUACCUACAAAGGUUAGAGGACUGUGUGGGUGUAAGAGACUAACAAAGAUCAUAAUUUGAUAUGAAAGCGGAUUCAUAUAUUUGAAUAGGAGAUCAUAGUGUUUUAAACAUUGCAUGCAUGAAUAUAGCGGUGAUACACGUGAUGUGCACAUGUUAUACCAUAAUGUGAUAAUGCAUGGCGUUUGCAACUCACAGCUAAAUGCCGAACAAUCUAAACCAUAAUAUACAUCAAACAAUCUCACAUUUUAUUUGAAUUUGUGAUAAUGUGCGGCGUUUGCAGCUUACAACUAAAUAUCGAGCAAUCUAAAUAAUACUAUAUAUCGAACAUUCUCACAUUUUAUUUGAAUUUGUGGUAAUGUGUGGUGUUUGCAACUCACAUCUAAAUACUUGUAGGCGUAGGGGGCGGGGCGCCAUACAUAAUGUGAUAAACACAUUAUACAUAUGAGACAUGGUUUAGAUUAUGAAGAUCUAGCUAGAGCUAGAAAUGUAAUGUGAUUUGAAAUCAAAAUAAAGUGGAUUCAAAAAAUCUAGUUCGAGUUCAUAUAGUACACAUAGUUCAUAUGUAACUCGAUACUGAUCAUGUGGUGUGCUGUGAAGAUAAUACACAAACGAUGGUUUAACUUGACAAUAAUGAUGAUUGUAGAUCUUAUUAAAACAGAGAAACGAAUUCAAAUGUUUUGACUUCACAACAAUCAUUACUGUAGAUCUUAUUCAAAUUUAGUUCAUAUUGAAGAAGUAGUAUAUAUGUUUGGAAUGCGCUAAUACGUUCAUUUGAGUAGUAGCCUGCAUGCAUUAUACACGUAGCGAAAUAUUUUAAUUGAACAUAACAUGAAUUCAAAGUUUUGAAUGAAAUUUGUAGUGCGCAUUGAUUUGGUACAGUACACGUUAGGCUUGUCUGGAAAUUUCAACCCGCGCCUUGUUAGCCCGAAAUAUUUAAGAUAUAUCUUUGUCUCGUUGUGCUCCGACAACUCCCUCCAUCUCAACCCGCGCCUUGCUAUUUCGAAAUUACAACGCGCGCGAAAACUCCCACCUCCUGUGAAAUCCCGACACGCGAAAUGCCCGUGGUACCCCUAAACCGAAAGAACCGCCUCAAAUCGGUGGGGGGUACUUUCGUAACUUACCCCAUAUUUCGGACAAGCGCGUCUCUAAGCCAUGGUUCCCCACUGCCAUCCCAUCCGCCCACCCAUUCGUACACCGAGGCCGCGAAAACCCGCGACAAAACCCCACAGCCUGCUCCGUCCGCCACCCAGCCGGAGCUUCUUCCCCGAUGACGUCAUCCACAGCAACACCUCGACGUCCCUCAUCCACCGUACCGGAUGAGGAUCCGUCGUCGAUCUCAUCGUCCCGCCGGUUCAGCCACCCCGUCCUCCACCUCCAAGGAGCUGCCCUGAUGUUCCCCUCGUCUUUCGUGCCACCUCCAUUCCCACACCGCCGUCUUCACCUGCACCACCAGAAGAGCAUCAUCAUCACCGUUUCCUCGGAUGAAGCUGCGGCCUAAUCGGCGCCACCAAAGAGGUUGUACACUAAUCGCCGCAUUUUCUUCUUGAUUCGAUCUCACGGUGCUACCGGCGCUCGGUCCCGAGCCGACAUGGCGCAGCUCCAUCCACGGCGGCGUCACCGGCCACUUCCUCCACAGCAUCGCUCCCUCGGCGGCGACAUCCACAUCAAUAGGAGUUGCUGCUGCUUUAGCUCUCGCUCACGCUGCUGCUCUGCUCUUGCUCUCGGUCCCCUGCCUGGUCUGCUCUUGCUAUUGCUCUUGCUCGCGCUGCUGCUCUCGCUCUUGCUCUUGCUUGCAAUGCUGCUCCGAUUUGGCUACACUUCAGUCGAUUGAAUCGACUUUUGGGUCAGUCAAUUUCCAAGGGGUGGGCUCGCCGGGGUGAAGGAAGAACUAGCCGCAGCGGGGAGGGGGGCUAGCCGGAGAGGUACCCCACUAUCUAUCUUAGGGUUCAGGAUGGGGGCGGUGGUCGCCGGCGGUGGUGGGGCGUUGGCGGGGCGGUUGCGUGGGGAUCGCCGGAGAAAAAGCUCGGCACAGGGGGCCUAGAUGGAUGGCCGGGGCGGCGGCGUACCGGCGGUGGGGAGUGUUUUCGGGGCGGGCAGGGCGGCGCACCGCCGGCCGCGGGUGGCGGGGGGCUGCUGUUUGGCCGGUGGUGGCUGGCGGCUCAGGGGGGUGGAGGUUGAAGAUGAAUCGCAGGCCCUUGAUUUCGUAUCCAACAGCUGCAAAAUCGACUGACCAGAGAUGAAGAAGUCAGUCGACCGACGUUUAGCCUCACCUUGCUAGUGCGUUCAGUUUCGACAGCAAAAUUCAGUUUCGACAGCAAAAUUCUGUUUGGACAGUUAGGUUCAGUUUCGACAGUUAAGUUCAGUUUCGACAGUUAAGUUCAGAGAUGAGCGGUUGAUGUAUUUUACAUCUAGCACUUUGUUGCUAUGUAUUUUACGUAUGUAUUGGAGAUGCUAUUAGAAUUCCAUUCAGGUUAACGUUGUUCGUUGUCUAUCUAGUCCUGCUUCAGCCUUGGCGUCGUACAACUCACCGGAGCUGCUCCAACGACGAAACCCCCCAUCACAUCGGAGCAGUACCUCGGGCUCCAUCUCCAGACGCCUAAGAUCUUCUUCCCCUCCUUCGACAGCAAAGUCAGCCGGAGCAUCCUCACCGGCCAACCCAAUCACGCUGAGAUCGACAUGGCUUCGCCAAAGAGGUUGUACACUUGUUGCAUCUCUUUUUUACUCUACAUGUUAUAUAUAUUGUCCACUGAGCACACGGAUUUGUUCCUUUAGUGUCUCCUUGAAAGAAAAAAUGUAGGAUUUUAAUUUUCACUUGUCUUCCUUUUCAAAUUCCUAUUCAUGAAGCACAAGACUAAGAGAUAGUAGCAUAAUAGCAUUAUAACCGUACAUUUUCUUGUUGUUUGACUUAAUCUCACCAUGCUUCUUUGCAUCAUGUGAUCUUCCAAUUGUUGUGAAUCAAACACCCAGAUUGGCAGAAAUCCUGUGUUUUUAAAUUCUCUGUUUUGCACGUGCAUUCCUAUCCUAUUCCUGUCUAUUUCCUAUCCCUGCUUUGUUGGAAUCCUCCAAUUCAAACGAGCCCUUACAGAAUUACUUCUUUUACAGAUAGUUGUCAAAGGAAACCUUGCGUGGUUUGUCCCGGUCCUGCUGCGCCGUCGUCCACCCCAGCUUAGUUGCUCCAACGACAGAAGGGUCCAGCAGAGCAGGGAUCCGGCCUCCAGACUGUCUUUCGCCGCCUCAGAUCUUCUUCCCCGCCGCUGGCAGCCAUGAAAACUGCAUUACCAUCAUCAACCGAGCAGAUGACCUCGAGGACUACACGGGUCCGCAAGAGAGGUCGCACUCUUUCGUGUUUGCUUACGUUAUGCAUCGCUUAAUACAUGCUACUUUAUCGUCCUGUUCACCAAUUAGACUCUGAGUCAGCUCCAAACUAAUGGUCAAACUUGAGUUUUUAAUGGUUGUGGGGUACAUAUCGGGGCCACUAUCAAUAGUAUCUAUCUACUAUCUGGUUAAUCUCCGGUGUCUACUAUGAGUUUCAUGUUGGGUGGGAAACAAACAGUAAAGAAGCCAUUAUCUGUAUUUAUUAACUGAAUCCAUUAUCUGCCUGCUAUUAUUGGUUUUGGGUCUAUCCAUAGGUUGCUACCAUCACUCUGGAUUUCUGCAUGCACUCCUUACAUAAUCUCACUAAAUUUUAUUCCUAUGCAUGACAGUUAUUGUAAACAAUGGAACUAAACAUGUAGAGCAAAAGAGACGAGCCUUGCGUGGCAAUAUAAUUUCAUGCAGACGUCACUCCAUGGUAGGCGCAAAGGCAGCCCCCCGUCCACGCAUUUCGGAUUGUAAUUGAGAGGAAGAUAUCUGUUCUGAGGGGGAUUCAGAAGGAGAAGAUAACUCAUAUUUACCUCCUGAGGUCUUCGCUCUAACUUGGCAUGAUGAUGUUGGUUAUAUCAUGCAUAUGGUGUCUUGCAUUGCUUACUUUAUACAUCAAAUAUACCAUAUGCUUAGUUUAGACAUCCUUUGUGCGAAUGCCAUCUGUUUAGUUUAUUCAUCGUUUAUGUGAAUUAUGCAACGCCACCUUGUUUAGCCAGGCAUCAUAUAUGUGAAUUUUGCAAUGCCAUCCUGCUUAGCCAGUCAUCUUAUAUGUAAAUUAUAUCAGGCCAUCUUUUUUUCGUUACAUAUUACAUUCGUCAACAAUGUUAGUACAUUCAACUGCUCUUCGUGUGCAUCAGCCAUUUGACAUGGUGAUGGCAAAUUCUGGAGUGAAAACAAGGUCUUCUGAGCAGACUAUGCUAUCUGACGAAGCGCAUAUCUCGCUGGUUACGGAUAGCUCCUCAGAGGAGGAUUCAGAGACANNNNNNNNNNNNNNNNNNNNNNNNNNNNNNNNNNNNNNNNNNNNNNNNNNNNNNNNNNNNNNNNNNNNNNNNNNNNNNNNNNNNNNNNNNNNNNNNNNNNNNNNNNNNNNNNNNNNNNNNNNNNNNNNNNNNNNNNNNNNNNNNNNNNNNNNNNNNNNNNNNNNNNNNNNNNNNNNNNNNNNNNNNNNNNNNNNNNNNUGUAUGCUCUAACUUGGCAGGGUUAUGUUGCUCAUAUCGUGCGUAUGGUGUCUCGCAUUGCUAUGCCAUUUGAUUAGUUUAGACAUGCUUUGUGUGAAUGCCACCUGUUUAGUGUCUAAUUACCAUAUAUGUGAAUUAUGCAUUGCCAUCUUGUUGCAAGAAAUUAUAUAUGUGAAUUAUACAAUGCUAUCUUGUUGCAAAGGCAUUAUAUAUGUGAAUUAUGCAAUGCCAUGCUGUUUAGCCAAUCAUCAUGUAUGUGAAUUAUAUCAUGCUAUCAUUUUUUUGUAUUACAUGUUCCAUUUGUCGACAACGUUUGUAUAUUCAACUACUCUUCCUGUGCAUCAGCCAUUUGAAGCGGUGAUGGAAGUAUCUGGAGUGAAAACAAGGUAUUCAGAGCAGACAAUGCUACCUGCUGAAGCAGACAUCUUGCUGGCUAUAGAGAGCUCCUCAGAGGAGGAUUCAGAGACGAUGCCAGUCCUAUUUCCCCCCUGAGGUCUAUGCUCAAACUUGGCAGGGUUAUAUUACCCAUGUCAUGCAUGUUGUCUUGCAUUGCUUAGUUUUUACAUCAUAUAUAGAUUGCCAUCUGCUUACUUGCUUAUUAUAUAAAUCAUAUAUUUGAAUUAUAUCAUGCCAUCAUGUUUACAUAGUACAUACACAUCAUCUAUAUGAAUUAUGGCAUGGCAACCCAUUUAAUAAAGACAUCAUAUAGUUAUAUCAUCUCAUCCUGUUUAGUGUUUACAGUCAUCAUGUUUAGAAUUAUGGCAUUCUAUCCAUGAAUGUAUGUGAAUUAUGGCAUGCCAACCUAUUUAAUAAACACAUUAUAUAGUUAUGUCAUGUCAUCCUGUUUACAUAGUCUCAUAUUUUGAACUAUGUCUUUCCAUCUUUUUUAGUUAGUCAUCAUAAUGUGAAAUUGUGUCAUGCUAUCCUGUUUAGUUAGCCAUCAUAUAUAUGAAAUUGUGUCAUGCUAUCCUGUUUGGUUAGACAACAUAAAUAUGAAUUAUUUCAUGCCCUCUUUUAUUCCCCACUAUCCAUUGCACCUGUCUAUCAUACAAUGUCUAUACUUUCAAUUAAUUUUCUUGUUUAUCAGCCAUUUGAAUUGGAGAGCGUGAUGGCAGUAUCUAAGGGAGUAACAACACGGUCUUCAGAAAAGAUAGUGCUACCAGUUGAUGCAGAUAGAACCACGGUUGUACUUGCCCCAAGGACCAGAUCCACCACACAUAACCCAGACUCUCGCAGAUUGUACCCCAACCCAGUUGGACAGAGAACCAGCUACACCCUUUUUAACCCCAACCCCGGCAGAUAGUAACCCAGUUCCAGUUGACACAACACCGUCUCCACCACAGAGCACCCAAACACGAGCGGUUAGUAAGGGAACUGCAGUGCCCAAAGCAUGAGGACCACCACUCCGAAUCUCAACUCAACGCUUAAAGGAGAAUAAGAUUUGUUCUCAGGUCAGGUUCUGUAGCUAUGGUUCAUACUCCUUUGCUCUUGCAUUACUGUAUUUACUCAUGCCAACUAUUUUCAAAUUUGAAGGAUGGAAUUAAAACUCCAAUGGUGCAACAGGUAUGUUUUAAACCUGUUUCUUUAACUGGUUUGCUGUUGUAACCUGCUCUAUGUUUAUUUCAGUUUCAAUUGAAUAAACAAUUAUGUUCUCAUGUCAUGCACAUUAAAAGUGUUGUUAUUGCUCUAUAGUUACCCACACUUAUAUUCUGUCUAUUCUGCUUUGUCUUGAACAAAUAUUAUUUGAACUGUGUCUCUAUGUUGAUUUGGCAACAAAAACUAGAAUGAUAUAGACCAUAAAGUGACCAUGGCACAUAGAUAUAUGUUUGUUUCAUGUUGUUAUCCUGUCCACUUUACUACUGAACUCAUUUACCAAAAUGAGUUUCAUAUACAACAUGGUAAACAUGUGAUGUGUCUGCUUGUUUCUCUUUUAGAAUGCGGACAAAAUAUUGGAGAAUAGUACCGUGUUAUCCAAUGGUAAAGGAAGUAAUGCAGAUAAGGUUCAAGAUAGUGAGACAUCCCUGUUGGUCUCCAAGAAAGCUGAUAAAAACUAUCUUGACGACAGUGAGGGAACCCAAAAGUCCUGUCUUGAUGUAGUGUUCGAGUUACUGGCCACUACUGCUGGCACAAGCUCUUUGAACUCGCUGCUUGAAUCAGUUCGUCUUCUUGAGUCUCAACUUCAAGUUGAAAGACAUCGAUCAGAUGUGCUGCGACAGGAAGCUGAAGGACUGAGGAAGUCCCUGCAGAAUUCAGAUGCAUAUUUUCUGGUGCAACAGCAAGCGCUGGAGGAUUUAAGCGCCAAACAAGAGAAAGUUAAUAAGCUUGCUAAGCAUCUUGCCAGCAUUAUGGGUACCCAGGAUAAUGUUUCUUGAGAUCUUCUGAAGUGGUUUCAGUUCUGGAUUUGUUUUGUUGCAGCGUUUAUUUGCGCUGGUCGCCAACUUUGACAACCAGUGUAUAUGAUAUGCUGCUUUGUUCCCAAUAUUUGCACUGGUGGCGAACUUUGAUGCCCAGUGGAUGUAAUAUGUGUAACAGCCUUGAUAGCCUAGCAUAAGUUGCUUGCUUAUUUAUUUCCUUGUUGUCUUGUUUAUUUGUUUGCUUGUAGUCAGUGCAGUUCUUUUUAAAACUAGGCCACAAUAACCAUGGACUAAUAUUUACUGUAGUGACACUUGGCCUCCUACGGGCCGUAGAAACAGUGGGCCUUCUACGGGCCGUAGAAAUAGUAGGCCUCCUACGGGCCGUAGAAACAAUGGGCCUCCUACGGGCCGUAGAAACAAUGGGCCUCCUACGGGCCGUAGAAACAAUGGGCCUCCUACGGGCCAUAGAAACAAUGGGCCUUCUAUGGGCCGUAUCAUCAAUGGGCCUUAUACGGUCCAUGUGACCAUAACGGGCCACCGUUAAUAGGCCGUAUUUGAUGACGCUAUGAAAAUGGCCCAACGUAUUAACGGACCACAAAUGGGCCGAUGUAACCACGGGCUGAAUUUGGCCCACAAGCAAAAAAUGACAGUAACGAGCCGUAAGUAAACGAAUGCUGGAAAUGAGCCCAAGAAUAAAUGGGCUCUGAGAAGGCUGAAAGAUAACAUUUGCUGGAAACGGUCCAACUGAAUAACGGGCCCUUAAUGGGUAUAAAGUGAUAAACUGUUCAUUACGGGCCAGUUUCACCACGGGCAGUUAGUGGGUGUAAAGUGAUACACUGUUCAUUGCGGGCCAGUUUCACCACGGGCCGUUAAUAGGCCAAGAGUUACAUAGGGCCUCAUAUGGGCCGAAAGACGUCAUGGGCCAUACAUGGGCCAGAAGUGAAAACGGGCUGGAAUCAUAUUGGAUGGCCUAGAUGACGCUACUGGGUCUAAUUUGGAUAGGGCGUAACGGGCCUUGGGUUAGCGGGCUGUAAAUGGGCUAUAUGCGAACAGGCCGUUAACAGGCUUUCCAUGGACCUGCCCGCCACCUUUUGACCAAGUCAAACGGGCCGGCCUUUUCACAUGAAUGGGCCUCUGUUGGGUCGUGCCACGUGUCGACGUAUCAUAGGCGCCUUCUGUCCAAUGAGUGGAUGACAUCUGUCCCAACGGUGAGCCGACACGUGUUUCCUCUAGCCAAUGAUGAUUUUACACGUGGAAAAUCCCCAUUGGUCGGGGCUGUUAACGGGUUAUCGGAUCCAAAACCCGACCCGAUAACUUAACGGUGUUUCGUUAUGGUGGAUGUCACGUGUCGGUCACCCUUGACGAAAGCAGUUCUGUGACGCGCGAUUUAUCGUCAUGGAAGCGGACACUUCCGUGAUGAUAAUUUUGGUAAUAUCAUCGAACACUUCUACGACAGCACAGGUAUGACUAUCUUGAUUCUGUCAUAAAUUUGUUAUGGAUGUACAUGCAUGACAAAAAACGUGACCUACUAUGACAAACACGUAUCAUCACGGAAGUGUAUUUUUUUUGUAGUGCCCUUUGGCUUCCCCAUGUCCGGCAGCUCGCUCACUGGACUCCCGGGAGCUCCGAAGGUAUAUGCUUCAGCGCAAAGGGCGGCUCACUUCCCCACCACUCAUCAGAGUGGAAGAGCCGGUUGAUGCUUCAGUCGGAGGGGAAAGGGGGGCGCCUCCGCUUCCGUGGAGCCCAGGCGGGGGUCGACGGUGGUCUACGCUGAAGAACUGGGCAAGUCGCCGGUUGUACAAGCCGGCGAUGCGCAGACGGUGGCCUUCCAGGUACCCAAGCGGCGGCGGGCUCCCGUGUUCUACUUUCCCUCGAUGUUAGUAGCGGAUGCGGACGCGCUGCCCACAGACUCGUCAAUAUCCGUGCAUCCGACUUCUUUCUCUGCCGGCAAGGCGCAAUUACGUGCGCGUUGAUGGCGGAUGGCGCGGCCACAGACAUGGGAGGCACGGAACAACACUGUGUCGUCCCUGGCAGCGAUGAUGCCCAUACCGCCAUGCUCCCCGUCGGGCCGGCCUGUGCUACUUGUAAGCUGCGUUGGGAUUUACUUGAAAGAGGAAGGGUGAAAUAAUAUAGUAGUUGAUAAGGAUUUCCCUUAGCGAGAACCAAGGUUAUCAAACUAAUUGAAGAAUCACACAAAGCCUAAUGAACAACACGUGCACAUACAAGAGCAAAUACUUGCGCCCAACGUGAGCAAGAGGGUUGUCAAUCCUCCUGAACUCAUUAUUUGCAAGGAUCAAAUCUAGUAGUAGUAGAUAUAUAAAUUGCAAAAUAAAAUAAAAGUAAAUAAAUUACAGCAAGUAUUUUUGAAUUUUGUAAUAUGAUAAAAAGUAGGUUGGGCCAUAGUUUUCACUAGAGGUUUCUCCUUCGAAUAAAUAUCAUACGGUUGAUAAACAAAUUACUGUUGGACAAUCAAUAGAAAAGUGCAUAGCUAUUACGGCGUCAUUCUGUGAUGAAGCUGGGUACGGUUUAAGGUAUCUGUAGUUCAAAGAUGUCUAAUUUGUUUUACCCAACGGGUUACUGCAUUACGUCAGCAUUACUGACCACCAAGGCCUAAAUAUCCCCUGUUUGCUUUGAUAGAGAAUCUGUUUGCUUGCGCCGCUGCUAGUUAACACAGUUUAGGGGAGGAAAACAAAUCGUCUGUAGUGGGUGUUCCUUGCGAGACACGACCAGGCCUACAUAUUGGCUUAUGCAGUCUUCAGUUCAGAGGACGGGGCUCCAUUACUAUUGGACGUACACUGAAAUGAACUACUUAACACAGAUGGAAAAAAGAGAAACGAAGGCAAGGGUGCAUAUUGAGACUUGAGACAGAGGAAACGAUGGGCCUCAGAGCCGUGCUGCACUGCACUGAUAGGUGUUCUUUUGCCUCAAUUAUUUUGUAUGGUAGUUCACAUUCUCAGCGGAAUCUCCUGCUGUUUUAAAUACAAUAGCUAGCAGAAUGACGACGUCUGCACUCCAGCCAUGCUCAUACGAAAAAUAAGGACAGCUCGGUGGAAAUUCUAACUCUGAAUGUCCUGAGUGCAGUUUCAGACUUGCUGCGGUUCAGUCCCAAGUGACAAAACCAAGAACCAACCAACUGUUAGGCAACAAGAAAGCAGAAGCAGGGCUGAUGUACAUACAUGACCAAACUAACAAGUGACAACUCCAUACAUGAUGACACAGAACUACGUAACAAGGCGCUACGACGAAAGAUAAAUAAAAAUACAGUAACGGGACACUGUUUUGAAUCAUCCCCUUUGUGCUACAAAUUAAUCAUAAAAUGUACCUGAAUGUAUGGAGGGGAGGGGAGCACUGUUAUUUUUAGCUUCUCGAAGGUGCUGGUAUUCAUGGACAAAGGGGGACAGGACAUGCAUUGGUAAUAUAUCAUUCCUGUUUUUGUGGGGUUUUAUCUGUUCAAUAUAUGAUCCUUCAGUAGUGUGGCUUAACAAAUAAUACUGUUGGUACUGUCGAGUGGAGACGACUCCUUUUUUUUAUCAUUGCGCUGAGUGCAGUCCAUUUCUUAGUGGUAGACUGCAGCAGUUGUUAACCCAGAUGGAGUCGGAGUCGUGCUGUGCCGAUGGUAGCUAUGUGCCUGCCUGCCGGCGGCGGUGUUCUAGUGAUUUGAGUGUGAUUUGAAGUUUUCAUGUUGAGCUUGAGCACGUGCCCAGUGAGGCAAAGCUUGCUAGUGAUGGCACACUGCACUUGCACUACACUCGAUUGGUGGAGAAAUUAGUCGGCAUGAUAUGAUUAACCAACUCAAAACAAAAAGAUACUAUAAUUGACCAAUGCAUACAGCUAGCAGACUGUAUGGAGUCUCUUGAUUACUGGACGGAAUAAACUAGUGGUAUCCCAAACAACAUUGGCAACAUGAUAAAUAUGGAGUCUCUUGGAAUGAGCUCUUAGGUCCCAUUCCAUCAAGCAUAUUAGACUUGAUGUACUUGAGCUCACUUAAUCUCUCCAACAACCUUCUUUCAGGAGAGAUACCUGAUGGUAAUCAACAUCAAAUGCUCAAUGACCCAUCGAGUUAUAGCCACAGCCAGGGGCUCUGUGGCCGCCCUCGGAGCAUUGCACUUACCAAUGGUUCAAGUGGUACAACAACACUAUACGGGGUAAAAGAACAUCACCAAGAACUUGAUCCCCUCUGGCUGUACAUACUCGGUGGUUGCUGGAAUUAUCUUUGGUUUCUGGCUAUGGUUUGGAACAUUAUUUUUCUGGAAGCGUUGGAGGUUCGCUUUCUUCCAUUCCAUCGAGGAAAAAGUCUAUUUUAAACUUUAAAUUCGUAGAGGUUCGAUGAAAUGAACCCUCAAGUUAAAAUCCUGAUCGAUUGCACCCUGAACUACGGAAUCCUGGUCUAAAUCGAACCUUCGGGUCGUUUGGAUGGCCGGGAUUGUGGUAUUUCGCAGAGGGCGCAAUGCUGGGCCGGCCCGAAAUAAAAAUAGUGCACCAGCCCGGUUUAUUUUUUUCGUUAAAAAACAAGAAGAAGUGCACGGUGAGACUCGAACGCGAGACCCGUGCUUUACACUGUAUGAUUGAUGCAACAACCACUAGGGACACGACACAGGCUAUGUUCAGUUCCUCCCUUUUUCGUCUUUUUUCCUUUCUGUUCUUUCCGUUCUAUUUUUCAGUUUCCCUUUUUUAUUAAAUUCGUGCUUUUGUUUCAAAUUGACGAUUUUUUUCCAUAUUUGCAUAUUGUUUUGAUAUGCCGUAAUUUUAUAAUUAUUUCAAUGUUUAUUCCAAAAAAAAUCAACAUAUAUUACGAAGGCGAAAUUAGAUGACCAGUAAACUAACGUUCCCUUAAUAUAAUUUCUGUAUACAUCGGAAAAAAUUUAUACACAUGUCUAUUUUCUUCACACACAUUGCCCAUUUUCGUAUAUAUCCGAAACAUUUUUAUACAAGUUCAACAUUUUCCAAAUACAUGAUUAACAAUUUUUAAAUAUAUAUUUUUAUGUCUAUUUUUUCAUAAACAUUUACCGCCUUUGGUAUUUAACAUAUGAUUAACAUUCUUUUUUCAAAUACAAGUAUUUGAAACUUUUUGCAAAAACGUGUUAACCAUUUUUGGGAUGGUAUGAAACAUUGUUUAAAACUACGUGACAUUUUUGUACAUUGUAUACAUUUUUUAAAAUGUCACGAACAUUAUUUUAAAAUGUGUGAACAUUUUAGAAAUGCAACGUACAUUUUUAAGUUACAUAUAUAUGAAUAUUUAAAUAAUAUUAAAAUAUAUUUUGAAAUGCCACAUACUCUUUUUGUAAUGCUUGAAUAUUUUUGAAAUGUUGCAAACACCGAAAUAGAAGUGUAACCGAAAAAAGUCAAAUGGGCCGGCCCAGCACGGAUGACGGCGGCGCUUUGUGGUCAAUACUGCCGUUCCCUGGCCCACUAGUCAGAUGGAUCCCGGUUGAAUUUUGCCAGGGUUCGAUUUAGACCGGGAUUGCAUAGUUCAGGGUGCAAUCGACCGGGAUUUUGAUUUGGGGGUUCAUUUCGCCGAACCUCUAUAAAUUCAGGGUUAAAAAUGGACUUUUUCCUUCCAUCGAUGCCCUGCAGCAGAAAGUUGCGAAGAAGAUGAAGUAUAUUUGAUGGAACCCUGCCCGGAGUUUCACUCUCAAACAAUUGCCAUUAUCUGCAAUGAACAUGCAUGUAUUGUUACUGAUGCCCCUCCUUUAAUAUCGCCAAUGAAGUACAAUUAUCAAUCUUGUGUGCACAAGAUUGGCUUAUACUAGAUCUUAUGAUGAAGCUAAUUUCACACGUACUAGCAAUGCGAUGAGCAGAAGUUUACUCUCUGAAUUUUGUGUGUUACUAGUAUUGUGAUGAGCAGAAGAUUAAAAUCGAGACUUGCGAAUGUUCGAGGCGCUUGAUUGUUACUAGUAUUUGUGUGUUUUUAGGCUUAUAGUUGGUACCUGUUCGUUCUCUCUGCUCAAUGUCAUUGUAAGCUGAUACCAUCUGUAGACUACAGUCUACAACUGAUAUAUUUGCGCAUAUGCUUUAAUUGAAAAACAGGGUCUUGUGUUUUGGUAUAAAGUUUAAUUUUUUUUGCAUCCAAUUGAUUACAACUUCUCAGCAGGUCAUUAAGAUCACUCUAACUUUUUUUUUUAGAAAAGGAGGAUGACCCCAGCCACUUUAUUGAUUAUUCUCAAGGACCUUACAAAGUAUUACAACAGUGUGCCUGAAUCCACAGGUUAUGCGAUGAUCAUGACGCGAGAGCGAUGUUUGCUUGUUUGGAGUUUCUUCUUCUGCUUCUUCGAUCAGGGGAUAGGUUCCAGGUCGGCAGCCUGGGCUAGCAGGGUGGAUAUUGUUUGAGUUUCUGUUUAUGAUUCAUCCGUAGUCGGAUGUUGUUCUUGUAUGUUGUAUUCAUGGGAUAUUGUAUGUUUUGGAUGUAUCCCCACUAUUAUGUAAUGUUGAUGUAAUGAUAUCCACCUUGCAAAAGCGUUUCAAUAUGCGGGGUCUAUCCUUGGUGGGACCUUCGAGUUCCUUUUGGAUAGGGUCGCAUAUUGGGCGUGACAGGAGGGCGCCCGUCCAUCGAGAUGCUAAGAAAGCAGGCACGGGCACCGUUCACGGGCACCAUGCCGGCCCCCCGUGUCUUGUUUGACGGAAUGCCAACCCCAACGCCAGCGGUCGACGACCCCUUCUACAACCGGUACAUGAAGAACGUGAUCUUCGACGGUGGCCAUGGCCGUACCUACGACCUCGAUGAGACCCAAAGUCAGGAUGGCCCUGCCGAGUACGUCCCCGAUGAAGAGGCCGACGACCGUGCUGACUACGACCACGGUGACUCGUGGCAUGAAGACGAUGAGAUCUAUGUCGAAGGUGAUGAAGAAGAAGAAGAAAGCAAUGACGUUGAUAUUAGUGGUGCGCCAUUGUUCAUCGACGAGCUCACCCAAAGAGCCGAGGCACAAAAGAAGAGGAAGAGCAUUCGCACGGGUUCAUAUACACAAGAUGAGGACAAGUUGAUUUGCCAAGCUUGGAUGGAGAUUAGCCAAGAUCCGAGGACCGGCGCACAACAAAAGGGCAUUGUUUUUUGGACGAGAGUCCACAAAACAUUCCAUGAAAGGAAGAUGUUUGAGCCCUACCAGAUUACAAGCAACCGUGGCAUCGGCUCGAUUCAAAAAAGAUGGUUGUUCAUCCAAUAAGAGUGCAACGAGUAUUGCGCCGCAUUUGAGAGCGUUGAAGCACGGCCCUUGAGUGGUCUCGGCGUUGGGGACAUGGUAUGGUCUCCUCUUUCUAGCUCUUUCCUUGCUACGUCCAUGAGGCUUCGGCCGUGUAUAUGUUUGCAUGUUCACUUGUUGUUGAUCAUGUGGUGUAGGCGUUCCAAUCUUUGGAGGCAUUCAAGGCCCGACACAAUGACAAGCCAUUUACUCUUACGCAUUGUUGGACGAUCAUCAACAAUUGCCCCAAGUUCAAGGACCAAUGCCGUGAACUUCAAAGAAAGAGAGGCAAGAAGACGGCCAAGUUCACCGGAGGUGGGGAUGGCGAGGCGUUGAAGAGGCCGAGGGGCAAGACCAACUCCAAGGUGGACGACAUACGUGACGCCUCAUCCAUGGCCUUGCAUGAGACUUUGCAUGGCAUGAUGUCCCAAAAGGAUGUGAGGGACGAGAAGAAGCGGCAAAGCAAGGACGAGCAAAUGAAGCAAUACCUAGACCUUCAAAGACAGAAGCUUGAGAUGGAGGAGGCGGCCAAGAGGAGGAAGCUCGACAUGGAGGAGGCGUCCCGGCAAAGGCAGCUCGACAUCGAGGCCGACAACGUCAAGGCCAGGCAGAGGCAGCUCGACAUCGAGGCCACCAAUGCCGCCACCAAAGCGAAGGAGGUGGCCCUUGCGAUCAUGAGCGUGGACUUGUCGAAGAUGAAUGACAAGACGAGGGCCUGGCUCGAGGCCAGGCAGAAGGAGAUGCUCGACGCCGAAGGCCUGAACUAGGUCGUCCGAUCGGCGUGGCCGUUCUUUUUGAGGCUGGCAUGGGUGUUGCCCGCCCGUCGGGGCCGCUGGCAGUGUGCCGGCGAGAAAACAUUCAUUUUGGAGGCCGGCUGUGUUGCCGACCGCUGGCUGUGUUGCCGGCGAGAAGAACUAUUCAUUUUGGAGGCUGGCUGUGUUGCCGGCCGCUGGCUGAUGCCGGCAAUGGACGUGUAGGCCGCUGGCUCUGUUGCCGGCGUGAUGAACCGGGGCUGCGGCAUUUGAAAUGCUGCUUUUAGUUUUUUAAGUGGACGCGGACAGGAUGGGGCAAAUGGAUGCGGCCGCGCGCUGGGCGCACGGCCACCGCAUCCCAGGACACGCCCGGACACGGCCCCAAACCCCUACCCAAACGGACAGAUUCCGGACAAAACGGACGUCCGUUUGGGGUCGCGCAGUGGAGUUGGCCUUAUUGAAGCAUCUCGGGGCAUCAAUUUUAUUAUUUCUCUACACAUCUAUAAAUGCGAUUCUAUCAUGAAAAUUUGCAUGCGUGUAAAAAUUAUCAACGUGAGCCUGAGCUCAUAAUAGCACUUUACAGAGAAGAAAUGAAGUACGUGGAUUUGAAUCCUAGUUGUUUUACAUAGUUUGAUUCAUGGGAGAAAAACAUGACUAGGCGCUGGAAAUGCAAUUCGGCUCUCGGGAGCAUGUGCUUCUGCUUGUGGAAAAGGAAUUUUGUAAUGUCAAAAAAUUCCUAACAAAAUCUUUAGGUGUUUUUGUUAAGGUUAAGCAUCUUGGCCUGUGUAGAACAUCAAAUUGAUCAAUUGUUACCCCAAAAUGAUACACCCAAAUUUGUUUUUUUCAUCGAUGAAACACUGCUACUUCGUUUCGAAUGAAAAUUGUCAAGCAUACUUGCGACACUAACACGAACAUCUACAAAAAAUUUCAGAUUUUCCCCUAAAAUUUACUAUUUUUUCAUUUUACUAUUCAUCCAGGUGCAAAUGCACCCAGGAGCCAAAAAGCCUCCCCAAUUUCUUUUUUGCGAAAAAUAGACGAUUUUUUUACAUGUGUGCCCUUAACUCAAACCCAUUACUUAGAUUUACCUCUAAAUUCAAAGUGUGCUCAAAUUUGUUGACAUGGCACAUGAAGAUAGCAUGAUGGGGUUUACACUCAUCCAGGGGAUGAUUCUGUCUAUGGGUUAUCAAAAGAUGAAAGUUACGAAGAAAGGAGCUUAUCAAGUGAUGUACUCCCUCCGUUUCUAAUUUUUUUUGUGUUUCCAGAGAUUUCAACAAGUGACUACAUACGGAACAAAAUAUCUUCACUCUAAAAUAUAUCUAGAGUCAUUUUACGGUGCAUCCGGACGAUAUGGACCGUUCGUCGGAGCGAAUUCGACGGUCCAGAUCCGAUGCAAUACGCUGAUGUCACGUGAAUUAUAUGACCCCGAGGGGCAUUUUCGGGAGAAAAAAUAUUUUGAACUGAUCUGAUUUUCCCUCCCAAAUUUUUCGAGGGUAUUCUCGGUACGAAUUUCAGGGCUUUUUUCGGUUCGGUUUUUAUACCGUUCUUAUUCCUCGCCGCCGCUAGGGUUUUAUCCCGUUCUUAUUCCUCGUCGCGGCCCCUCCCUGCCUCGUCGCCGGCAGGAUCUAGCCGCGUGUCGCGGCCCCUCCCUCCCUCGCCGCCGGCAGGAUCUAGCCGCGCGUUGCGGCCCCUCCCUUCCUCCACCCCAACUCCCUCGCGAUCUCACACCACCUUUUCAACGAACACUAGAGUAGGCCCACUGCCCUCCACGCGGCGGCCGCCGGCGAAGAGUCGGCGCCAUCCCACCUCCCAGUCCUCCAUGCGGGUCCUCCAAUUGGUUGUUAAUUUGCAUCCUCUACAUAUCAUUUCUCAGCCAUGGCUACAGCUUUGAUCUGGCCAUGCAUUAUGGAUCAUGUUCUGGGGACUAGAUGAAGCCGGCAGCCGGCCUCGACGGCCAGCCCCAUUCGUCCAGCCUCGACUGCAUGAUCUACGAACGUUCAAUCGUUGCAUUCAACAUGUAUUCUUUCAAUAUGGCUGAUAGGUGAGAUUUGGAGAUCAAUAGAGAUGAUAAGCUAUUAAUUUUAGAAUGUACUAUAAACAAUUCAUAGCUUAUGUUACUCAAUAUUUAUGAUGCUCGCUUCUUCUUGCGCAAUUGCUGGACUGGGAUCAACAGACUUGGCAUGUGCUUUAUAUGAAAAAUUAGAUUCACAUGGGAUAUCCACCUUUUCAAGAUUGUUGUUAAUUCUUAUUAUGAUGGUAGCCUAGUUAAAGGGAGAGUAAUGGUCCUCGCAAAAAGCAGAGACAAAGGAAUGAGCAUUUCAUUCUUCCAUAUGUUGCAUUUCAUUCUUCCGUGUUUAGUUAUGUCCAACAUUUGUUACAUGCACACACUUGACAAGGUUAGUACAAGUAGUAAUUUUUCCUCUGUUUUGCAGGGCUAUGACAGAACAUGCUAUGUGAUUCCCUGAGGCAGGAUGGAUGUACCAUGGCCACACCACUGUGCUCCUGAAGGUGAUCGCUCAAUUCAGCGUUGCAGCAGCUGCAGAGGCCCCCCUAUGGUACGUGCUUUACUCUUGUUAUCCUAUGCUCUAUUUUUUUGGCUUUGCGGCCUGCCUACGAGACAUAGCUGGGAUUGCGUGUUGAAUCAGGAAGUAUUUUUGACUUCUAUUGUGAGGCUAUGCUCAUGCUCGUACCUUUUUCUCUCGUAUGAUAAUAGACAUAUCAUAGUCCAUUAUUCUUCUAGGGUUGCCCCAGGCACCAUUACUGUCACAUGGUAGUAAAAAGCAAAUAUAGAUUUCUACGAGAUCCCAUACAGACCAAAUUUAUUUCAAGCAAAAUAUAGUAACCAAUAAUAUUGUAGUUUUACAACUUGACUCAUGUGCAAUGGACUAAGAACACGGCUAGGAAACCUUCUUCGGGACUAAAACCCAACCACACCCUACUGUAUCGCUUUAUGGCCAAGUGAACACUCCACACUGCUGGACUAACUGCUUGCAUCUUCGUCGUCUUCAACCGCAGCUGCAUCCGAUAGCCUAGCAUGGUACUGCUUGAACCUAUUCCUGUAUUUCAUUUUGUUGUAGGGUGAUUCGACAAGCACAACAGGUAGCUCUUUUCUGAAUUUCUCGAUGUACGCCUGCAUGCAAGGAUAUGUUAGUAUCGUUCCUUUAAGAUUAGAAAAUGACAUAAUUUUAGGUGUGACUCUACGUACUUCGUCAUACUGCUUACUCAGUUUUAGUCCCGUAAAUAAUUCGAUGUUCUUCAGCAUGUACAGUGCACAACAAGAACUGCAACAUUUUAUGUUGUUAGAUCAGCAUUUCAGAUAUUAACAAUCUAAAACAAAAACAAAAGCUAAUAUUUUUGACUGAUGUUUCAUCGGAUUUUGGCACAUUAAUGUUCCGUACUGGCCAUUGCGUCACGUUAAUGUCUUCCCAUGCAUUGCUUUCUAUCCCAUUGACUCGCCUCGCUGCUCUCAGAUGUGCUUCCAUCCCACGUACCUGCAAGCCCAAUGGGAUGAAAAGUUGCCUACAACUAAUACUUACAUACGAUGUCAAAUCCUUUGUUAUAAUUACAUAUGUUGAAAUUCUCACCAUGUUAUGUACUUCUUUGGGUACCAUACAGUGGAAAAGUGAAUCAAGAACCUGAAUCUCCUUCCUUCUCAGGUUUAUGACCACAAGUAACCAGUGGACGCCUUGGCUGUUCGUAGGUAGGAAAACCUGGAUUGCACAGAUAAUUUGAUCAACGUGUAUAGUAAUAAAAAAAUCUGUUCAAAGUCAGGUUAAAAUACCAUAUCAUGUUUCAGGUAGCUGGUGCCUUGUGUUGUUCCAGGAAUGCCUGCCAAAGCGUCCUCGUAGCACUCCUCUAUCCUAUCAUCUCUUUCGAGCUUAGCGACGCCGGCCACCCUCUCAAUGUAAACCAGUUGGCCGUCCCUUGUGUCAAUUGGGUCAUCAUGAUGCAUGAGCUGGAUCGCAGCAUCAACCACCUACAACAAUAAUCAAGUUAAUUGUAUUGUACAAAAAUGAAACUUAAUAAACUAAUUUAUGAAAUAUCUUACUUCGUCACCCAACCAUACGGCUUCUUCAGAUCCAUCUUUUUGGGUGAGGCAUUGCAAAUGCUUCGAUAGCACGACAAUGUCAUCAACUAGGACCAUUUGUUUUUCAUGAUUUGUACUGUUGAUCAGUGACGCCACGAAAUCCUAUCGAACCACAUCUAGCUGGUCCCUCUGGGUUUCAGUAACUUCUGGUCUCUUUUUUAAGUUGCUAGAGCCGAUUUUCCUCUUUUUAUUGUUCGUGUCCUCGGAAUCAUUUGUAGACUCUGAUGGAGUCUUGUUUUUCCUUUUUUUUCUUCUCAGUAUCGUACGAAGCAUACUCUUCAUUCUUAAAUAAUUGCAAUACCACAUUUUUCUUUUCGCCCCCAUGAUUUGGUGGCAUUGAUUCAACCAUACUUACUUCUUGCUGCUUUCAAAAGGAUUCAUCAUGGCUGUCAUCAUCUGCGAAGGCACGGGGCUUUUGGGGCUCUCGCGAUCCCGUAGCCUUCACAGAGUGCUGCUUACUCCAUAUGUUGAAUGGAAUCUGUCAUAAGAAAUAAACCGCAUGUUAGCCUUUAGCAGAUUCUUCCUCAAUUAUAGGUAAAAUGUGCAUCACCUGGAAUUCUUCAAGGCUUGUGGUGGCUUUGGAAUGCAUUUGCUUAUCCAAACUAGGAGCACCCUGGAUAUCAUCCACCUCUUUCAAAAGCUUAUGAAUACCACUGAGGUUCUGUUUGAUUUUUCUUUCAGCUCUUUCAAAUGCUUCAUCCUGUACAUGGAAGACCACAUGUUAUUUCUGAAAUGACAAUGAUUGUUUCAUAAUUAAUUAAGUUAACAUGCAUACGUCAAACUCUUCAUCAAGGUUCUUCAUUGGGGGCUCCAUGUCACCAUUUUUUAUUUCCUGCUAACAAUGGUGCUUAGCAGCGACCUCCGUGACAUCAUUUUGUUUCCCCUGGUCAGAAGCCUGCUCAGCAUUCUCAACAGAGGCCUCCAUUGGGUGUGAAGGUGCCCCGAGGUCAGAAAGAUGUAUGUCCUCCAGUCCUGGAAAUAUUCCGCCGCGUUUUGUCUUUAAAAAAUACAUGUUAGUCUGGGGUGUUUUCAUAGUAAACUUAUUUAGAAAAAACCUUCUACACGUAAAUUUCCAAUUAUAUAUACUAAUCUCAUAAUUCUAGGCUUACGUUCAAUUCUUUGAUGAGGUCCUCUGUGAGCUUGCCAUUUGUAUGGGUACGCCUAAGGCACUCAUCCAUUUUCUUUUCAAGGAUGCACAUCCUAUCAACUUGUUGUGCACCAGCCUCCCGCACGAGGGAGGCAACUUCUUGCAAAUCAGUCAAUACAUGUCCAACGAGUACCUUAAUCUGAGACUUUGAAACAGUUAGAAUCAUAUAACUUCAUACUAGUUGCAAUGUUACAAUAUAUAUUGGGUGCCUGAUGUAACUCAUUUACCUGACGGCCAGUCUUUGGUUUGGCCAGCGUACCAUCUCGUGCUGGAAUGAAAGGCCUCAUCAGGUCCUCAACAUACUGCAGUUUAGUGUCGUUAGUAUGAUUUAGAAAAUAUACAUGUUACAUAAUCUAGGCAAUGUGCUGACAUUUUACCUCUCCAACUCCCAGAUAAUUAUUCUGGAUUAUAUUGUCAACCUUUUUUUCCUUCUCCUCGCUCUAGUUCUGGAUCAGCGGCCUUAACCUUGAUUCAUACGAGAUGCUAGAGUCCAAUUGGUGCACUCUGAACUUCUCGCAGUACCAUGUCUGCAUGACAACAAAAGCAGUUUACAAAUAUUCUCGUACAUUAUGUAAUGUAUGUUAGGUUGUACUACUACGAGUUACCUGCAGCAAUGGUAGAUUCCCCUCUAGAAUUGCCUCACCAUUUACAAAAUUCUUCACGCUAUCCAUAAGAUAGUCAAGCGUUAGCUGUCCAAGAUUUGUGCCCUUUAUCGUCUCAACAUUUCUAACAAUCCCAAUAUAUUUGUUAUCCACAUACUCCUCUUUUGUUCGGCAUACAUAUUUGCCUAUAGUGUACAAGACAAAUGGCCUGACAAAAUUUUGGUGUGCUGUCGCCUUUCAUCUUGGCUAGCAAUCCUUUGAAAGUUAUUUUGGUGUCAUUACGGUCUUUCAGUUUCUUCCACAACUCCAUAUUUUCAUCAAGAUUUGAAGGGACGUGCUUCUUCCCAUGGCAGGGCAUGCCUGUUAUAUGCGCUACAUCUUCUAGUGUGAUCCUACAUGGUCUCCUGUUGAUGAUAAAGGCAUCCUGCUCUGCAUCAUAUGAAUUAGCGAUGGCCAUGCACAGUACACGUCUGAUUUUGAUGCUAGCUGUCUUGAGAAGUCCACCCAGUCCUAUCAACUGGAUGUACAUCCUUUGCUGCAUGUUUAAUUCCUUUAUGAACUCCUCAUAUGGCGGCAAAGAAGCAUCAUGGGUUCAAUGUAUGUGCAAGUGUGAUUAGAUUCAGCAUGGUAUACAAUUUAAACACUCAUACAGACGAAUACAACUUAUAUAUACCAACAUAAAAAUUGUGCUCUACGCUACUUCAUGAGGUAAUUUGUUUACAAGCAAGCUAAGUUCCAUGAAUGUGAAAAUACUAGCAUUAGAUUCAGCUUGGUUACGUUUGAACGGUCAUAUAAGGUAAUCUCCAUUGCAAGGCGCUGAUCUGAAAUAAAAUCAAGAUUCGAAAAUAAAAAACUAUCCAACCGUGGUCUCCUCAACUCUAGGCGCUAAUCAUGGUCAGUAGUAUGGAAUUAAAACAUGGGCCAUCGAUGCCUUCCAUAACUCGUGCGGAAGGAAAAAAAAGGCAAGCGCCCGCUGCCCUAAUUGGCAUCGACAAGACCAGAACCUAAGAUUUAGCCUGUAAUUAAUCAAUGAACUGCCAAUCUGGUAGGAAACAAAUCCUAGCGCCCUCCCCUAACGCCCCCCAACUUAAUUUGUUUAAAAACAUGUUGAGUUACAUGAAUAUGCAAACAACGAGUGGGGUUGCAGCAAGAGAUCAUGGGAUUAACAUCGUGGCAUGAAAAAUAGCAGCAGUUGCAGUAGGAGAUCUUGGGGAAUUACCUGAGGAUUCAUGUUUGGCUCCGUCGUUCGGUCUUGCUGGAUUCCUGGGUUGCUCCGUCCUUCGGUCUUGCUGCUUUGGGUGGCGCAGAAGGACGAACUAUGAUCUAUGAGGUUUCAAAGGAUCCCUAUUUAUAGGGAUCGUAACAACCCGGACAUAUAUCCACGUAUAGAUUUCUUCGGUUGGAGGAAAUCAAGGGAGGGGACCCACCUGGUUGAAUAUUAGGGGGGGCGUGGAGAGUUUAGCAAAGGUAAGUUAUGGUGUAAAAAAACUAAGGUAAGUUGCGUAACAACACUUAGGUCUCCUGAGAAUCAGGAUCGUCAAAAAGAUAUAGUUCCCGUUUCUUUGAAAAACAGCCAAAAGAACUGGACUGCUUUUAUUAUUGGUUAUAAGUAAAUCACUGGACCCCUUUUAGGAUGAAAACUGGUUCUAAAGUCAACUAGGAUUGACUGUUCACACGUGAAGUAUUUUCCUCUCUCUUGUGAAGCUAUUUUAUUGCCCAUCCGUGCUCAUACAUUUUUUCCUCGUACAUGUGAGACCAAAUUUUGUUGAUAAUACUGAAUCAUCUCUGGUGCUGCUCAAGAUGGCACGACACCAUGGUUUUCGCUUCGGUGAGGUUUCGAUGAAAUAACUGAAUUUCAUUCAUUUCAGCACUCACUACAAUAUUUUCCUUUCGACCAAAAUAUUUCAGCCUCACUGAAUUUCGGCCAAAAUAUUUCAGCACUUGCUGAAAUUUUUCUGGAACUUCUAAUAGCAAUGUUAAAAAAAUUCUGAAACUUCUAACUAGCGACGUAAUUGUUCUGAAUCUUGUCCAGACUCCAACGAAACUUAAAUAUAAAUUUAAGAAUUCAGUUAACCUUCCUAAGCUUCAAAUUAUUGUCAAAAGCAAAUAUAUGUUUCAGCAUCUCCCAUGCAGACCAAAUUUAUUUCAAGAAUAGUAUUUGGAACCAGUACUGUGAAGUAUUACAACUUGAUUAAUCCACACUGGACUAAGAACAUGGCUAGGAAACCUUCUUCGGGACUAAAACCAAACCACACCCUACUCUACCACUUCAUAACCAAAUGUACACUCCAUAUCUAAGAAUGGACCAUUGCUGGACUAAAUGCUUGCAUCUUCAUGAUCUUCAAUCACAGCUGCAUCCGAUAGACUAGCAUUGUACGUCUUCAGCCUUUUCAUGGACUUCAAUUUGUUGUAGCGCGAAUUAAGAAGGACAACAUGCAGCUGUCUUCUAUAAUUGUCGAUGUAUGCCUGCAUGGGAGGAUAUGUUAGUAUCGUUCCAUAUGUUUAAAAAAUUGAGAGAAUUUUAGGUGUUACUCUGCGUACUUGGUCAUAAUGCAGUCUAAGAUCUUCUCCCGUAAAGAAUUCGAUGUUCUUCAGCAUGUAGAGUGCACAAGAAGAACUACAACAAUUAAUUCUGUUAGCAGCAUUUCACGUAUUAACAAUGAAAAACAUAAUUAGAAGCUAAUACUGUUGACUGACUUGUCAUCUUGUCUUGGCACAGGCACAUGCUUUACUGUCCGUUAGGUCACGUUAAUGUCUUGCCAUGCAUGGCUUUGUGGUCCAUUGAUUUGCAGUGAUGCUCUCAGAUGUGCUUCCACCCCACGUAUCUGCCAAAGUCCAUGGUAUGAGAAGUUGAUCACGGUUCAUGGCUAGGUAUGAUGCUAAAUCCUGUGUUAUAUUGAAAGACAUUUAAAAUCUCACCACGUGAACCACUUGUGUGCGUUCUAGGUAGCCGAAAAGUGAAUCAAGAAUCUGAAUCUCCCUCCUUCCGGGGUUUACGACCACAAGGAAUCCGUGGGUGUUCGCCAUGUUCGUAGGCAGAAAAACCUAGACAGCAAAGAUGAUUACAUCAACAUGCAUAAUAAUUAGAAAAAUAAAUGUGUUUAUGUCAUGGUGAGAUGGUACCAGAUCAUGUCUGAGGUAGUUGUCUCCUUUUGUUGUUCCAUGACUGCCCGCCAAAGCGGCCUCGUGGCAGUUCUCUACCUUACCAUCUCUUUCAAGCAUAGCGACACCGGCCACCCUGUCAAUGUAAACCAGCUGCCCAUCCCUUAUGUCAUUAGGAUGAUCAUGACGCAUGAUCUGAAUCACAGCAUCAACCAACUAAAACAAAUUUCAAGUUAAUUGUGGCAUUCAAAAAAAAAUUCAAGUUAAUUGUAGUGUGCAAAAGAAAAUUGAUAAACUAAUUGGGCAAAUAUCUUACUUCAUCACCCAACCAUUUGUCAUCUUCGCCUACAUCUGUCAUGGUGAGGCAUUGCAAAUGCUUCUGUUGCAGAAUAAUGUCAUCAAUUAUCACCAAUUGUUUAUCAAGAUUUGAGGUGUUGAUAAUUUCGGCCACAUAACUCUGUCGAAACUUGUCAAGGUUGGUCUCCAGUGUCGAAGCACCUGUGUCUGUAUCUUUUAAACUGCUUGCACGGUUUUUCCUCUUUGUAUUCUUUGUGUCCUUGGAAUCGUUGGUAGACUCCGAUGGAGUCCUAUUUUUCUUUCUCUUCUUAUCACUAUCGUACAGAACAAAAUCUUCAUUGCACAAUAAUGAAGAUGCCACUCUUUUCCGGCUGCUCGCACGAGUUGGUAGCAUGGAAUCAACCCCACUUUUUUGUCGCUGCUUUGCUAAAGAAUCAUCAUAGUUGUCCUCAUCAACUGGGAAGACAUGGGGUUCUUCCGGCUCCCUUAUUCCCUUAGCCUUGGCAGACCGGUGGUUGCUUUUGGUACCUGCCUCUGCACCCACCUCAAUACUGACAUCUUCAUCAUCUUGAUUUCUUCUUUCUUCAGUCUUUCGCACAAUCUCAUUGUGCCUAAAAUUUAGAGGAUCCUGUGAUUCGAAAUGAAGCACUUGUUAGCUUGCAAUCUGCGUGAAAUAAAAAAAACAAAACCAGUUAACUGUAAAAUGUGCAUCCCCAGGAAAGCUUCAAGGCUUGUGGUGGCUUUGGAAUGCUUUCGCGAAUCCAAACUCGGAGCACCAUGCGAUGCAUCCACCUCUUUAUAAAGUUGUGAAACAUUCUUGAGACUCUCCUUGCAAGCUGCAGCAACAGCUCUGUCUUCUUCAUCCUGAACGUGGAAGAUCAUAUGUUAGCUCCGAAUCUGCGUUAACUUAAAACGAAAUCCGUUAGAUGUAAAAUGUGUAUCACCAUGAAAGCUUCAAGGCUAAUCUUGGCUUUUGAAUGCUUUCGCGAUAGCAAACUAGGAGAAGGAUGCAAAUCUUCAGAUACGUUCUUCUUGGGGGCACCCAUGUAAUCUUUUUGUAUUCCCUUAGCAGAAAUGCCUUUGGCAAUGACCUCCGUGUCAUCUUUUUGUUUUUGGUGGCGAGUAGUAUUCUCUCCUGGGACCUCCAUUGGGUCUGCAGGUACUCCCAGGUCAGAUAGCUGUAUGUCCUCGACUCCUGGGCGAUCAACAUCAAAUAUUCCAUAGAGGUGGUUCUUUAAAAAAAAUGUGUUAGUGUGGAGAGUAUUGACAGUAAAAUUAUUUAUAGAAACUCACAAUGGUAUACUUACAUUGAAUUUUGUGAUGAGGUCAUCCGUGCGUCUGCCGUUCGCGAGGGUACACCUAAGGCACUCGUCCAUUAUUUUUCAAGGGUGCACAUCCUAUGAAAUUGUUGUGCACUGGUCUCCCACACAAUGGAGACAACUUCUUUCAAAUCAGCCAAUACACGGCCCAUGAGUGCCUUAUCCUGCAAAUUACAAGCAGUUAGGAGCAUAUGCCUUCGAUUGUACUUGCAAAGUUACAAUAUAUAUUUCUGCGUGAUGUUCAUCAUUUACCUGGCCGUCAUUCUUUGGUUUGACUGACGUCCCAACUGGUGGCGGAUUGAAAGGCCGCAGCAGGUCAUCAACAUACUACAUGUUAGUGUCGUUAGUAUCAUUCAAAACAUAUGAUACAUAAUCCUGGCACACAGUACUAACACUUUACCUCUCCAACCCCUAUAUAGUUGUUGUUGAUUAUGUUGUCAACCUUCUAUGCCUUCUCGCCACUCCAGUUUUGGAUCAGCGGCCUUAACCUUGAUGCAUACGAGAUGGUAGAGUCCAAUUGGUGCACCCUCCACUUCUCGUAGUACCACAUCUGCAUUACAACAAAAACAACUUAAACAAUUUUCCAUAAAAUUAAAUGUAUGGUAUGUUAAUAAUGAUUGUAUUACCUGCAGCAGUGGUAGGUUGCCCUCCAGAUUUGCUCCACCAUUUACAAAUUUCCUGACGCUAGCCAUAAGAUGGUCAAGCGUAAGCUGUCCAAAAUUGGUGCUCUUUAUUGUCUCAACGUUUCUAACAAUCCCAAGGUAUCUGUUGUCCACAUACUGCUGUGUUGUCGGGCAUACAUAUUUGCCUAUGGUGUACAAGACAAAUGGCCUGACAAAAUUAGGUGUGCUAUCGCCUUUCAUCUUGGCUAGCAAUCCUUUCAAAGUUACUUUUGUGUCGCUGGGGUCUUUCAGUUCCUUCCACAACUCCAAAGUAUCGUUGUGAUUUGAAGGGACGUGAUUCUUCCCCAUGCAGGGCAGGCCUGUUAUAUGCUCCACAUCUUUUAGUGUGAUCCUACAUGGUCUCCCAUGAAUUAUAAAGGCAUCCUGCUCUGUAUCAUAUGAAUUAGCGAUGGCCUGGCACAGUAGACGUCUCAUUCUCAUGCCAGGAGUCUUGAGAUGUUCACCCAGUCCAAUCAACUUGAUGUACGUCAGUUGCUGUGUGUUUAAAUCUUUUAUGAACUUCUCGUAUUGCAGCAAAGAAGCAACCUGAGUUCCCUGAAUGUACAAAUAGUGUGAUUAGAUGCUAUAUGGUAUUCAUUUAAAGACACAUAGAACCGACUAAUCUAUGCCAAUAUCAAAAUUGUGAUCUACAUUACUGCAUGAAAUCAUAGAGCUUCUGGGCUAUAUAAUCAACACCAGACAUAGAAAAAAGCUAUCUCUACUGGCAAAUUGACUGAUAAUAGUAUUAAUUUUAGUAGAAAGAGCAGACUUUGGUCUGUACACUACUAAAUUUUCAGGCGUCACGCUUACGAAAAUAAUUGCAUACAUGAUCAGAAGAUCAAUAGUUUAUAGAUAGUCUCGAAAAAGGAAUGUAGCAGUUCCAUUGCAAGCAUUCAAGAGCACAUACUCCUUAGUUCCGAUCAGAUUAAAAAAGAUCAAUUAGUAAAGACCAUGCAAAAUUAAGGGGAAUCACCAACAGUUUCAAUCACUGGAGAUUAAGAACUCAUUGAGAAAGCCUAUGCCAAAAAAUUAGCAAUUUCCAAAUUUGAAGGCAUAUAAACAGAGACGAUAACCCUGAUUUUAUUGCACAUCUAAGUCCUAUGUCAUUGAUUUUAUGCUAAGAUUCGUGCAAGCCUUUUUUGUCAUUUUUUCUUUUCUUUCUAGACACACACAUCUCCCUUCGGUAAAAUAGGGAAAAUUAUGGGAUUGCAUGCAGACUUGGGAAGGAGGGAGUAUGCAGAAUACAAGGAUCUCGAUCGUUACCGGAGGAUUCUCUCGAUGGCGACCGGCUCCAUUGCCGUUCGCUUUCAUCUUUUGCUUUGUCAGCUUCUCCGACGUGCCCUUCUCUUUCGUCGGCUUCUCUGACAUGCCCUUCUCAUUCAUCUCAGGAUUCGCCAACGCAGGCUUCAAAGAUGACGGCUCCAUCGGUUUCACCGACCUGGGAGCUACUUUGGGCGACGUGGGGUGGUAAUUCGGUGUAGUCAUGGAAGGCUAGGUAUGGGAGGCGUGGGGUGGGAGGCGUCGGGUGGAGUAUUUAUAGGGGAUUUGGGAUCUCACGAAGAGGUAGUUUAGAUCACGUAAUGUUUUUUUGGGCGAUGCUAUUGUGUGCGCGCUCGCUCUGGCGAGCGAUUUCCGACUAGACAGGCUUUAUUAGGUAACCACGUCCAAACAGGAAUCCCUUUAAAUUAGGAAGGAGAGAGAUAACUGAAGAGAUUUUACAAAGAAUAUCUUACCUGCCCACGUUGAAAUCAGGGGGGCAUAGAGAUUAGAGGGGAGAUCUCUUUAGGCCCACCUGAAAAUCAGGGGGCAGAAAGAUUAGAAUCGUAGGGGGAGAGAGAUUGGGAUGAAGCGUUGCCAGGCUCGCUCGUCAAAGAGCGUUUCCGGUUGUUGUUUUUUAGCAAGUUUUUUUUUUGAGAUUUUUUGUAUCAACUUAAUCUCAACCGUGAAGCGUUUGGGCUUCUUGUGCUUUCUUAUACGGGCCUUUUUACAAUGGGCUGAGCCCAUUUUAAAUGAGAACAUAAGAAAGAAAGCGAGGACUCCAACAGGCAGGAGGACUCCAACAGGCGGGACAAGCCCCGUCCCAAUUAUUUAGGACGGACAUGCGCGAGGGCGCUUCGUCCUCACUGCCACGACUCUCCAAAAACGGUUCCUCUGCCUCUGCGUCCUCUCGAUUCCCUCUUCCUUUGUGUCGCCCACUCUCACAACAAUCCGGCUUCUGCAACGGUGAGUUCUCCUUCCUGUCAAUUUUGUUAGUAGUUCUCCAGUAGCAGCACAUAGGAUGGCCUUCUUCUUGUCAAUUUCUUGUUCUCCUGCUUCUUUAUUUUGUGCGCACAGAUUCAACUGCCUUCAACAUGCGUUGCCUUAUGAGAAUUUUGCACACAGAUUCAUCUGCAUGCAACAUCUAGUCCGUUGUCUUGUCAAUUUAUUGUUUUUCUCCUGCUUCUUUAGUUUGUACACACAGAUUCAUCUGCAUGGGCGAUGAACAAUUCAUAGAUACAUGUUUAUUCUUGAUUGUUGAUGCAGUUGUUUAGAUAAUAUUUCAAGAGCGUAAAUUUUGAUUGUUAAUUCGCAUAUACUCCCUCUGCAAGGAAAUAUAACAACUUUUGGCUCACUACUUUAGUGAUUUCUUUAUAGAGGGAGUACAUGUUUAGUUUAAAUUGUUCAGGCACUUGUUUACAUAAACUUUCAAUAGUGCCAGAAUUACUAUACUAUCUUUCAUCUCGGCUUAUUGUUAUCAUGUUAUUGUCAUGAUUCAUGUCUUAUACUAGUUUCAUCAAUUACAGUCCUUCGGCAUGGCGUUCGUGAAAGAUUAUGCUGUCAGGGCAGAUGGAAAUACCGUAAUUUUUGUGAAGUACACGAACAAGGCUAGCAGUGUUGAGUACUGCAUUCGCAGAUUCAAAUACUGGCUGCAGAACAACGACCAGAAGAUAGUUGCACUGGAUGUGGAGUUCACCUGGCCUCGUGGUCCAACACAGACGGCUGCCGUGGUACAGUUAUGCGUUGGCAUCUAUGUCCUCGUGUACCACAUAAGCGUUGCUGAUGAGCACUGCGGCCUGCUUGCCGCCUUCCUGCUCGACGAGGAGUACACCUUUGUUGGGGUGGACAUCAACAAUGACGAGAAAAAACUCAAGCGUGUUGGUCUGGUGGUACGAAACUUUGUGGAUAUCUAGAAUUUGUGGAGAGUGCCUGAUCCAGUGACGAUUAAGCCGAAGUAUGGCUUGGCUGACUAUGCUGGUUCCAUCAUCCACCACAGCUACAACAAGAUGAAGGAUGCUAUCACAGAAGAUGACAACCAUAUGUGGGCAGAAGCGCCCUUGCCCUUGAAGAACAUCUAUUAUGCUUCCAGGGACGCGUAUGCCACCUACGAUGUAUACAGGCGACUAGUGAACUUCCAAAAGGGGUUCGAGAGUCUGCGCCAGCAUCUCGCCAAACCAUCUAGGCGGUCGAGGAAGUCCGGAAGGAAGAAUGAAUCAAACUAAAAUGUUUCUUCUAUUUAUCUAUCUGAUAGUCUGUAAACUUUAUUAUACUGCUAGUAAGUCGUAAGUUCAAAUUUCCUGCAAGUUGAAUCAUCCUUUAUUCUAGCUUUCUUGCCUAAUUUGAUCCGCGUUCAAGAGAUAUUAUACUUAAGAUGUUUAUUUUGUUUCGGUUUCGCUAGCUAUGAUACAGAAUGCGAUAGCCAUUUUUACGAAAAAAUUAUUUCAGAUUUAUAAUGAAUACUGUUCUCAACUGGGUUUGAAUAGAGAAAAAUUAUUUUGUAAUUGCAUAGAGAAAGUUCAUAUUUUUUAAUCAAAAGAAGGGUCGCCCCCCCCNNNNNNNNNNNNNNNNNNNNNNNNNNNNNNNNNNNNNNNNNNNNNNNNNNNNNNNNNNNNNNNNNNNNNNNNNNNNNNNNNNNNNNNNNNNNNNNNNNNNNNNNNNNNNNNNNNNNNNNNNNNNNNNNNNNNNNNNNNNNNNNNNNNNNNNNNNNNNNNNNNNNNNNNNNNNNNNNNNNNNNNNNNNNNNNNNNNNNNNNNNNNNNNNNNNNNNNNNNNNNNNNNNNNNNNNNNNNNNNNNNNNNNNNNNNNNNNNNNNNNNNNNNNNNNNNNNNNNNNNNNNNNNNNNNNNNNNNNNNNNNNNNNNNNNNNNNNNNAACCACAUGGUCUUUGAAGCCCCUGAUACACACUACAGCUAGAAAGUAAAGUAAUCAACUAGCAGCACAAAUCAUACAUGGUAGCGAACCCAUCCAGACUUAACAUCAAGGUCCAAAAAAUAAGACUAUGGCAAAGGACAGAAAAUAUAGCUGAGAGAUGCGCAGGCAACACCGCAGUACCCUGUGACUCCACACUUGCAAUGAACUGUACAAUCCACCUGCUACAUGCUCUAGCCUGCGCAUAUAGACCAUCAGCACCUAUUUGUUUAUCACCUUCAUCUGCAAUAUAGAACAUCCCAUGAUCAACAAGCAAAUUAGCUAAACAAGAAUCAUAAGAUCACUAUACCAUUUAUUUUGUAAUCUCACAUUAUUCCUGCAUUACCAAAGAGUGAAGAACACAAAUGAUGCCCUUCCCGCAUGUCCAACGCAAACACUCAUAAGUAGUUCUACCAUCUUAACUCAAUGAUUUAAAUUAUUAAUAAAACCCCCUUAAAGAUUCCAUUUGCAUUACCAUCAUUCAUGAUUAUAGGCAGGGAAACAACAACCAAUAAAGCAACAACCUGUGUAAGCCCUAUUUUGAGUCCUGAAUAGGACCCAAUCCUAGCAUUUACUCUAACUGCAACAUAUCCUCCUCUCAUAGUCAUCAUCACCCAAGACAGAAUGAAGACGUAACCCCAUAGAUGCAUAACUACUAUCAACAUAGUUUUCGCACCAUACCUAGUGUAAAGGACACUCUUGCGUUGCCGUGCUACUUUUGUGGCUCCUCGGUCAGCAUGUUCAUAACCACCUCGAUCUAAAGAUCUUCACGGGUGGUGGUCUUGAAACCGAAAAGAACGGCUUUAUGAACCUUGAGCUCUUCACUGUCAACAAAAUCACUCCAUCCCUUGCCGAAGAUGAUGCGGCCAUCAUCACACUUGUGGUACUUGACCGACAUGAAACUGUCCUUGCAUAGCCGAAUGCCAGCAAGCCCAUCUCCCGGUAUCUCCCCAUCUCCUGGGGUCUUCAGAGCGUCGACAACUUUCGCCGAUAAUCUCUGUAUGCACCAUCAUAGGAAGAAAAAUUAUCAAAUAUGUGAAGGAGCGGUAAACAAAAGGAUCUUCAGCUACAUCUACAUAUAUUACAUAAGGAUCUUCAGUUAUGGGAAACAAAAGUAUAUGCAAAAAUACACAUCAGUGUAUUCACUGGUUUCAGCUACAGUAGCAUAUCAUUAAUCUUUCUCUCCAUGAAAAAACAAAGAAAAUUGCGUACAAAAUAAAAAAUACUAGUACACCAAAAACAUACCAUCGUCUUUCCUGCUAUGUUCGACUUGGUGAAGCGGUGGACAAAGAAUACACCUAUAUAACCUUUCUUCAUCGCCAAAAGGUCAUGUAGGUUACGCUCCUCUUGCUUCGUCAGAUUAAUUCCCUUUGUUAUGACAGCUAAUUCUAGAGGAUUAUGCUCUUUGUUUUGAUCGCAUGUCCUUGGCAGGUUGCAGCAGUACACCAUAGGAAUAUCUUCAGUCAAAUCGAAGGAGACAAGGUCGCCUUCUCGCAGGUCGAAGUCUUCAACAAACCUACACCAGUUUUCACCACCGAUGAUCGCACUUGAAUUCCCUUUGUACACGCCAAAAUCAUGCGUGCGGCUCCCUCUCGCUUGAAAAAGCAAUGAACUGUCUGGGAUGGCGCUAAACUGGUGCCAUGCGUAGCAUGGCAUGAUCUGUAGAUGUAGAAUUAAAUUGCUAUUUAUUUCCUACAUUUUGUUAAUCUUCAAAGUAGAGGGGAACAAACACAAUACACGUAAAAAAUUGACAUGGCUAUUUAUACCACAGCUGAAGUGUCCCCAUCUAGCCUGAUGGUAAAUGUCAACCCAUCAUCAUCGGGCCUGUUGCAGUCCUGUCGACAGGUUAUGCACACCUCCUGUGUAAACAAAAUAAAAUGAAGAAAAACAAAGGAUGAGAAUUGAAGAAAUGGGCUUAUGAAUGUAAACACACUAGGAAACAAUCAUACAGUGUAAUUAACAAAGGUACUGCAUCAGUAAUCAACAAUCAUACACUUGAACUGCGCAGGUGGCUCGCCCUCCACUCCUCAUAACCCUGCAAUGCAGCGCGUGCCCGCCGCACCACAGCUUGUUCAGACAUGUCCUUCUCUUGAUCCUCGACUGGCAGCAUGGGCUCACCCCGAGCGUCGACGCGCGGCAUUGGCCCCUCCUCCUCUGCAGCACAACUGAGGUAGUGUUUAGUUGACUUGCAAUCUAGGACUACAAGUUAAUGGCUGCCUUAAAAUAACCCAACCUAAUUUAGGCCUAAAAAGGAAUUUAAUCCACUAGCCCAACUUAUAAGUUUUGGGCCCACCCUCCGGUUUCUUCCUGGAUUCGCCACUGCACAAUGCCAAAAAAAAUCUAAGUUUUUAAAGAACUGUUUGCUAAUAUUUGCUGCUAUUGUGCUACGCAUCUGCACUUGCUCAUUGUUAUGAAAACCCUGGAAUACCGAAACCCUAGGAAAAAAUUACCGAGCAAGCUACCGAUGUAGAAAACUUCCUUCAAUCUCUGCAUCGCCUUCCAUCUAACCUCCGAUUGAAAAUCCUAACUAUUUAAUCUCCAACUUUGAAAACCAUAUCCAACUCCCGAAACGGCAACACAACAAGGAACAAAGAAGUCGAAGAUUACAAGUUAGGGUUUCUCACUUCACCUAGUCGCCGGUAGUUGCUAGGUGCUUGCUGGCGGCCUCCCAAUCUCACUCCGCGCUCUUCUGCUCCAACCGUCGAGAGCGGCGUGGGGUCGCGGCGGGGUGGUUUGUGGGGAGGGUGGGGAUGAGGGGGGCGGGGGUGUGUGGGCGAUGGGGGUGAUGACAUGGACCCUAUCCGUGUCAAGCACAGAAAAUAACGGCCCGUGGAUCCAGUUCGUAAAGAAACAACCAAACAGGCCCAUAGGCCGCUUACCUGUCACAAAGUAAAACCCUAUGUUACUAAUAAAAAAACACAAAGGAAAAUCCUUUUGUCUAAAAAACAAAAAUAAAGGAAAAUCGUAAAAAAUAGGGAAAUCCUUUUUGGGUGAGUUCAACGUGAACGUGAUGGUGAGAGGCUCAAGGAGGAGUUUUGUGCGUUUACAACACCUUUGUUUUAGAGAAAAAAUGCACCUUACAAUGUCAAAUUAUAAAAUCGUUAUUAAUAAGUUCUAAAAAUUCCUUAUUUAUAAAAAAUUGUUUCUUUCCAGAUAAAACAAACUUCAAUAAUGUGGUUAGGUAAUUGAGUGGCCUUUCUCGCCCCCACCCCCUCCAUCCCUCUCAUAUUAGGACCAUUUACCGCAUUUCUAUGGUUGUAACCCCGAAAGUUCAAGAUCUUACGCGACCACAUGAAAUCAUAGCAGGGAAUGGGAUGAGUGCCCCAUGUUAAGCUCUUUGGUCCAUAUAUGUGCCAUAUGUUACCAACGGGAGGCGUGGCCUCGACGCAUGCAAUCUAGGGCUAUGAUGCCCAGCUGCUGUCGUUAUAAUCAAUGCAAAUUCGUGAGGGGCUAAAAAUUCACGGGACCUGGUGUGGUGUCAUCAUACAACCCCUAGAUGGUGUGGUAAAACAUCGAGAGCGGCAUGCAUCGGCCCUCACAUAGGCUGCGUGCAAACGGGGUCAUAUCGCAUGUCAGAUCAAGCUGUUGAGAGAGAAUGUGUCCGGCCUAUGAAAGGAGUUUGGGGCAUGUUUCUUCAUUUGCCUCAAAUCUUGAUGCCACGUGAUGUUAGACCUAGUAACCAAGGCAUGUCUCGUGCAUCGCACUCAACUGGACCCACAACAUGCAUGCACACAUGUCCACGUAUUAGUCUGAACGACGGGGAUGCAUGGUUCGGGGACUGGCGUAAGUGGUGUGACUCCAGUUUGGAUCUAGCUACCAAUAGGUAACACAUGAGUCUAAACGUCUACCAAGAGGAUGCAUGUCCACGUAUGAGUCUCUAAACGUCUACGUGAUGCUCCACACGUGGGUCUAGACGGCAGGGGUGCAUAUGGUUUGGAUCUAGCUACCAAUGGGUAACGCGUCCGGUUUGUGCCUAGGUGGUGGUUCACGGGGCCUGGCGUGGUCUCAUAGUAUGACCCAUGAAGAGUGUGGUCAAACACCGAGAGUGGCACACAUAAAAGGCCUAGCGCGGGCUAUGUGGAAACGAUGCCAUAUCGCAUGCUGGAUCUAGCCAAUGGAGGGAACGAGUUCGGCAUGCGGACGGAGUGUGGGGCCCAUUCCUUCAUUUUCCUCAAAAUUUGGUGCCGCUUCAUGUGGGCCCUAUCCAAAAAGGCCCAUCUAGUGCAUCACACACAUCUGGAUUCACACCAUGCAUGCACACUUGGCCACGUAGACACCCACUGUAAACCUUUAGCCAAGUUGACCCACACCAUCCAUCCACCCUUGACCCCACCUCGGUUCGUUGGAUCUCCGACGAGUCCCUUCCCUCGGUAUUCCAAGCAUGUUAAAACGACACACGGCUACACGUCUUGCACAUCGAGAUUGGCGCAUUAUGCACUAGUGCCAACAAACAUGUCCAGCUGAGCAUCUUUGCCCAUGGUCAGGAUCGAGGCGGCUAGCGGUAAUGUUGUCGGCCCGGUUGCCUAGCGGUGCAUGCUAUGGGUAGACAUGAAUCGCAUCACAUCGGAUCAAGAUUCCCCUCUCUUGUACCCGACGCCGGAGCAGCACAUGGGAUAUGUGCAUGCUGAAAUUCAAGAUUUAGAAAUUGAUAACAAAAUAAAAACGACAAUUCAAUUGUUUGUACAGGUGUACAACAUGUUUUAAGGAUAAUGUGGAAUAUGACACGUUCACAUGCAUUUUGGCAACAAGUGCACUUUCGGAGGGGGAAAAACAGGUAGCCCCAUGCCUCCCAUGAUUUUAGUUCCAUGUAUUUCACCACAAAUAUUGGAGGAAAAAAGAAAAAUGUAUUUUCCCCUCAAAAAACGACUUGGGAAGAAAAUCUGGAAAAUCUGAAGUAACCAUAUUUAGCUACUCCGUGGAGGUUGUCCCCCGUGGGGAGAUUCGAUCUACCUCUCCUUGAUUUUAGGGUGAGUUCAACGUGAACGUGAUGGUGAGAGGCUGAAGAAGGAGUUUUGUGCGUUUACAACAACCUUUGUUUUACAACUGUAUAGUAACAAAUGAAAGAGAAUAUGUGAAAAACAAAAAAGAAAAAAGGAUAUGCAUACAUGAUGGGCAGCCCAACCAUCUACAGGGACGCGUGGUCCAGCACGCGGGUGAGGUUCGCCUGGGACAGCCCAACAAAAUUUGGCCCAACGCUGAGACGCACCGGGCGCAACUGACGGGUGGUGGGAGUUUAGUCCUACCUCACCAAGCGAGACGCACACACACCUACUUAUAUACGCGGCUGAGAGACAACUUGCAUGAGCCUCUCUCAAUGAAACAGCACGUUCCCUAUCCACUUCUGUGUAUGCCCUGUGGGGCCUACUAGCAGGAGAAAUCAACAUCUUUCGGGCCUGCAUCCUGGCCCCCAUAUGGUUGGGUUUCUAGUCGUAUGCAUGCCAUGGGGUUUGAUAUCUCCUGUUAGAAGGUGGGAUUUUUCUUUUCCAAAUCACCCAAUUUUUUUACACAGUCACAUCCAUGUGAUAAACAUGAUUAUAAAAGAAAAUUCAGCAAUAAUGAAGUUUACACUGUGCCCUUAAGGUAAAGUCAGAGGUAUGUACAUGAGUUUCACCGAGCCACUAUAAAUUAUAUAAAAUUCUAAAAAAAUGGAAAACUUUCAAAUUAUGUCUAUGUUAAUGAAAAGAUCAUGUGUACAAAAUUUCAGGUGAUUUGGAUGUGGUCGAAAAAACCACCUUGUUAAAAAAGUCGCUUAAGUGAGACCAAACGGUCCGUUUGUAAUGAAGUGAUUUUUUUGACCAUCUCCAAAAUAACCCCAAAUUUGGUGUACACGGUGCCAUAAAUGUAACAAACAGGAUAUCCAAAAAGAAACUCAAAAUUUUUAGGUUUACGCUGUCCCCUUAUGAAAAAUUUCGUGCUAAGGCAAGUGAGGUUGCUCAUGACCAUACCCAUGGCAUACAUUGUUCAAAUGGCCUCAAACCGUUCCCCUUUAGCCAAGUUGACCCACACCAUCCAUCCACCCUUGACCCCACCUCGGUUCGUUAGUUCUCCAACGAGUCCCUCCCUACGUAAGCCAAGCAAGUCAAAGCGACACACGGCUACCCGUCUUGCACAACGAGAUUGGGCAUCAUGCACUAGUGCCAGCAAACAUGUCCAACUGAGCAUCUUUGCCCAUUGUGGACACUACCGCAUGGUCUAGAUCGAGGUGGCUAGCGGUGCAUGUUGUCGGCCUGGUUGGCUAAGGGUGCAUGAUAUGGGUCAACUUGAAUUGUAUUGCAUCACAUCUAGAUUCCCCUGUCCGGUACCGGACGCCAGAGGCCCGAAGCAGCACAUGCAUGGUACAAGAAUCUGCACGGUCGCUGGCGGAGCUUGGAUAAAACAAAUUUGACCUAACUGACAUGGGGUAGGUGCAUGCUGAAAUUCAAUAUUUAGGAAUUGUUAACAAAAUAAAAACGACAAUUCAAUUGUUUGUACAUGUGACACGUUCACAUGCAAUAUGGCAACUAGUGCUCUUUUGGAGGGAAAAAAAGGUGCAUUCGUUCCACCGUGCCUCCCACGAUUUUUCUUCCAUGUAUUUCGCCACAAUAUUGGACGAAAAAGAAGAAUGUGAUUUUGCCUCAAAAAACGACUUGGGGAGAAAUUCUCAACUAACCAUAUUUAGCUACUUGGUGGAGGUUGCCCCCCGUGGGGAGAUUCGAUCUACCUCUCCUUCAUUUUAGGGUGAGUUCAACGUGAACGUGAUGGUGAGAGGCUCAAUGUGGAGCUUUGUGCGUUUACAACACCUUUGUUUUAGGAAAAAAUAAGCACCUUAUAAUGUGAAAUUAUUAAAUCCUUAUUAAAACAUGCUUAAAAUCCUUAUUUUAAAAAACUUGUUUGUCUUGCCAGAUAAAACAAACAUAAAAUUAUGGCGAUAGUUUAUUGCGUGGCCUUCCCCCCCUCCUCCCUCCCAUAUUCGGGACAUUUACCGCAUUUCUAGGGUUGUAACAUCGAAAGUUCAAGAUCUACGGCGGCCACAUGAAAUCAUAGCAAGGAUUGGGAUGAAAGCCCGAUGUUAAGCUCUUUGGUCCAUAUAUGCACCAUAUGCUACCAAAAGGAGGGGUGGCCUUGACGCCGUUUUGUAGGCUAUGAUGCUCAUCAGCUGCCGUUAUAAUCCAUGCAAAUUAUCGAGGGGCCGAAAAUUGACGGGACCUAGCGCAAGUGUAAUCAUACGACCCCUAGAGGGUGUGGUAAAACAUCGAGAGCGGCAUGCGUAGGCCCUCACGUAGGCUGUGGGCAAAUGGGGCCAUAUCCCAUGCUGGAUCAAGCCACAGAGUGGGAAUGUGUCCGUCCUGUGAAGGCAGUGCGGGGCCCGUUCCUUCAUUUGCCUCAAAUCUCGUUGCCGCGUGAUGUUAGACCUAGUAACCAAGGUCCGUCCUGUGCAUCGCACCCAGCUGGAACCACAACAUGCAUGCACACAUGGCCACAUAUGAGUCUACACGGCGGGGAUGCAUGGUUCGGGGGCUGGCACAAGUGUCGCGGGUCAUGUGUCUAGGUGCUACUCCACUUGGGUUUAAACAGCGGGGGUGCAUGGUUUGGAUCUAGCUACCGAGAGGUAACGCGUCCGGUUUGUGCCUAGGCGGUGCAUCACGGGGCCUGGCGUGGUCUCAUCAUAUGACCCAUGAAGGGUAUGGUCAAACAGCGAGAGGGGCAUGUAUAAACCCUCACGCGGGGUAAGUGUAAACGAGGCCAUAUCACAUGUUGGAUGUAGCCAAUGGGAGGGAACAAGUCCGGCAUGCGGAUGAUGUGUGGGGCUCGUUCCUUCACUUUCCUCAAAAUUCGGUGCCGCUUCAUGUGGGCCCUAACCACAAAGGCCCGUCCCGUGCAUCACACUCACCUGGACCCGCACCAUGCAAGCACACUUGGCCACGUAGACACACACCGAUAAACCUUGACAAUAGCUAGGGUUUUAUAAUUAUCCAUUCAUUUUACCUAAUCGGUACAACAUAGUUAGCGAUGAACAAAAAAGCUAGAUGCCAUGUGAAAUUAAAUGUGCCAACUGUCCCUUCUAGUAGUAUUUUUUUCAGUAGUUCUCCCUUCUAGUAUUUAGUAGUACUGCGCAAAACAGAAAAAAUGUCCCUCCUAUUUUGCUGUUUUUUUAACACACUAUUUUGGUGUUCGGUUUAUGUUGCCACGUUUGUGGACCGACAUUGUGCCCUUUUUCUUUUGCUUGGUUGGUUGAUUGGUUUGUUCGGGCAAAUCUCUGGAUGUGCAUGAUGCCGUAUACGUCCAUGUUUCUACCUAAAUUUCAAAAGUGACGAGUGCGCGGCCUUGAUCUAUCUCUCCCAAACAAAUUGAAUUUUCACUCCACAAAUCUCGCUCCCGCCUCCAGCCUUCGAUCGCCUCUGCCUAUCCACCCACGUCUUCGUCGCCGCCCACUACUCGCCGCCGCCAAAAAGCCCACAUUCUUGUCGGCGAGGAUGAUCCUACCUACCGGGGGAGGGGGCAUGGCUGGUGCGCUUCGUGCGGCGGAUGUGGACCCCAUGAAGGAACUGGUCGACAAGGACGUCGUUGCCGCCGAUUCGCAGCCGCAACUGGUCCAACACAGCACCAACGACGACGAAUCGGUUAGUGUCUGCAGAUAUUAACCCUAGAAUUUGCCUUCUCGAGGUUAACCCCAGAAAUUGCUCUCUUGUUAUUCCUCGCUAUUCGCAGACAAUCGCACUGUUCGCCUUUUUUUUGAUUAAUCGUACGGUUAUUAGUCCUAGGGUUUGCAAAUUUAGAUGAAUGGAUCAUUUCUAUUCCAUUUUAUGCCUGUCUUUCAUAUAACCAAAGUUUUAGGAAACCAAUACAAAGAAGAAACAAUCCAUUUAUGCCUGCCUUUGAUAUAAUGUACAAUUCGCUGGCAUGAGAUUGUUUUUCUUCUAAUACCAGAUUGCAGAUUUGGAAGAAUGGUAGAACUACCUACAGCCGAGGGAAGCUUUUAGAAAGAAAAUCUUCAAGUGGCUCAUGGCUGCAAAGAUUGUGUACCGGCGUAACGGUCGCUAUAAAUGCCUGUUCUGCAGGAAAGAGAACCAGCAUUCCAAAACCACAGCAAUUGCAGUUUACAGAAAGAGGUGGCAACUUAAGGAAAAACCUGCUGAGUUGGCCAACAAAUUGGGGAGGGUGAAGACCUAAAAGCAUAUAGUCAUGUUUGUUUUUUGUGUUCUAUCAACACCAAAUGUAAAAAAAAUAUGGGCCCACAUGACAAGUAUCAAUCUUUAUCUCCUUCGACGGCCAGUGCCACAUUAGCCAGCAUGAACAAGUGUUGAUCUCAUUGGACUUGCAUCCUGGCAAAAUUCGGUGUCAUUCUGAGCCUGUUUUUGUCGGGAUGGGAAGGGUCUGUCUCGAAGCAUGUUUUUGUCGACAUCCUUGAAGCAGGGACGGAGCUGCUUGGUAAGCAUUGGGGUUAAUUGACCCCAAUGAAAUUAGGGAAUUCUUCCUUAGUUUAGUACUAAUUGAUAUUCAUUUAUGAAAGAUGACCCCAUUGUCAUAGACAUGACCCCAUCAAACUUCUUUUCUAGCUUCGUCCCUGCCUUGAAGUGGACCAACAACCUUGUACCCACAUGACUAGCAUCAUUGCCAAGUUUCGUAGCUUUUUGACGUUGUAAGGAUUAUCUAGGGCUUUCGCCUCGAUAAAUCAUAUAAUACUUACGUUUUUUUUCUGUGCCUAUUUUUUUUCUGCGCUCGAGGGUGGGCUGCCAUGCAUGCUUGUCAUUGGGCUGUGUAAAGAAGCCCACCUGUUGGACCGAGCGAUGUCCGCCGCCGUUGCUUGCGCUCGAGCGAGCCUACGUUGCAUGCGGUUGCAUGCAUGCAUCUGCUUCAGCCUUUGUUGCAUGCGUGCACAUACGCGAAGGAGCACACGCCGCAGAGCCGUCCCCAGUUGACCCGACCGACGGCACAUAGGGCAGCACUUAAACUUCGCGUUUUGAUUCACACUACAGUUUCCCACACGUGUACACUCCCGAUGCCGCGGUGGGUGGAAAAUUUGUUCACAUUUGACCCCAUUACUGCCACGGUGGCUAUUUAAGCCACAUAUCAUGUUCCUCUUCCUCUCACACCCUUCAUCCAUCUCCCAUACUCUCCCACCUGCAUUUUGCGCCUGCCCUUCUUCUUCUUCACCACAAACAGCCCCAAGAACCAGCCUGCCGCAGCCAUGCAGUACACCGGGCCAACCUACCGCUUCCCCCCACCGUGCCGGAGAUGCUCUACCCCGCUAGGGUGUACGUCGAGAGCAUCCUUCGUGUGUGGGCGAUGUCAAGGUGGAGGGGCGCAAGGGGGGUCACCAACUUCUUCCUUGGGGCCGGCUACAGGCACCUCCCUCGGGGAUCUCCAAGGAUGUACCGAGUCGAGGAGGUCAUCCACAGUGGGGUUAUGGUUGCUAUCCUUUCCCAAUUCACCAACCCCUUCGACGCGUUCUACCUCCUCAGCCGCGUGUUCUGGUGUGGCUGCGAGUUCAUAGCUUUCACCACCCAUAACAUCUUCACGGACUACGACAACAUCUUCCCCACCGACGAGCGCAUGCACACUCUACCGUACCCCAUCAACAACACUGCGGAGGAGAAGUGAAGGGCGCCCGGAGGAGGAGUAAGGAGGAGCCAGGUGGAGAAGCGGCGGCCAUCUAUCUAUCUAUCUAUCUAUCUAUCUAUCUAUCUAUCUAUAUAUCUAUCUUUUUUAGCUAAAAAAUCUAUCUAUCUAUAUUUUUCUUGGUGUUAUUUAAGUUGUAAGCGUACUAUUAAUUCAUGUUGUGGGCUUUGGUUGGCCCGAAUUAUAUAUAUUUAUUAUACAAAGUUUUAUAGUGGUUGGGCUUUUUUGGAACCGUUUUAAUCUCUGGCAUUUUAGUCAUAGGGAAAAAUUGUCUCAAAAAAAAGUCAUAGGAAGAAAACAAUCACGCGCCGCCCCUCUCAUCCAAUGCAGAACCGCCACCGCCAUCGUCCUUCCCCUCACCCAUCGCCAUUAAAACUGCGACAUCUCCUCCCUCUCCUUCUCCUCCUUCCCGUGGCCGCAACUUUGCUCGUCUCCUCUUCCACAUCCCACCCCCUUCUUCCAUCCAUGCAAGAACCUCGAUGGAGGAGCAGAUCACCGGCGGCGAGAACACCGACUUCGUGGAGAUCGCCGGCGCCGACCAGGUCAAGAUGGCCAGGUUGAUGGAGAUCUAUUCUUGGUUUAACAACAUAAGGCAGUUGGACUGGACGGCAGUGGCCACUUUGAGGGAAAUGACAUCCAGGGAGAAGAAAAAGCUUUUUCCCCCGCCCGCACAACUGAGGCACAAGAUCGAGAUCCUCCUGUGGGCGAUGGAGCAUGCCAAUUCGUCCAGCCCGUGGGGCAAGCGCAGGUGGUGGGCGUUCAGAUCCAGGGUAGAGCAUCCAGUGGAUCAGGAACCCACGGUGCACGAGGUGUUGUUGCAGAUUGUGGACCUCCAACCGAGUCGGAGAUGACUCCGAAGCGCAAGAGGAGGAGGACAGUGGUCGCGACAUUGCUUCCCCGCCGUUCUCCAUGCUUCCCUCGCCGCUCCCCUCGUCUGAACGGCGGCGGUACCGUUGUUUAGAGUAAGCUUCCCCACUCCUAAUCUUCCUACUGCUCGUGCUUACAGUUCUGGUGGUAGUGAUUGAGUACAUGCUUUUGGGGGCUGUAUUAUGAUGUAUAUGAACCCUAGGCUAAAUUUGUACUGUUGUAGUGGUAGUAUUUGAUGUUCACCUGCACUUCUACUCCAAAAAUUUGUUAUGUGUCUUUCUAUUUUUAAGUGCUUGAUACUACUCCCUCCGUUCCAAAGUUAGUACAAAGUUGGGUCAUCUAUUUUGGAACGGAGGGAGUAUAUUUGAACCUUUUUUUUGAGUUGUUGAUUGCUUUUGGUAGAGCUACCAGCUCUUAUGGAGAUGCUCAUGUUGUAUGUCUUGUUCUCCAUGAUUUGUACUAGCAUUCUGUGCAAUUAGAUGCCAUGACAAGCCAUGUAGCAUAUUUAUUUAUUGCCUCCAACAUGCCAUCAUUUUACUCUGUGCAUCUCAGCAAGUAUAAAUCUGUUAGCUAUAAAACUUUGCGAAUUUGCUUGAUGGUUCCCACUAAAUUAUAAACCCCCCUUUUGUUUUCAAAGUAAGCCACUGACAUCCGGGUCCCACGGCAGUCACGCACACACAAAUGCUCCUAGUCAUGUGGCCCCUGGCCCACUGGUCAUCCUCGAUGGCUAGCCAACCUCAGUGUGCCUCUACCAAUAACAGCAACCCUUUCUGUUAUAAAACUAUGCAACUUUGCUUGAAGGUUGCCACUAAAAAUAUAACUCCUAUGGCCAUGCUUCCUCAAAAUUAUUUGCAUUAUGUUGUCGAUACUUUCAUGCCAUGCCUUUUGUUGCUAUGACAAUAUUAUGUUGCCUGGUAAAAUCUUGCACUAAAGUGGCCAUGUUAAUAUAAUUGUUUGAUGUUAAAAGUAAGUUGCACUUGUGAGCUUGGUUUUGUUUGCUUGUUGUAACCAUCAUGCCAACAUUGUUUGUCAUUAUAACUGUUUCAGCAUAACUGUAAUUUUCACUAAGUUCUAACCUGUAACAGCAACUUUGCCAUUCGUGUUUCGCAGAAAAAAACUGGAGUUCACAAAGUUGGGUCAUCUAUUUUGGAACGGAGGGAGUAUAUUUGAACCUUUUUUUUUGAGUUGUUGAUUGCUUUUGGUAGAGCUACCAGCUCUUAUGGAGAUGCUCAUGUUGUAUGUCUUGUUCUCCAUGAUUUGUACUAGCAUUCUGUGCAAUUAGAUGCCAUGACAAGCCAUGUAGCAUAUUUAUUUAUUGCCUCCAACAUGCCAUCAUUUUACUCUGUGCAUCUCAGCAAGUAUAAAUCUGUUAGCUAUAAAACUUUGCGAAUUUGCUUGAUGGUUCCCACUAAAUUAUAAACCCCCCUUUUGUUUUCAAAGUAAGCCACUGACAUCCGGGUCCCACGGCAGUCACGCACACACAAAUGCUCCUAGUCAUGUGGCCCCUGGCCCACUGGUCAUCCUCGAUGGCUAGCCAACCUCAGUGUGCCUCUACCAAUAACAGCAACCCUUUCUGUUAUAAAACUAUGCAACUUUGCUUGAAGGUUGCCACUAAAAAUAUAACUCCUAUGGCCAUGCUUCCUCAAAAUUAUUUGCAUUAUGUUGUCGAUACUUUCAUGCCAUGCCUUUUGUUGCUAUGACAAUAUUAUGUUGCCUGGUAAAAUCUUGCACUAAAGUGGCCAUGUUAAUAUAAUUGUUUGAUGUUAAAAGUAAGUUGCACUUGUGAGCUUGGUUUUGUUUGCUUGUUGUAACCAUCAUGCCAACAUUGUUUGUCAUUAUAACUGUUUCAGCAUAACUGUAAUUUUCACUAAGUUCUAACCUGUAACAGCAACUUUGCCAUUCGUGUUUCGCAGAAAAAAACUGGAGUUCACAAGGCUGGAGACCUGGAGUUGUGAGGCUAGGAGGCUGAUGGCGCUGCUGCUGGCUGAUCCUUCUUCUUCCAGCUUUUGUUCCUCCUUUUCUCUCUACUCGAUGGAUUCCUGGGCUACAUCCUUAUGUGCUGUUAAUGUAUUAAGUUGAUCCUUUGAAUUUAUUGUAUCAGAUUUAAUGUGGAAGUACCUUAAUCUCUACGAAAGAGAUGUUGGUUCUAUGACUGAUAAUUUCUAGGUGCAUGCUUAAAUUCAAUAUUUAGGGAUUUUUUUCGAAUUGUUUGGAUUGCUUACCACAUGUGUCACGUGGUCAAUAUUUAGGGAUUAUUAACAUAUGAAAACAACAACUUGAUCGCCUAUGUAAAUGUGUACAACAUAAUUUUCAACAUAAAUUGAAACAUGACACGUGCACAUGCAAUUUGCCAACAAGUCCAGUUGUAGUAGAAAAAGACAGCAUGUGCACGGAUACAACCGUGCCUCCUACGAUUUUGUCCCAUGCUUUUGUCACCACAUGUCUUUGGAAGUAAAAAAAAUAUAAGGAGAUUUUCUCAUAAUAAACCGUUUUGGAGAGAAAUAUGCAACCAACCAAAAAUAUCUACUGCGUGCAACUUGGCCCCCGUGGGGAGAUUGGAUCGACUCCUAGAUUAUAGGGUGAGGCCAUCGUGAUCGUGAGAGAAGAAUUCUUUUUUUCGAGGGAAGGUAGGAAUUUUGUGUGGUUACAAAAUGGACCUUAUUGUAAUUAAGGAAAUUAUUAUUUAACAGAAACCUUGCUAUUUUCAAGCCAUUAUAAAAAUAACUAAAUUGUUUUGGCAAAAAAAGUUGAUUAUGGGUUAGCUCGUUUUGUGGACACGUACGUGUAGUAGUGGUGCAUGCUGUGGGCCCAGGUGGCUCUAGGUGCAUGCAAUGUAUCAUGCUGGCUAGGGGUGCACAAGGUAGUAACCUCGUGAAUCGGGGUGGAAGUCUUGUGCUAAGCUAUUUUGCGGGGUGCGACAUAUGAGUCUACAUGGGGAAUGGUUGGCUUGGGGGCCGGUGUAAGUGGUGUGGUUCUAUUGCGUAAGUGGUGCGCCACGUGAGUCUAGACGGCGGGGGUGCAUGGUUUGGAUCUAGCUACCUUGAGGUAACACAUCCGGUUUGCGCACUGAGUGCAGGCCCGUUCCUCCGUUUUCAUAGAUGCUUUCUCUCAGGUCAACGGAGAACAAUCCAAACGCGCAUGCUAGGUCCCAACCUUUCUUGGGUCCCGCGUGCCAUAUUCAGGACAGUUGUCGCAUUUCUAGGGUAGUAUCAUCGGGAAUUCACGAUCUAUACCGCGGCCACAUGAAAUCAUAGCAGUGAAUGAGGUAACAAUCACAUGCUAAGCUCUUUGGUCCAUAUAUAUGGGCCAUGUGCCACAAAAAGAGAAGGGCCGCCUCGGAGCCAUUGUCCAUUGAGAGGAAACGAGUCUGGCCUAUGAACAGUGUGCGAGGCCUGCCCCUUCAUCUGCUUCAGAACUCUGUGCCGCAAGAUGUGGACCCUAGCAACCAAGGCUCGUCCCGUGCACCGCACGCCAACUGGACCCACACCAUGCAUGCACGCGUGGCCAAGUAGACACUCACCGGUCAACCUUGACAAUGUACACAAGACGCAUGCGCACUCAUUAGCCAUCUAGCCCCCAGCCAUGCACACGUAGCCAGCUUCACUCAAACCGUGCACCGUUUGCCAGGUUCACCCACACCAUCCAUCCAUUAUUGACCCCACCUCGGUUCGUUGGACCUCCAACAUGAGUCCCUUCCCUCGGCAUGCCACGUAUGUCAAAGCAACACGCGACUACACAUAUUGCACACCGAGAUACGACGUCAUUCACUAGUGCCAGCAAACCUGUGCACCUGAGCAUAUCUACCCAUGGUGGACACAAGCGCAUGGUUAGAAUCGAGAAGCCUAGCGGCACAUGAUGUCGGCCCGAUUGGCUGGGGGUGCAUGACAUGGGUCCAGAUGAAACGCAUGGCAUCGCAUGGAUCCACAUUCCCCUGCCCAAUACCAGACAACGGGCAUAUACCAGACGAAUCCAAGCGGUCGCUGAUGAAGCUUGGAAGCCAUGUGUUAUGUGCAUGCUGAAUUUCAAUAUUUAGGAAUUAUUAACAUACGAAAACAAUAAUUCAAGCGUCUAUGUAAAGGUGUACAACAUAAUUUUCAAUAAAAAAAUGAAACAUGACACGUGCACAUGCAACUUGCCAACAAGUGCACUUGUAGUACAAAAAGACAACAUGUGCACGUAUCCCACCAUGCCUUCUACAAUUUUUGUCAUGUUUUUUCGCCACAUAUCUUUGGAAGGAAAAACAAAAGGAUGUGAUUUUCCCAUAAAAAACCGUGAUGGCGAGAUGGUUGCAGCCAACCAAGAUAGAUAGUGCGUGGAAGUUGUCUCCCGUGGGGAGAUUGGAUCGACCACUCCUAGAUUAUAGGUCCAGGCCACCGUGAACGUGAACGUGAUCGUGAGAGAGUGAAUAAGGAUUCGUUUUUUCGAGGGAAAGGAAGUAAUUUUGUGGGUUUACAAAAAAGGAAUGCACCCCUUUUUGAGGGACAAAAAAAUGCAUGUUAUAAUGUGUAAUUAAUGAAAUUAUAAUUUAACAGAAACCUUGCUAUUUUCAAGCAAUUUAAAAACAACUUACUUGUUUUGGCAAAAAAAUGUUGAUAAUGCGAUAGUCCAUCUUUGGACACUUACAUGUAGUGGUGCAUGUUGUGGAAAUCGGGGUGGAAGUCUUGUGCUAAGCUAUUUUCGGGGUGCGGCAUAUGAGUCUACAUGGGGAAUGGUUGGUUUGGGGGCCGGUGUAAGUGGUGUGGGUCUACUGCGUAAAUGGUGCGCCACGUGAGUCUAGACGGCGGGGGUGCAUGGUUUGGAUUUAGCUACCUUGAGGUAACGCAUCCGUUUUGCGCACUGAGUGCGGGCCCGUUCCUCCGUUAUCAUCGAUGCUUUCUCUCGGGUCAACGGAGAACAAUGCAAACGCGCAUGCUAGGUCCCGGCCAUUCUUGGGUCCCGCGUGCCAUAUUCGGGACAGUUGCCGCAUUUCUAGGGUAGUAUCAUCGGGAAUUCACGAUCUAUACGGCGGCCACAUGAAAUCAUAGCAGUGAAUGGGGUAACAAUCACAUGUUAAGCUCUUUGGUCCAUAUAUAUGGGCCAUGUGCCACAAAAAGAGAAGGGCCGCCUCGGAGCCAUUGUCCAUUGAGAGGAAACGAGUCUGGCCUAUGAACGGUGUGCGGGGCCUACCCCUUCAUCUGCUUCAGAGCUCUAUGCCGCAAGAUGUGGACCCUAGCAAGCAAGGCUCGUCCCGUGCGCCGCACGCCAACUGGACCCACACCAUGUAUGCACGCGUGGCCAAGUAGACACUCACCAGUCAACCUUGACAAUGUACACAAGACGCAUGCGCACUCAUUAGCCAUCUAGCCCCCAGCCAUGCAGACCUAGCCAGCUCCACUCAAACCGUGCACCGUUUGCCAGGUUCACCCACACCAUCCAUCCAUUAUUUACCCCACCUCGGUUUGUUGGACCUCCGACACGAGUCCCUUCCCUCGGCAUGCCACGUAUGUCAAAGCAACACGCGACUACACAUAUUGCACACCGAGAUACGACAUCAUUCACUAGUGCCAGCAAACCUGUGCACCUGAGCAUCUCUACCCAUGGUGGACACUAGCGCAUGGUUAGAAUCGAGAAGCCUAGCGGCACAUGAUGUCGGCCCGAUUGGCUAGGGGUGCAUGACAUGGGUCCAGAUGAAACGCAUGGCAUCGCAUGGAUCCACAUUCCCCCGCCCAAUACCAGACAACGGGCAUAUACUAGACGAAUCCAAGCGGUCGCUGACGAAGCUUGGAAGCCAUGUGUUAUGUGCAUCCUGAAUUUCAAUAUUUAGGAAUUAUUAACAUACGAAAACAAUAAUUCAAGUGUCUAUGUAAAUGUGUACAACAUAAUUUUCAAUAAAAAAUGAAACAUGACACGUGCACAUGCAACUUGCCAACAAGUGCACUUGUAGUACAAAAAGACAACAUGUGCACGUAUCCCACCAUGCCUUCUACAAUUUUUGUCAUAUUUUUUCGCCACAUAUCUUUGGAAGGAAAAACAAAAGGAUGUGAUUUUCCCAUAAAAAACCGUGAUGGCGAGAUGGUUGCAGCCAACCAAGAUAGAUAGUGCGUGGAAGUUGUCCCCCGUGGGGAGAUUGGAUCGACCACUCCUAGAUAAUAGGGCGAGGCCACCGUGAACGUGAACGUGAUCGUGCGAGGGUGAAGAAGGAUUCGUUUUUUCGAGGGAAAUGAAGUAAUUUUGUGGGUUUACAAAAAAGGAAUGCACCCCUUUUUGAGGGACAAAAAAAUGCACGUUAUAAUGUGUAAUUAAUGAAAUUAUAAUUUAACAGAAACCUUGCUAUUUUCAAGAAAUUUAAAAACAACUUACUUGUUUUGGCAAAAAAAUGUUGAUAAUGCGAUAGUCCAUUUUUUGGACACUUACAUGUAGUGGUGCAUGUUGUGGAAAUCGGGGUGGAAGUCUUGUGCUAAGCUAUUUUGCGGGGUGCGGCAUAUGAGUCUACAUGGGGAAUGGUUGGUUUGGCGGCCGGUGUAAGUGGUGUGGGUCUACUACGUAAGUGGUGUGCCACGUGAGUCUAGACGGCGGGGGUGCAUGGUUUGGAUCUAGCUACCUUGAGGUAACGCAUACGGUUUGCGCACUGAUUGCAGGCCCGUUCCUCCGUUUUCACCGAUGCUUUCUCUCGGGUCAACGGAGAACAAUCCAAAUGCGCAUGCUAGGUCCUGGCCUUUCUUGGGUCCCGCGUGCCAUAUUCGGGACAGUUGCCACAUUUCUAGGGUAGUAUCAUCGGGAAUUCACGAUCUAUACCGCGGCCACAUGAAAUCAUAGCAGUGAAUGGGGUAACAAUCACAUGCUAAGCUCUUUGGUCCAUAUAUAUGGGCCAUGUGCCAAAAAAAGAGAAGGGCCGCCUCGGAGCCAUUGUCCAUUGAGAGGAAACGAGUCUGGCCUAUGAACGGUGUGCGGGGCCUGCCCCUUCAUCUGCUUCAGAACUCUGUGCUGCAAGAUGUGGACCCUAGCAAGCAAGGCUCGUCCCGUGCGCCGCACGCAACCUGGACCCACACCAUGUAUGCACGCGUGGCCAAGUAGACACUCACCGGUCAACCUUGACAAUGUACACAAGACGCAUGCGCACUCAUUAGCCAUCUAGCCCCCAGCCAUGCAUACCUAGCCAGCGUCACUCAAACCGUGCACCGUUUGCCAGGUUCACCCACACCAUCCAUCCAUUAUUGACCCCACCUCGGUUCGUUGGACCUCCGACAUGAGUCCCUUCCCUCGACAUGCGAGGUAUGUCAAAGCAACACGCGACUACACAUAUUGCACACCGAGAUACAACGUCAUUCACUAGUGCCAGCAAACCUGUGCACCUGAGCAUCUCUACCCAUGGAGGAGACUAGCGCAUGGUUAGGAUUGAGAAGCCUAGCAGCACAUGAUGUCGGCCCGAUUGGCUAGGGGUGCAUGACAUUGGUCCAGAUGAAACGCAUUGCAUCACAUGGAUCCACAUUCCCCCGCCCAAUACCAGACAACGGGCAUAUACUAGACGAAUCCAAGCGGUCGCUGACGAAGCUUGGAAACCAUGUGUUAUGUGCAUGCUGAAUUUCAAUAUUUAGGAAUUAUUAACAUACGAAAACAAUAAUUCAAGCGUCUAUGUAAAGGUGUACAACAUAAUUUUCAAUAAAAAAAUGAAACAUGACACAUGCACAUGCAACUUGCCAACAAGUGCACUUGUAGUACAAAAAGACAACAUGUGCAUGUAACCCACCAUGCCUUCUACAAUUUUUGUUCCAUGUUUUUUCGACACAUAUCUUUGAUAGGAAAAACAAAAGGAUGUGAUUUUCCCAUAAAAAAAGUGAGAAGUUACGUUUUGACGUGCCAAGACGUGGUGGUGUGAACAAAGCACGUGGAGGUGUGAACGUGGCAACAACUCCUUUUGACUGCCCAGGAAUAAAUCGGCGGUUCCGCUUCCCCAUAGCACGCUCCGCUUCCCCAUUAGCAUUUAUCUCAUCGCCGCCCCCUCUUCUCGUCCUCUUAUCCAUCCACAAAUACAAGGGUUUUCUCCUCCCACGCCUCACCACUCGCCUGCCCAUCCCGCCGCUGCUCCCUUCCCGCCGCUGCUCCCUUCCCGCCGUUGCACCUCCGCCGUCGACAUGCACAAGCACACCAUGGGAGGGAGGGCCGACGCCAUGGCGCAAGAAGAAUCCAAGCGCCGGGCGAAGCUGCACAUGGAGAAACCCCUCCCCGCCGGCAAGGUGUCCAGCCGGCAGCAGGGCGGCCUUGACGUCGUCGACCACGUCCAGGCUCCGGUGCAGGUGUCACCUACGCCGGAGCAGGUGGCUCCUCCGCCAGAGCGGGUGACUCAUCUGCCUCCUCUGCCAUGCCAUCUGCCUCCUCUGCCGCAGCCCGUGGUCAACAUCGACGGCGACGACGACGAAGAAGAGGUCAGUCCUAUUUUAGGAAAUAUCCUAGGUUUCCUUGUUCAGUCCCUUAUCUAUUUUUGGGCAUGGCUAGGGAUUCUGCUUUUCUUCCAUCUAUGAAAUCCGUACCUAGAUUCGUUAGAUCCGGUAGGUUUCAAGGGCGGAUCCACAUGGGCGCAUGGGUGUGGGGGUCGGCUCCUCAUUGUAUAGGUUAUCUUGUUUUUAAGAUCUACCAACCACUCCGAUCCAUGGCUCUCGUGCAUCCAAAAUGUUUUCAUGCCAAAUUUUAAGAUAGAUCUACCAACCACCCAAAAUUUUCUGCCCGAAAUUUCUUAUAUAUGGUUCUUUUAUUGCUAAAUGGACUAAAAGUGGUGUAGUUUGUGCACUAAACUUCAUGUCAAUUUGUAUAAAACUAGCCUCUCACGCUUAAUCCAACAGACACAUUUUUUGUCGUUCAAUUUGCUCAACACCAAUUGCUUGAUUCCUGGAGUCCAAUUACCAUAGGCUGUAAUAUUUUAGGCUUGUUAUCAUCCCUACUUGAAAUAUAUUAUUUGCUUGCUUAUUUUCAGCAUAAUAUUUUCUGCAAGUAAAUGAUAACAACACCAUGCCUUUUUUACGAAAAUGUCAUAGUAAAUAAUCUUCAUUUUCUGUCAUUCAUGUGUGUACUGUCAGUGUGAUGGAAAAAUAACAUUUUCACAUGAACAUUUUAGAUAUUACUCCAAACUCUUUAAUUUCUUGAGUAACAGAAGCAGAGGCAGAAGAAUGCCUUCUGGACUCAAAAGCCAACUUGAUCUCAGCCGUUUGAAAAAUAUUGUUGUGGUUUUGGUUUGCAAUAUAAAUUUUUGAACACCCAACUUUGAAAUCCUGGGUCCGAAGCUGUGUUGCUAGGUUGCAUUAGUUUAGGCAUGUAUAUGACAUUUUUUGUUCUAUAUAAAAUAUUCUGCUAUUUAUGUGGACCAGGUAGCUGCUCUGGUUCCUCAGAAGGAGCAGGUGUCUCCUCUGCCGCGGGUGACUCCUCCUGUGCCUUAGCCUGUGGUCGUCGGCGAUGUCAACAAAGAAGACGUUAGUCAUCUAUCUCCUUUAUUUUUUUGUAAAAGCCUGGGUGUGCUGUGGUCAGUCCUUUUGUCUAUUUUUGGGGAAGUCCAGGGUUUCUUUUUAUCUUUGAUUGAUGGACUCCAUAUCAAUAUUCUAUAGAUGUGUUAGGUAACUAACUAGGUUACAUGUGUUGAGCCCUGUAUAGGCAAUAUUUUGAUGUAGAUAAAUUAUUCUGCUAAUAAAUCCACCUAGCUAGGUUUGGUGACUGUGCUAAUACAAAUACUUUAAUACAAAUACGUAGCUUGACCUUGGAAUUGAAUUGCCUACGUAGGUGAUUGUGAAAAUAUUUUCUGCAACUUAAGGAUAACAACACGAUGCCUUGUUUAUGAAAAUGUCAUAUUCUAUGGUCAUGAAGUAAAUAAUCUUCAUUUUCUGUCAUUCAUGUGUGUACUGUCAGUAUGAUGGAAAAAAUAAUAUUUUCACAUGAACAUUUUAGAUAUUACUCCUAACUCUUUAAUUUCUUGAGUAACAGAAGCAGAGGCAGAAGAAUGCCUUCUGGACUCAAAAGCCAACUUGAUCUCAGCCGUUUGAAAAAUAUUGUUGUGGUUUUGGUUUGCAAUAUAAAUUUUUGAACACCCAACUUUGAAAUCCUGGGUCCGAAGCUGUGUUGCUAGGUUGUAUUAGUUUAGGCAUGUAUAUGACAUUUUUUGAUCUAUAUAAAAUAUUCUGCUAUUUAUGUGUGGGACCAGGUAGCUGCUCUAGUUCCUCAGACGGAGCAGCUGUCUCCUCUGCCGCAGGUGACGCCUCCUGUUCCCAACCCUGUGGUUGUUGGCGAUGUCAACAAUGAAGACGUUAGUCAUCUAUCUCCUUUAAUUUUUUGUAAAAUCCUAGGGGUGCUCUGGUCAGUCCUUUUGUCUAUUUUUGGGGAAGUCCAGGGUUUCUUUUUAUCUUUGAUCGAUGGACUCCAUAUCUAUAUUCUGUAGAUGUGUUAGGUAACUAGCUAGGUUACAUGUGUUGAGCCCUGUAUAGGCAAUAUUUUGAUGUAGAUAAAUUAUUCUGCUAAUAAAUCCGCCUAGGUUUGGUGAUUGUGCUAAUACAAAUACGUUAAUACAAAUACGUAGCUUGAACGUGGAAUCGAAUUGCCUACAUAGGUGAUUGUGAAAAUAUUUUCUGCAAUUUAAGGAUAACAACACCAUGCCUUGUUUAUGAAAAUGUCAUAUUCUAUGGUUAUGAAGUAAAUAAUCUUCAUUUUCUGUCAUUCAUAUCAGUACUGUCAUUACGAUGGACAAAGAAUCUUUUCUCAUGAAAAUUGUAGAUAUUAGUCCCUCCAUUUGAAAAAUAUUGUUGUGGUUUUAGUUUGCAAUAUAUAUUUUUGAACACCCAAGUAUGAAAUCCUGGAUCCGCAGCUGUGUAGCUAGAUUACAUUUAUUGAGGCUUGUAUAUGUCAGUUUUUGACCUAUAAAAAUUAUUCUUCUAAUAAUCCGGAACAGGUAGCUCCUCUCGAGCAGGUGGUGGCUGCUCAGCCUUAGCCAGGUGUUCAUCUGCCGCGGUUGUUGCCUCUCCUGCCCCCACCUGUGGUCGUCGCCGGCAAGAACGAAGAAGAGGUUAGUCAUAUAUCCCCUUUAUUUAUUCAUUUAUUUAUUUAUUUUGUAAUAUCCUUGGUUUUCCCUGGUCAGUACAAGGCAAAUAAGUUAUUAAAAUGUUGAGUACAUGUUUGGUUGUACUUGAUCAAUCUUUGGUUUAAAUGUUCCAUAAGUGGCUGUGGCAAUGAUUUUAAACAUUGAUUAUCUCUAAGCAAUGGCUAGUUUAGAAACAAAUUGGAUAUCAUCAAUGUUUUACUUGAGUUGUUUUAAUUAGUUCUUUUGUAGGGUUUUAUCAUUUAUGCCACCAGUUGUAUCCCACUACUCAGUUUUUCCCUUAGAAGAUACAACCGCUCAAAAUGGCAUCGGUUCGUGAGAUGCUUACUCAAAAAUGCCAUUAGAUGUAUCAAAAAUGACAUCGUUCCGUUAGAUGUUUGCUCAGUAAUGCCAUUAGACAUUGUUAUUUUCAUGUAAAACUUAUUGACCAUCUAAUAUGACAAAAAAAGCCCAGGCCCACAUUUCAGUUCCCCCUAUCUCACAAUGAUAAGUGUGGCCCCACUUGUGAGGAGUAAGUAAGCAAAUAAUUUUACCGGAAAAUAAGAAUGUUGUUGGGAUCAAGUGGGCCCACACUUUAUUGUAGUGAGAUAGAGGGAGAGCUGGCAUGUUGGUCCAUAGGUAUUGAUGCCAUUAUAGCAUGUCAAGAUAGAUUUGAUAUCACAAUAAUGAUGUGCAGUGGCAUUUUUGAGCAUGUGUCUAACGAAGCGAUGGCUUUUUUUAGCAAUAGAAAUUCCUAGUGGUGAUACUUAGUUGUGGGACACAAUUGGUGGCAUAAAUGAUAAAAACCCUUUUUUGUAAGUAGAACAUUUGGGAUCACUUAUUGUCAGAACUCAUAAUAAUUAACUACUUUACCUAGAAUGUUGAAUGGUUCAGGAACAUUGCUGGGUGGGGUAUCGAUCAACAGGGGAAACUUCCACAACGAUAACAUGGGGACUUUCAAUAUCCAUCAUCAUAAUCACACAAAAUUCUAACCCUAAAUAAAUACAGCUCACGAGCUAUUUUAUCUAGUCAUGCAUGUAAGUUAUAAGUCCUUUUUUGCAUUAGUACAUCUGUAUGCUGCUCUGCCAUGUUACAUCAUCAGUUCAUGCAUUUUUACAUAACAAGUGAAUUUUGUUGCACUAAAGGGCUGUUUGGUUUGUGACUAACUUUGCCAAAGAUUGCUAUACCUAAGGUUAGGCAAGCUUGACCAACUUAAGUGAGUGUUUGGUUCCAGCCACACCUUAGGCAAGCCACACUUGGGUCCCACAUGGCAUACACACAAUAAGUGUGGCAAGGUUCCUUAGGCUUGCCAACUUGUGGCUCUCAUUUUGAUGAACUAACCUUAGGCAAGUUUUGGAAAAAUGUGUGGCAAAAUGUGGCAAUGCUAGUGCUCUCUUCGACAUGUAUGGUUGAUCCUUCAUUUUUUUACUAUAUGGUACUAUCCCAUUUAGUUGCUUAUGUAGCAACUAAUAAGUUAUGCAUUUAUUUUUUCAACGCCACCUGAAGAUAUUUUACGCUGUCAUCAAUUACAUUAUGUUUCAUAGACUAUGUGCCUGCUGAAUUAUCAUAUUAAAUAUACUUACGCAAUAUUUUGUACUACAUGUAAGUCCUAAGUGACGACGUUGACAACGACCCAGAAACCCAGAGGAUCUUCAGGAGGCAGAAAUUGAGGCAGCUGAACAGUGGUGAGCUCGACAAAGAUGUGAGGCCUAGAUUCGCCAAGGGCUACGCAUGCCCUUUCUGCAACAAGGUGAUGAAAGACGACCUGUCGAGUACCAUCAACCAUGCAAUCGAAACAUCCCAAGGUAGCAGCAAGAAUGGCUACGCUUUCAGGGUGAAGCACGCCGCGUAUGCCGACUACUUGAUUAGGCUUCUUUGAGGAUUUAGGAAAGUGCGCACCCUCGCAGCUAGAACUGAUGCUCUUUUGGUUGUAACUAUGCUAAGUACUAUCGUAUGCUAUGCUAUACUUUGUUGGUGAACGUUUAUGGUUGAACUAUGUGCACCAGUACUACCAAGUGGUGCUUGCUUUUGUAUAUAUAUAUAUAUAUACAUAUAUAUAUAUAUAUGUAUAUAUAUAUAUAUAUAUAUAUAUGCAUGGAAGCGUUUAACUAAGGUAGAACUAUGCUAAUUGGUGUGUGGUUUGGCAUCUCUGCUUGUUAAACUCGUGCUCAUUAAUCAUCGGCUCAUUUAGAUUAAGUAGCAUAAAACCCUGAUUAGCUAGGUUCAUUUGAAGCUAGUUAAGCUUGUGAGCGCUAGUUAAUAGAUUUUGAUGUGUUAUGGUAUACAUGAUGAGUGUGUACAUGUGGUUUUCAAGGAGGAUGGUGACUCAAAAAGGAAAUGCACUAGUUUUCUGCCUAAGGUGUUGAUCCAAGUAAUACUAGAACCAUCGUGUUGUGGCGUGGCUACAGGAUGAUCACAAAGUCUCGAUCCAAGUACUAGGUCACUUGAUGACAAUUUCAUCUGAUGUUUUCACAAGUCUUGAGCAUUAGGGUUUAUGUACACAAUUUUCAAUCCCCAACCCAUCCACCCCGGACAAGAUCUUUGGAUUGCAUCACGUAGAUGUACAAAAUCCAGUUCCUAGGUCCUGCCCCAAGUGCCUACACAUGUGAUUUUUUUCCAGGAUCCUAAUUAAGCGCCUAAAUAAGCGCCGCCGCAUUGAAGGUGCCCAACACCGACCAAUCAAUUUUUCUCAUAAGUAUUUCCGCUAUCGUAGGUAACUACCAAUUACUCCCCGCAUCUCUCCCCCUAGGUUAUGCUCUAAAACCAUCGUUGCCGCUCACACGCCCGCCUCCCUGCCGCCGGAUAUGAAAUCCACUCGUCGAGGUCGAUUGGCCGUUGUCGGUGUCAAAACCGGCGUAUCUCGGGUAGGGGGUGUCCGGAUAGCCGAACUAUCACCGUUGGCCGGACUCCUAGAUUAUGAAGAUACAAGAUUGAAGACUUCGUCCUGUGUCCGGAUGGGACUUUCCUUGGCGUGGAAAGCAAGCUUGGCGAUACGGAUAUGUAGAUCUCCUACCAUUGUAACCGACUCUGUGUAACCCUAACCCUCUCCGAUGUCUAUAUAAACCGGAGGGUUUUAGUCCGUAGGACAACAACAAUCAUACCAUAGACUAGCUUCUAGGAUUUAGCCUCCUCGAUCUCGUGGUAGAUCUACUCUUGUACUACCCAUAUCAUCAAUAUUAAUCAAGCAGGAGUAGGGUUUUACCUCCACCAAGAGGGCCCGAACCUGGGUAAAAACAGCGUGUCCCUUGUCUCCUGUUACCAUCCGCCUAGACGCAUAGUUCGGGACCCCCUUCCCGAGAUCCGCCGGUUUUGACACAGACAUUGGUGCUUUCAUUGAGAGUUCAUCUGUGCCGUUGCUAUCAGGAAGGAUGUCUCGUCCCGUCUUUAAAGACGGAACCGUUGCUAAAGGAACUUUGGCCAUCGGCCAAACUCUCUGGCUAGGCGGUUUUCUUAUGACCACCUGUUCGGCCGCCGCGCCGACGAUGACUUCUCGGGUCAUCAAAAGCAAUCUUCACGUCAACUCGGAACUCGCCGAGCAGCUAGAUCCGAUGGAGCUCUCCUCCUUAAAUGAGCUCUGGGAUCACAUCGCCGCCCUGAGAUUCGCUACAGACUACGACCAGAUUGGGCCUAAAACCGAUCUGAGAGAGAUCAACUCUCCCCAGGCCACCCACCAUGUUACUGUGGUGGAGGAACAGUACGGCAACCCUUCUUCAAUAUUAAGGACUAGUUAUGUCUGGAUUUCCGACCCCUCCAUGCCGGAUUCCCGCGGAGGGACGGACGUCGAUCAAGUCCUGAACCUAAAGUCAGGCAGCGGGCCGGAUUCAUUGGACAAAAUCCAAAAACCCAAGCUUCCAAGUUCGGAAACUUUUUGGCCCUUGAAUCUUAGAUUGGACGGGGUUCCGAAUUUAAUUCCACCCGCCCACCCAAACAUAAGCGAUCUAUCCCGAAUUUGACAAGAGCCUGCUGAAACAGUACACCAUUACUGGGCCAGAUUCAUCCUGGUUAUGGACAGGAUAAAGGACUGCCGCGAGGAAGACGCAAUUUCACUUUUCUACAAUAAUUGCAUGGACAAGGGAAUCCUAAACGCCAUAAGUCGUCGUGAAAUUACACGCUUUGCCAACUUGGCGUCCAUAGUAUGAAAGUACUGUGCGAUGGAGAGCGCCUGGAAAACCGAAACCAAAUUUUGGGAUAAUCCGGCUCCGAAUACAACCCUAGUCCGAAAUAUAAGGGUGCAUCAUAGCCAGGCACCUGGGUUAGAUACCAAAAAGCAAAAAACCCCUAAAGGGCACGGAACCGUACUGGAGGGAUGGCUCAAUGGACCCUGCAAAAUUCAUAGUACAGAGGGCGCCACUCCAACCCAUAGCCUUCGAGCAUGUUGGAUACUACGGUAGGUGGCCAAAAAUGGCGAAGAGCUUCUAGCUCCAGAGAACCAGCCCAGCAACACCAGUACGGUACUAACAGUCUUCAAGACUUUCGCAUCAAAUAAUAUGCGGAAAUGAACACUCCGCAGCCUUGCCGAAGUCUACCAAGUAGCAACAAUAAAUCCAUGGAGUGACACGGCUAUUACAUUUAACGCCAGUGACGAACCUAAAUUCCGAAUAGCCCGAGCACCAGCCGCAUUGGUCCUCAGUCCAAUAGUUGACGACUUUCGCCUUACCAAGGUACUCAUGGAUGGCCGCAGCGGAUUAAACCUCAUUUACGAGGAAACCCUUCGAAAAAUGGAAAUAGACUGGAGCCGCAUUGAGCGAAGCAGCACAACCUUUAGAGGAAUAAUCCCUAGUCGGGAAGCACGCUGCACAGGAAAAAUUACACUGGAUGUGGUGUUCGGCUCGCCGGACAAUUACAGGUCCGAGGAGGUCACGUUCCAAGUGGCCUCGUUCAGCAGCGGAUAUCAUGCUUUAUUAGGGCGAGAGGCAUUCACAAUUUUUCAAGCUAUACCCCAUUACGGGUACAUGAAGCUCAAAAUGCCCGGGCCCAACGGAAUCAUCACUCUUGCCAAUGAUCCGGACAUAGCACUCCGCGUCGAAAAUAAGACAGCCGCACUAGCCCUCGAGGCACUAUCCGAAGCCCUAGCGGCCGAGGAACUCACUGCGCUGCGCUCCAUGGUGAAUAGGGAUGAUGUGAUACUCGACAAGAGAUCCAAGUCCACCUCUUUUAAGCCAGCGGACAAAAUAGUCAAAUUCCAAGUCCAUCCAACGGACCCUACAAAGACGGCAUCCAUUGGGGCACAGUUAAACCCUGAUGUAGACACCGCACUACGAGAAUUCCCACGGGAAAAUUGGGACAUUUUUGCCUGGCACCCUUCAGACAUGCCAGGAAUCCCACGCCGGCUGGCCGAGCACAGCCUAAAUAUCCUAAAAGGAUUCAAGCCAGUCAAACAGGCUCUUCGCCGAUUUUUCGAACCCGAGAGACAGGCAAUGGAAGAGGAGCUAGCCAAACUAUUGGAAGCCGGAUUCAUCAGAGUUAUAAAACAUCCGGACUGGCUAGCCAAUCUAGUGAUGGUACCAAAGAAGGAUAAAUCCUGGCGCCUAUGUGUCGACUUCAAGGACCUUAACAAGGCUUGCCCAAAGGAUCCCUUCCCCCUCCCCCGCAUCGAUCAAAUUAUCGACGCUAGCACUGGGCAUGAUUCAUUGUGCUUCCUCGACGCAUACUCCGGCUACCACCAAAUCAAGACGGCGGAACCAGACCAAGCCGCAACGGCAUUCAUCAAUCCAUACGGCCUAUUCUGCUUCAACACAAUGCCCUUCAGGCUCAAAAACGCUGGCGCAACAUAUCAGCGCAUGAUUCAGACAUGUCUGGCAAGCCAAAUCGGAAACAAUGGAGGCAUACGUAGAUGAUGUGGUCGUCAAAUCCAAGCAUGUCAAAACCCUAGUAGACGACUUGAGGCUCACAUCCGACAAUCUCCGAACAUACGACAUUAAGAUGAAUCCGGAAAAAUGCGUCUUCGGCGUACCAGCCGGAAAGCUCUUGGGCUUCAUUGUAUCCGGUAGAGGAAUUGAAGCAAACCCAGCCAAGAUCCGAGCUCUGUCACAAUUGGAUAUCCCAAAAGACCUCAAACAAAUACAAAAAUUGACCGGAUGCAUGGCGGCUCUAAGCCGCUUUAUCUCCCAUUUGGGAGAAAAGGCAUUACCCCUUUAUCGCCUCCUCCGAUGCACCGAACACUUUGAGUGGACGGAUGCCACCACGACCGGACUCGAAGAAAUAAAAGCCAUAUUGGCAACAAAUCCGGUCCUGGCCGCGCCCAAUAUGGGCGAACCAAUGUUAUUAUAUAUCGCGGCAACACAUCAAGUUGUAAGCACGGUGUUCGUCGUCGAACGAGAAACGGACGGACACAAGUUCCCCCUUCAAAAACCAGUUUACUACGUGUCCACUGUCCUAACUCCAUGCAAGUCUCGGUAUCCACAUUAUCAAAAGAUAGCGUACGCGGUGUUCAUGGCAUCCCGGAAGCUGCGACACUACUUUCAAGAGUGUUCGAUAACAGUAGCCUCCAAAGUACCUCUUAACGACAUUAUAAACAACCGCGACGCGACUGGUCGGAUUGCAAAAUGGGCCAUCGAGCUCCUCCCAUUUGACAUAUACUAUAAACCACGGCGAGCUAUCAAUUCGCAAGUUUUGACUGACUUCGUCGCCGAAUGGACUGAAGCCGAACUCCCUAAAGAGUACGACGCAUAUUCCAAUUGGAUCAUGCACUUCGACGGCUCCAAAAUGUUGGCCGGCCUGGGGGCUGGCGUCGUCCUGACAUCCCCAACCAGAGACACAGUCCAAUACGUACUCCAGAUAAUGUACACGGACUCCAACAACACAACCGAAUACGAGGCCCUUCUACAUGGCCUCCGGAUGGCGGUCUCCAUGGGCAUUAAACGCCUAGAGGUGCGCGGGGAUUCGAACCUUGCAAUAUCCCAAAUAAAUGGAGACUUCGACGCCAAGGAUCCGAAAAUGGCAGCUUACCGUAACGCCGUCCUAAAAAUGCCAGCUCGGUUUGAAGGGCUCUAAUUUCACCAUAUAGCCCAGGAUAAUAACCAGGCGGCGGACGUAUUGGCACGCAUCGGCGCAAGGCGCGAUGCCGUCCCUCCCAACAUCUUCCUGAGCGGCUUUUCAAGCCAUCUGUACUAUGGGAAGGGGAGUCCGAAAACAACAAUCCGGACCCAACCGCACCGCCCGACACCGAACAUUCUGACACAAUUGGUGGUUCUGCCAAUGAAAUAACACAUUCAGCCCACGAAAUAAUGGCAGUCAUUGCCCCGUGGACGGAACCAUUCCUAGCCUACUUAACUAGGCAGGAACUUCCCGAGGACCAAAACGAGGCCCGCUGCAUAGUUCGGCGAUCUAAAGCCUAUAAGGUCCAUGAGGGAGAGCUUUAUAAGAAAAGCACAACCGGAGUCCUUCAAAGGUGUAUCUCCGAAGAGGAAGGGCGACAUCUUCUGGUUGAAAUUCAUGCCGGACUCGGCGGGCACCACGCCGCAGCUCUGGCCCUUGUAGGCAAGGCCUUCCGUACAGGAUUUUAUUAGCCGAUGGUCCGGGCAGAUGCUCAGGACUUUGUCCAACGAUACGUCGGUUGCUAGCUCUUUGCUAAUCAAAGCCACAUGCCACCCACCGCCCUCAAAACUAUACCCAUCACCUGGCCGUUCGCAGUCUGGGGGCUUGACAUGGUUGGACCCCUUAAAGGAGGAACCCACAAGCAAAAAUACCUAUUGGUCAUGGUGGAUAAAUUCACCAAAUGGAUAGAGGCCAAGCCAGUUAAGACGGCCGAAUCUAGACCUGUGAUAGACUUCAUAUUAGGGGUAGUACACCGUUACGGCGUCCCCCAUAGCAUCAUCACUGAUAACGGCACAAACUUCGCGGCCGACAAGGUUAAACUCUGGUGCAAAAACAUGGGCAUCAAGCUCGACUAUGCUUCAGUCUAUCACCCCCAAACUAACGGUCAAGUCGAGCGAGCAAAUGGUCUAAUCAUGAGCGGCAUUAAACCCAGACUAGUGCUGUCCCUCAAGGAAUCUAACACGCACUGGGUAGAGGAGCUCGACUCCGUACUCUGGGGCUGCGGACCACGCCGAAUCGCACUACUGGAUUCACACCAUUUUUAUGGUAUACGGCGCAGAGGCAGUUUUGCCCUGCGACAUAAUUCAUGACUCACCUCGCAUGCGCAUGUACGAAGAAAGAGAAGCCAAGCUGGAUCAGCAGGACAGUUUGGACGCCUUAGAGGAGGAGCGCGAUGUGGCAAAAGCUCGUUCCGCAUUCUAUCAACAUCAGGCUCGAAGAUAUGAAAGCAGAGAAGUACAGGCCAAAACUUACAAUGUUGGCGAACUAGUUCUACGUCUGCCGGACAAGAAAAAGGACAAACUCAAGCCCAAAUGGGAAGGUCCCUUCAUCAUCGACCAAGUCCUGACUAGCGGAGCGUACCGUCUGCGAAACGCAUCGGAUAACUGACUCGAGCCGAACCCAUGGAACGCAGCCCGUCUCCGAAGAUUCUACGCCUAGCGCCGGACUCUGAGUUCGUCUCAUUCCUCCGACUACAUUUUAUACUUUAGCUGUCUUUUAUUUCUCUCCUUCUCCCUCCUUUUUUCUUAAAGCCUUUGGAGGCUCGUCUGCGCAUUGUUCGCACACACUUGACGUGCUACUCGCACUCAUUAUACCUGGGGGCUUCUUUAACAAAAGCUUAUUUAUAUGGGCUUUAUGCCCAACACAUGUGUCACACUUCCGCAUGUACCUUUUAUUCACCAUUAUAUACAUCGAUAUGACUUAAGUUUUGGCCAAGCUGGGUUGCCUGGCUCUUGUGCUUACCCCUACGUUCCUGAUUGUUCGGCUAGGAGGUAAAGGGAGCACCUCUGCAAUUGUUACUGCCGGGUCAGCCGGAUGUGUCCUCGGACUGGGUGAAGCCGAAAGCUAGCGUUCUUAAGGGAAUAUUCGGUUCGGUGAACUAAAAGACGAUUUCUUACCUAUUUAUUUAUCUGCCCCCAGAUGAUUUCCUGCUUUUUUUGCAGUCUGGACAUGCACUUUAGGGCAUGCCUCCCAGGGAAAGGAACCCCUAACGGAACUAUUCUCCCAGGAAGAUGUUUCUUACUAACCAUGUAAUAUAACAUAACUAGUUGGGCACUUGUCUGAUAAAGCACUAAUGACUCCUACGCCUGGUCUCCACGCAUGCUCCGGUUUUUUAUAUAACCGCGAGGGUAUUCGGACACACUCCGGACUAUCAGGUCCCGAUGUUGAAGCGAAAAGGUCCGCUACGACAAACGAUCUACAAUCCGGCUAGAAGGCAUUUUACAUGUCAUUUUAAAUUACAUAGUCAAAUUGACUGAUCGUAUUCCUCUUCAAUACCAUCUAAUAGGCUGUCUAGUUUAUAGUCCCGCUGGGAAUACUUUGCGGCCAACUCUACAUGGCCGUACACUAAGCUCACAGGGAUCUCCUUCCCAUCGGGCCCCACAGGUCCGACCUCGGCCAUGUGGUUUGGGUCAGCCUUCGUGUACCGCGUCUUCACCAUGGCCCAGGCCUCCCUGGCGCCUUGACGGCAGGCCGAUAUCUUCCAUAGCCGGAAGCACCGCCGUGCUCCCUGAAGCUUCUCUGCAAGCUCUCCAAAACCUUCGGGUAGGGAGAUGGAUGGCCACAAGUCUUGGGCGACGCCUCUCAUCGCCUGCCGAACUCGUUCGUGCAGUUGCAGCAGCUCGGGAAGUAGGUCACCCGUUGAACCGGGCAUUUCCUCUGCAGGACGACCUGUGAGCAUACCUACAGACAUAUUUCUGUUAAUCGACUUCCUCACCGAACUCUUCUUUUCAAAGGUUCGCUCAAGCACUUACUAUAAAUGCCGCGACGAAGCCGCCGAUUCUCCUUAACGGAGUCAGACAGCUGGGCUCGAACAUCUUUUAGUUCCUCGCCCAGCUGGGUGUUGGCAUCUUGGAGGUUAUUUUUCUCUUGCCGCACCCUUGUAAGCACACUCUCGCCGGCCUUUAACCAGCGCAGUAGCUGUUGCCUGUCCGGAUCUAGUCCGGCCCCAUCUGCAAUGUUAUUGUCAGAUUUAUACACACGCCGCACUUCACAAACUGCUUAUCUUUCAAAGUACAUAUUACCGGAGGGGGUCUCUGUGGCUCCCCCUAUGGCGGCUAGUGCGGCCUCAAGUUGGGCCUUGCACUCUUGAAGCUCCUGGGACAGUUGGGUAUUCUUUUCUGUAAGAUCCUGCAUAACAAAUGAUCCUUAAAUCAGUUAUUCUAACUAUUUUAAGUCUCGGGGGCUACUGGCAUAUAUAACUGUCAAAAUUCCUCACCCGUAUGUCUUUCACAUACUGCUCCGUGGCUCUAGCUAGACCAUCUUGAGCGGCACGGAGGUGCGCAUCUCCCGAAUUAAAGGCAUUCAAUGCCUCUUGGGAGAAACAUGCGUCACGAAGAACUGUCCGGCGGCGCCUAUGAUUCAUGGCACUCUCCACCUCAGAUUUGGUGGCGGACAAUCUGUUGGCAUCCUCUGUUGGAGGAGCAUCCGACGCGCGCCUUGUGUUAUCCUCCCCUUACGGACCUGGCGUUGGAGCCUGGCUGGCGGAGGCUCGAUUGGCAACCUCUUCGGACACAGUCCGGCGAGCGCUCUUUUUCCUGAAAAGAUCACAAGCGUUAGUAUGCCUUCCAGGGAUCUUUCCUUGAAACACGGUGGCACGUCAUACCAUCGCGGCGACGUCUCGGUCCGCACCGCACUUCUUUUCUGCCUACUGGGCCGAGCUGCCCCUUGUUGGCAGCCGCCGCAGGCUCGGCUUCCCGCCUCAAAGGCACCUCCUGCGAAACACCAUUGGUAUGCGGUGAUCCGAAAUAAGCACGGAUGAGUCAUGGUAUCAGGACUUCGGUCACAGUUACCUGGGAAGCUGGAACUAUUCUGGGGUAGUCGGCCGUAAUGGCAACCAAAGCAUUGUCGAUGCUAAGUUGGUGGAACACCCCAUCGAUCAGCUCCACCUUUAUGUCCGGAUCCUCUUCGGAGGCCGGAUCGAGGGUCCGGAUUCUUGGAUUGUGGAGGCGGGCUGUGUAUAUCCUCUACAGCCCGGCGCAGUUCCUGCGUCAAAAUCACAAAAUGAGAUACUUAACCAUGGGAAUGGGGAUCGGAUAGGCAAAAAGAAAUGUUCGCUUACCUAGCUUCGGGGAUUGUUCAUAGAAAAUCUGUUCAGUGGACUAACAUGGAGAAAAUCCUCCUUUUCCCCUUUGUACAGGCCGGACAAGAUCUUCACCAGAUCGGCAACCGAUCCCGUCCCCUUACGGCCAUGACGGGUGGCAUCAUCCUCCCCGUUGAAAUCCCACAUGGGGUGGCCCCUAUAUUGGAGCGGCUGCACCCCCCGCAUAAUGCAUGUGGCCAUGACUCCGAUCAUAGUCAGGCCGGAAUGAGCUAAUAACCUUAUUCGGCUCAUCAAGUAGAGGACAUCCCUGUCAUUUUCCCUCUGGGGGCUCCGCGGGCGCCAGCUUAGGCGUUUCUUCAAGGGAGCAUUGCUGAACUCCGGGAGGCCGGUCCGAAUAGGAUCCGGUAGCGGGGCGUCUUCUACAUAACACCAUUCUGAAGGCCAAUCUUCGGACACCUUCUUCAGGGUUCCGAAUAGAUAUCUGGUCCGGAUGAUGCGCCAUAGUUCGGCUCCGCCCACUUGAUAUAUUGACCCCUCAUGAGAACGGGGUACAAGGCAAAACAAUCUCUUCCACGGCGCGAAAUGAGCCUCAAUGCCCAAAAACAGUUCACAGAGGGCCACGAAGCCCGCGAUGUGCAGAAUGGAGGCAGGCGUAAGGUGGUGCAGCUGGAGACCGUAGAACUCCAGGAGCACCCGGAGAAACGGAUGUAUUGGAAAUCCGAGUCCUCUUAUUAGAUAAGAGACAAAGCAUACCCGCUCUCCUUUGGAGGGAUUGGGAACGCUCUCCGCCUGCUUUCCACCCUUGUAGGUGGCUAGUCCGGCUCGAACCGGAACCAUAAAGGCUGGGGGAAGAAAUCCCUUGGUUUGGAGCGUCACUAACACACUGUGCGGGACUGAACAUCUCUCCCAAUCUUCAGGCUGAGGGCUGGGAGCCCGAGAGGAGGAGCCGCGUCGACUGUCCAUGAUGGAAUGGAUUUCUGUCAGAGGCGUUCCGAUGAAUGCUCGCGGAGGGAGGAUGGUGUGAUUCGGAUCUAGAUCCCCAUCUCUUUUAUAGGCGGCUCAUUUGCGCAGCUAGGGGGGUAAGUGUAAAAAUACCCUGGCUUUUCGCAUUCGUUCGACACGUGGAAGAUGGCCAUUAUUGGGCGUGGAAGCCAAGGAGCGCAGCAUUUAUAAGAAGCCGGACACUAUUCGACAAGUAUAUGGAAUUUGGAGAAGAACCCGCCUUGCAAUGCCGAAGACAAUCAACGCGCCGAACUCGUCAUCAUUGAAGCCUGGUUCGGGGGCUACUGAGGGAGUCCUGGAUUAGGGGGUGUCCGGAUAGCCGAACUAUCACCGUUGGCCGGACUCCUAGACUAUGAAGAUACAAGAUUGAAGACUUUGUCCCGUGUCCGGAUGGGACUUUCCUUGGCGUGGAAGGCAAGCUUGGCGAUACGGAUAUGUAGAUCUCCUACCAUUGUAACCAACUCUGUGUAACCCUAACCCUCUCCGAUGUCUAUAUAAACCAGAGGGUUUUAGUCCGUAGGACAACAACAAUCAUACCAUAGGCUAGCUUCUAGGGUUUAGCCUCCUCGAUCUCGUGGUAGAUCUACUCUUGUACUACCCAUAUCAUCAAUAUUAAUCAAGCAGGAGUAGGGUUUUACCUCCACCGAGAGGGCCCGAACCUGGGUAAAAACAUCGUGUCCCUUGUCUCAUGUUACCAUCCGCCUAGAAGCACAGUUCGGGACCCCCUACUCGAGAUCCGCCAGUUUUGACACCGACAGCCGUCGUGACAGAUCGUGGCCAUGGAUGUGAGGGGCCUGUCAUGGACGGCGUCGUGACAGAUCGUGGACUUGCGGGGCUAACCACUGACGUCGUCGUCCAUCUUAUGGAUCAGGAUCCCCACGAGAAAGCUUUGGACUACUCGGUGUCCGACCCAGAGAAGCAUCGUGUCAACGAGGUGCAGUACUCCGUCGUCGAUCACAAGGAACAGCACAUGCACGGCAUGGACUGGAAUUCCGUUACGGUAAUUUUAAUUUUUUAACCAUAGAUCUGUCUUCAAGUUUAAGGUUAGAGGUUAAUCAUUAAACCAUCAAUGCAUUGUUGAAUUGGCAUAAUUGAAUCUAGCUCUAAAUAUAAUGUUGAUCAUCAGUACGUAAUGAUCAUUAUUUAUUCAAUCAAUCUUUGAGAAAUUAAUGGUUCAUCCACUCCACAAUUUAGUGCGUUUUGGUUUUAUGCCAAAAGUCAGACAUCAUAAAGGUUGUGCAUGUUUAUUGGCAAUUUUUUUAAAAGUACAUCAUAUGAUUUGUGCUUUCAUAUGGAUUUGAUACUGCCUUUUUGUCCUUAAAUUUUCAAAGUUAAUAAAUAUUUACUUUAAAAAUAAUUUAUAGGCACUACAGUAUGAAACUUAGGGAAUAUUAGGUACCGAAAACAAUGGUGCAGCUUAUAUCAUACAUAAUUUUAACUUGCAGCCUUAUUCUCAUGAUUAUGCGGACAUUUCCGAAGGAGAGAUGGAUGUACACACUCAGAAAACCCUUGAAGAAUUGCAGAAUGGGCAGUGCAACGUGCUUAAGCAUAUGGCGUAUCAUUGCUCGUUCUGUGGCAAAUAUCUGGACCCGGCUUUCGUUAGUAUUCUUGAGCACGCCGAAGGAGUUGCCAAAGGAUAUCAAAUGAAGCAUGGUGUGAGGUCGAAACACAAGGCACUAGCCCAAUAUCUCAGGAAGUUGUCGGACAAAGAGAAGGUCCGAAGAAGGCGUUAUGAGAACCAGCAUGCCAAAGAAUAGAUGAAUAAACGUAACCCAGAAGAAAUUCUGGUUGGCAUAAGUAGUCAUUUGCGGUCGUCUUUUUUUAACAUACCAAUGAAUAUUUUAAUUAUCAUAGUUUUUGCAGAAAUGUUACAUUUAUUAAAUUUAAUCAUAAAAAUGCAUACAAUUCAAUUAUUGAUUUUUUCAAAUAUUUGUAACCUUGCAUCUAAUAGUUUACCAUUUUAUUGGUUAACCAUUAUUUUCAUAUAUAUAUAUAUAUAUAUACUGUGGAGUGCUUAAAAUUAUUCAAGAUCAAUUGGUGUACUGAAAGACUCAUCCACAUGCAAUAUGAACAGCAGUGUAUUUUUAGGGUUUCUUCAAAAGAACACCUGUGGUCAUGCUGAUCUUUUCUGUUUGGCCAGAAUUGGUAAAGCUGCCAAAUCUGCAUCUGAUCCGGCCCAACACUUUGUUCCUUUUGUGGGCCUGUACAAGUGGGAGGCAGAGAGAAAAGUGGGCGAUGGCCCCAACCCCACCCCCAUCCCAAUCCCACCCCACUUCGUUCCACUUCGUUCUUUGCAGAGUCAGAGAGGUGACACGGAGGGCGACGGCUAGGGUUUGCCAAGCCCUCACCUUGGCCGCCCCCGUCGUCGUCAAUCCGCCGGAUCCGCGAGGCCACCCACUCCCCCCUGCUCCAGCCACGAUCCUCCACUCCCCCUGCUCCGUCCAUGAUCCUCCACCGCAACUUUUCAUCCCCAAUCCUCGUCGCGCCGCCCGAAGCUCCGGUGGUGACUGGAGCCAGCUUCAAACAAGUCCACUCCAACCCACUUCGCAGGUAAGAUUGAUCUUCCCUGACCUUUGAAUGUCGAUCUGACACUUGCUUGUGUGCAUAUUCGGGUAUUCGCAGAUUUACUAUCAACUAGUAGGUCAUCUUGCUUGACAGAUGCUAUCAAGUAGUUUUCCCCCUGGAAAUGACCCCCCACUGCUAGAUUUAGAAAAAGUAUAUUCUCAAGAGCAUACACAUGUUUUGGUUUGUUGGGAUAGUUUGAAGACUGUGUAUAUGUAUUUGCUGAUGCUUAGUUAUUAAAAUCUAAAAAGGCGAGGACAGAAGCAGUCCGUGAGGAAUUUCUAAUGAUGGAAUGAGGAUCAGUUAUAGUUUCAUGUAUUACUCGAUGGUAGUAUGAUGAUUAGUGCAUAUUUUGAAGAAUUUGUGAAGUAUAGACUGCUCUUGAUUGGUGCAUGUUUUUGAUGAUAUGUGCACACAUGUAAUUUUUUUGGUUGGUGCAUAUUUUUGCUGAUUGUUGUUACUGCUUACUUGAAUUAUGUCAGCCUAUCUCCAACAUAUGGUAUGGGCUUGUUGGGGUCAAUGAAAAUUUGCUGUGAGCUAGUAGUUCACAUUGCAACAAAUUCCUCACUAUUGGAUUUUCUGCCAUUAUACUUCAUAAUCAUGAUUUUACUUGUUGGUAUGGGUAGUAAUGAGUAAAUAAAUAGCAAGUAUACAAAAGGGUGACUAUUGGUCAGCAUACCUUGCUCGUUCUCAUAGCCUUCACUAUGCUGUCAUCUUGCUUGAGAGAUUCUAUCAUGUCCUUAUUCUCACUGGAAAUUGGAAAAUUAACCUGCACAGCUACCUCUAAAAAUGGUAUGUACAGCAGAAAAUGCAUUAUUUGUUUUGUUGGGACAAUUUAAAGACUUUAUAUUUAUUACCUGAUGGUACCACAAAAUAGCCCAUCAGGAAAUUUGAAGUGAUCAAAGGCAGAUCAGUUAUUGUUUCACGUAUUGCUCGAUGAGACCAGUCAAUCAUGGUUCAUUUGUACAUGGCUACUAAUUGGUUGGUUACCAAGUUUUCUUGUCCAGCUCACAAAAUUGUAACCUUGAAAUAUCCUAAUUGGUCAUGUCUGCCCAAUGAUUAUGAGUGUAACCACUACUCUUGACUAGUCGUGCGAAUAGUUGUCGAUUAGCUUUUUUGUGUAGAUGUUUACACAUGAACUACGUACUUAGCGAGAAGUAUGCGAAAAGAUUAUUCACAUUGUAUAUGGUGCUAACAAUUCCUAAUGGAAGGCUGAUUUCAUAUAUCAAUAACUAACAUUUGUUCAUUGCAAUGCAUGCAACAGGUUUGAAUGGCAAGGGAAACCAUCCUCAUCAGCAGUGAAGAGAGUGAUCACCGGACCACCUCAGAUGAUGCUUCAGAUGGUACUUCACGUGGGAGUGACGGCUAUAGCGGUGAUGACGACAGCUCUAGCGACUAUGACACUGAUGAUAGUUCUAAUGGAGAUGGAGAUGUGGACCACGAUCCUAUCUUUGCACUACAGGGUAACGUUCUAUAUGGCUGGUCAGAUAUUAAAUGAACCGUGAAAUAUCAAAAGUUGAUGUUUGAGUGACACUUGAUUACCACACAUUACUCUGUUUGGGUUCUAGAUGACCUUCCAAAUCAACAUUUACUGAACUAGAGCUUACAUAGAGUAGUGUUUAGUUGUUAGUUUAAAUAAAUCAAAUAUUCAAUUUGCCCAUGUUUCUACGAGAUAUUGCUGGGUGGAUGUGAUUGGGUUAUCUAUGUCCUUCAUUUCUUGAUCAUUGGAGUAGGCAUUGAUCAUUAACCUGAAGGAAAUAUGCCCUAGAGGCAAUAAUAAAGUUAUUAUUUAUUUCCUCAUAUCAUGAUAAAUGUUUAUUAUUCAUGCUAGAAUUGUAUUAACCGGAAAUAUGAUACAUGUGUGAAUACAUAGACAAAACUAUAGUCACUAGUAUGCCUCUACUUGACUAGCUCAUUAAUCAAAGAUGGUUAUGUUUCCUAACCAUAGACAUGUGUUGUCAUUUGAUUAAUGGGAUCACAUCAUUAGAAGAAUGAUAUGAGUGACAUGACCCAUUCCGUUAGCCUAGCACUUGAUCGUUUAGUAUACUGUUAUUGCUUUCUUCAUGACUUAUACAUGUUCCUGUAACUAUGAGAUUAUGCAACUCCCGUUUACCGGAGGAACACUUUGGGUGCUACCAAAUGUCACAAUGUUACUGGGUGAUUAUAAAGGAGUACUACAGGUGUCUCCAAAGGUACAUGUUGGGUUGGCGUAUUUCGUGAUUAGGUUUUGUCACUCCGAUUGUCGGAGAGGUAUCUCUGGGCCCUCUCGGUAAUGCACAUCACUAUAAGCCUUGCAAGCAAUGUAGCUAAUGAGUUAGUUACGGAAUGAUGCAUUACGUAACGAGUAAAGAGACUUGCCGGUAACGAGAUUGAACUAGGUAUUGGAUACCGACGAUCGAAUCUCGGGCAAGUAACAUACCGAUGAAAAAGGGAACAACGUAUGUUGUUAUGCGGUUUGACCGAUAAAGAUCUUCGUAGAAUAUGUAGGAACCAAUAUGGGCAUCCAGGUCCUGCUAUUGGUUAUUGACCAAGAAUGGUUCUAGGUCAUGUCUACAUAGUUCUCGAACCCGUAGGGUCCGCACGCUUAACGUUACGAUGACAGUUUUAUUAUGAGUUUAUAAGUUUUGAUGUACCGAAGUUUGUUCGGAGUCCCGGAUGUGAUCACGGACAUGAUGAGGAGUCUCGAAAUGGUCGAGACAUAAAUAUUGAUAUAUUGGACGACUAUAUUCGGACACCGGAAAUGUUCCGGGUGAUUUCGGAGAAAAACUGGAGUGCCGGGGGGGUUACCGGAACCCCCCGGGAGAGUUUGGGCCUUAUGGGCCUUAGGGGAAAGGAGAGAGGGGCGGCCAGCAUGGGCCGCGCGCCCCCUCGCCCCUCUGGUCCGAAUUGGACUAGGAGGGGGGCGGCGCCCCCCCUUUCCUUCCCCCUCUCCCCCUUCCUUCCCCCUCCUAUUAGGAGUAGGAAAGGAGGAGUCCUACUCCUACUAGGAGGAGGAUUCCUCCUCCCUUGGCGCGCCCAAGGGGCCGGCCGGCCUCCCCCCUUGCUCCUUUAUAUACGGGGGCAGGGGGCACCCCAUAGACACACAAGUUGAUCUACGGAUCGUUCCUUAGCCAUGUGCGGUGCCCCCCUCCACCAUAUUCCACCUCGGUCAUAUCGUCGCGGAGUUUAGGCGAAGCCCUGCGCCGGUAGAACAUCAUCAUCGUCACCACGCCGUCGUGCUGACGGAACUCAUCUCCAGAGCUUUGCCGGAUCGGAGGCCAGAGAUCGUCAUCGAGCUGAACGUGUGCUGAACUCGGAGGCUCCGUACGUUCGGUGCUUGGAUCGGUCGGAUCGUGAAGACAUACGACUACAUCAACCGUGUUGUGCUAACGCUUCCGCUUACGGUCUACGAGGGUACGUGGACGAACACUCUUCCCUCUCGUUGCUAUAUCAUCACCAUGAUCUUGCGUGUGCGUAGGAAAUUUUUUGAAAUUACUACGUUCCCCAACAGUGGCAUCCGAGCCUAGGUUUUAUGUGUUGAUGUUAUGUGCACGAGUAGAACACAAGUGAGUUGUGGGCGAUACAAGUCAUACUGCUUACCAGCAUGUCAUGCUUUGGUUCGGCGGUAUUGUUGGAUGAAGCGGCCCGGACCGACAUUACGCGUACGCUUACGCGAGACUGGUUCUACCGACGUGCUUUGCACACAGGUGGCUGGCGGGUGUCAGUUUCUCCAACUUUAGUUGAACCGAGUGUGGCUACGCCCGGUCCUUGCGAAGGUUAAAACAGCACCAACUUGACGAACUAUCGUUGUGGUUUUUGAUGCGUAGGUAAGAACGGUUCUUGCUCAGCCCGUAGCAGCCACGUAAAACUUGCAACAACAAAGUAGAGGACGUCUAACUUGUUUUUGCAGGGCAUGUUGUGAUUUGAUAUGGUCAAGACGUGAUGAGAUAUAAGUUGUUGUAUGAGAUGAUCAUGUUUUGUUGAAAUUAUCGGCAACUGGCAGAAGCCCUAUGGUUGUCUCUUUGUUGCAUAAGAUGCAAGUGCCAAAUAAUUGCUUUACUUUAUCGCUAUGCGAUAGCAAUAGUUGCAAGAGCAAUAGUUGGCAAGACGACCAUGUGACGACACAUUGAUAUAGAUCAAGAUGAUGAAGAUCAUGGUGUCGUGCCGGUGACGAUAGAGAUCAUGACAGUACUUUGGAGAUGGAGAUCAAAGGCGUAAGAUGAUCAUGGCCAUAUCAUGUCACAUAUUUUGAUUGCAUAUGAUGUUAUCUUACAUCUUAUUUUGCUUUGAUUGACGGUAGCAUUUUAAGAUGAUCUCUCACUAAUUAUCAAGAAGUGUUCUCCCUGAGUAUGCACCAUUGCCAAAGUUUGUCGUGCCCAGACACGAUGUGAUGAUCGGGUGUGAUAAGCUCUACGCCCAUCUACAACGGGUGCAAGCCAGUUUUGCACACGCAGAAUACUCAGGUUAAACUUGACGAGCCUAGCAUAUGCAGAUAUGGCCUCGGAACACGGAGACCGAAAGGUCGAGCAUGAAUCAUAUAGUAGAUAUGAUCAACAUAGUGAUGUUCACCAUUGAAAACUACUCCAUCUCACAUGAUGAUCGGACAUGGUUUAGUUGAUUUGGAUCACGUGAUCACUUAGAUGACUAGAGACAUGUCUGUCUAAGUGGGAGUUCUUAAGUAAUAUGAUUAAUUGAACUUAAAUUUAUCAUGAACUUAGUCCUGGUAGUAUUUUGCAAAUUAUGUUGUAGAUCAAUAGCUUGCGUUGUUGCUUUCAUAUGUUUAUUUUGAUAUGUCCCUAGAGAAAAUUGUGUUGAAAGAUGUUAGUAGCAAUGAUGCGGAUUGGAUCCGUGAUCUGAGGUUUAUCCUCAUUGCUGCACAGAAGAAUUAUGUCCUUAAUGCACCGCUAGGUGACAGACCUAUUGCAGGAGCAGAUGCAGACGUUAUGAACGUUUGGCUAGCUCAAUAUGAUGACUACUUGAUAGUUUAGUGCACCAUGCUUAAUGGCUUAGAAUCGGGACUUCAAAGACGUUUUGAAUGUCAUGGACCAUAUGAGAUGUUCCAGGAGUUGAAGUUAAUAUUUCAAGCAAAUACCCGAGUUGAGAGAUAUGAAGUCUCCAACAAGUUCUAUGGCUAAAAGAUGGAGGAGAAUCGCUCAACUAGUGAGCAUGUGCUCAGAUUGUCUGGGUACUUCAAUCGCUUGAAUCAAGUGGGAGUUAAUCUUCCAGAUAAGAUAGUGAUUGACAGAAUUCUCUAGUCACCAUCACUAAGUUACUAGAACUUUGUGAUGAACUAUAGUAUGCAAGGGAUGACGAAAACGAUUCCCGAGCUCUUCGUGAUAUUGAAAUCGACGAAGGUAGAAAUCAAGAAAGAGCAUCAAGUGUUGAUGAUUGACAAGACCACUAGUUUCAAGAAAAGGGCAAAGGGAAAUAAAGGGAACUUCAAGUGGAAAGACAAGCAAGUUGUCACUCCUGCGAAGAAGCCCAAAGCUGGACCAUAGCCUGAAACUGAGUGCUUACACUGCAAAGGAAAUGGUUACUGGAAGCGGAAAUGCCCUGAACAUUUGGUGGAUAAGAAGGAUGGCAAAGUGAACAAAGGUAUAUUUGAUAUACAGGUUCUUGAUAUGUGCCUUACUAGUGUUUAUAGUAGCCCCCGAGUAUUUGAUACUUGUUCGGUUGCUAAGAUUAGUAACUCGAAACAGGAGUUACAGAAUAAACAGAGACUAGUUGAAGGGGAAGUGACGAUGAGUGUUGGAAGUAGUUCCAAGAUUGAUAUGAUCAUCAUCACACACUCCCUAAACUUUCGGGAUAAGUGUUAAACCUAAAUAAAUGUUAUUUAGCGUUUGCGUUGAGCAUGAAUAUGAUUUGAUCAUGUUUAUUGCAAUAUGGUUAUUCAUUUAAAAUCAGAGAAUAAUUGUUGUUCUGUUUACAUGAAUAAAACCUUCAAUGGUCAUACACCCAAUGAAAAUAGUUUGUUGGAUCUCGAUCAUAGUGAUACACAUAUUCAUAAUAUUGAGGCCAAAAGAUGCAAAGUUAAUAAUGAUAGUGCAACUUAUUUGUGGCACUGUCGUUUGGGUCAUAUCGGUGUAAAGCGCAUGAAGAAACUCCAUAAAGAUGGAUUUUAGGAAUCACUUGGUUAUGAAUCAUUUGAUGUUUGCGAACCGUGCCUUUUGGGCAAGAUGACUAAAACUCCGUUCUUCGGAACAAUGGAACGAGCUACUGACUUAUUGGAAAUAAUACAUACUGAUGUAUGCAGACCAAUGAGUAUGAAGGCUCGUGGCAAGUAUCGUUAUUUUCUGACCUUCACAAGAUGAUUUGAGCAGAUAUGGGUAUAUCUACUUGAUGAAACAUAAGUCUGAAAUAGUUGAAACGUUCAAAGAAUUUCAGAGUGAAGUGGAAAAAUCAUCGUAAUAAGAAAAUAAAGUUUCUGCGAUCUGAUCGCGGAGACGAAUAUUUGAGUUACGAGUUUGGUCUUCAAUUAAAACAAUGUGGAAUAGUUUCACAGCUCACGCCACCUGGAACACCACAACAUUAUGGUGUGUCUGAACGUCAUAACCGCACUUUAUUGGAUAUGGUGCAAUCUAUGAUGUCUCUUACUGAUUUACCAAUUUUGUUUUGGGGUUAUGCAUUAGAGACAGCUGCAUUCACAUUAAAAGGGCACCAUCUAAAUCCGUUGAGACGACAACAUAUGAACUGUGGUUUAGCAAGAAACCCAAGUUGUCGUUUCUUAAAGUUUGGGGCUGCGAUGCUUAUGUGAAAAAGUUUCAUCCUGAUAAGCUCGAACCCAAAUCGGAGAAGUGCGUCUUCAUAGAAUACCCAAAGGAAAUUGUUGGGUACACCUUCUAUCACAGAUCCGAAGGCAAAAUAUUCGUUGCUAAAAAUGGAUCCUUUCUAGAGAAUGAGUUUCUCUCGAAAGAAGUGAGUGGGAGGAAAGUAGAGCUUGAUAAGGUAAUUUGUACCUUCUCCCGAAUUGGAAAGUAGUUCAUCACGGAAAUCAGUUCCAGUGAUUCCUACACCAAUUAGUGAGGAAGCUAAUGAUGAUGAUCAUGAAACUUCAGAUCAAGUUACUACAAAACCUUGUAGGUCUUCCAAAGUACAGUCCGCACCAGAGUAGUACGGUAAUACUGUUCUGGAAGUCAUGUUACUAGACCAUGAUGAACCUAUGAACUAUGAGGAAGCGAUGAUGAGCCCAGAUUCCGCGAAAUGGCUUGAGGCCAUAAAAUCUGAGAUAUGAUCCAUGUAUGAGAACAAAGUAUGGACUUUGAUUGACUUGCUCGAUGAUCAGCAAGCCAUGUUAAAUAAAUGGAUCUUCAAGAGGAAGACGGACACUGAUAGUAGUGUUACUAUCCACUAAGCUCGACUUGUUGCAAAAGGUUUUCAACAAGUUCAAGGGGUUGAAUACGAUGAGAUUUUCUCACUCGUAUCGAUGCUUAAGUCUGUUCGAAUCAUGUUAGCAAUUGCCACAUUUUAUGAAAUCUAGCAAAUGGAUGUCAAAACUGCAUUCCUUAAUGGAUUUAUUAAAGAAGAGUUGUAUAUGAUGCAACCAGAAGGUUUUGUCAAUCCUAAAGAUGCUAACAAAGUGUGCAAGCUCCAGCAAUCCAUUUAUGGACUGGUGCAAGCCUCUCGGAGCUGGAAUAUACGCUUUGAUGAGUUGAUCAAAGCAUAUGGUUUUAUACAGACUUUUUGAGAAGCCUGUAUUUACAAGAAAGUGAGUGGGAGCUCUGUAGCAUUUCUGAUUUUAUAUGUAGAUGACAUAUUAUUAAUUGGAAAUGAUAUAGAAAUUCUGGAUAGCAUGAAAGGAUACUUGAAAAAGAGUUUUUCAAAGCAAGACCUCGGUGAAGCUGCUUACACAUUGAGCAUCAAGAUCUAUAUAGAUAGAUCAAGACGCUUGAUAAGGUUUUUCAAUGAGUACAUACCUUGAUAAAUUUUUGAAUAGUUCAAAAUGGAACAGUCAAAGAAGGAGUUCUUACCUGUGAUGCAAAGGUGUGAAGUUGAGUAAGACUCAAGACCCGACCAUGGCAGAAAAUAGAAAGAGAAUGAAAUGUCAUUCCCUAUGCCUCAGUCACAGGUUCUAUAAAGUAUGCUAUGCUGUGAACCAGACCUAUUGUAUACCUUGCUCUGAGUUUGACAAAGGAAUACAAUUUUGAUCUAAGAGUAGAUCACUGGACAGCGGUCAAGAAUAUCCUUAGUGAGAACUAAGGAUAUGUUUCUCGAUUAUGAAGGUGAUAAAAGAGCCCGUCGUAAAAAGUUACAACGAUGCAAGCUUUUACACCAAUCCAGAUGACUCUAAGUCUCAGUUUGGAUACAUAUUGAAAGUGGGAGCAAUUAGCUAGAGUAGCUCCGUGCAGAGCAUUGUGGACAUAGAAUAUUUGCAAAAUACAUACGGCUCUGAAUAUGACAGACCCAUUGACUAAACUUCUCUCACAAGCAAAACGUUUUCAUACCUUAGUACUCUUUGGGUGUUAAUCACAUAGCAAUGUGAACUAGAUUAUUGACUCUAGUAAACCCUUUGGGUGUUGAUCACAUGAUGAUGUGAACUAUGGGUAUUAAUCACAUACAGAUGUGAAUAUUGGUGUUAAAUCACAUGGCGAUGUGAACUAGAUUAUUGACUCUAGUGCAAGUGGGAGACUGAAGGAAAUAUGCCCUAGAGGCAACAAUAAAGUUAUUAUUUAUUUCCUCAUAUCAUGAUAAAUGUUUAUUAUUCAUGCUAGAAUUGUAUUAACCGGAAACAUGAUACAUGUGUGAAUACAUAGACAAAACUAUAGUCACUAGUAUGCCUCUACUUGACUAGCUCAUUAAUCAAAGAUGGUUAUGUUUCCUAACCAUAGACAUGUGUUGUCAUUUGAUUAAUGGGAUCACAUCAUUAGAAGAAUGAUAUGAUUGACAUGACCCAUUCCGUUAGCCUAGCACUUGAUCGUUUAGUAUACUGCUAUUGCUUUCUUCAUGACUUAUACAUGUUCCUGUAACUAUGAGAUUAUGCAACUCCCGUUUACCGGAGGAACACUUUGGGUGCUACCAAACGUCACAAUGUAACUGGGUGAUUAUAAAGGAGUACUACAGGUGUCUCCAAAGGUACAUGUUGGGUUGGCGUAUUUCGAGAUUAGGUUAUCACUCCGAUUGUCGGAGAGGUAUCUCUGGGCCCUCUCGGUAAUGCACAUCACUAUAAGCCUUGCAAGCAAUGUAGCUAAUGAGUUAGUUACGGAAUGAUGCAUUAUGUAACGAGUAAAGAGACUUGCUGGUAACGAGAUUGAACUAGGUAUUGGAUACCGACGAUCGAAUCUUGGGCAAGUAACAUACCGAUGACAAAGGGAACAACGUAUGUUGUUAUGCGGUUUGACCGAUAAAGAUCUCCGUAGAAUAUGUAGGAACCAAUAUGGGCAUCCAGGUCCCGCUAUUGGUUAUUGACCAAGAAUGGUUCUAGGUCAUGUCUACAUAGUUCUCGAACCCGUAGGGUCCGCACGCUUAACGUUACGAUGACAAUUUUAUUAUGAGUUUAUAAGUUUUGAUGUACCGAAGUUUGUUCGGAGUCCCGGAUGUGAUCACGGACAUGACAAGGAGUCUUGAAAUGGUCGAGACAUAAAGAUUGAUAUGUUGGACGACUAUAUUCGGACACCGGAAAUGUUCUGGGUGAUUUCGAAGAAAAACCGGAGUGCCGGGGGGGUUACAGGAACCCCCUGGGAGAGUUUGGGCCUUAUGGGCCUUAGGGGAAAGGAGAGAGGGGCGGCCAGCAUGGGCCGCGCGCCCCCUCCCCCCUCUGGUCCGAAUUGGACUAGGAGGGGGGGCGGCGCCCCCCCUUUCCUUCCCCCUCUCCCCCUUCCUUCCCCCUCCUAGUAGGAGUAGGAAAGGAGGAGUCCUCCUACUAGGAGGAGGAUUCCUCCUCCCUUGGCGCGCCUAAGGGGCCGGCCGGCCUCCCCCCCUUGCUCCUUUAUAUACGGGGGCAGGGGGGCACCCCAUAGACACACAAGUUGAUCUACGGAUCGUUCCUUAGCCGUGUGCGGUGCCCCCCUCCACCAUAUUCCACCUCGAUCAUAUCGUCGCGAAGUUUAGGCGAAGCCCUACACCGGUAGAACAUCAUCAUCAUCACCACGCCGUCGUGCUGACGGAACUCAUCUCCGGAGCUUUGCUGGAUCGGAGGCCGGAGAUCGUCAUCGAGCUGAACGUGUGCUGAACUCGGAGGCUCCAUACGUUCGGUGCUUGGAUCGGUCGGAUCGUGAAGACGUACGACUACAUCAACCGUGUUGUGCUAACGCUUCCGCUUACGUUCUACGAGGGUACGUGGACGAACACUCUUCCCUCUCGUUGCUAUAUCAUCACCAUGAUCUUGCGUGUGCGUAGGAAUUUUUUUUGAAAUUACUACGUUCCCCAACAUAACCCACUACUGAUGUUGUAGAUCUUAUGUAUGAAAUUAUUUACUACUCUGUCAUCUUAAUUCUUUUUUAUACAGGUCCGGGAUACAUGGUGAGAAAAGGAACUUUCAAGGAUCGCAUCUUCUACGGCAACCAUGUAUCACUAAACGAGGAUCGGUGGGACUGUCUCAAAUCCAUAGUAACGAAGUGCCAACCUCCCAUACCAUACUAUGUCAGCACCGUCACUCGCUCGGCAGUCAUCAAAGGGAAGAGCAAGAUGGUAAACACUUGGACUUUUUCUUUUUGCAAAUCAUACUUCACUAGUGAAAAUGCCAUCAUGUAGAGACAGAGAGGAGGACGGGCGUGGUUGUGCAAAUCAUACUUACUCUUUGUGUGUGCAAAUCAUACUUAUUUUUUUAUGUAACAUUAUUUAUUUCCCUGUGCAAUCAGAUCUUCUCAAAGGAUUACAGUCAGGCCUACCUCAAAGAUUAUCUGCGAAAGCCCAUGGUUGUGCGUGUCACCAACGAACAUUUUGAAGGUAAUAAAAAGGUCUUGUUCAAGAUGGGCAAGAAGGACGGGCGUGCGAUCAUGACGAAGAACUGGGGAGAAGUCGUUGAGGGAGCCAGAAUGAAAGAAGAUCAAAUGGCUAUCUUCAGGUUCAUGGAAAGGAGUGGAGGUGGGCUUAGGGUGAACAUGGUUAGUGGCAUGAGGAUUCGUUGACCCAUGGCAGUAGUUUGACGCUAGUUUUAUUAUCUGUAUGUAGUAGCCAGUAACUGCAAGUUGGUACUAUCAUCUUUUGGGUCCUGUAAGUGCAACUUAGUAGUAAUUGGUACUUGGUAGUAACUGGUACUUUGGUGGUAUAACUUUUGGGUCCGACUGGGUAUGAAGAUCGUCCAGUAAGUGGAACUUGGCAGUAACUUGGUGGUACCCUAUGUGGCGUAACGUACUUGCUAUGCCAGUCUAUAUAUAUAACGCACCCUAGUACCCUCCUUGAUAUAAUUACCUUUAUGGACUGCAAUUAUAUUUCCUUUUUUGCCACAGUGAUGCUAGUAUUUUUAGAAUCAAAUCUAACCGGGUUUCAAAUGGAUUGAACACUACUUUCAUUUUUGAAUGAGGUUUUUGUGUUGGCUAGUACGAGUUAUUUUGUAAAUGCGGUUUGUAUGUGUGUCGCACAAAAAAAUGCAAUGCAAUACAAAAACUUGCGGGUCAAAAUGCAAUGCCAAAAAUGAUGUUUCUGUUAUUUUCGAAAUGGCAUGGCAUGCUAUUUUCAAAAACAAAGCAAACCAGCAUGUUUUUUUAUUUGAAAAAUAGUAUACUAAAAAACAUGCCAUCUUUUAAAAAGCGUAAUUUAAAAAAUGUUGUUUUCAAAAUCAGCACGCUGCUUUCAAAACAGCAUAUUUCAAGAAGCACCACGACACCACCAAAGGCAACAUAGUCAAUCCGGGACUGUGAAUCAGCCCAGAAUAUGUUCCUCAAAUGGCCUUCUUUGUCUUUUUUGUAUUUGAAAAAGAAUUCUGGGUCUGCUUUUUUCUGUGCAAUCAUAUAGGUGAGAAAUAUCUAGCGUCACUGCCUUCUAUCUUGCGCUUCUUCUGGAUUGAAACAUGGUUGUAUAGGUCUCGAUCUAUAAAUCCAAGCUUGUCGGGACCUCCGGCAUUCUUCUCCAUUACAUUCAUAAUCUGAUGUGUUCGAAGUCCACCAACAGCAUACUCGAUGACAUCGGCCUUUUGUGCGUCGGUCAUUCUACGAUGAGCCAAUAAGUAGGGAGUCAGGUCAGCAGGGACAAACAGAUGGUUAUGCUUGUCCACAAAAUUCUUGACGAACCAGAGGCCACUACUAUCUUGUAGCUCAACCUGAAAAAGAGCGGGACACCCACACCGAGAAAGACCCCUCGGUGUUCUUUUUCUAUUAGCUCUGUUAAAGUGCUUAAGGGCCCGCCAUCCUUGUUUGCAGCACUUGUAUGUCCUUCUGUAUGCAUUUUGUUUCGAACCCGGACCCCUGUAUUUCAGAUCAUCCUUUCUAACACCAAACCCUUUUUUUCUCGCAUACCCUACGUAGAACAUGUAGGCUUCUUCCUCAGUCCUGAAAGUCUUCUUCACAAUCUCUAUGUAUUCCAUACACUCAUUCAGAUCUGAACCAGCCAUGCCUUUAAUAUCAAUUCCUUUACCUUGCAUGUGUACAUCAUCUAGGUCUAUGCCAUCCUUGCCUGCAUCCUCAUUAUCGUUAUCAUCCGUGCGCAUACCAUCCAUUCCUUUGCCUUUGUUUCGUCUAUCACCCAUGCCCUUGUCAUCCUUGCCUAUAUUCCCCAAGUUUUUUCCAUCGUUGCUUUUAUCAUCCAUGUCGUUAGGCUGCCAACGAAAACAGAUAGUCAAUGUUACGGAUGGAUAGCAUAAAUAAUAAUUAUGCAAUACUCUGCUUAAAUAAUUUAUUUAAUUUUUCUUAUCGGAUUCAUGUACCAAACUCAAUCCUUCAAAAGCUGUAAGUAAGUAUAAAAUAUUCCCUGACUAAAUCCAGAAAUAUUUAAUUGAUUGUACUUAUUGUAAGUGAUGAUCUCCUAACUAAAUCCAAAGUGCACAAAUCUUUCAAGUCCCCUAAUAGAUCCACCCUGAUAGAUCAAUUAUCUGCAAACUCCAUUCAAAAUUGUGUCCUAACUGAAUCCAAAAUUAUCACCUAACUAAAUCCAAAUUAUCUCAUCACUAAGUUGAAAAUAUCUCCAAACUCCAUACAAAAAUAUUUAUCUCCUAACUAAAUCCAAAAUAACUUUCUUUGAAUCCAAAUCUGCUGACAAAUUCUCAUGGCACACAACCCUAACUAAGUGCUUUAAUAUGUCCUAGCUAAAUCCGACUUACACUUCCUUUGAAAAAAAAUCUUGUCACAACUUUCUGAGACCAUAAACCCUAACUAACUACAUCAACAUGUCCUAGCUAAAUCCAACUUACACUCCCUUUCAAUAGAAAUCUCGUCACAACUUUCUGAAACCAUAAACCCUAAACCUCACAUGACAUAUCCUAAACCCUAAUCAAAUCCGACCCCUAUUGGUACUAUAAGCAUAAGGGACCAGCAAAGAUUUGAGAUGGCUAGGCACUUACAGCGAAGAUCCGGCGUGAAAAGGUUGAUGCACGUCGAUGAGGAUGAUGUGGCCUCUCGCGUCGGGGAAGGUGGCGUGCGCUCGGGGAAGGAGGGGAGGCUCGUCGGAAGAUCUGGCGCCGCGACCCGAGCGGGGUGACUACCGAUGGAGGGGGGAGGGGGAGUAGGAGCAGGAGGAAGGAGUGACACGGCGAGUGCGAUCGGCGGCGAUCGAGGGCGCCGGAGGCGAUCGGCGGCGAUCGAGGGCGCCGAGGUUAGGGCUCGAGAGGAGGAGAGAGAACGAACCGCUCGAACCAAAUUUCAAAAGAGUACGCACGAUGAUUGGACCUCUAUAAUGAAGUGUUUUGUGUCUUCAUUUUCUAGUCUUCGGUCUUCUUGUUCGUCUAGUCAUCACUGUUCGCUGUCCCCCUUCAGUUUUGCACUGAAUGUCUCAGUCCUCAGUCUUGGUUCAGUCUUCUCUUUCUUGUCAGUUUCUUUAGUAUUUGUUUCUUAUUUUUUUUACUAUUUCUUACUAGCUCCUUGGUUUUUUUUCUUAGAGAAACGACGCAGCCAAGCCCGAGUAGGGCGCUAGCCUAGUCCGACUUUGAAGUAACAAAGCCAUCAACCGGUCAGGGUACAACUGCAGAAUACGAAAACGAACUAUAACAAAGAAAGCAACAAGAUACAGAGGCGCUGGAAAGCAACUCACAAGCCUCAAGCACUUCCCACAAGAAGGAUAUACAAUGGAGCACUUAGCUGAAGGACUUGAGGUCCUCCACCGCGACUAAACAUGGUUGGGAGCAAUGCCGGCUUUGGCGAGGGAAUGAAGCUGCACCUACAUGGCCUGCCUCCACCAAAAUCUAAGGGCCUCGGCAUGACACGACCAUCCAACCCUGUCUUCAAAGGAGGCCACAACCUCCUUGCCUGGAUCGCAAGGCGCUGAACCGUCGAACAACAGGAGUUCCCAUGAACAUGUAUGAAAGCCGCCAGGUAGUCCCAAGGAGCGGAUCAAAGCACCCAAAUGUGCCGACGAGGCUCAGCCAAAGCAGAGCAAGCCGCACAACCAAUGGGCAAAACACGGCAGAGGAAAAGCUAAAGCUUGGACGAAGAAGAACACGCCAACGACUGCUGUCAACGCACGCUAACAGUGCCCGCCACCCAUCCCUCAAGGCGGCCCUUUCAAGAAGAUCACAGCGCCGAAAACGCCGCCGCCGUCGCCCACCGGAGUUAGCGUUUUCACCCGAGGGGCAGGUGGGUGGGUAGUGGAAGGGCAGACAUUGACCGACGUCUCCAUGAAGAAAUCCGGCACCCGCAGGCAUCGUCGUCGUCUCGGCCGGCCGGAGCCGACCAGGGGUUUCCCCCAGUAUGGAUCCCAACCACCAGAGACGCCCACAGGCCAGGGGCUGGCCAGCCACGCCAGUGCAGCCGGGAUUCGUCGAGGGCGACGCACACUGAGCAGGGGACGGAGAGCAGCAGCCGGGUCGAGCGCCGCCAGCCGUCAAGGCAGCCAUGGCCAGAUCUGGCGCCGCCAGCCGCGAGGGCAACCACACGAGGUCCCAUUCUACCGGAGUUCCGUCGGCCACCCAACCAGAACUCCGGCACCACGCCAACCCCGAAGCACACCGCGGGAGCAGAGGGGCCUCGCCAGGGGACCACCGUCCCAGAUCCAGAGCCCUCCGAUGCUGCCGGAGCAGCAAAGGCCCCGCCGCCGCAGUCCCAGCUUCUAUUUCUCUGUCUGCUUCUAUUUCUCUUUUCAGAGACUAUGUUCUAAGUUUCUGUAUUUACUAUCUAAGCUAGAGAGUAAUAUUUUUCAGUCAUGUUGAGAUCAGUGAUUUGUUUUGUGCUACACCAACUCCGUUUCUUCAGUAUUAGUUUUCAGUCAUGUUGAGAAAUUCAGUGGUUUCAGUGUACUUCUGUUUUCGCAUUCUUAUGUCUGCUAUCUAUGAGGUUUUCCGUUAGAAUAACCCUAAUUUACAAGUCGCAUUUACAAGUGACACAACUCCAUGAUGACAGAGAACACAUAAUUUGGUUUCUGUAAUUGCGCCAACUUCCCCUUUAUUUUGCUCUUUGCCACAUGACUGGAACCAAAAGGCGUAGGACGAUGUCUACAUGAUGUGCUAUGUCCAAUGGCUGAAUCCACAUGCCAACAACCUUCUACUCGAGAGAGAACUUGCUUCCCAGCCAGAAGCUCAUGUGUCUCGUUCCGAUGUUUUCACUCCAGACUCAUGCAGUUCCAUAAAAUUCAGUUGAGAUCACAUCAUCGUGUGCAGUUUCGGACUUGCUGUUGUCCAGCCACAACUGAAUAACCAACCAGCCAACCUGUAUGAAACAAGCAACAGCAGGGCCUGAUGCAUACAUGACCAAACUCAGUCAGAACUCUUAUCAAUAAUUCAUGACACAGAACUAGAUAAUAAAUAUAGCCUAGAUAAUGCAUGCACGCGUUGCAAAUUAAUGAGCACCUCUCAGCUUGUGCCAACCAGCACCUACACACAACAACAGCCCAUCAAACCCAUAUAUAUCACAAAAACAAAUAUUUCCCAGAUACAUCGCUCGACUCGGUUCGUUUAAAUCAUAAGGCAAACAAUAACAGAGUUCUGCCAUGGCCAGAGAUCAAUAGAAUUCAGGGAUAUUGCACACACACACACAUACUGUAUGUUCUACUGAAGCAAACCUAAAAAUAUGGGAGGCUGGCGAACAUAUUUAGGAAAGAAAAUAUCUCAUACUGCAUAUAAGGCACCAUGAAUUCAUCUGAUCCACUCAACAAAUUUGCUUCUGGAACCUGGCUUGUUUCUCUCGGAAUAUAGGCUGAAUAUGGCUGCAGAUCAAAUGCUGGUGUGGUGGCCGACCAGUUGAAUUGCAGACUUGCAGCAAAUGGCGGGACUGGAUUGGACAGCUGUGAAGCUCUCACUUGACUUGGAUCCACGUACGAACUGCUAUUCAAGAUGAAUACAGGGUCAGCACUCAGCACAAUGUAUAUGGAACGACAUGUUCUUAAUUAUUUUUUCAGAACGAAGAACGUAGGACAUAUUAUCUUCCCGAUCAUAUGAAUUACCAGGAUAAGGCAGCCAGUUCCGUUUCUUCGUGCGAGCCUUUCAUCAAAAAUUCACCUACAAAAAUUUUCCAUCUCCUUUCUUUCCUUCAAGACAGCCUCUUUCCACUCCUUUUCAUCCUUAAACAUAAAAUCUUCAGAGACUCUGUGGACAAAGAUUUCACGGUUGGGGUGCAGGUUGAUUGCUUUUUCAAUGGAAGACUCCAGGGCCUCCACCCUGCCUAGGACUGCUCUGUAACAAUCGAUUUUGACCUCGAGCUGUGCAACGCCUGAAAGAUGCUCCACACCCAAGUGUACUAAAAAGUCUGAUGCCACAAUCAUGGGGUUCAAGUCAAGACAAAACCGUCGGAGUGCUGGCACAGCACCUGGAGCAAAUGUUAGCCGUAGUCCAUCUGUUUUUUUUUCUGAGAUGCGCAGUCCACCGCUUGCUGUAUGUUUAAAUACAAAAGGAGUGGCUGGCCUAUUAUAUAGGAAGUGGAACACCUUUAGCAGUUUGAAUCCAUUACUACCCACGGUCAGCUUUUCUUUGAUGUCCUGUAUAACGAGUAGCUGAAGAUGGGCCAUAGAAGGCAUGCCCAUGAGGACUUGGAGACCCUCAUUAUCAAACUCCCAGACCCUUAUGCAUAGUUUCACGAGAUUCUUGAGGGAGGCCAUUCCCCUGGGAACCAUUCCAAUAUUUGACAUAAUUUUAAGAACUUGGAGGCACGGGUAGGUGCUGUAUGGGUUACAGAACAGACGCUCGGCUAUCUCUCCACCAAUACGAAGAUGGCGAAGGUUGCAUUUGCCCGACUCAUUUACUUCCUCCGCAAAUCUCACUGGGUCGUCAGUUUUCCAGAAGCGUAACUCCUCCAAGGCCUGUAGACUCCGGAACCCACUUGCAGGUAAUUGUGUUGCAUUGCUGACAGAUAGGCGCACCAAUUUCCGCAACUGCGCCAUGGUUGAUGGCAGUCUUAGAAGUGAAUAACAGUAUCUCAAAUCGAGAGUCUCUAAGUGCUGCAGCUUUCCAAUUUCAUCAGGAAGCUCAGUAAUUUUCCCACUGCCAAUUCUCAAAUACCUCAGAUGACGUGAGCUUCCUAUAUGUUUUACAUGCUUGUUUUCCAACCAAUAACAUCUUGCAAGAUCCAACACCCGCAAAGCAUGGAAGUCCACAAGGACAAUGUGGGGUAUCUGCUCAAAUUGCGGAAAGGUAGUCAGUGAGCGAACAUAUAUCUUGGUUUCUGUAAUCGCACAGACUGCGCCAUUAUGCUCUUUGCCACUAAAUUGCAUGGACAGACGUCGAAUCUUGUUUGGAAAUGAAUUGUAUGCACGCCCAUUUAAAACAGUGGCAAAAUUCUCUUCAUCUGAUAAAGAUAUGAUAAGGUCAAGCACCAUAUCAUGGACUCGACAAUAUUUCACAGUACCAUCAUCAUAAAUAUCAAUUGGCUGGAUCAGAUUUCUAUUAACGAGUUCAUUGAUACAGUUCUCUGCUACCUCAUCCAAACGUCCCCAUUGCCUAUCAAGGAAUCCUUCAGCCAUCCAUUUUCAUUUCAGUUCUUUACACUUGAUCUUGUUUUUUUCGAAAAUGGGGAAACCCCGGCCUCUGCAUCAGUACGAUGCAUACGGCCCUCUUAUUAACAAAAUAAAGUAGUGCCAACAUGGUUCCAAAGGUCCUCAAAAGUGAAAAAAAGCAGAACAAGCUCACACAGAGCCCGAAGAGGCUAGAUACAUCAACUAGCCACAUCAAGAUGCCACAACCGGCUGGGUAAACUAGGUAGGAAUACUAAAUGCCUAUCAUAUUACAUGACCGCCAUCCAAACCGGUUGAAGAUAUCCCGAGCUACCAUCUCCCAACGGAUAGACCCAGUAACCAAAUGCUCUCUGGCCUCCGUCUGGGUGAGUAGCGACCACGAACGGAUCAGAGCCGUAGUCCGGAAUAAAACCUGCAAAAAAUGUAUACAUGAUAUUCUGUUAAAGACCAGAUCGUUUCUGCAGUUCCAGAUAGUCCACAGCAAAGCACAAACCCCAACCCGAAUAUGUCUCGCUAAGUUAGGCUCAAUCCCAUUAAGCCAUGUCCCAAAUAAAGCAUUAACAGAAUUCGGUGGUUUGAUGUUGAAAGCAAUGUGGACCGUCUGCCAGAGUACCUUGGCCAGCGGGCAAUCAAAAAAGAGGUGUUUAAUAGUCUCAUCCCGAUCGCAGAAACUACACCUAGUAGGUCCUGUCCAAUUACGCUUCAUCAAGUUAUCCUUAGUUAAAAUUACUUGUUUAUGGACAAACCACAUAAACACUUUUAUUUUCAAAGGAACUUUGACAUCCCAAACAUGUUUGGACGUAGGAAUGGAGCUCAAAUUAAUAACAUCAAUAUACAUUGAUUUAACCGUGAAUACUCCAGACUUAGUCAACUUCCAGCGCAAUUCAUCAGGUUGUUGAGAAAGCUGGAUGUCCAUCAGUUUCCUAACUCGAUGGAGCCAUUCUUCCCAACGAUUGCCCGCUAGCACUCGUCUGAACUGAAUAUUAAGGGGGGUAGAUUGGAAGACCGAAGCAACGACCACCUCCUUUCGUUGAACAAUGCGAUACAAAGAGGGAUAUUGGAUGGCCAAGGGUGUGUCACCGAGCCAAGUAUCCUCCAUGAAACGUGUACUUGUGCCGUUUCCGACAACAAACUUUGUCCUAUUAAAGAAUGCCUGCUUGACCUUCAUGAGACCCUUCCAGAAAGGCGAGUCAGUCGGCCUUACAGAGACCUGUGACAAAGUUUUUGACUCGAGGUACAUGCCGCGAAGGAUCUGUGCCCACACAGCAUCAGUCUCCAACGAAAGCUUCCACAGCCACUUGCUAAGAAGGCAUUUAUUCUUAAUUUCGAGAUUCUCAAUACCUAGACCCCCUUGGUCCUUCGGUCUACAAAUGAUGUCCCACUUAGCAAGCCUAUAUUUUCUUUUAAGCUCAUCACCCUGCCAGAAGAACCGCGAUCUAUAGAAGUCCAGUCUCUUCCUAACACCAACUGGUACCUCAAAGAACGAAAGAAGAAACAUCGGCAAACUCGUGAGUACCGAGUUAAUUAGGAUUAACCGGCCUCCAUAUGACAUGAGCUUGCCCUUCCAGCAGCUCAGUUUCUUCUCAAAUCGGUCCUCAAUGCACUUCCAUUCUCUGUUUGUUAGCCUACGAUGGUGGAUAGGAAUCCCCAAGUAUGAGAAAGGUAGCUCUCCCAACUCACAUCCAAACAAUUGCCUAGAAGCAUCCUGUUCAUCUUUGGCCCUACCAAAACAGAACAGCUCGCUCUUAUUAAAGUUUAUUUUUAACCCGGUCAAUUGUUCAAAUAGGCAUAAAACCAGCUUCAUAUUUCUUGCCUUAACCAAGUCAUGCUCCAUAAAGAUGAUUGUAUCAUCAGCGUAUUGUAGGAUAGAGAUACCUCCAUCAACAAGAUGAGGCACCAAUCCACCUACUUGACCAUUUUCCUUAGCCCUUCCUAUCAGAACUGCCAACAUAUCUACCACAAUGUUAAACAAGAUAGGGGACAUCGGGUCUCCUUGUCGUAGGCCUUUAUGUGUCUGGAAGUAAUGACCUAUGUCAUCAUUAACUUUAAUUCCCACACUACCUUUUUGCGUAAAUGAUUGUACCUGUUUGCGCCAGGCUUCAUCAAACCCUUUCAUAUGCAAAGAUUGUUGGAGAAAUGGCCACUUUACCUUAUCAUACGCUUUCUCGAAAUCCACUUUAAAAAUCACUCCAUCUAAUUUUUUGGAGUGGAUUUCAUGGAGCGUUUCAUGCAGGACUACCACCCCUUCUAGGAUGUUUCUAUCUGGCAUGAACGCGGUUUGGGACUGUUGCACCACAGAAUGCGCGAUCUGUGUGAGCCUGUUGGUCCCGACCUUGGUGAAGAUUUUGAAACUAACAUUAAGGAGAUAGAUCGUCCUGAAUUGCUCAAUUCUGAGCGCAUCCGUCUUCUUAGGCAGUAGUGUGAUAGUCCCAAAAUUUAAGUGGAAUAAUUGAAGCUGUCCAGAGAAUAGAUCAUGAAACAUAGGUAGUAAAUCCCCCUUAAUAAUGUGCCAGCACUUCUUAUAGAACUCGGCCGGGAAACCAUCCGGACCGGGAGCCUUAUUAUUUUUCAUUUGUGCAAUAGCAUCAAAAACCUCCUUCUCCGAGAACGGGGCAACCAGAAGCUCAUUAUCAGCAGCCGAAAGCUGAGGUACAUCCUCAGUUCUGGACUCAUUGAGGGACACUGUAUUAUCCUCCGGUGGACCAAAUAACUGCUUAUAAUAGUCGGUGAUGUAUGUUUUUAGGUUAUCCUGACCUAAAAUCGUACCCUCGUCCUGCUCAAGCUGAAAGAUUCGCUUCUUUCUGUGCUUGCCAUUAGCAAUUAAAUGAAAGAACUGAGUAUUCGCGUCCCCCUGGACCACUCUACGUACUUUAGCACGUAAAGCCCACUUCAGUUCUUCUUUGCGGAGUAGUUCUUUUAACCGCUUCUCCGCCUCAUUUUUAACCUGAAGCUCCACGGGUAAUAAAAUAUUGGACUCGGCUUUUAUGUCCAGGUCAUGUACAAGAGAAAGGAGUCUAUCCUUUUCAAUCUUAUACACACCGCUAAGGUGCUUCGCCCAACCCCGCAAGAAGCUUCUCAAAUUCCUAAUCUUAUUCUGCCAUCUCUCAAUGGGAGUUUUACCUCGAACAUCUUUAACCCAUUCCCUGGCUAUCAAAUCUAAGAACCCCUCAUGUUCGAACCAUGACGUCUCAAAUGAGAAGGUGUUCUUGUUACCCACGUGGUUCAGCUCCCCUGAGUCCACGAACAAUGGGGUAUGAUCAGAUAUUCCCCUCGAAAGAGCUUGCACCGUAACCAACGGGAAUUUUUGUUCCCACUCCACGCUUGCAAGAACCCGAUCAAGUUUUUCGUAGGUUGGGUUUGGCAUAGCGUUGGCCCAUGUAAACUUUCGGCCCGAGAGCUCUAUCUCUCUCAGAUCCAAGCUUUCAAUAAUGGUGUUGAACAUGAAGGACCAUCUGCCGUCAAAGUUAUCAUUGUUCUUCUCCUCUCGCCUCCGGAUGAUAUUGAAAUCACCUCCAACUAAAAUCGGUAGUUGUUCUGACCCACAAAUUCGAACGAGGUCUGCUGGAAACUCCGCUUUAAACUCGGGCUGCGCGGCACCAUAUACCGCCACCAAAGCCCAGUUAAAGCCAUCCGUCUUAGACCUAACUCGAAACUUUACCGCGAAGUCACCCAUCACUACACUACGGACUUCAAGUGAAUCGCAUCUCACACCUAGUAAGAUACCCCCCGAUCUUUCUCGCGGAGUAGGCAAUGCCAAUCGAAAUCAAUACCACCAACUAGUGAGGAGAGAAACCGCGGUGCAAAGUUAUCUCUACCCGUUUCUGAUAGAGCAACAAAAUCUAGCUUCUGCUCUAGAGCUGUCUCAGCCAGGAAUCUUCUUUUAGCCAAGUCCUUAAGACCUCUGCUAUUCCAAAAAAUUCCUCUCAUAGUUCAUCAUGGAAUUUUUUUGUGGUUCGAAUCCUAGCACUCCUACGAACUGCGGAAUCGGGAUAAAUCUUCCGUUUCCACUUACGCUUAGGUUUACUAAACUCAGUCACCCGUUCCUCAUGACCGGGUUCACAAAUAUUGCUAGCGUCAUUUUGUAGGGGCACAUCAUCUUCCUCAGCGUCCUGGUUAGCGGGUGCUAGAUCCUCACACAGGCUAUCAAGCACUCUAACUCCUAACGCAUUUAUCUCAUCAUCAUUCAUUGGUUUAACUGCUGCAAGAUUAUGAAUAGUCUCUAAAGCACGUUCCGCCUCCAGGUCUAAUAUAUCAUUCACCGAAUUGGUAAUUUCACUAUCCGUAGCACCUAGUGAAACUCCUAAUUGGUUUGCAUUAUUUAUAAUGUCCCCAUUAGAAAAAUGCAAUAUGGAAUUAGACAAGUUGACGGACAUACCAGAAGAAAAAACAGCCUCCUGAAGCUUGGCCGCCCUCAUAGCGCACCGCUGCUGCAUAUCGUCCACCUCCGGGACGUCGAGGAUGCGGGCACUCAUCCGUCUCCCCUCGGAGAUAGGGUCUGGGAUCCCACCAAACGCGAUCACCUCCUCCCUAGUAUAACCUGGCACCAAAACUCUGACAGGUGGUGCCGAAGUCACUAGAGAAGGCGUCUGCGGGCUCCCGAUCCCCUUGGACGAGUGCCCCACACCGGGCAGUGGGGAGGAGUGUAAGACAGGGGCCUCCUGCCCACGGUCUCCUCCCGCCCCAACCGGCAGCUCAGACGGGAAAGCCAUCGGUGAGGUGGUCCCCCUGACCACCGGAGUAGAGGGUGUAGACCGGGCCUCCUGCCCUGGCGUCCCCCCUCCCGCAGAAGCAGCCACAGUGGUUGCCACCACCGUCGCAGAAGUAGUCGAGGCCGCCUGCCUCGAGGUCCCUCGAGCCGCCGGAGCCGACCCCCUCGGGGCCGACGCCACCGAUGACACCUGCAUCGACCUCGGGACGGGGGGAGAGAGGACUCCAUGUCCCGAACCCCCUCCCCCACACCCCAUCUCCCCCGCGAUCGCGGACACCGAAGUCGCGCCCGCGGGAGUCUGCAGUCCAAGAGAACCAUCACCGUGCCUCCACGCCGCAUCGCCUCCCAAAGAAACCGCCUGACGAGCAACAGACACACCAAUCUCCCUCUCAAACUCCAGUGAAGGAAGCGUGCACUCGAGAUCAUCACCCGACUCCACCCUGUCACUCCAAAGCCUGGGAGGUGCCGAGGCUGGCUCGAAAGACCCAAAACGCAGAGUAGUCAUGGGUACCGCCGGUGAGACUGUGGGCUCAGCCUCCGAUCCAUUCCUGGCCGACUGAGCGUGAGAACCGUUGGAUCCCUCUCGCAUGGUCUCAUCUGACGGUGCCCCCUUAGUCCCCGCACCACCCUCUCGGUCGUGCAUGUCAACAUCAUUGCCGUUAACCGCAUCAUCAAAUAAGUCGGUGUCCUCGAACUCAAUAUCUAGCGGGAACACCUCACCCUUAUAAGUCCAGUUGACCUUAUCAGGCACAUACUCAAUAUCCAUAAUGCUUACAAGAAUUCGGGCAAUCCCAUUGGCACGAGUGAAAGCCAUGUCUACUUUUUCUGUUUUUCCAACCAGGAUGCCCAAACUGGCCACAACGCGAGCAUCCUGCAGAGGCUUAGAUGGAGCCCCCAAAAACCGCAGCCAUACCUGUGUAAGCGGUUUUCCUUUAGGCUCAACCUGUUUCCACUCAUUAAACUCCAGAAUACACUUAGUACCGGGAACUUUACACAAGCCAAAACUUAACAAUCUCUGCAAGUCAUCGACAGAUGGGAAAUCAACCUUAAAAACUUUGUCCUCGAUGAGCACCAACUCCCAAACAAAAUCACCGGGAUCUAACUCCUGCAACCUCCUCACAAUCUGUGCCUCAGUCACCUCGCCCUGGGUCGCUCUCACAAUCCCAGUAGUCGAACUCUGGUUAUCCUCCGGGACCUCUCUCGCCUCCGGGGACUCAAAAAACAUGAGCUCAGCACAGUAGACACCAUAGAUGUUCAGAGUCGGAGGUAAGUCACGCAAAAUCGGGCACUCUCCCGACUCAUGUGCAAGCUUGCCACAUGACUCACACAGCUGGGCCACACACUCAGCAAUGAAGUGGCCCUUGUCGCCACAACGAUAGCAAAUCAUCCUCUCCUUCUUACGGGCAUACUUGGACGCCCUCUCUGCAUCAGACCUGCCGGCAGCCUCAUCCACCGUUCCAGCCUCAGUAACCUCAACAUUGGCCAACUCCUUCACCACCUCCAUCCUCUGUGGAGGGAGCUCUGAGGAAUGUUGAGUCUCCUCCGUAGCAUCAGUAGGAACAGGAACCCUAGGUGGUGGUGGGCGGCGAAAUCUCCCACGACCCCAGCUCCGACCACCACGGUUGCCACGAUAACCUCCUCUCUGACGGUGAUCCGGGCCGGAGGCCCCCUCAACGAAACCGCCGGCCACACUUGAUCUUGUAGUCCUCUGGAUAUAUACACAAGUACAACAAGCAAGUCUUCAAAUGAUGUGGAAGAUCCCAGUAACUAAGUAAUAGUAUAUCUUUCAUCACUUUUACAUUACCAUCAUAUCAAGUGAAGGACCAGUACCAAUGGAAUCAUGCAGUCUCUCCCAUUUAUCCUUCUUAUGUGCCUUAUUAGCAAGCAAACUUGCAAAUGUAAUAAUAGCCAAUGGCAGGCCGCCACAUUUUCUUAAGAUACCAGUAGAAAAUUCUUCUAGUUCAGAAGGGCAGGGAUCAUCCGAGGAGAAAAUUCUCUUAAAGAACAAUUUUUGAGAAGCAUCAUCAUCUAGAGGCGCCAUUUGAUAGGGUUGGCCGCCAGAGUUGGAACAACACCCAUUAGCUACACGGGUAAUGUGUGUAGUAGCAAUUAUUCUGCUGCCAUUAUUGUUCUCAGGAAAUGCCGACUUGAUCAAUUUCCAAUCUUGUUCUUUCCAAACGUCAUCAAUAACAAUGAAGUACUUGCAUGCAAGAUCCCAUAUUGUUAAGCAUUGUCAUCAUUGUGAUGAAUUUCACUAGCACUUAAUUUGAUAUAUGCAAAUAGAUACAUAAAUGUUUCCUAUUUACAUGUUGGUAAAAUUUUCUUGCAUCAAUGAAACAAUUAGAAGUACUAACUUAUUACGUCCCAAUUGUUAUGACCGGCAUAUUAGGGCCUUAGCCCAGUUAGUUGUGGCCCAGUCUAUCUUAUCAUUAUUAGGGCCUUAGCCCAAUUAUCUUAGUAUGAGGAUUAUAUAAACUCGUGUAAGGAUCCGUUUUGGAAUUAAGCAAAAAGAAAUCAUAUUUGCUCGGCUUCCUUAGGGAGCCAGGAGACCUAACCCUGGCCUCCUCCUUCCUUGCGCCAUCUCCGUCUUAGCCGUCGCCUCCUCGCGCACGACGGCGCCCAGCCGCCGACGGUUGCGAGUUCGUCCACGACCACCUCCCUCCUUCCCCUACAACCUCCGGCCUAGACCCGGUAGAACUCUAGUUUCUGCCAGUUUGCUAUCAGCUAGCUUCGGUUCGAUCAUGUCUUCCCCGCCGCCCAACCCGUCUUUCCCGCCGUCGGUCACCUCGUCGCCUCUGGCGACCACCAUGACCGUCGCCCCGCUCUUGCCCGCGCUGGGCUCCUCCAUCCUCACCCGGGAGGAGGUGUCCGGGGUGCUGCGGGACCUUACCCUGGUGGUCCAAGAGAUCCGCCUGUUCUUGGCCGGGUCCUACAGGCCGCACCCGGCUGCGCUGCCCAUUCCCGCCAUCGGGCCGCCGUGGCUGUUGUGGCAGCCGCCGCACCCGGUGGCCUCCGCCACGCUCGCCGGGCCGCUGCAGCAGCCGCUACAGCUGCCAUCCAUCGCCACCACCGCCCACCCUGGCUGCAGUGGCAGCCGACGCUCCUGGCGGCCUCCACCGUGCCCGGCGCCCUGCCGCAACAGCCGCUGCCGCUGCCUAGUGCAACACCACUACAGCUGCAGCAGCCACCGCCGGUCAGAUCCGUCCCCGCAUCGAUCACGCGGCGGGAGUCCCGAUCCACCAGGUCCGGUUCCCGCCCUUGUCGUCCCUGCUACUGGCUUGGUUGACCGAGUCGUCGUCUCAUCCGGUCUACACGAUGGCCUCGGGACUGCCGCACGUCCUGUCACAGCAGGCGCAGUACGGCGGGUCCUCUAGCUCCACGGGCCCCUACGUUGGCCUCGACGCACCGCCGUUCCACGGGGGGCCCCCUAUGAUCACCGACCUGGCGCCGCUGCUCCGCACCGCCGAGCCGUACCCCCAUGGAGGUCAUACCCAGAUGGCGCCACGCUUCGCUAAGCUCGCCUUCGCCACCUACGACGGCACCGAGGACCCCCUCAACUGGCUUAAUUAGUGUGACCAGUUCUUCCGGGGGUAACACAUGCUCGCGUCGGACCGCACCUGGCUCGCUCCAUAUCACCUCCGAGGCGCCGCACAGACUUGGUAUAACGCUCUCGAGCAGGACGAGGGCGGCAUGCCUCCAUGGGAGCGUUUUCGCGAGCUCUACCUCCUUCAUUUCGGGCCGCCGAUACGUGGGAGCCGGCUGGUGGAGUUGGGCCGUCUCCCCUUAACCUCUACGGUGCAGGACUUCACCGACCGCUUUCAGGCCCUGGCGUGGCACGCGCCCGGCAUGAUGGCUCGCCAGCAGGCCGAGCUCUUCGUCGACGGUCUACCGGAUCAUAUUCGCAUGGACGUGGAGCUGCAGGGACCCCAGGAGCUCCAGAAGGCCAUGUACUAUGCCCACGCGUUCGAGUGCCACGCGGUAGCCAUCCAGCAGGCGUCACCGUCCCGGGCCACUGGGCCGCCACCCUGGCCGGACGUUCCCGCGCAGGAUUGGCCUAUUCAGGCUUCCGCGGCACCCCUCUUCGUGACCGCGGCGCGCCCGUUCCGCCGGCUCACCUCGGCCGAGCAACUCGAGCGUUGCCGCCAAGGUUGUGCUUCAAUUGCGACAAGCCCUACGUGCCCGGCCACGUCUGUCCACGACUCUUCUACCUGGAGGCUGCGGACUACAUUGAGGAGGAUGCCGCCGCCGCCGGGCUCGGCGACCUGCCCGCCCCAGCUGUCGCGUAGGUGUUUGGCGACGGUUGAUCACCUCGAGGAGUUCCGCAAGCGCUUCCCCGGCUUCCAGCUCGAGGACGAGCUGUUUGUGCAGGCGGGUAGAAAUGUUAUGACCGGCAUAUUAGGGGAUUAGCCCAGUUAGUUGUGGCCCAGUCUAUGUUAUCAUUAUUAGGGGCGUAGCCCAAUUAUCUUAAUAGGAGGAUUAUAUAAACUCAUGUAAGGAUCCAUUUUGGAAUUAAGCAAAAUGCAAUCAUAUUUGCUCGGCUUUCUUAGGGAGCCGGGAGACCUAACCCUAGCCGCCUCCUCCCCUGCGCCAUCUCCCUCUCAGCCGCCGCCUCCUCGCGCACGACGGCGCCCAGCCGCCGGCGGCUGCGAGUUCGUUCACGACCAGCUCCCUCCUUCCCCUACAACCUUCGGCCUAGACCGUAUAGAACCCUAGUUUCUACCACUAGGGUAAGUGAAAACAAAAGUAUAUGAAGCGCAUAGAGGGACUAUAUGAUAUAUCAUUCAUAGAAGAAAGAAAUAAGUCUAUUUUACCCCAUUAAACAAGUGUCAAGUUUGAGUUUCAAUCUCAUUUUUUUUAGAAAAGGAGGAUGACCCCCGGCCUCUGCAUCUAGGCGAUGCAUACAGCCACUUUAUUAAUUAUUCUCACAAGACCUUACAAAGUCAUACAACAGUAAGACUAAAGCCGACGUCUAAGCAACAAACUGUCGCUACACCUAUUCAGUUGAUGAAGGGGCGCAUAUAGACUGGGUCUAAUACCAAAACAGACAUCACAGCCAAGCCUAACAUCUAAGACCUGAGACCCCAACCUAGCCACUUGCGGGGUCUGGGGCACACACUGGUCCGGCGUGCUCUCAGAAGCCGCCGCUAUCAACUGCCACCGCUCCAUCUUCAGAACUGUACUGAUGCAUCAACCUUGCUCGGUCCAGCUAUCGUCGACGCCACCACGGCGCCCAACGGCUCCUCCUCCCUGCGCGCAAACAGCUGAACAUGUCGUGGUCACCACUGAUACACCUCAGUGCCAUGCUGCCAAGUACCACCAGCCGACACAGCUUGAAGCCUUUGGAGGAUCUGUCGUGCGCAGCACCUCGGCCAAGCAUGACCAAGCGUAGCACCUAUCGGCCAGGCAUGACUUGACAUCUCCAUCGAAGCUCCGUGCAAGACGAAGCCGCUCCACCUCCUGCCUCUGACUUCCAGCGCUGCUCCACAAAACGAUGCUCCCAAGAGAGAAAUGACACCGCAGUGCCUUCAUCAAGGUAACGACGUGGAACACCGCCAUCACCCGCCGUCGGCUCGGUUUUCACCGGCAACUACGUCUUCCUGACUCGCAGCUGGUGCCAGAUGACGGAUCCCGAGAUCCGAACACCCAGCCUCAGGCCGACCAGCUCUCACGGAAAAGAUGACCACCACCGCCAGCUGCACCGGUCAGAACAGAUCCGAUCGAAGGUGCCGCCGACGAAACCACCAGGCCCUCCACGCCGCCGUCGCAGAUCUGAAGGCAGCAUGCAUGCCACCGCAGUCAAGCCGGCGAGUUUCAAUCUGGAACCUAAUAAUACUACCACUAAAAACACGAACAUCAGCUAUUGACAACCAUAAUGAUUCACGUCAUGUCAUGGCUUCAUGCAGUCUAAUUUUUUUGUGGGAGCCAUAUUUUGUCCAUGUUUCCUUUAUUCUCCGUCCUGUGUGUACAUGGAGCCCUGCCGCCUUGCUCACUCAUGCCUUGUCGCACAAGCAGCCAUCCAGACCAGACAAAACUGCCACGAUUUGAAUCUGAUGUUGAGGUUUGAAUUCAAAUCGAUUUAUUUCAUCUGUAGAAUCAAUAAACCUUUGUCCAAAGAAAGGAGUGACGUUCAUAAAACGGUUGUAGUUUGGGUCGGGGUAUAAUGAAGUACUAUUUCGGCAGUCGGGCGGGACUACGUCAUUGUAGGGUAUAGUCUGAAAUUAUAGCUUAAACUCAGGCAAUCUAUCACCAAUCGAGCUAUUAAUUAGUACUAACAUUUUCGAUUGAGAAAGAGUAUGACCCAAAAAGGAAGGUCAAACUGAUCAUGUAUUGGUGAAGUUUGUAGCAACNNNNNNNNNNNNNNNNNNNNNNNNNNNNNNNNNNNNNNNNNNNNNNNNNNNNNNNNNNNNNNNNNNNNNNNNNNNNNNNNNNNNNNNNNNNNNNNNNNNNNNNNNNNNNNNNNNNNNNNNNNNNNNNNNNNNNNNNNNNNNNNNNNNNNNNNNNNNNNNNNNNNNNNNNNNNNNNNNNNNNNNNNNNNNNNNNNNNNNNNNNNNNNNNNNNNNNNNNNNNNNNNNNNNNNNNNNNNNNNNNNNNNNNNNNNNNNNNNNNNNNNNNNNNNNNNNNNNNNNNNNNNNNNNNNNNNNNCACACACACACACACUAAUUUAAUUACAAUUGGCUGAACUGAAGUGAACCUUUUUUUUAUGUGUGCCAGAUUGAAAGUACUUACUGAAUGAGUGUUUGUCAACAACGGGGUAGGCUAGUUUGAGGUAGAAAAACAAACUAAAUGUUCAAGGAACUAAACAUACUCAAGACGGCUAGAGAUGACCAUUUGAUCUAGCCUGGUUCAAACAAGCUAACUUUAAAUAAUAAUUAUUAUUUCUGUCGUCCAAAUGUAUGAACCAAUUAAUGCUAGGCGCUUGUAUACAGAGGGGGAAUAAAACAACACAAAUCAUCUAUAAUCCGUACCUCUUUCCUGUCAAGAUCUGUUUGAUUUCACGAAUUAGUUGUUCCUUUUUCCAACUCUGAGAUUCUUUGAACGCAUCUUUAUCGAUCUGAGACAAGAUAUCUUUCAAGAGAUUCACCAGAUCAAGUAUGCGUGACACUGACACACAAGCUUGGCAUUGGAAGUCCCCUCCUGGUCCAAUCUUGCGAUAGACCUGCAUGGCCAGGGUUGUCUUUCCCAACCCUCCUGAUCCGACAAUCGGCACCACUUUCAACUCCUUACUCUCAUCCAUCAGCAAGGCAAUGACAUGCUUCAUUGGGCCGUCCAUUGCCACCAAGCCCUUGACCUCCUCGUAGAUCGCAGUUAUCCGCGGGUCUAUCUCCACCGGCCUCGUUGCACUGUAGUAACUCUCAUCAAGCUUGUACCUAGUAUCAAUUUUUUUGACAAAAAAACACUUUAUUAAUAUCACGUUGCAUCGAGAAGAAAAUACAGCUUCAAGAGUAGGAAGCUUGUACCUAUCACGGCGCUCACUUUCCUCCAUGACGCGAGCUUUGAGCUCUUUGAUUUGAGUAGCGAUGUCAUGGCGUGCCCACAGAGUCUUGAGCCGGCGCGCCAUCCUCUUCAUAAACUUUGGUUUGGCAUCACCGCUUCCAAGCCGGUCCAUGAAGCGGUCGAUGCAGUCUUCUAUGUCGUAGCUAAGAUCGCGCACUUUAUCUCUCCAGCCCUUUGCCAGGCCAUCGAGUUUCUCCUCCAUGCCCGCCAGCCUCUCCAGCAAGACUCGCAUGCUGCUGAGCUCGCGCUCAAGGAACUGGAUCUCCUUGCGGACCCUCUUGAGCAGAUUGUACUCGUCGCUGAGCAAGGCGGUGAGCUUGCCGAGGAGGGAGUUCAUUGCCCCGGUCCCAAUGCUCACUCCCGCCAUAACCUUUGAUGAAUGAAGGAAGGUGGACAAGUUCAGUAGGAAGAGAAGAAGCUGCUGAACAAGCUAGCUAGUGCUAUGGGUGGCCUUGUUUGGUGGAGAAGCAAUGGCGCUGGGCACUAAGCUAAGAAGGCUCAGAUGCGACCUUGGGAGGGGAGAAAAUUAGUCUCAGAUGCGGCUUAGUGUACCGUGUUUGUGUCGGGGUUUAUAACUAUUAACUAACCUAGGGAGUAUUAAAGCACUGCAAGCAAGCAUGGGGCGGUGCAUUAGUUUACUUCCACUGCCGGUCUGCCACGCAGCUGUCUAUUGAUCAUUCGACUGUUCAACAAUCAACACACGGUGUUACCGUUGGAUGGACUGGAGAACUCAUCGUUAGCUCCCGUAGAGAAUCGAUCUGUUUGCUUGCGCUGCUGCUGUGAAACACAGCGUGCAAUGUGCCUUGCAUCAACACUUGCCUGGCAACAACAGGUGCUCUUAUUAGUUUUCACACAUUUCUUAACUGGUGAUUAAUUAAUUUAAGAGCCCCGCUUCAGUACCCACACAAAAAAGGUACUACUAGUACUCCCUUCAUCUCAACUUAUAAGUCUUGACGUGUAUCUAGGUCGUCAAUUUGACUUAUAUAAAAUAAAUUAUUUAACAUUAAAAUUAUAUCAUUAGAAAAUAGAAUAUCUAAAGUUUCUAAUGAUAUAUUUUUUGAAAUAUGUACCUCAUAUUAAGUUGGUCAAAUUGAUGACCUAGGUACACGCACUAGUAGAAAAAGGGCCAUUCGACCCGGUUCGUGAGGGCCAUUUGUCCCGGUUCCCGAACCGGGACUAAAGGGUCGUAACUAAAGCCCUAUACCUUUAGUCCCGGUUUGAUCGGGAACCGGGACAGAUGGUGCUCCACGUGGCCGGAGCGGCUUGCCUAGGUAGGGGGACCUUUUGUCCUGGUUGGUGCCACCAAUCGGGACCAAAAAGCUUCCACGCGUCAGCAGUUCAGGGGCUGGGUUUUNNNNNNNNNNNNNNNNNNNNNNNNNNNNNNNNNNNNNNNNNNNNNNNNNNNNNNNNNNNNNNNNNNNNNNNNNNNNNNNNNNNNNNNNNNNNNNNNNNNNNNNNNNNNNNNNNNNNNNNNNNNNNNNNNNNNNNNNNNNNNNNNNNNNNNNNNNNNNNNNNNNNNNNNNNNNNNNNNNNNNNNNNNNNNNNNNNNNNNNNNNNNNNNNNNNNNNNNNNNNNNNNNNNNNNNNNNNNNNNNNNNNNNNNNNNNNNNNNNNNNNNNNNNNNNNNNNNNNNNNNNNNNNNNNNNNNNNNNNNNNNNNNNNNNNNNNNNNNNNNNNNNNNNNNNNNNNNNNNUUGUAGGGUUAAUUUAGGGGUUUCAUAUAUUGCGUUAGCUCGCUAAUAGAGAUGAGUGUCCUCUCUUAUCUCCGUGCUUGGUCGAUGCUACAUAUAGAGAGGACUCGACACACUAGCUAGCUAGUAAGCAAAUGAAGAAAACCAUUGAGUACAGAAGAUCGUCAUGAACAUAUACACAGAGAGAAGUGAUCGACCUCUCCUUCUCCGAUAGAUUGGUCGAACAACAAGUUUUCGUAUAUCUAUGUGACGUUACUGGCUAGGUGGUUGGGCAAAGCAAGAUUGUUGGGUACAGAAACAAAAGGCAACAUAGGCGGUGGCAUGAACGGACACUCGGGUCAUCGUCGUCAGCCACUCUCCGAGCGCUGCUAAAGACAAAGGUGCAUCCAUCGACCUACAGAGGUUGCCUUGAUCCUCGAUGAGGCCUCGCUGACCUCCACCGGGCUAGAAGGCGCAGUGUUGGGGCUAUGAUGGACGCGACGUGGUCGGUGCCACUCUCCAGUGGUGGAGCUUGGUUUGGUGGCAAGGAUAUUCGAGCUGACUCCAGCGGGUGGGCACAGUGGUGACGAGGUGGAGUGGCAGGGAGGAGGUGAGUUUGGGUAGGGGAGUGACGGCGGGAGCGGCGUGCUUGUAAGUUGAAGGGUCACCUGACAAGGGGCCCCAACUGUAUUGGAUAUACUAGGGGGUUAAGAGAGCAAAAAAAUGGUCCGGGAGUGAUGUGAACCAUCCACUUUUUCUAAUACACAAAAAAGUGUAUUGUUCAUUUUUUACAAAAAUUUUCAAAAAUUUCCACGCACUUCCAUUUUUUUCUCAAGAAAAUUUGAAAGCGUUUAGCUAGCAUUAGUCCAUCGUGGGCAUUUCAUAUGUUCAAAAGACCAAAAUAUGCGAAAAUGGAGCAUAAUUCAAGAACUAAGGUCUCAGACAUUGCAACAUUCUCACAAAUAGCUUAGGUCUCACAAAUAAAUCUCACACAUAGCUUUGGGCACAGUACGGAAUAAAAGGCUCACGCAUGGAGCUCACACAUCAUCCUCAUAUCCGACCAGGCUAUGAAAUGAUACGUACUUCCUCUUGGCCCGUGUCCUUAAGGCAUUGCUUCCUCAAGCUACACCACUAUCGAAAGAGACACUACUGAGCUUAUCAGACCGUGAGGUAUCAACAGCUGCAUGAUAAAGAAAAUUGUUAAACUAUAAAGUAACUGUCAAAUAGCAUUCAUCCUCAAAUCCGAGCAGGCUAUGGAAUUUUGCGUACUUCUUGCCGUGUGUCCUGAAGGCAUUGCUUCCUCAAGCUACACCACUACCGGGAGAGACACUAUUAAGCUUAUAAGACCGUGAGUUAUCAACAGCUGCAUAUAGAGAAAAUUGUUAAACUACAAAGUAAUAAUAACUAUCAAAUUGAUGUAGAUUGACUGAAACUGGAAGUAUGAAGUUGAAACACCAAAUGUGAAGAACAAAGUACACUGAAGCAUAGGCAACAAGACAACCAUGCAUGCAAUGAAAGAGUCCGUCACGAACUUGCCUCGAUACUGGAGGUUGUCUGAAAAAGCACCCUUCACACACAAAGUUGUCAAACCUGUAUAUGAACCCACACUCAGAAUAUUGUACAAGAUACCACAUGGAUAUUGAACAUAUAAACCCUCCUAGACUCGUAGUCACGACCGCGCCCUCCACGUCGCCCCAUAUAAUCGCUAUGCCACCGCUUGUAAAUUCUGCACCCCGCCGAGGGCAUUUUAGUCUUUUCAGCGGGCCAAGGGCAUUUUAGUCUUUUCAGCGGGCCAAAAAGGCAGGCAGCGCGGGCAGGGAGACCGCAGACUGCGUCUUCCCCACGAACCCUAGCCGCGUCCUCGCCUCCUCCUCCAUCCGCGCGCCGCCUCCUCGCCAAAAUGAUGGGUGUGCAGGAGCAUGGGAGGGUGAGAAGAACAGAGGUGGAGGCAGGACCGCGAUGCCGGAGCUCUAGGCGUCGCUCGCGUUGUCGUGGAGUGGAGAAGUGUCGCCGGCCAUGACUGAUGGUUGUUGCUCACCGGCCGUCGUCCCCUGUACCCAAUCCAGGUUGCACGUCCUCACACCGCCCACCCCCCUACCUCUUGAUCCCCCCAGUUCUCUGGUAAUCUGAUUUCGAUUUCUUUAUUUUUGUAAACAUGAUGUGCACAUCUGAGAAAGAAGAGGAGAGGAAGAAUCCUGAGGAAGAGUUUGAUGAAAGGGUACUCUCUCUCACAAAGUCAAGUUUUUUCUGCAUUCUGAUAUUUGUUUGUUCGGAAAGAUGUAGUAGCACCCGGGGGUCCCGGCACCCCAUUAUCCUAUCCGUUGAAUCACAUCGAGAUUCAUGCAGGCCUUGACGAGUUACAAACAACAGGAUGCUUAGUGAGGCCAUUUGACUCAUCUGACAAGCGAUAUGUACUAGGCCUUAGGUCUAAUUAGCAGGUAGUAGGUCUGACGAGCCUGUUUCCGACAGGAGUGACAGGCUGGGUCACGUUCUACACAGUCAAAGCGGCGCCUGCCAUAACCGGAACCGUUUGCUUCGGAGACAGUAAUUUGCAGAGACAUUUGCAGCUCAUCUCCACUACUCUAAAUUGGAAUCCUCUUGAUAAAGGUGGGACUCAGCGCAUUGAAAACAGCAUCUCGUCUCCACUCCUCUGCUCGGCAGUCAUAUCAGAGACAUGAACAGUAUCCGCGAACAUUGGCCCUGUUUGGAUCUAUAGGUUAGAGUUAGUUUGGGUUAGUUUGGCCUCAACUAACCCAAAAAGAUCCAAACAGGGAGGGUUAGUUUGGGUUAGAUGCAUCUAAUCCAUCCAAAAAACUAACCCAUCCAAGGGGUGCUUAUUUGGGUUAGUUCUUUUUGGAACCACUAAAAAACACAUUUUUCUCUCGCUCUUCCCGCAGCAGCCCCGCCUAUCCUCCCGUUCCAACCCCUCGUCUCCGCGCGACCCGUCUGCCCGCCAGUAUGCAAUCGCGGUUCCUUGCGCGGCCUGUCCCCGCCGGCAUCGGCCAGCACGGUUCAUUGCGCAGGGAUGGCGGAUUCGGCCGGCGGGCUGCGCGAGAGGCUAGCGCGGCUCCUUGUCGGGCGCGUCCCAGUCUGCCUCGGACAGCGCAGCUCUCGGCCAGCUCUCGGCCAAAUGAUUGAGAAAGAGCAUUUAUUGUCAAUCUAACCCUGCCAUCCAAACACCUUUUUGGUUUGAGUUAGUUCAGGGUUAGUUCAGGAUUAGAAACUAACUCUAACCUCUAACUAAGUUAGAGUAUCCAAACAGGGCCAUUUCCUCUCGCUCUAUAAAAACCACUCUGGGUCAAGAGAUUGGAACAGUAUCCCCUGUGCAUGUGCUGCACGCUGGAGAGAGACAGAGAUUGGAACAGUGAUGUGAUGUGCUGCGUUGGUUACCUUUUGAUUUUUUAAUUCACAGGCUGGACAACGACCAGGCUAUGAAGAUGGGAAUCUGCACUGUUCAUAUAGGCCUGCUAAUGCAAAACCAUUGCAUGGCAUGGCACAGUUCUCUCAGACUUGUGAUCCAUGCGAGCAGCUCCUGAUUGCCGGGUGCCCCGGCCCCCGGGUGUUGAAAAGCCGGUCUCUUGUUUGUUUUAGCCAUGUUUAGAUUAGUUUCUAUGUAUGCCAACUAUUUUGUUUGCUUAUAUUCCAGCGACCUAUGUUCCAUACUGAAUGCAUAUUUGUGCAGUGGUUCUUAGUUAUAUUCUGAUAAAGAGAGAAAAAAUUGGGGAUAGAGGUAUAAGGCCUUAGAUUCUUUGCCUCCAACAGAAGAAAUGAUUCAUGUGUGCCUCCCUUUUUGUUAUAUCUUACAUACUUUUUUACCUGGGCAGAUAUCACAUAGUCAUGGUUGGCAGCUAAUAUCCAAAAUUUUAGUGUUGUUAGUACACUGAGGUUUAUCUUAUUUUGUAAAGGUUUUGUCUAUCAAGAACUACAUAUGCUCGACAUGGUGUCGUGGUAUCUAUAGUUGUUGUGGAGCCUGCUGGUAUUCUCACCUUCCACUGCCUCUUUCCCCUCUCUGUAUGAACCCUUUCCUCAUUUGUUUUUGUUCGUGAUAUACUUUGCUUGUUUUGGCACCUUUUAAUUGAUGCAUUAUUCUGUCUAUUUUUUUUGUACUCAGGUGCCUAUGCGAGCUACAUUGGAAGAAUCCAUGUAUUUAGUUGUGGCAUGUUUGGCAGCUACAGCAGCUUGAUAAUUAAUUAGUUCUCAUCCAAGGUGAUUUACUUCUCCCCUUUCUUUUCCAAGAGGCAAAUAAUUGGCUGCUAAUUAGCAGCUUGGUUAUUUUCUAUCUCAAGUGUGAUUGUCGUCUUUGCCCUGCUGCUUAGUUCUGCUCCCUGCUGUGACUAUAUUUUGCGAGGCACUAAUAAGCAACAAUUGCACAAGGUCUAUGCCAGAACUAUCUUAGAUUAGGCACUAAUUUCUUUUGUACUUGUCUAGCAUUUGAAGAGUCCAUAUGUGAGUGGAUCUCCUUUUGCUUUGUCAUGCUACUGAAUGUCUGAACCCAUUUUUUGGGAAUAAUAAUAUAUAUGACAAGAAACCAUUUAUUCUCUCUCUGUCAAUAUUGAUAUGAGCUGUGCAUAUUUUUGGUUGUCAGUGAUAUAUGAUUUGUAAUUUCUAAUUGAUCCGUUCAAUUAUUUGAGAUAUCAUCAGUACAAAGCAUAUGUUCUAAACAAUGUAGUUUCAAAAUACAAAAAAAAUCUCAGAGGAAGGCUUUGUUAAGCAAAUACAUUUCGGUUCAUAUCGGCUAUUUGCGCCAUUGGCGCCAUCUUCCACACGCGCCCACUCCCGACACAGCUCCACUUCGGCAGCAUCUUGCUGCUCGAUGGCGACACCGACGGCUGCCCAUGUGGACGACUAAAACGGGGCUUUGCCAUGAUGAGUGGGUGGACGAGGAGAUGCAACAGCAGCAGGCUCGUGCAUCACCGCAUGCUACGGAUUCAUGCCUGUACCAUUUAGGAGGAGACAGGAUGGCAGCAGGUCCGCGCAUCGGCGCCAGCCGCAGGUUGACUGGCCGGCAUCAGCUCAGGGGCGUGAUGUGGGUAGCCCUGACCUGCAGAAUCACGCCCACGCCGCAUCCUCCGAGGUGCUCACCGUGCCCUACAUCUCUGUAGGCGCACGUCGGGCAGGAGCUUAGCCCCAUGUUAUUGCUCAAGGUUUGGCCGUGUUCACACUUGGAAUUAGUCCUUUAAAUGAUGGAUUAUUCAAUGUUUGCGCGGGUGGAUGUUAGUGGAAAUUCAUCUGCAACACAUAGUUGUUCGACAAAUCACCAUAUCUCUGAAUGUGUUGAUAUAUUUGUAAGAGAGACCAUACAUGGCGCAGGGUCAUGCAUCGUGAGCUAGCGUUGGAGGUAAUUGGAAAGUUCAUUGUGGAGUGAACAAGGGUUGAGGCAGUGUAAAAGGUGCACAAGGUACUAGAAUACACUGACAUACAUUAUAUUCUUCCAAUCAAUUAAUUGUUGUGUGAUGAAACACAUUCGGUUCUUUAGUUUAUCCAUGACAAACAUUGUAGCCUCCAGACUUUUGCAAAGUACUUAUGUUUAUUGUGACAAGUGUGCAUGCAUCGUGGUUUGGUGACUCCUCUGUAGUGUUGUACACAGUCUUGUAAUAUAAGCCAAGAGGUCCAGACCAGAAGAAUUCAUUUGCUAACCAUUCCCGAACACCAGACAACACACGCGUUGAAAGUACAGGAAAUUAAUCUAUUCGCCUAAAAUCCUUGUGUCCGAAGAUUCUUCUUGAUGCAUGGACUGAACAGAGGUAUCAGAAACAGCGUUGAUACUCCCAGUUAAGUCUUUAGGCAAAACAGAAGCGACAAAUGUCAGAUACCAUAAGGCCAACGGAACCAUGUUAUCUACGGUUGCAAAAUAGAUUUUGUUCCAAGAAACAAGUUUUAGAGGGUCUCGGGUCUUAUAUCUUCAUGGCAGUUUUUUGACCGAGGUAAUAAGUCAUUGCAUUGCACUCAUAUUUUGCGUUUGGAAUACCAGGACAACCUUACUGAAAAUACAUUCCCUGUCUUAUUAUAAGCAUUAUUUCGAUAUUGUAACAAGUUGGAUAACCACACAAUUUUUCACUUUGUCGGCAACUUUGCAGUUCUCCUAUAGAUUGAUCAGGGACUACUUUUUCCCGGGGACUCUACUUAAAAUGCUCAAUACAGAAUUUGGAUUCUUGCAAAUUCCCUUUGGGCUUUGGUGUUGUUUGCCAUGGGUUGGGACUCUCGCUGCUGUGGUGUGUUUUGGUGCUGGUACAUAUUGUCAUACCUAAUCAAAAUUCCAGGUGAUGGCUUCGUUUUGUUGUAUUCUCUUAUGGCAGUAGUUAUGUUUGCACAUGAAUGCAUGCAGAUUUUCUACAUGUAAUUAACUACAGUGGUGUUAUCUGUGCAUAUUGACAAUAGCUUUUUAUGUGCCAUUUUCCCGAAAAAGGCUUACACCCCGCUUUAUAAAUAAAGCAACUGCCACAGAGCAUACAUACCACAUAGGUCCACACGAACACACACGAGUCUCACGGAAAAGAACAAAGGUUCUGCUGAGGGCACAGCUCAACAAGCCCAAAAAAGAAAAAAAAAGAAGAGAACAACAACAUCACAGCGCACCCAACACAAGGUGGCUAAUCGGGCUCCGGCGGUGGCGGCGGCGGCGGCGGCGAAAGGCGGACGGCCAUCGAUCGGAUGUCGGCGAUGAAGGCGGAGAUGGCGUCACGGUCCGAGGGGCGACUAAGCGGCCGCCAAAGCUGCAAGAAACCCGAGAAUUUGAAGAGAGCGUCAGUAGGGCGACGAAGGGGAGCGCGCUGGAUCACAAGUUUAUUGCGAACGGUCCACAACGUCCAAGCAAGCACCCCAACUUCCAGCCACCUAAUGUGGUGAGAGGAUACAGGGGACAGUUGGAGUUCAGCAAAAAGGUCCGGGAAGUUGGUGUGGCACCAAUUCCCUCCAACCACCUCGCGAACGCAGCUCCAGAGGAAUUGUGAGGAGAUGCAGGAGAAGAAGAUGUGGUUUGAGUCCUCCGGGACACCACAGAGCGGGCAGAUACCGGUGCCUGGGCCAUUGCGCUUGCGGACCUCCACACCAGACGGAAGCCUACCACGGAUCCAUUGCCACAUGAAGAUGCGAAUCUUCAGUGGCACCCGAACGAUCCAGAUCAUCGAUAAGGGGAGGGGUGCGGAGGAAGGGGCGAUGGCCGAAUAUAGCGACUUGGUGGUGAACAAGCCCGACGGCUCGAGCCGCCACCGGGUACGGUCCGGCCUGUCAUCCACCAGUGGCUCGUGCAAUGCGACACAGUCAAGCAACUCACGCCAGGCGGCGGAUUCCGCCGGCCCAAACGGUCGACGGAAGGCAAGGCGCCCCAGAUCAAGAAGGGCCCUAUUGACCGAUAUCAUGGGGUCAACGGAAAUAGAGAAAAGGACGGGGAAGCGGGCCGCGAAGGGGGAGUCACCAGCCCAACGAUCAUACCAGAAGAGAGUCGAGAGGCCAGAGCCCACGGAGAUGGAGGUCCCAAUGCGCAGCACUGGGAGAAGCUGAACAGUGGACUGCCAGAACUGGGAGCCGCCCGAUCUCUGGCAGAAGGCAAGGGGUUGACCCCGAAGGUAUUUAGUCCGGAUAAUGUCCAACCAGAGGCCGCCAUGGCCCUGGGCGAUGCGCCAGAGCCAGCGGGAGAGGAGCGCGAUGUUCAUCCGCUUGGAGCACAUGAUGCCCAGGCCACCUUGCUCCCGGGGCUUGCAGAUGUCAGACCAGCUGACCAUGUGGUACUUCUGCUUAUCAUGCUCACCAACCCAGUAGAAGCGAGACUGGAUCGUAGCAAUCUCCUUAUGUAGGGACUCAUGGAGGCUAUAGAAGCUCAUAAGGAACAACAGCAGGCUAGAGAGAGAAGAGUUGAUAAGAAUAGUUCGGGCCGCCUUGGAGAGCCAUCUCCCCUGCCAGGGCUCACACCGGGACUGGAGCUUAGAGAUAGCGGGCCUCAAGUCCGCGGCAGAAAGGCGCGAGUCGCUAAUGGGGGUCCCUAAGUAGGAGGAGGGGAAAGAGCCCAGGCGGCAAUUAAGCCGCUUGGCAAUGGCCAGAGACUCAGCGGGGGAGUAUCCCAUUACCAUGACGUCGCUCUUAUCAAAGUUGAUCUUGAGACCUGACAUCUGUUGGAAGCAUAUAAGGAGGAACUUGAGGUUGGCGAUGUCCAUCUCCGAGCCUUCGACCAUGAUGAUCGUGUCGUCAGCAUACUGAAGGAUGGAAAUCCCGGAUCCCCCAGAGAGAUGUGGGGUAAUCCCACGAAUGUGGCCAGCCGCCUUGGCCUUAUCAAGAAUGGCAGCCAAGGCGUCCACCACCAUAUUGAAGAGGAACGGGGAGAAGGGGUCGCCCUGGCGAACCCCACAGAGGGUAGGGAAGAAGGGACCAACCUCGCCGUUGAUGUUAACCGUCGUGCGACCGCAAGAGACCAUUUGCAUGACUCUAGUGAUCCAACGGUCAUCAAAGCCCUUCCGAAGAAGGACUUCUCUAAGGAAAGUCCAGCUGACCGAGUCAUAGGCUUUGUGAAAAUCGAUCUUCAAGAAAACCGCCUUGAGGUGUUUGGACCGGACCUCGUGAAGGACCUCAUGGAGGACCAAAACACCAUCCAGGAUAUAUCGUCCUCUAAUGAAGGCCGACUGGUUAGGAUGCGUAAUCCGGUCAGCCAGCAGGGUCACCCUAUUGGCGUACCCUUUGGCCAAGAUCCGGAAGAUCACAUUAAUGACCGUGAUCGGCCGGAACUGGAGGAUGUCAGACGCCCCAGGGAUCUUGGGGAUGAGGGAGAUGAUCCCAUAGUUGAGGCGACCUAGGUCGAUGGCACCCACAAAGAAUUCCUCAAAGAUGGCCAUGACCUCGGGUUUAAUCACGUUCCAGAAGGUCUGGAAGAAAAUAACAGGGAGGCCAUCAGGACCGGGAGCUGAAGAGGAAUUCAUCCCCUUGAUAGCCUCCCAGACCUCCUGCUCGGAGAAGGGAGCCGUCAGGGCGGCAUUUUCCGCCCUGGAGACUAGCUGAAUACCGGCCCAACAAUCCUGGGCGAGGGAAACGCCGCUCCGAGGAGCAGCGGAGAAAAGGGACCGAUAGAAGCCAUCGACAUGAGACCGGAUGUCGCGAGGGUCCUGAAGAAGAGUGUCCCCAUCCCAAAGGAGGGGUAUGGUGUUGCGCCUACGGCGACCGUUGGCGAUCGCCUGGAAGUAAGCGGUAUUCGCAUCACCCUUCAGGACCCACUUCUGGGCGCCCCGAAUGCGCCAAUAGGCCUCCUCAUCAGAGUGGAUCACGGAGAGUUGGUCUUCGAGGGCAUAACGGGAGAGCCAGUCAUCCGGAGACAAACCCACCGAGUCAGCCCGUAGGUCAAGAGCUUGAAUCGCGGAAAGCAGCGCUUUCUUGCGCUCUCUGGCAUCUCGCCCAAGGUUGGCCCCCCAUCCCUUCAUAAACUGUCUACCGCGUUUCGCACAGAAAUGCCACGUGUCAAUAGCCGAGGGAGGCCUGGGAUGGGGGUGGGCUCGGGCCUCAAUCCACCGGGCGCAAACCGCGUCCGUGAAUCCUGCCUGGGAGAUCCAGAAGGUCUCAAAGCGGAAGCGAGGAGUGAUCGGCGGGCGAUCGUCCGCAGAGGAGAGAAGGAGGGGGACAUGGUCCGAGCCAAUCCUAGUGAUGGCGCGGAGAGAGGAGAGGGGGCAACGGAGGUCCCAAUCCGGGGAGACAAGGACCCUGUCCAACACGGACUGGGUCGGGGAAGAUUGUCGAUUGGUCCAGGUGAACCGCGCACCAAUCCUAUCAAUCUCCCGAAGGGCGAGGUCAGCGAUGAAGUCAUUAAACAUCUGCAUUCUGGCAAAGCACACAUUGUCGUUGCUCUUGUCUGCCGCCACGCGCAGCAGGUUAAAGUCGCCACCCACCACCACGGGGAGGGAGGCAGCCGAGAUUUUAAGAUGAAGCUCAUCGAGGAAGGCAGCCGACCUACUAUGGUCGGCAGGCCCGUAGACAAUGAUGAUCUCCCAUUUGAAGUUGAGAGAUCUCUCGAAGAGCUCCAUGCUGACAUAGAAUUCCCCCCGGUCCAUACUGCCCACCUCGAAUGUGGCAUCCUUUACGCCUAAAGGAUGCCACCCGAGUGGCCCGAGCUCCCACUAGAAGGGAGCCAAUGCCACGCAAAGAGGUGGGAACUCAAACGAUCGAGCUCGGGGAGCGAGAAUUCGCGACGCAUGGUCUCCUGGAUAGCAACGAUGUCGAUGUGUUCCUCUCGCAUGUACUCCACAAGUUGGCGGCGACGACCCUCAUGGCCGAAGCCGCGGAUGUUCCAGAAGAGGGCCCGCAUUAUGGGGCCAUCGGGGGGCUGCUUGACCCCAGGACACGGGAGGCGCUUUGCGCGCGAAGAGCGGCAGUGCGGGAGCGGGUACGGCCUCGGAUCUCGCUCGGAGGUGGGGGAGCCGGUCGCCGCGGCCCGGAGGAAGAGGGAGGGAUCCCGUCCGCAGGGGCGUCCAGGGGGGAAAGGAGAGCAGCACGGGGCUCGGCAAGCUUCCCCUCAAGGAUCUCGCAGGCCCGGAUGGCAGCUAUCUGAACUAAAGGGGGGCCAACCUCCCCCCUGAAAAUAAUCGCAGAGUCGGAGGCCACUUUGGCAAGGCUGCCUAGGGGGAUAGAUUCUAGUGCAGAGAAGGAACAAGACGAAGCAGAGGGGGGGACAGGGGGUGUACCUGGCUCCAGGUUACGGGCAGCCGCGCGAAGCUCUGCUCGCUCGCGAAUGGGCAGAGCCGGGGAUCCCUCCGGGUGGGCCGCAUCCAGCCGCGCGCUCCGGCGAGAGGCCACCACCGGGGAGGAGGUCGACCUGCCGCGACGGGAGUACGCUGCAGUGCGGUGGGGAGGGGGCUGGGACGCCGUCGGGGUGAGCACGCGGGACGCCCCCUCCCUCAAGACCGGCGAAGAGGGCGACGUCGGCUGAGCUGGACCGGCGAAGCCAAAGAGGAGAGACUCAGCCAGUGGCGGCCCGGCCGGAGGUGGAGGAGGCGGAGGCGACGUGACGGGGAGAGGCGACGGAGCCGGGCCGUCGAGCGGGAGGGGGAGGGCGGCCUGGGCAUCCACCCUCCGAGGGGGGGACGGGUCGAGUGGGGCGCAGGCUGCCGGAGAGAAGGGGACCGCCGUCGGCGAAGCCCGCCCCUCCACAGGCGCCACCGACUCCCCGUGGGUGGAGGAGGCGACGAAGAGCAGGUCCGCCGAGAGCGUCCCAAUGGCAGGGGACGACAUAGGAGAGCGCGGGGAGGAGGCCGGGCGGACCAGCAUGCCCACACUGGAGAUGUCGCUCCCCUCGGAGGAGGAGACUGGCGCGAGAGCAAAGUCAGCCAGCAGAGGAAGGAGAGCGGCCUUGCGGCCCUGGUCCCCCCCCUGUCGGUGGGGGGUGGCGAGGGAGAGGGGGAGCGGGAGUCCUCAGAACCCCCCUCCUCAUCCGAGCGACGGGAGCGGUGCCGCCCGUGGUAGUCCCCACCGGCCCCCGGGUCGCCACCAGGGAGGCCAUCGUCGAAGGAACGGGACGCCCAAUGUGGUUGGGGGGCUCGGGGGCAAGUCUGAGGUCAAAGCCCUGGUCGUUGAAGAAGACGCGGACUGAGGUGCGGAGCUUGGUGGAGUCGACACACUUGACCUUGACCCGGACCUCCUCCUCCUUGCGGAGUGAGAGCUCGUCCACGGCCACCACCUUGCCCAGGAGACGGGACAUCUGGCGGAUGACGGGCUCGGACCGCGCAAUGUCGGGCAGGCCGGAGAUGAGGAUCCAGGCGGUGUCGAGGACAGCCACAGCCCGAGCGUCGAGAACCGGCUCGGAAAUCUCGACCACCAGCUGGUUGAGGGCGAGGGUGAUCCGGCCACUACGCGUCGCGUAGCCGUAGCUGGCAGAGUCGGGGAAGACGACGGGGAAGAUGUGGCCCGCGGUAGGAGUGGCCACCCAAUCCCAUUGUUGGCGGUAGAGGUGGUUGAGCUCCGCCUCGAUCAUCUCCGGGGAUGCCACGCCAUCGACGACAGUGACAAUCGCCUGGAGGGAGGGAGACGGUGGAGGAGCAUCCGGAACCUCGAGGUGGAAGAAGCCCAACCCCUCAAUCCCAUGCCCAUACAUCAUGAGCUCGGAGACCACCGGUCUAUCCGGGCACAGGAUGGCGGGGUGGCCGGGAUCCUUGCAGAGGUAGCAGCACUGGGGGUUGACGCAGGUGACCUGAGAGUGGCCCCUCACCCCACAGUUGAAGCAGGGGGGGCGAGGGAGGCCGGAGACGGGGCCCGGCGCGGGAGUGGAGCCAUGGCCCGCCGGCGGAGGCACGGGCGGCGCGGUGCGCACGCCACGCCUCUUCUUCUUUUUGGUCGGACCGGACCGACCAUGGCUGGGGCCACCACCCGGAGCCAGGGCCGGGGCCGCACCCCCGUAGGCUGCGGCAUGGGGCGGCACAUAGCGUCGGGGUUCCACCGGGGUGGGGAGGAUCCCAUCCCGGGGUCGGGGCGGGCUCGGCCGCGCGGUGCGGGAUGGGGAGGGAGAGCGGGCCCGACGGGAGGGUGGCGACGGAGAGCGCCGGCGACCACGCCAAUCGCCCGAGGAAGCCCUAGGGGAGCGGGACCGUCCACGGCCCUCGCGGCGGGGAGGAGAUCGGCGGCGAUCGCGGAGCUCGCGGAGCUCCCUCCGGAGCUCCUCCUCACGUCGAAGGCUGUCGGGGGAGGGGCGAGCAGGCUCCCGGUGGAGCUCGCCAGCCUUGCGCUUGUCCCGAGGCGCGGGAUCAUCCCACUCCCAUGGCAUGGCGCGCGAUGGCGAGGAGGGAGGGGACGGAUCCGGGNNNNNNNNNNNNNNNNNNNNNNNNNNNNNNNNNNNNNNNNNNNNNNNNNNNNNNNNNNNNNNNNNNNNNNNNNNNNNNNNNNNNNNNNNNNNNNNNNNNNNNNNNNNNNNNNNNNNNNNNNNNNNNNNNNNNNNNNNNNNNNNNNNNNNNNNNNNNNNNNNNNNNNNNNNNNNNNNNNNNNNNNNNNNNNNNNNNNNNNNNNNNNNNNNNNNNNNNNNNNNNNNNNNNNNNNNNNNNNNNNNNNNNNNNNNNNNNNNNNNNNNNNNNNNNNNNNNNNNNNNNNNNNNNNNNNNNNNNNNNNNNNNNNNNNNNNNNNNNNNNNNNNNNNNNNNNNNNNNNNNNNNNNNNNNNNNNNNNNNNNNNNNNNNNNNNNNNNNNNNNNNNNNNNNNNNNNNNNNNNNNNNNNNNNNNNNNNNNNNNNNNNNNNNAGGGGGGCCAGAUCGAGGGAGUUGUCAACGCCCUGGGCCUAGGUUCAGAAGUAGGCCGGCCCAGCCGGGGGGGAUGGGGGGGAGCUGAGCGGGCCGGUCCGAGGUAGGCCGGGGGAGGCCCAGGAGCGUGCAUGGGGGGUCCAACAGCCGGGGCGGGCCAGGGCCCAACAGCCCAGCCACCCGAGCGGUGCGGCCCACCAGCCGAGUGAGGGCGGGGCGGAGGGCUGGAACCCUACGGCCGCCAGCCAUGGGCACCGCCGCCGGCAUGGGGACGAGAAGGGAGGGCGGGAGGGCCACCGCGCCCCGGACCGCCUGCACCCGGAGACCGGAGGUCCCGAAGUGAGCGAUAAAUGGCCGGUACGGGGCGGCGCGGCGCGCCCGGCGCGAGAGAGCCGAGGAGGAGGAGUCCGCCGGCGCGAGAGAGCUGGGACCCGGCGGCCUAGCCGCCACCCCCGGGCGGCGCCACGAGGAGCAGGCGGCGCCCCUAUCGGAGCGCCCAGCCACGCCCCAGGUGCGCCCGUGCCUGCGACGGGGGGCCCGGCCGGCCAAGGUCCCAGCUUGGGAGGGGGCGGACCGGGGAGGGCUGAGAGGAGCCGAUGGGGGGGAGAGGGGCGCCCGCUAGCCGGGAGCCGAACCCCACACGCGGGGGGCUGAGCUCCCGGGCCGGCAGGAAGGGGGAGGCCGGCGACCGGGGCAUNNNNNNNNNNNNNNNNNNNNNNNNNNNNNNNNNNNNNNNNNNNNNNNNNNNNNNNNNNNNNNNNNNNNNNNNNNNNNNNNNNNNNNNNNNNNNNNNNNNNNNNNNNNNNNNNNNNNNNNNNNNNNNNNNNNNNNNNNNNNNNNNNNNNNNNNNNNNNNNNNNNNNNNNNNNNNNNNNNNNNNNNNNNNNNNNNNNNNNNNNNNNNNNNNNNNNNNNNNNNNNNNNNNNNNNNNNNNNNNNNNNNNNNNNNNNNNNNNNNNNNNNNNNNNNNNNNNNNNNNNNNNGGGGGGAACGGGGGGUCCUCCGCGCAGUCAGCCCAGGAGAAACGGCCCGGCGCCACUGCGGAGGCGGGGGAGGCCGGCCGAGCGGAGGCGGGGGAGGCCGCGGGGGAGGGAGGGGCGAGGCGGGAGGCCGCCGGCGAGGGGGCGGCGGCGUCGCGCGCAGGAUCGCCCGUAGGGUCGCCAGCCAUUCGUCCCAGCCAGUCCUUUCGUAUCAACCUUCGUACGUCAAACACUGUAGUUCCCAGGUCCAAAAAUUACCUUUGUCUGGUGUGUCUUUGAUUGAUCAUGUGCCAUUUUCAAAGAAGGCUGUCGUGUUUGUCGAUUCGGUCAUGGCUCUUAGUGUUUGUUGUUGUUGCUCGAUCUUCCCAUGGUAUGUAGUGCUACUCUGUUCUUCUUUCUGUGAAAGGAUAUGCUUUCUCCUUUAACAUACUGAAUGAAGUUUCAUGAAGAAAGAGUUGUUUUAUGUUACUUCCGAGGAACUGGCAUUUUUGAUUCGUGCCAUGGUGAUUAACAGAGCAUCCAAUGGGAUAUUGCUUUUCUUCAGAAAGUAUUAUGGAUAUGAGGCCGCAAGCUUUCCGCAUGGCUCUCUGCCUAUUGUUUUGGCACAUCUUUGAAUUAAUUUCUUCAAUUUGGCGGGGCUGUUCAGACUUCAGAUUUUUUUUUGGUUUGAAUGUAAGUAAUAUCCCUCUUUGUGCAUGUGUGCUUCUAUGUAUUUCCGGCUUCUCUAUUCACUGCCUAUGGAAUGCUUAUAUAUAUUAGCCUGUAGUUUACUAUUUUGAUCUCAGUUCAUAUUUUUGAUGCAUUUAUUUAAACUAAAAUAACUUGGAUAAUAAGCCUUUCCAUUUAAGUACUAUCUGUAUUUCCUUUGAGAGCAAUUUAGCUCAUAAAGAAAAAAAAUGCUUCAUAGCCAUUCUUACAUUGUCUAUAGCCAAUACUCCUAUUUGAAGCUAUUGAAGAAUUUCCCAUUUUUCUCUAAUACGAAGUACCUUCUCUGACGUGCGGUUAGCAUAUAUAUAUGAUAUGGCUACAACAUAUAUAGUUUUCCUUCUAAGACUGCUGCAAAUAAUCUCAUGCUUGCUGUCAUCAUAUACACAUAGUAUAGAUGAAGUUGGAUGAUAAUUCUCUCGUAUCACUAUGUGGAGCCUGAGCCUCAUACCAAGGUAGUCAGAAUCCCGACUCGACUGCUAGAAUCCUACGACUUCACGACCCUACGAAAGCAUGUCGAUCCAAGUCCCACUAUGAUUCCAGAUCAGGUAGAGUCCAUGUUGAGUCGCGAUCCAUAUCAUAGAAUCCAGUACAAAACCGCGGAAUCCCGACUAUGCUAUGGACUAUGCCCGAUUCUACUAAAUUAUCUAAGCCAUUUGUUUAGUUGUAGCAGAAUACUAUGCCGUCAUUCGGACCCUUUUUCACAUGCUCAUGGCCCUUUAUUCCCCUCCCAAGCCCAAACGCUCAGUCGCUGACAUCUUUAUUUGGCUCUCAGAAACCCUAGAUCAAAAUGAGGAUCAGGCUUGUCGACGGAUGGAAUUAGCAUAAGAAGGAGGAUGCGUCAAGAUCAAUCGGAGAAGGAGAGAAAGAUCCGUCAAGGUUCAACACUGCGGAUUAGCUAUACAAGUGAUCGACUAUUCAUGAACUCUUAAAAAACCUCCUAAGUAAAUUUCAUGCACGAAAGAUUUAAAGGUUCUAUAUAUUUCCCUCUCAUAUGUGUUCCAUACAUGCAAGCUAGAUUGUAGGAUAGCCAUGAAAAAAAGUGGAAUACAACUAGCAUUGAUGUGUACGUUUUUUCUCUAUAUUUAUUAUUAGAACUCCAUAGAAUCCAUAUAAAUUUUCGGCGUGGAUACAAAAUAUCUUAUUUGAGAAAAUCUAGUAGAAUCCUCGAUUCCACGACUCGAUACUACGACUCGAUUCUGUCUAAGGAAAAUCGAUCCGACUCCGAAUCCCGACUUUGACUACCUUGCCUCAUACUAAUCUUGCACGGUCAAGUUUAUUCCUGCAAUUUAAUGUUACGAUUUAUGCUAAUGUAAACAUGACCAAGCUAGAGGAGAGCUUUGGUUUUUUUUCGUAUUUGUUCUGAUAACAUAAUGUCUCCUAGGUUCGAUACUGUCUUCUCUCCAAUCUUGUUCCCUUCCCAGCUUCCACCCAUCUUCAUGAGCAAGUGUAGCUCCAUCCAUGACAAAGGUAUAUAGAUCAGAGAGGUCUGAGGAGGGACAGGGUUGGAAGCUAGGAAGGGAAGUAAACUUCCUGAGCUUCAGUUCUAGGUGAAAAGAGAGUGUUUUUUAUUUUGUAUUUACUUUUUUUUUCUCCGACCAAAGAAUUGUUUUGUUGGACUAUACGACUGGAUUGAAGUUGCUAGCCUGAACGCAAAUUUCCUUGAGAUGGUUCAUUACCAAAAUCCUUAAGAGAUGUUUGAAGGUGGGUCAGUGAGUGGUGAUGAUGUUCAUGAGAAUUCCCACACAUUGGUAAUUUUUAUAUGGAGGUGCAGAGUGCCAGGAUCUCAAAUCUAGAGCAAUCUUGUGUCAGUGUUCACGUAUUGUGAUUAUCUAUGUGGCAUUGGGAUAGUAAGUUCCCCCGUCCAUACAAGGGCGCUAUUUACAAUAUGAGGGAACUUAUGAUUUAUAGGAGCUACAACUUAUGAUUUAUAAUGCUGCUCUUCCAUGGUUAUAUAUAAAAUAAAACAAAUUAAGUCUUUCCUUUCGGUUUUCAUCACAGUUCCUUUUCAUGAUUCUGUAGCACUGGAAUGAUUAGUUUGUUCUUCAGUAACUUCUUCUUCAGUAUCAUAGUUAGUAAACAUAUGAGGUUUGGCAAGUUAGUAUUUACCAUUGAUGCUUGAAAUAAAUAGCAUGACUGGUGUUGCACCAUGUGUGUGUAGGUUUUUCCUUUUAGUUUACUUAUAUAUGCCUCUCCUAUAUUCUAAAACAAAUUCGAACUGUUAGUAUUUACCUUAAUCUCUUCCACAUGGAAGAUAGGAAAACUACAUACGGAAGGAUGAGUUCUAUAGCGUAUCAGAUUCAGGCAUUUGCACUAUUUUCUUGAUUACCUCACUAUGAUUAUUGUUGUAGACUUUUAGUAUAUUCCUCACAGGCGAACCCGUAUUUUCUUCAAAUCUAUAGCACACAUCUUUUUGCUAUAGUCAUUUCGCCAUGGAUGCAACAGUCUAGGAAAACAAGAUACCUGUCUGUUUUCAUUCAUUUGCCUUUUUAUGUGAGAAGUGCCUCCAUGGGAUUAGCGACGUGUAUUUAUGCUUACCCCUUUUUAGUGUUUGGUGAAGCCGAUGGACUGUGAACAUUAUGUACCACAUAUUCUGGCCUUUUGCCUUUUUAUUACUUAUAAUAUGUCAUGACAAUUUAUUUUCCUGAGUCAUUUAGUCAAACUAGCCAGUCAAGGAUAGCCAAUGGUCUUUUGGCUAUUUGUUUGUUCAUUUAAUUCAACAUGCAUGUUUCUGGAGUAGUCUUGGCGCAAGACACAUAAUCAAAGUUGAUUUUCUUAUAAGCUGAUCAUCACAUAGCUAAUUGGUAGUUACACUAGCUGAGCUUGUCCUAUGCUCAUUGUACAGGAUAGAUAGUGUAUGUGAUCUUCUUGAUGAGGAGAAGUCUUUUUAGAGAUUCCAAUAUAAAUUACAUACGGAUGUAUAUAGACAUAUUUUAGAAUGUAGAUUCACUUAUUUUGUUCUGUAUGUAGUCCGCAUUGAAAUCUCUAAAAGGACAUAUUUAGGAACGGUGGGAGUUGGAUACGAUUAAGUAUUUAAAUUAGCCAUAUGAGCACUGUUUCUUUGAGUGCCACAAGGAUGUCAUCUUUAUUCACAUGUUAUGUGUUAUGUGUUAUGUCACAUCAACUUCUGCCCUUUUGUUUUCUGCAGAACACAACAACUGUUCGUCACCUAAAAGGACAGGAUGACACCAAAGGAGUUAUGAUAGUAGCACUUAUAGGCAUCGAGGAAUUGACAAAGAGAUUACGCUUCAUAGGUAUGAAGUUAGAACAACGGCUGGAAACUAUCAAAGGCCGUUUCUAAUUACCUUUGUUGGAUCUGUCUUACCUACAAUGCAUGUGUGACCCCUGGAGAAGCCACUUUUUGUUUCUUCUGCAGUAUACUCCAUGUUUAGUUCCAAUGAUGCCCUAACCCUUUUGUUCCUGCUCUGAAGAAUAAGACAUGUAUAGGCUUCAGAUUUUUGUAAUCAUCUAUGUGCUAAACAUCCCUUUGUGGUCAUGUGUUUUAUAUGUAAUCAAGUAUCUAUCCAUGAUGAUAUAUAUGCCCAGCUAAUGUUUGAAAAGAUCCAUCAUCUGUAUCACCACUGCUGGAUAACCGCUAUAAAUCUACUAGCAGUACCGGUCAUAUAAAAUAGCUACCGUUACUGAUGGAUAACCAUUAUAAAUAUAUCAGCUAAUGUUUCUUUCAUUUAUUUGAUUUAACUUUUUAUUUUUUGAUUUGGCAUCUUUUUUAGACAAAAUAAUUUAAUUUAGUUGUGCCAAUUCAAAUUUACACCAUGUUGUUGGGCUUAGAAAAAAGGUAAAUAAUAAAUUAAGUUUUGUUGUGUCGACAUGGGCACCAGACACGGUUGCUGACGCCUUGACCUUAUCAAUCCCCUUCUUCCCUCCGUGUACCAAACCUUCUCUCGCUCACCCUUUGUCUUCCAGACCAUCGUCGUUGUUCCUCAACUUUGAUUGCAAUAUCAACACGUCAGUUCCUCAGGUGGAUCCUCACUGAAUCAGACCGCUUAACAGGCGAACCUUUACAAACAUGGUAUUAUUUCAAUUUUGUUUUAGUGUUGUUCCUUAGAGACAUGGUCAAAGACUGAGAAAUUUUAGAUUCACUUGCAUCUUGGUUUGCCCGUGACUGAAAUCAAUAUUUGUUCGUUGCUAACAAAAAAAGAUCAGUCGUCUCAUGCAGAUGCAUACCCUGUUGAUAUGUUACUGCUCAUUUUAGAAGUGUUUGAUUCAUCCUAGCUAAUUCAAGUUAACCUGGGUACAACAAUAGAUAGACAUUUAUUUAUGGACAACAAUAGUAGUGAGCAGGCAAUGUAAAAUGCAUUUCUGUUAGUUCGACGAAACUGACGGUACUUUGUUCUUGCUUCUAUAUCCUGAUUAGGCAAUUUUAUGAUCGGUCUCUAAAUAUUUCAACUUGCAUGGUUUGAAUUAGUUUCACGUGCUAAAGUAUAUAGUUUGAACAUAGGAAUUCCUUAAUUUUUCAUAUAAAAGGUUUAGAAUUAUUACCCUUAGUGCUUGCUAAAACUCAAAGUUGCUAACAAAUGCAAAGGUUUCUGUUACAAAAGGUUUAGAAUCAUUACUCUUGAUGCUUGAAUUUGGACCUUGCACCUUACUUGGGUAACAUAGAGCCAAAUGACACAUUUUCCAAAUUCACGUUCAAAACACUUCGGGUUUGACAUGGUCUCUAUCCUUGAUCAAACAUAAAGUUACUAUAAAAGGCAAAUAUUUUUCAACAUGAACAUGGUUUCAAAUGGGUCUCUGCGCCAUUUGGCGCACCGGGUCAUCUAGUAUAUUUAAAACUCAAUGUAUCUCCUCUCACCGGUUAACAUUGUAGAAGAUUUAGUUUUAAUUUAACACCUUCUCUGCUAGUAUACUAGGACAGAGCACCUAACCGGUUGACUCUACAAAGUAAAACUGUGUGUCUCUGUAGUCGUUUAUUUCACCAUAAGAAACUUGAUCCCAAUGAACAAGAUAAACAGUAGGCAUGAAACAAGCCAUCAGUUAGCUAGCCAUUGUCUCAAUAGUUGAUUAGUUCUUGUCCGGAUGCAAUCUGCCCAAUCCCAAUUCAUGGAGUACUAGUAUUCGUACUAGUCUAAUUGAAACACCCACUAAAAUUAGCCCUGGCACUUGCAUUCCCGCGAACCAUAAUACAACGAGAAGCUAGCUAGAAGGUUCAACUAUUUGCUCAUUCUCAGAUCAGUUUGCAGGGAUGGUAACCGCUAAUACCAUCAUGCAACACAGAUCCAAUUAACCAUGGAUUAUACUACUGUUGUUAAUACCCAGAACCAAUGCGUCGCUAAUAAGAUUAGAGGAACACGUACCAAAAGAAGACAAAGCUUUAGGCUAGUCAUAGUGGGGAGUAACUUAGACUAGUGUCAUGCAUAUGACACUAGUCUUUAUUACUACCUUCAUAGUGCAAAGUAACAUACAAGUAGUAUCAUAAAUGAUAGCAUUUAUUACAUUAUAGACUCAUUUUGCUUUGGGUUGCGUUAUGUUACAGUAACAUAUUAUGUUACUCCAAACACCUCUUUCCUCAUUAACUCUGUGCCACAUAAGCAAACCUAUCUUGAAAUGCGCUAUGUUAGUUGCUAAGUUACUCCCACUAUGACCAGCCUUAGGCCGCUGUAGGAGCAGGUCUCCUUCGACUUCGGCAGAGAGGUUGCGGCUUCGAUGGUGGUGCGGCCUGGGAAAGCCGCCACGGCGCUCGAUCUGAGGAACGGCUCGGGUGGCGCGUCGGGAAGGCGGCCUUCGACUCCGGUUCGCAAGAUGGCGUCAUCACCCCAGGUCCUCGCGCCGGCGGUUCCGUCUACGCACUCGUGAGAUGGGAUCGGAGAUAUGCGACAGUUAAGUGGGAUUGACAGAGCGAGGCACAAUGUUUCCAAGAAAAAGCCACGGACCAUAAUACCCUUCUUGAUUAAAUUAAGUAUUUUAAUUGACAUGUCAAAAUCAACGGUGGGAAAUAAUCAGAAGAGGAGUUACAGGAAAUUACGGCUCGUAACUUUCCAAUCACCGUAAAAGAGCUCAAUGCAAAAAGAUUGUGCACAACAAUUUUUUUAUAUGUAUAAAUACUUUCUUAGAAAUUAUUUGAAUAUUUUGCUUAACAUAUUACUUUCCACAAAAAUCUCUUUCACAGAUGCCAGAACAUACUUUUAGCAUGCGUUUGGUUGCAAGGAUGGCAGCGGAUGGGCUGGGAUCGUCCAAAAAAUAGACAUGUUUGCUUAUAAAGCACUUGAACGGUUCGAGUCAAAAAAAAAAGAAUAUGCCUUGAAGAUGCCGAAUCAUUCCACCCAACGAAAUCGGUCGAAUCAAAUGGCCACCCUUUGCAUGCAUGACCAUGUGAGCAUGAUAGGUGGUCCCAUCCUAAAUAACUAGUGCAUCUCUUAUAUUUAGCCAAACACAUGAAUUGAAUGGUCCCAUCAAAAAAAAUUGGGCGGUCUCAACCCAUUCAUAUAUACCACAUCUUCAACCAGCCGCAUCCAUCAUAAUACAUUUUUGUAUUGAGCUAGUACCAACUAGACAUCAGGCAGGGAUGAAACAGCAACCAAUUCCAAUCAAUAAUGCGAAUUUUCUAUCCGACGGUUGUGAGUAAAUAAAAAAACAUUUGAGGGGUUGCAAAAGUUACUAGUUCUCAACUAUUGCUAUUUUUGUAAAAGAAAACAUUUUUUUUCGAAAAGGAGGUAUACCCUCGGCCUCUGCAUCUCUUGAUGCACACAGCCAUUUAUUAAAAAGUAUCUCAAAGGUUUCAAAGGUUCCAAACGGAGGUCUCAAAAAUAAACAAAGGUCGUACUAAGCGAAGAAAAGCCACAAGCGGCCAAAAAUAAAAAUCACAACCGGCGCCAGCAAGACUAGGAGACUAAACGUCUAUCCUAUUAUUGGACCGCCAUCCAAACCGGUUGUAAGUAUCCCGUGCAACCAUCUCCCAUCAGCUGCACCCAAUAUCCAUAUGCUCCCUGUGGUCCGCACGACUGAGUAAUGACCACGUACGGAUCCAAGUAGACGCUCUGAAGAUGACCUGCAAAAAGUUGGUAAUGGUUUGUCUGUUAAAUGUAACGUCGUUGCGAGAAUUCCAUAAAGACCAAAGUAAUGCACAUGCUCCCACUCGGAUAUGUGCCGCGGACUUUGGCUCCACUCCAGUCAACCAGUUAUCAAAUAAAUGUGAUAUCGUGCGAGGUGGAGUUAUGUUGAAUGUAACAUGGAUAGUUCUCCAAAGCAGUUUAGCAAGUGGACAUUUGAUAAAUAUAUGUUCUAUUGUUUCAAGCUGAUCACAAAAGCAACAUCUUUUACUUCCUUCCCACUUACGCUUAACUAAGUUGUCUUUAGUAAGAAUGACACCCUUAUGCACAAACCACAUAAAAACUUUUAUCUUCAAGGGCACCUUAACUUUCCAAAUAUGAGCCGUCCUUGGGAUGGUCCCGGUAUUAAUCAAAUCCAUGUACAUGGAUUUAACCGAGAAGACCCCUGAGCUGGAAAGCUUCCAUUGCAAAAUGUCAGGUACAUCCGAAAGGUUAACCUCCAUUAACCUACGUACAAGAUGUAUCCACCUAGUCCAACGAUCGCCAAUAACAGACCCUCUAAACUGUAUGUUAAGCGGGAUAGUACCCAACACUGUAGCAACGGAAACCUCUUUCCGCUGCGCAAUGUUGUAAAGGGAAGGAUACUGUAAGGCCAGCGGCGAAUCUCCUAACCAAGUAUCCUCCCAAAAUCGAGUAUCCCGUCCAUUCCCGAUGAUAAAUUUGAUCCUGUUAAAGAACGCCACUUUCUUCCUCAUAAUCCCUUUCCAGAAUGGUGAGUCAGUCGCUUUUACCGUAACGUGGGCUAGUCUUUUGGCAUAGAGAUAUUUGUUACGCAAUAGCUGAGCCCAAACUCCAUCACUUUCUGUGCAUAACCGGUAUAACAUUUUCUGAGUAAGCACCUAUUUUUCACCUCCAAGUUUUCAAUUCCCAAGCCUCCCUGGUCCUUUGGUCUACAAAUUACAUCCCACUUUGCCAAACGAUACUUAUUAUUGUUCUCAUCAAUUUGCCAGAAGAAUCUAGAUCGAUAAAAGUCCAAUCUUUUCCGUACCCCAACCGGGACUUCAAAGAAAGAGAGGAGGAACAUGGGCAUACUUGUGAGUACAGAAUUAAUAAGCACCAAUCUUCCUCCAUAAGACAAAAGUUUUCCCUUCCAGCAACUUAGCCUCUUUUCAAACCGAUCCUCGAUACAUUUCCAUUCUUUAUUUGUGAGCUUACGAUGAUGAAUCGGAAUCCCUAGGUACGUGAAGGGUAGUGUGCCUAUUUCACAGCCAAAGAGCUGCUUGUAGGUUUCUUGUUCUUCUCUGGCGCGUCCAAAGCAAAACAGCUCACUUUUAUUAAAAUUAAUUUUCAACCCUGAUAGUUGUUCGAACGGGCAAAGCAAUAACUUCAUGUUUCUGGCCUUAACAAGGUCAUGUUCCAUAAAAAUGAUGGUAUCGUCGGCAUAUUGAAGAAUGGACACCCCACCUUCAACCAAAUGUGGUAUGAGCCUCCCUACUUGACCGUCCUGUUUUGCUCUAUUAACAAGAACAGCCAACAUGUCAACCACGACAUUAAAGAGAAUUGGCGACAUCGGGUCUCCCUGUCUCAAUCCUUUUAACGUCUGGAAAUACUGGCCAAUAUCGUCAUUUACUUUGAUGCCUACACUACCCCCUUGUACAAAUGAUUCAACCUGCUUCCUCCAGGCCUCAUCAAAUCCUUUCAUACGUAAGGCCUGCUGUAAGAAUGACCACUUCACUUUAUCGUAUGCCUUUUCAAAAUCCACUUUGAAGACCACUCCAUCGAGCUUCUUCGAGUGAAUUUCGUGUAAAGUCUCAUGAAGAACGACCACUCCCUCGAGGAUGUGUCGAUCUGGCAUGAAGGCAGUCUGUGUUGGCUGUACCACCGAAUGAGCAAUCUGAGUCAGACGGUUUGUACCAACUUUUGUGAAAAUCUUGAAGCUUACAUUGAGUAGACAUAUCGGCCUGAAUUGCUCAAUGCGAAUCACUUCCGCCUUCUUUGGUAACAAUGUAAUAGUCCCAAAGUUAAGCUUAAAAAGUUGAAGGUGGCCAUUAAAUAGAUCAUUGAACAUGGGCAUCAAAUCGCCUUUAAUAAUACCCCAACAUUUCUUGUAAAACUCAGCUGGGAAUCCAUCCGGACCAGGUGCUUUGUUAUUUUCCAUUUGGGAUAUUGCGUCAAACACCUCCUUCUCAGAGAAAGGUGCAGUUAUUACUUCGUUCUCUUCAUCUUUCAGUUGAGGAAUGUCGUCCACCAUGCUCUCAUCGAGGGCGACAUAAUUCUCAGCUGGGGCCCCAAACAGUUUUUUAUAAUAGUUGGUAAUAUACAUUUUAAGGUUUUCAUGACCAACAAUCGUACCCUCAUCUUGUUCAAGUUGAAUGAUUCUCUUCUUCCUAUGUUUCCCAUUGGCAAUCAUAUGGAAAAAUUGAGUAUUAUUAUCUCCUUGAACCACCUGGCGCACUUUCGCUCUACGUGCCCAUUUCAACUCCUCCUCUCUAAGAAGCUUAGCUAGCAAAACCUCGGCUUCUCUUUUAGACACUCGCUCAUCCAUAUCCAGCGCAGUACUUUCAGCUUUUAUGUCUAGGUCAUUGAGGAUCUUUAACAAUCUUUCUUUCUCCUUUCUAUAAACCCCGCUAUUGUUCUUAGCCCAUCCUCUCAAGAACUGUCUAAGAUGUCGAAUCUUAUUCUGCCACCGAUCAAUAUUUGUCUCUCCCCUUUGUUCCGCCGCCCAUUCCCUUGCUAUCAACGCAAGGAAAUUUUCUCUCUCGAACCACACAGUUUCGAAAGAGAAGACAUUCGUGUUGCCUUGGUGAGCCGCCUCACCAGAGUCUACAAGAAGGGGUGUAUGAUCAGAUAUUCCCCUUUGUAACGCUUGCACCGUCACAAGAGGGAAUUUUUGUUCCCAUUCUAUACUUGUGAGAACUCUAUCAAGUUUUUCAUACGUCGGAUUUGGAAGAUUAUUUGCCCAAGUAAAUUGCCUGCCUGUGAGAUCAAUCUCUCGCAGGUCCAGGCUUUCAAUAAUCGCAUUAAACAUGAAUGACCAUCUGCCAUCAAAAGAAAACAUUGGCAUUCAGUAAACAUUUUGCAGAUAGCACUCGUCGCUAACCAAGACCCCACCACCAUUAUCCUAGGCCAUUAAUCUGGACAUAGGGCCCGCUCGUCAGCAUCUAUUAUCCUCUCUCUCCCUCAGCCCCUUACUCUCAGUGGCAUUCCAUCGAACAACUCAGGUCAACUUCGGUGGGCAUGGGCGUCGCCUAGGGCGUGGUGACCAAGAAGGUCAAGACGAGGAUGAAUGCGCCAGGCGGUGUCUUCGUCAUGGCCGAGGACUGCACGGACACCGAGGUAAGAUGACGGUUUUGGGUCGCCACACAUGUCGUGAGCUACGCGUGGGCCAUUCUGUUCUCCAAAGAAAGUAUGGUCGGUUUACAUAAUUCAUUUCAUUCACAAAUUUGAAAUUUGAUGUCUUGCACUUUAUCGUAACAUCUUUUAUUGUCAUAGAGGUUAGAUUGUGUUUUCCUGUGUAUAUUUAGGUGGCGUUAAAAGGUAUACUCUGUUUUUUAUGGUUUUCUGGUGUCCGAAGGUGGGCACGGUUUAAGGUAUCUGUACUUGAAAGACGACUAAUUUGUUUUACCCAACGGGUUACUGCAUUACGUCUGCAUUACUGACCACCACUAAGAAUAAGAAAAUGGUGAUACAGUCUACAAUAGCUUUGAUAGGGAAUCUGUUUGCUUGCGCCGCUGCUAGUUAACACAGUUUAGGGGAGGAAAACAAAUCGUCUGUAGUGGCCGUUGCUUGCGUGACACGACCAGGCCAACACAUUGGCUUAUGCAGUCUUAAGUUCAGAGGACGGGGCUCCAUUACUAUUGGACGUACACUGAAAUGAACUAACAGAGAUGGAAAAAAUAGAAACGAAGGCAACGGUGCAUAUUGAGACUUGAGACAGAGGAAACGAUGGGCCUCAGAGCCGUGCUGCACUGCACUGAUAGGUGUUCUUUUGCCUCAAUUAUUUUGUAUGGUAGCUAGCAGAAUGACGACGUCUGCACUCCAGCCAUGCUCAUACGAAAAAUAAGGACAGAUCGGUGGAAAUUCUAACUCUGAAUGUCCUGAGUGCAGUUUCAGACUUGCUGCGGUUCAGUCCCAACUGACAAAACCAAAGAACCAACCAACUGUUAGGCAACAAGAAAGCAGAAGCAGGGCCUGAUGUACAUACAUGACCAAACUCACAAGUGACAACUCCAUACAUGAUGACACAGAACUACGUAACAAGGCGCUACGACGAAAGAUAAAUAAAAUAACAGUAACAGGACACUGUUUUGAAUCAUCCCCUUUGUGCUACAAAUUAAUCAUAAAAUGUACCUAAAUAUAGGGAGGGGAGGGGAGCACUGUUAUUUUUAGUUUCUCGAAGGUGCUGGUAUUCAUGGAGAAAGGGGAACAGGACAUGCAUUGAUAAUACUCCCUCCGUUCCCAAAUAAUUGUCUUUCUAGCCAUCUCAAAUAGACUACAACAUACGGAUGUAUGUAGAAAUGUUUAGAGUGUAGAUUCACUCAUUUUGCUCCGUAUGUAGUCACUUGUUGAAAUCUCUAGAAAGACAAUUAUUUGGGAACGGAGGGAGUAUGUCAUGUUUUGUAGCGUUUUAUCUGUUCAGUAUAUGAUCCUUCAGGAGUGUGGCUCAACCAAUACUACUGUUGGUAUUGCCGAGUGGAGACAACUCCUUUUUUUUUAUCAUUGGCCUGAAUGCAGUCCAUUUCUUAUUGUAGAUUGCAGCAGAUGUUCAGAAUGAACAAAUUACUUUUGCCUUGUUGUGUUUGCAGGCUUCGUCUCGUUAGGAGGACCUCUGUAGUCAGUUAUGAAGUCUGUACUCCCUGCCGUCAGUGUUGGAUGGAGUCCUGUUGGAACGGAGAUAGAGAUAAAGCAAGAUAUGGCAAGUUCAGAGAAGCAGAAUUUAUAGGAGUCAUUCGGAGUCGUGCGGUAGGUUGGUCUGUCAGAAUCUCUGAAAUUUCCGUAAGUACUUUGGUGAAUAUUUCUAGGAUUGAUAUGAAGCACUAUCACUUUAGUGAAAUUUCCAUCAGUAUAUUUUCUAGGUUUGUUUGCAUGAUUCUUUCAUUCACUGCCUAGCUCUAGUCCAUUAACCAACACUUGAGGGUCAGCGUUACGAUGUAUUAGUCGCCACGAAAGCUGGUCUUGGCAAAGGCUGGCGAUAUAUAGUUUCUUGAAAGGGACGAACUCAAUUUCCCGAACAGUAUAAAGGCUGGCGAUAAGAAAGUCAGCAGUCAUCGCCAUUAGCAACUGUAGAUAGAAUGCAAAACUCCAGGCAGACGAUGGUGAUGCAGAUGUAUUCCUGGAAAUCAGUAAAAGCUCAUCUUGGCUGGGACGGUAUCUGAAGUCGCAGAUUCAUGCUCAAGUCACAAGUAACAGAAUUGUAUUAUGUGUCUGAACUCCCUGCCGUCAGUGUUAAGAGUCGUGCUGUAAUGGAGAUGGGAAGAAAGUGGAAGAAGAAGCGAGAUGUGACCAGUUGAGAGAAGCAGAAUUUCAACCGUGCCUGAUGUUGCUUGCCUCUGAAAAGAUGACAUAUUCAUCAAGUUUGGGUGUAUGGCUGAAAAGCUUGAACGUUACUAUGGAAUCUUGGCCACCCAGAUUCAGUUAAAAUUACAAGAACAUGAAUGCACUCACAAAAUCGGCAUUAGUGUCUGAUUUUAUUUUUGACAGAGCCAGCCAGCUUAUCACAAGAUCGAUAGUUUAACCAACCAACCUUCCAUUUUUCGACAUGCAAGCAGGUUAUACAGAAAUACAUUUCUGACCCCAAUUAAUCGAGAGAAAUAGGUGAUACAGUUUGCUUGAAUGUUACAGCGUCAGUCAAGGGGGCUGCAUUCAUAUGACAAAUGGCGAGGCAGAUCCGUGGACAAGAGUAGCAUGUUCAGUCCCAGUGCAGAGCCGCGCUUACUUCAAUUUUGGUACACAAACAACAACAUAGAUUUGCCACCACAAGAGGUAAACAGAACUCAGGGGUGCUACACAAGUCAAGCUUCCCCAACAGGAAUUGAAAACACAUCUACUACUAAUGUCUGUUCUAACUCAAGCAACCCAGCGAAUUUUUCUCUCAUUCUUCUAGUCUCCUUUCUUCGCCCGAGAUUCUUUUGCGACGACCUCUUCCCACUCCUUGUCAUCCUUAAACAUGUGAUGUUUAAAGACUCUGCUGACACGGAUUCUGCACUUGGCGAGCAAGUUGGUUGAUUUCUCAAUGGAACACUCCAGAGCCUUCACCCAGCCAGGAGCUGCUCUGUAACAAUUGAUUUUCACCUCGAGUUGUGCAAGGCCUGGAAGAUGCUCGACACCCAAGUCUGCAAAACAGUCAGACGCCACAAUCAUUGGGCUCAAUUCAAGCCGGAGACAACGGAGUGCUUGCAUAGCACCUGGUGCAAAUGUUAGCUGCAGUCCACCCGUUGGUUGCACUUCAAAUUCAAGACGGAAGAGUGAAUAGUAGCGGAAGCGGAAGACCUUUAGCAGUUUGAAUCCAUCACUACCGAUGAUCAGCUUUUCAUUAAUGGCCCCUCUUGUUAUCUCAAGCUCCAGAUGGGCCAGAGAAGGCAUGCCCAUGAGAACUUGGAGAUCCUCCUUAUCAAAUUCCGUGACCUUUAUGCGUAGUUUCACGAGAUUCUUGAGGGAGGCCAUUCCCCUGGGAACCAUUCCAGCUAAUGAAUGAAUUUUAAGAACUUGGAGGCACGGGUAGGUGCUGCAUGGGUUGCAGAACAGACGCUUGGCUAUCUCUGCAUCAGUACGAAGAUAGCGAAGGUUGCAUUUGCCCGACUCAUUUACUUCCUCCGCAAAUCUCACUGGGUCGUCAGUUUCCCAGAAGCGUAACUCCUCCAAGGCCUGCAGACUACGGAACCCACUUGCAGGUAAUUGUGUUCUAUAGCUGACAAAUAGGCGCACCAAUUUCCGCAACUGCACCAUGGUUGAUGGCAGUCUUGGAAGUGCACAACAUCAUCUCAAAUCGAGAGUCUCUAAGUGCUGCAGCUUUCCGAUUUCACCAGGAAGCUCAGUAAUCUUACAAUCGCCAAUUCUCAAAUACCUCAGCUGACGCGAACUACCUAUAUGUUUUACAUGCUUGUUUUCCAACCAAUUACAAUCUCCAAGAUCCAACACCCGCAAAGCAUGGAAGUCCACAAGAUGGGGUACUACCGGCUUAUCUGCCUCAAACACAGUCAAUGAGCGAAUAUGUAUCUUGGUCUCUGUAAUUGCCCCAACUGCCCCUUUAUGCUCUUUGCCACUAGAUUGCAUGGACAGACGACGUAUCUUAUUUGGGAAAGAAUUGCAUAUACGCCCAUUUAAGACAGUGGCAAAAUUCUCUUCAUCCGAUAAAGAUAUAAUAAGGUCAAGCACCAUAUCAUGGACCCUACAAUAUUUCACCGAACUGUCAUAAUUACCAUAAACUGGCUGGAUCAUAUUUCUAUUAACGAGCUCAUUAAAACAGUUCUCUGCUACUUGAUCCAAGCUUCCCCAUUGUGCAGCAAUGAAUCCUUCUGCUAUCCAUUUCCGUUUCAACACUUUAAUAUUGAUCAUGGAGUCCUCUGGAUAUAAGCACAAGUACAGUAAACAAGUCUUCAGGUGGUGGGGAAGAUCCAGGUAACUAUGUAACAAUAUAUCUUUCAUCCCUUUUAAGUUCCCAUCUUUAUCAAACGAAGAACCAGUACCAAUGGAAUCUUGCAGUCUCUCCCAUUCAUCCUUGUUAUGUGUCUUCCUGGCAAGCAAACUUGCAAAUGUAAUUAUAGCCAGUGGCAGUCCGCCACAUUUUUUUAAAAUCCUAGCAGAAACUUCUUCCCGUUCAGAAGGACAUGAAUCAUCUGAGCUGAAAGUUCUCUUAAAGAAUAGUCUUCUAGAAUCAACAUCAUCUAGAGGUGCCAUUUGAUAGGGUUGCUCAUCUGAGACGGAACAACAUAGAUUAGCUACACCUGUAAUGCGUGUAGUAGCAAUUAUUCUGCUGCCAUUAUUAUUCUAAGGAAAUGCUGUCUUGACCAAUUUCCAAUCUUGUUCUUUCCAUACGUCAUCAACAACAAUGAAGUACCUGCAUUGAGUAGUGUGCAUUGUUAAGCAUUCUCGUUAACUAUGAGACUUGCACUAGCCAAUUUGAUAAUGGCAAACAGAUACAUAAAUGUUGCACACUUAAUUUCACAGUAACUUGUUUUGUAUCAAUCAAACUUAUUAGAAGUAUCUCACUGCAUCCUCAUGGUAAGUAAAACAUAAGUAUCUAAAUCAUAUCAACGGAUAAACAACUUUCCAUUGGUAGAAGAAAGAUCAAUUCUACUUUAAGUUUCAACCCGGGAAUUUAGUACCGUUUAAACCACAAAUCCUUAACUAUUAACAUUGUAUUUUACCUUCUAGACCCUAACCACCCGGCGGGUGCGUGUUUGUCCAGCCCACCCAACAUGGCAUCUAAUUGAUGAUUCAUUAAGAUAAGAUAUUUGGAGGCUUGUAUUUUAUCCAUGUUUCCUCUGUUCUCCCUGCUAUUGUUGUUUGCACGGGGAGCCCUACUGCCUUGUGGCAAUGAAAUGCUUUAUCAGCCGCUAUGGAGGAAACAAGGAUUGAGGAGGUGGUGCCCAAGCCAAAGAUUAAAGUCGAAAAUUGCGAAUGUACAAGGUGCUUGAAUGUUACUAGUAUUUUGUGUUUUUAUUUUUAUUUGGUAUACUUGCUAUGUCUCUCCUGCUCAAUGUCAUUGUAAGCUGAGACCAUCUAUAGGCUACAGCUGAUAUAUUUGUGUAUUUUCUUUAAUGAAAAAAAAACACUGAAAGUAUGUAGUAUAGAGUUUAUUUCCUUGCAUGCAAUUGAUUACAACUGUCAGCGGGUCAUUAAGAUCAUUCAGAUUGAGACAGACAAGCCUACUAGCUGCAGCCGUGUUUUUUCUAGCUUAGUCAAGAAUGUUUGGUUGGUUUACGGAAUUCAAUUCUUUCACACCUUUGUAAUUUGAUAUCUUGCGUAGGUGCAUUUACUGUUACUUCUUUUAUCCUUGUUAAAGGGAGUGAGUAAAGUUUCAAUUGCAUUUUCUGGUGCACAUUUAGGUGACAUUAAAAGGUAUACUCUGUUUUAAUGGUUUCCUGGCCUCAUUCUGUCUCAAAUUGCUAUGUUUACAUGGCUUGGAUCGAUACCAUUGAGCAAAUGGUUAUGGUGGUCUGAAGAUUUAUUCUGGUGGUGGUUAUUUUCUAUCAUCAUCCAUUUAUCUCGUGGCAUGGCACACAAAGAUUGCACACAUGUUUCUUGGUUCUGGUUAAGAAGAUUUUAAGGAAGUUUUUUUAUGGAGAAAGAGUGUUCCAGGAUUCUGUGAGAAAAUGUGAAAGCAAUCUUUUGGAGGAAAAAGCAGGGCAGUCUUUGUUCAGAAUCUUUGUACGCGAUAAAUAGUUUCAUUCCUUCAUGCUGAUUUCUAUAAGUCAACCUAUCUGAAUCUCUGAAAUUUCUACAAGUACUUGGGUGGGUAUUUCUAGGAUUCUAAGGAUACAACAUGGAUGCUUGGGUUAAAUUGUAGAAGUAUAGCAAUUCAUUUUGUUAGUUGGACAACUAUAGCAAGGAUUCAUAAUGUAGCAGAGCCCGUUUCUGAUUUGCCUGCACUAUUCUUGCAUUCACUGUUGUCUAGCUCUAGUGCCCAGUCUUGUGAAGUAAAUCAGACUGAUCCAGUAUUUGUGAAGUUUGUAGCGACACUACGUCUUUUUGGGCUACCAUUACAUGGAGGGUUGAACGUGGACUUUUUUCAUGUGUGCCUGUUUUGUGAAGCUAAAACGUAAGAUUAAAAGUAUUUACUGAAUGUGUGUUUAUUACAACCAACAACCAAUCGGUAGGCUAGUUUGAGGUAAUGCGAAAACAAUAUAGAUGUUCAAGGAACUAAACAUAUAUACUCAAGACAACUAGAGAUGACCAUUUGAUCUAGCCCGGUUCAAACUAGCUAAGUUUAAAUAAUAAGUAAUUGUUUCAAUAGUCCAAAUAUAUGAAUCAGUUAAUUCUAGGUGCUUGUAUAAAGAGGGAGAUAAAACAAAUUAAAGUAAAUCAUCCAUAUACUCCGCACCUCUUUCCUGUCAAGAUAUGUUUGAUUUCACGGAUUAGCUGUUCCUUUUCCCAACUCUGACAUUCUUUGUACGCAUCUUUAUCGAUCUGAGACAAGAUAUCUUUCAGGAGCUUCAGCAGAUCAAGUGUGCGCGACACUGACACGCAAGCUUGGCACUAGAAGUCCCCUCCUGAUCCAAUCUUGCGAUAGACCUCCAUGGCCAAGGUUGUCUUCCCCAACCCUCCUGAUCCGACAAUCGGCACCACUUUCAACUCUUUACUCUCAUCCAUCAGCAAGGCAAUGACGUGCUUCAUUGGGCCGUCCAUUGCCACCAAGCCCUUGACCUCCUCGUGGAUGGCAAUUAUCCGCGGGUCUAUCUCCACCGUCUUCGUUGCACUGUAGUAAUUCUCUUCAAGCUUGUACCUAGCAUCAUUUUUACAGUAAAAACUUAAUUAAGCUCAUGUUGCAUCAUCCAGAAAUACAUAAGUGCAAGAGUUAGAUCCUCAUCAUGUCAAAAGCUUAGCUCCUGCACGUGCACCGUUGCUGUGUGGACGGUAUGACGACGGUGGUGAGUGCUGCCGACCAGGUCCCACGCGGCACUCGAGAAGACCGAUGAAGGUGGUGAGGGUCCACACACACAGACCAUUUGGUCUCAAAGUAGGCACGUGAUGAGUGGGUCGUUGAUUUCGUGCACCGACGGUUUCACACGAUAUUAUUGAAGCAUCUGGGAGCAUCAAUUUUAUUAUUUCUCUACACAUCUGUAAAUGCGAUUCUAUCAUGAAAAUUUGCAUGCCUAUAAAAAUUAUCAACAUGAGCCCGAGCUCACAAUAGCACUUUACAGAGAAGAAAUGGAGUAUGUGGAUUUGAAUCCUAGUUGUUUUAGAUCGUUUGAUUCAUGGGAGAAAAACAUGACUAGGAGCUGGAAAUGCAAUUCCGCUCUCGGGAGCAUGUGCUUCUGCCUGUGGAAAAGGAAUUUUGUAAUGUCAAAAAAUUCCUAACAAAAUCUUUAGGUGUUUUUGUUAAGGUUAAGCAUCUUGGCCUGUGUAAAAAAAUCAAAUUGAUCAAUUGUUACCCCAAAAUGUUAAACCCAAAUUUGUUUUUUUCAUCGAUGAAACACUGCUGCUUCGUUUCAGAUGAAAAUUGUCAAGCAUACUUGCGACACUAACACGAACAUCUACAAAAAAUUUCAGAUUUUUUUCAUAAAAUUUACUAUUUUUUUCAUUUUACUAUUCAUCCAGGUGAUGCACCCAGGACCCAAAAAGCCUCCCCAAUUUCUUUUUUUGCGAAAAAUAAACGUUUUUUUACAUGUGUGCCCUUAACUCAAACCCAUUACUUAGAUUUACCUCCAAAUUCAAAGUGUGCUCAAAUUUGUUGACAUGGCACAUGAAGAUAGCCUGAUGGGGUUUACACUCAUCCAGGGGAUGAUUCUGUCUAUGGGUUAUCAACAGAUGAAAGUUAUGAAGAAAGGAGCUUAUCAAGUGAUGUACUCCCUCUGUUUCUAAAUAUUUGUGUUUUCAGAGAUUUCAACAAGUGACUACAUACGGAGCAAAAUAUCUACACUCUAAAACAUGUCUAUAUACAUUUGUAUGUGAUAGUCCAUUUGAAAUUUCUAAAAAGACAAAUAUUUAGGAAGGAAGGGAGUAGUAAAUUUAUUUUAUCUUGCUUUUAUGUGGUUGUCGUAUUUUAUUUGGCUUCUUCAGGAAAGAGAUACUUCUCCUUUUUCCCUUUCUGUUCACGUUACCAAAAUGGGUGACUUUCAUUGACUUUUGUUUACUUAAGAGAUCCUGUUUUUGCUGAUCGUCCCCUUCUUUUACCAAUCAGCUGUUGAAUCAUUAAAGGGAGAUUUCUCAAAAUUUUGCAAGGAGUCAGAUGCGUUUUUCAUUUGAUGCAUUUUUUCCUUCAGAAAAUAAAUGUUGCUGUGCAUUUGGAUGUAUUUGUUUUACAUCAUUAAUCAUUAUUUAUUUAUCUUCUUAUAUCAUACUAUUAAAUGGUUAAAUGUACACAGCGUUGGUAGAGAUGUUUUCUCUGGUUAUCCAAUCAUGCAUUUGCCUGGGUUUUCUAGUCUUCGGCCUUCGCGUUUGUUUAGUCAUCACUCGUCGUUGUUCAUUACAUUACAUUCCUUCAUUACUUAUUUGUUUAUUCUGUUUCUUAGCCACUUAGUUCCUCUUGAGCUUUGUCGUUGUUAUUUUGUGUCUUCAUUUUCUAGUCUUCGGUCUUCUUGUUCAUCUAGUCAUCACUGUUCGUUUUCCCCCUUCAGUUUUGCACUGAAUGUCUCAGUCCUCAGUCUUCUCCUUCUUGUCAGUUUCUUUAGUAUUUGUUUCUUAUUUUUUUUUACUUUCUCAAUUUCUUACUAGCUCCUUGGUCUUUUUUUAGAGAAAAGAUGCAGCCGAGCCCGAGUAGGACGCUAGCCUAGUCCAACUUUAAAUUAACAAAGGCAUCAACCGGUUGGGGUACAACUGCAGAGUACGACAACGAACUAGAACAAAGAAAGCAGCAAGAUACAGAGGCGCUGAAAAGCAACUCACAAGCCUCAAGAACUUCAUACAAGAAGGAUAUACAAUGGAGCACUUAGCUGAAGGACUCGAGGUCCUCCACCACGACUAAACAUGGUUGGGAGCAAUGCCGGCUUUGGAGAGGGAAUGAAGCUGCACCUACAUGGCCUGCCUUUACCAAAACCUAAGGGCCUCGGCACGACACGACCAUCAAACCCCGUCUUCGAAGGAGGCCACAACCUCCUUGCCUGGAUCGCAAGGCGCCGAACCAUCGAACGACGGGAGUUCCCAUGAACAUGGAUGAAGCCGCCAGGUAGUCCCAAGGAGCAAAGCACCCAAAUGGGUCGACGAGGCUCAACCAAAGCAGAGCAAGCCGCACAACCAACGGGCAGAACAUGGCGGAGGAAAAGCUAAAGCUUGGACGAAGAACAUGCCAACGACUUUUGUCAACGCACCCUAACAGUGCCCACCACCCAUCCCUCAAGGCGGCGCCUUCAAGAAGAUCACGUCGCCGAGAACGCCGCCGCCGCCGCCUGUUGAGUAAAUAGGCACUUUUUCAACUAAUUUAAUCCAUAGAUGAAUCACUAGCAUUGGCAUUGACUGCAUUGACGACAUACUGACUCUGAUCUAAACAUGCACAUACUAAGCAAACAGUAGACAAAUCUACACAUAUUGCUAGUACUGCUAAUACGAAAAUAAACGGGAGCAGGAUAAACAUGCUAUACCCUCCAGUAGGCCAGGCAGAAGCCGCGACGGCGGUGACAGCAGCAACGGCAUCCUCGGCGGCCUUCUUGUCGGCCUCGAUCUUCUCGGUGGCGGCACGUUCGGCGGCGGUGGACAUGUGAUGACAAAGACGACGCAGACGUAGAGGAAGUAGUGGAUCGGAGGCGAGCAAUCGUGUAGUCGCUUCCCAAAAACCUAUUCGCCUCUCUCCUGUACAGGAACCGGAGAGACGGAGUUUCAGAGACCUGCUCUCCCGUCGACCGCGGCAGCAGCAAAGGAAUGACGUGGGCGGUUCGCGUGGGAGCAGAUGUGAUAUGAUCGUGGCGGCUAGGGUUAGGAGGCACCGCACACUUAUAUAGGCGCAGCCGCGUGGAAAGACGUGGGCUAGACCCACGUCCGAGUCCGUGACAGCCCAUGAUCCGACGUCUCAGAUUGUGGCCCAGCUGUCAGAAAACUCUCCGUUAGUGACUGGAAAAAAUAAGGGCGUAUGUGUGAGCUCAGCUUGGCUCAUUCCCGCAACCCGCGGCGCGUCGUGAUGAGACGGGCGGCGGAGGAGGAGUUCGCGAGGGCCUCUUCUCUUCUCAAGCUCCAAUAGCAUGUAGAAAAGGAACCCUUAUAAGGAGGUCCAACUCCUCUUUCACUGAGGUGGGACUAAACUUCGCGGGAUCCUAUUUGACGCCCGCAGGCGUCAAAAGGAUGAGCCUUCACUGAAGAGAGUCACUACUUGGGCCGGCCCACGUACGGAUUUUGAUUUCGCUGUUGUUUCCUUGUUUCUUCGGGUUUAUUUUUUCGUUUUUGGCUUCCAGGGUUUUCACUCUUGUGGCUGGUUUUCAGUUGUUUUGUUCCGAUUUUUUUAGUUCCUUUUUUCUUUUCAUUUUUCUUUCUUUUAUGUUUUCUUUUUAUUUUCUGUUUCUAUUCUUCUUCUCUUUAUUGCGUAUUAUAUAAAAAGUUCACCGCAUAUUACAAAAAUCUUCAUCGUAUUAAGAAAAUGUACAUCGUAUAUUAUGAAAUAGUUCAUCUUGCAUUAUAAAAAUGUUCAUCAUGUAUUAAAGAAAUCUUCAUUGUAUAUUAUUAAAUUGUUCAACAUAUAUUAGAAAUGUUCAUUGUGUAUUUAAAUUUUGUUCAUCGUAUAUUAAGAUAUUGUUCAAUGUAUACUAUAAAAUGUUCAUUUGUAUAUUUUAAAUUUGUUCAGUGUAUUUUUAUAAAAAGUUUCACCGUAUUUGAAAAAUUGUUCAACGUAUAUUGUAAAGAUGUUGAAUGUUUUUGAAGAUUUGCCGCUGUCCUUUCUACUUCUAGCGUGGCGCUGUGAUUAUGUCGUUCGAGGUCGCUAGCCCGGCUGGCUAGGCUCGCUACAAUCUGGCCGACCAGUGGUUUCCUCCAGCAUGGAUCCUAACCACCAGAGACGCCCACAGGCUGGGGGCUGGCCAGCCACGCCAGUGUAGCCGGGAUUCGUCGAGGGCGACGCACACUGAGCAGGGGGCACCGUCAGCCGUCAAGGAAGCCAUGGCCAGAUCUGGCGCCGCCAGCCGCAAGGGCAACCACACGAGGUCCCAUUCCACCGGAGUUCCGUCGGCCACCCAACCAGAACGCCGGCACCACGCCAACCCCGAAGCACACUGCGGGAGCAGAGUGGCCUUGCCAGGGGACCACCGUCCCAGAUCAAGAGCCCUCCGAUGCUGCCGGAGCGGCGAAGGCCCCGCCGCCGCAGUCCCCAGCUUCUAUUUCUCUGUCUGCUUCUAUUUCUCUUUCCAGAGACUAUGUUCUAAGUUUCUGUAUUUACUAUCUAAGCUAGAGAGUUUUAUUUUUCAGUCAUGUUGAGAUCAGUGAUUUGUUUUGUGCUCCUUCCGUCCCAUAAUAUAAGAACGUUUUUGGCACUACACUAGUGUCAAAAAUGUUAUUAUAUUAUGGGACAGAGGGAGUAGUUUUCAGUCAUGUUGAGACAUUCGCAUUGUACUUCUGUUUUCGCAUUCUUAUGUCUGCUAUCUAUGAGGUUUUCCGUUAGAAUAACCCAAGACAGUCGCAUUUACAAGUGACACAACUCCAUGAUGACAGAGAACACACGAUUUGGUUUCUGUAAUUGCGGCUACUUGCCCUUUAUUAUGCUCUUUGCCACAUGACCGGAACCAAAAGGCGUAGUACGAUCUCUACAUGAUGUGCUGUGUUGAGCGAGAAGCGAGUCUAACAAUGGCUCACUGGUAGAAAAAGAGGCUUCCGUCCAGUCCCAUUAGUCGCGAAAGUGUAGGAACCGCGACUAAUGAAGUCUUUAGUCGCGGUUCGGCAGACGAACCGCGACCAAAGGCCUGGGCCCAGGGCGCUCGGUGGCCAGCUGGUGCACGUGAGGGGCUUUAGUCGCGGUUGGCCAGGCGAACCGCGACUAAAGGUGCGCAAAGGCCUUUAGUCGCGGUUGGCCAGGCCAACCGCGACUAAAGCUCCUCCCCUAUAUAUACCAGUUCAGCACACUCACUUAGCCAUUUCGUGCCACUUCUCUUCACAAGCUUCACAAGGGGGUGUAGGUUUGCUUUUGGUUCCUCUUAUGCACACAAGGUGUUUGAUGAAAUACCCUAAGAGGGUGAAACAAACAUGAUAUGAAGUGUUGGAGCCACACUUGAGGUUCCUCAUUUAUUUUUUCCUCCUCGAUCGCGGUUAGCAACUUGAACCUUUCAUGCAUGUGUGUCAUUGAUAAAAUAUGCAUGUGUGCAGUUCAUUGUUUAAUUUAUAUUGUUUGUAGCUAGUUAGUUUAACAAAUGCAUGAUGGUUAAUUAUAUAUUUUAUAUUAUAAUAAUGCAGAUGAAUCGGCAAUGGACGUACGGUAACCGACUCUCCGGCGAGUUCACUACGGGUUUGAAAGAUUUCCUCGUAGUGGCUAAUGCGAACAAGCAGGGGGGUUUUGUUAUCUGUCCAUGUGUUAUCUGUAAGAAUCAGAAGGGUUACUCUUCCUCAAGAGAUGUUCACAUGCAUCUGCUUCGGCACGGUUUCAUGCCAAGCUAUAAUUGUUGGACCAAGCAUGGAGAAAGAGGGGUUAUAAUGGAAGAAGAUGAAGAAGGGGAUGAUUUCAUCGAUGAAAGCUAUCUUGCUCAUUUCGGUGAUACUUUCAUGGAGGAUGCUGAAGGUGAAGGGGAAGGUGAAGAAGAGGCACGUGAUGAUCCCGUUGAUGAUCUUGGUCGGACCAUUGCUGAUGCACGGAGACGCUGCGAAACUGAAAAGGAGAGGGAGAAUUUGGAUCGCAUGUUAGAGGAUCACAGAAAGGCGCUGUACCCCGGAUGCGAUGAUGGUCUGAAAAAGCUGGGCUGCACACUGGAUUUGCUGAAAUGGAAGGCAGAGGCAGGUGUAGCUGACUCGGCAUUUGAAAACUUGCUGAAAAUGUUGAAGAAUAUGUUUCCAAAGGAUAACGAGUUGCCCGCAAGUACGUACGAAGCAAAGAAGGUUGUCUGCCCUCUAGGUUUAGAGGUUCUGAAGAUACAUGCAUGCAUCAACGACUGCAUCCUCUACCGCGGUGAAUACGAGAAUUUGAAUGAAUGCCCGGUAUGCACUGCAUUGCGUUAUAAGAUCAGAGGCGAUGACCCUGGUGACGAUGUUGAGGGCCAGAAACCCAGGAAGAGGGUUCCCGCCAAGGUGAUGUGGUAUGCUCCUAUAAUACCACGGUUGAAACGUCUGUUCAGGAACAAAGAGCAUGCCAAGUUGUUGUGAUGGCACAAAGAGGACCGUAAGUCGGACGGGGAGUUGAGACACACCGCAGAUGGAACGCAAUGGAGAAAGAUCGACAGAUGGUUCAAAGAUUUUGUAGCUGACGCAAGGAACAUAAGAUUUGCUCUAAGUACGGAUGGCAUGAAUCCUUUUGGCGAGCAGAGCUCCAGCCAUAGCACCUGGCCCGUGACUCUAUGCAUCUACAACCUUCCUCCUUGGUUGUGCAUGAAGCGGAAGUUCAUUAUGAUGCCAGUGCUCAUCCAAGGUCCGAAGCAACCCAGCAACGACAUCGAUGUGUACCUAAGGCCAUUAGUUGAUGAACUUUUACAGCUGUGGGGUGGUGUCCGUGUGUGGGAUGAGCACAAACAAGAGGAAUUUGACCUACGAGCGUUGCUUUUCGUAACCAUCAACGAUUGGCCUGCUCUUAGUAACCUUUCGGGACUGUCAAAUAAGGGAUACAAUGCAUGCACGCACUGCUUACAUGAGACUGAAAGUGUACAUUUGCCAAAUUGUAAGAAGAACGUGUACCUUGGGCAUCGUCGAUUUCUUCCGAAAAUUCAUCCAGUAAGAAAGAAAGGCAAGCAUUACAACGGCAAGGCAGAUCACCGGCCGAAGCCUGCGGAACGCACUGGUGCUGAGGUAUUUGAUAUGGUCAAGGAUUUGAAAGUCAUCUUUGGAAAGGGUCCUGGCGGACAAUCAGUUCCAAAGGGAGCUGACGGGCACGCAGCCAUGUGGAAGAAGAAAUCUAUAUUCUGGGAGCUAGAAUAUUGGAAAGUCCUAGAUGUCCGCUCUGCAAUCGACGUGAUGCACGUUACGAAGAAUAUUUGCGUGAACCUCCUAAGCUUCUUGGGCGUGUAUGGGAAGACAAAUGAUACAAAGGAAGCACGGCAGGACCAGCAACGUUUGAAAGACCCUGAUGACCGGCAUCCGGAAUGGUUUCAAGGUCGUGCCAGCUACGCUCUGACCAGAGAAGAGAAGGUCAUCUUUUUUGAAUGCCUGAGCAGUAUGAAGGUCCCGUCUGGAUUCUCGUCCAAUAUAAAGGGAAUAAUAAACAUGGCGGAGAAAAAGUUCCAAAACCUGAAGUCUCACGACUGCCACGUGAUUAUGACGCAAUUGCUUCCGAUUGCUUUGAGGGGGCUCCUGCCGGAAAAUGUUCGAGUAGCCAUUGUGAAGCUAUGUGCAUUCCUCAAUGCAAUCUCUCAGAAGGUAAUCAAUCCAGAAGUUCUACCACGGUUACAGAACGAUGUGAUCCAAUGUCUUGUCAGUUUCGAGUUGGUGUUCCCGCCAUCCUUCUUCAAUAUUAUGACGCACCUCCUGGUUCACCUAGUCGAAGAGAUUUUCGUUCUCGGUCCUGUAUUUCUACACAAUAUGUUCCCCUUCGAGAGGUUCAUGAGAGUAUUAAAGAAAUAUGUUCGUAACCGUGCUAGGCCAGAAGGAAGCAUCGCCAAGGGCUAUGGAAAUGAGGAGGUAAUUGAGUUUUGUGUUGACUUUGUUCCUGACCUUAAGCCGAUUGGUCUUCCUCGAUCGCGGCACGAGGGGAGACUAAGUGGAAAAGGCACGAUCGGAAGGAAAUCAACGAUAUGUAUGGACGGCCAUUCUCUGACUGAAGCACACCACACUGUACUGACCAAUUCCAGCUUGGUGGCUCCGUACUUUGAGAAACACAAGAAUAUUUUACGCUCGGACAACCCGGGGAAGCCUGAAUCCUGGAUUAGGAAGGCCCACAUGGAGACUUUCGGCAGUUGGUUGAGAAAACAUUUAAUGAAUGACAAUGAUGUUGUAGAUCAGCUGUACAUGUUGGCCAAGACACCAUCUUCGACUAUAACGACUUUCCAAGGGUACGAGAUAAAUGGGAAUACAUUUUACACGAUCGCCCAAGAUAAAAAGAGCACCAACCAAAACAGUGGUGUCCGCUUUGAUGCAGCAACCGAGAAUGGGCAAAAGGUCACAUAUUAUGGUUACAUAGAGGAGAUAUGGGAACUUGACUAUGGACCCUCCUUUGAGGUCCCUUUGUUCCGGUGCAAAUGGUUCAAGCUAACAGGAGGUGGGGUAAAGGUGGACCAGCAAUACGGAAUGACAAUGGUGGAUUUCAACAAUCUUGGUUACCUUGACGAACCAUUCGUCCUAGCGAAAGAUGUCGCUCAGGUUUUCUAUGUGAAGGACAUGAGUAGCAAACCGAGGAAACGGAAAGAUAAGAAAACGAUCAGUGCAUCAUGCGAUGAUCCAAAGCGCCACAUUGUUCUUUCAGGGAAAAGAAACAUCGUGGGAGUGGAGGACAAGACAGACAUGUCAUAAGAUUAUAAUAUGUUUGCUGAAAUUCCGCCCUUCAAAGUGAACACCGACCCAAGCAUUAAGUUAAAUGAUGAGGAUGCUCCAUGGAUACGGCACAAUCGUAAGCAAGCAGGGACACAAGAGAAGAAAUGAUGUGUAAUAAUUUAUUGUAUCAAACCUUUUGUCAAACCUUCAAGGGGUUUUAAAAUGAAUUAGUUUUAUUUUUCUGAUUUUUUUGAUAUAUAAUUGUAUUUUUAAGAUUUUAAAAUGAAGAAAAAAACAGAAGAAAAAAACAGAAGAAAAAAACAGAAGAAAAACAUAAGAAAAAAGGAAAAACAGAAGAAAAAAACAGAAGAAAAAAACAGAAGAAAAAAGGAAAAAGGAAAAAGGAAGAAAAAAACAGAAGAAAAAGGAAGAAAAAAACAGAAGAAAAAAACAGAAGAAAAAAGGAAAAACAGAAGAAAAAAACAAACAGAAGAAAAACAUAAGAAAAAAACAGAAGAAAAAAACAGAAGAAAAAAGGAAAAAGGAAAAAAGGAAGAAAAAAAUAAUAUGCCACCUACUGGGCCACCACGGCCUGAAUACGACUAGAAACCCAUUACAGGGCCAGGAUUCAGGCCCGCAGAAGGCCCAAUAGGCCCACAGGCACAUAGUGACAGAAUAGGCCCGUAAGCCUGCAUUUGAGAGGAGCUCGAAGUGGUGAGCGCAGCCGCGCUUAUAAACCACUGUCGAAGCCUCUCGGCUAGCGAGGUGGGACUAAACAUCCCACCGCACCGCGCCAGUUCUAGCACAGACCUUUGGUCGCGGUUGGGGAGGCGGACCGCGACUAAAGGGUACCUUUAGUCGCGGUUGGGGUGGCGGGCCGCGACUAAAGGGUCUUUCUGCGCGGGAACGGAGGCGGCGCCAAAACCCUUUAGUCGCGGUUGGGGAGGCGGACCGCGACUAAAGGGUANNNNNNNNNNNNNNNNNNNNNNNNNNNNNNNNNNNNNNNNNNNNNNNNNNNNNNNNNNNNNNNNNNNNNNNNNNNNNNNNNNNNNNNNNNNNNNNNNNNNNNNNNNNNNNNNNNNNNNNNNNNNNNNNNNNNNNNNNNNNNNNNNNNNNNNNNNNNNNNNNNNNNNNNNNNNNNNNNNNNNNNNNNNNNNNNNNNNNNNNNNNNNNNNNNNNNNNNNNNNNNNNNNNNNNNNNNNNNNNNNNNNNNNNNNNNNNNNNNNNNNNNNNNNNNNNNNNNNNNNNNNNNNNNNNNNNNNNNNNNNNNNNNNNNNNNNNNNNNNNNNNNNNNNNNNNNNNNNNNNNNNNNNNNNNNNNNNNNNNNNNNNNNNNNNNNNNNNNNNNNNNNNNNNNNNNNNNNNNNNNNNNNNNNNNNNNNNNNNNNNNNNNNNNNNNNNNNNNNNNNNNNNNNNNNNNNNNNNNNNNNNNNNNNNNNNNNNNNNNNNNNNNNNNNNNNNNNNNNNNNNNNNNNNNNNNNNNNNNNNNNNNNNNNNNNNNNNNNNNNNNNNNNNNNNNNNNNNNNNNNNNNNNNNNNNNNNNNNNNNNNNNNNNNNNNNNNNNNNNNNNNNNNNNNNNNNNNNNNNNNNNNNNNNNNNNNNNNNNNNNNNNNNNNNNNNNNNNNNNNNNNNNNNNNNNNNNNNNNNNNNNNNNNNNNNNNNNNNNNNNNNNNNNNNNNNNNNNNNNNNNNNNNNNNNNNNNNNNNNNNNNNNNNNNNNNNNNNNNNNNNNNNNNNNNNNNNNNNNNNNNNNNNNNNNNNNNNNNNNNNNNNNNNNNNNNNNNNNNNNNNNNNNNNNNNNNNNNNNNNNNNNNNNNNNNNNNNNNNNNNNNNNNNNNNNNNNNNNNNNNNNNNNNNNNNNNNNNNNNNNNNNNNNNNNNNNNNNNNNNNNNNNNNNNNNNNNNNNNNNNNNNNNNNNNNNNNNNNNNNNNNNNNNNNNNNNNNNNNNNNNNNNNNNNNNNNNNNNNNNNNNNNNNNNNNNNNNNNNNNNNNNNNNNNNNNNNNNNNNNNNNNNNNNNNNNNNNNNNNNNNNNNNNNNNNNNNNNNNNNNNNNNNNNNNNNNNNNNNNNNNNNNNNNNNNNNNNNNNNNNNNNNNNNNNNNNNNNNNNNNNNNNNNNNNNNNNNNNNNNNNNNNNNNNNNNNNNNNNNNNNNNNNNNNNNNNNNNNNNNNNNNNNNNNNNNNNNNNNNNNNNNNNNNNNNNNNNNNNNNNNNNNNNNNNNNNNNNNNNNNNNNNNNNNNNNNNNNNNNNNNNNNNNNNNNNNNNNNNNNNNNNNNNNNNNNNNNNNNNNNNNNNNNNNNNNNNNNNNNNNNNNNNNNNNNNNNNNNNNNNNNNNNNNNNNNNNNNNNNNNNNNNGACAGUGCAACCGGCAGGCCGCUGGAGCCCCGCAAGAACGCCACCAAGUUUGUCAGCCAAUGCGGAGCCAUUGUUAGAGACAACGUCUCGAUCACCGUCCAGGAGUGGAAUGAGCCAAAGAAGGCACGAAUUGAUGGUUUCACUUUUGUCGAUAAGAGAACAAAAAAAGAUUGCUUCAAGAAGCUUAUGGAACAUUUCGUUCUACCUCCGGAAUACAACAAAUUCGAUGAGGAGGGUAACAAGAUUGAGGAAAACAAGGAGAGGAGGAGGCUAGUCAAACAGUUCGCUCUUCAUAAGAUGGCCGACGCAUUCCGGAAAUUCAAGCAAAAUCUAGCCCAUGACUUUGUCAAGCAGAACAAGACUCCGGAUUUCAAAGGACAAUAUGAGAAACUGAAAGAUGAUUGGCCAGAAUUUGUGAAGCAAAAGAAAUCGGAGCAGUUCAUUCAAAUAUCGAAAAAAAAUAAGGAAAAUGUGGCUAAGAAGGAGUACAAUCAUGUUAUGGGGCCAGGAGGGUAUCGCCUUUGGGAGCCUAGGUGGGAGAAGAUGGAGAACGAGCUGAGGGCGCGAGGAAUCCGUCCAGGUACGGAGGGAUGGGACCCAAGGGCCAAAAGCUGGUGGUACGGGCAUGGGGGAACGCUGAACCCGGAGACAGGGGAGUGUGUUUACCGGGGCAAAUUAAUUAAACCCACCCAAGCCCUUAUUAACGCAAUGAGGGAUGCUCAACAGGGGAAGAUCAAGUUCAACAGAGAGAACGACGCGCUGACGAAAGCCCUCGGGAAUCCUGAACACGGAGGACGUGUACGAGGCAUGGGGCACAUUCCGUGGAAAAUAGGGUUCCCCCAGAACGAUGACCCGUACGGUUACAGAAGCCGUAAGAGAAAGAUGGAUCGGGAAGCAGAUGUUGUGGCGCGGUUGGCAUCGGAAAUGGAUGUGAUGAAGAAAACCAUGAGUGUACUAGUAGCCGAAAGAGAUGCAGCUCGGGUGCAGCAUGAAGAUCAUCCAGCGGAUCUCGGAAGCCAGCAGCGGAGAAGCAGCGUGGCUUCCACGGAGGCCCCACCGGCUGGUGCAGAUGCACUGACGAUCGAAAUUACUGCACCGGAGCCUCUGGUGGUCCAAAUUACUGCACCGGAGCCUCUGGUGGUCGAAAUUACUUCACCGGAGCAUCCUCGCUACCCCGUGGACGAUAUAAAGGAGAUGAAAGAAUGUCAUCUUUAUUAUCCUAUCGGGAACAUGUCCAUGAAGGUAGCCAUCGGCAGUGCUUUACCAUGUUUACCUGGAGCACUCCACCACAACAACCCCAUUCAAGAUGGCUAUGCUCGUGUCACGGUGGAGGACAUAGUCCAAGGGUUUGAGAACCUGGAGAUUGACAUUGCUACACCUGAAGGGGAGAAAAGACUUGGAGAUGUCAAGCGCCAUUUCAUUCUAUGGCAAAAGAAGUUUAUCAAGUUUCCAGGCGAGGCGCCAAGGACAACAAGUCCACCCCCCUACGGUGGUGGUGGUGGCGGUGGCGGUGGUGGUGGUGGUGGUGGUGGUGGUGGUGGUGGUGGCGGUUCACCUACACCUCCGUCACGUCAGCCGACGCCGCCCCCCAGUCCACAACGUCCGGCGGGUAAUCAGCCGCCGCCCCCCAGUCCUCGUCCGGCGGGUGAUCAGACGCCGCCCCCCAAUCCACCUCCGGCAAAGAAGCAGAAGCAGUCCUGGAUUAUUAACCCGGACCCUUAUGUACCUAAGACCACAAAGGUACCGGAGCCAUCACUGAAGCCUCUCCCCACAAGGCCUUGGGAACGUAGUGCCGAGGAAGUCGACGCGGCCGCGGCUGCUGAUUUGGAGAAAUGGAAGGCGGACUGCAAGAAGAAAAGAGAGCCCGAGCCCAAGCCAGUAUUUUCUGAUGAGCAAAAGAAGUGGGCUAAGUCAUUUUUGAGCACACCGUCCCAAGCCGCGAAGAAUCUGCCUAACGACUAUGCACGUGAACUUCGCAGGCAGGCACUCAUGUUCAAGGAGAACAAAGAGCGGGAGAAGGCCGAAAGUAAAAAAAGCGGGAAACAAGUUGCCCAGCUCGGGGAUCAAAGUAAACAAUCGAUUGCCCCGCUUAUAGUGGAAGCCUUCUGUCCGGAUGCCCCCGAGAUCAUACAAGCUGCGGCAGCACAGGGAUUGACUGUAACGAGUGCCAGAGAACAAGCGGCCAACUUAGGUAUUACUCUUCGUGAACUGUUAGGCCUUGAUGAGGCGCCAGUGAAGGAGGUAGUAAUUACAUAUGUCAAGAAUGGGCCUCUCGUCGAGCCUGCGCAGGAAAAGGAUCUACCUCCACAAAUGAAAGGUCUGCUGAAAUGGUAUAAGGGUUACAUAAAAAAUAAAAACGCCAAAGAAUAUAUUUAUGCGGAAGUUAGACAUGAGCAUCACUUCAAACAUUACUAUGUACAAAUUGAACUGAGUGAAUUGUUCCAGCUUUUCAAUCUGCGCGAGCUCGAUAAAUCUAUCAUCAGUUGCUACGUUCUGUAAGUGAUUUAUUAAUUUCUACCCCAUCUCGUUCAUAUUGCCUGCACUAUAUAUAUGUCCUAACUAUAUUGUUGUGUCCGCUAUUAUACAUGCAGAAUGAAGAUUAAGGAAUGCAGAGUAAGGAACAUCCAUGAUGUUGGGUUCAUUGACCCACACAUCGUUAAUGGACAUGUGUUGGAGCGUUACCCCGCCAACGUGGAGGCAGACCUGUGGCAGUUUCUUACAAAGCAGGAACUCAAAAGUGAUAUUCUAUUUCCUUACCAUUUUGAGUGAGUGUUUCUGUCUUGAGCACAUUCUCUUUUGUUUACUCCAUGCAUGGUAUGUGGCCGGCUAAUCGAUGAGUUAUGCAUGACGUACUGUGCAUGUAUCGUGUCCGCAGGUUCCACUGGAUUCUGCUAGUAAUUAAAGUUAACACCUCAGAAUGUCUCGUCCACGACUCUGUGAAUAUGGAUCCAAAGCUUUGGGGCGGCAUGAGAAGAAUGCUGCAGAAGUAAUUAUUUUCAUUCAUUUGCGCUCUAUAUCGAUCGGCCUAUUUCGUUCAUUUCCUAAUAUCAAGUAACUAAUUAAUAACUCUCUUGUUCAUUUAAUUUUCUUUGCCUCGUAGGGUUUGGAGACGGUUCGUAGAUACAAAGGUCGGAGAAUUCAAAAAAGAGCUAGAAUUCAAAAUGUUAAAGGCUAAGAAUGCUGGGGAUAUUCAGCCACCGGAGACCAAUCUAUGUGGAUACUAUGUCUGUGAGAUGAUCCGGAGAUACACCUCUGAGCGGGUUCCGAGUGAUACCAAUGCUAAGAGGAAUAACCUCCGGUGGAUGCUUAGUCCAGAAGCUCGCUUCCGACCACUUCAAGAGGAACUAGCUGGAUGGUUCAGCAGGGAAGUCCUCCAUCCUAAAGGAGAACACUAUUACGAGGACGUAGAACUUUAUAUGCAUUAAAUCAUGUAUGGAAACUUGUUCAAAAUUGUAUAUGGUCAUCCGAUGAUAUUGAAUAUAUAUUGUAUAUUCCUCUUGAAUUCUUUUUGGUUCUAAUUUCAAAUUUAUUUGAAAUUGUACAUUCAUAUGCAUGUAUGUAGUACCGUAGAAUAUAUGAAACUCCUUCAAAAUUAAAAUAAAGCACAAAAGAAAUAAAACAAUACAAAUUAAACAGAAAACAGGUUUAAGGGGGGGGCUAAAACCCUAAACCUGCGGCGGCCUUUAGUCGCGGUUGGCCAGAAGAACCGCGACUAAAGGUCCUCCGCCCCGACGGCCACCUGGCGCCCACGUGGACGGGCCUUUAGUCGCGGUUCUUAAGCAACCGCGACUAAAGGGGGGGGGCCUUUAGUCGCGCCCGGUCUGUCGCGGUUGCGCAACCGCGACUAAUGGCAGUUGCGAACCGCGACCAAAGGCCCUUUUUCCACCAGUGGCUGAAUCCACAUGCCAACAACCUUCUACUCGAGAGAUAAAUUGCUUCCCAGCCAGAAGCUCAUGUGUCUCAUUCCGAUGCUUUCACUAGAGACUCAUGCAGUUCCGUAAAAUUCAGUUGAGAUCACAUCAUCGUGUGCAGUUUCGGACUUGCUGUUGUCCAGCCACAACUGAAUAACCAACCAGCCAACCUGUAUGAAACAAGCAAAAGCAGGGCCUGAUGCAUACAUGACCAAACUCAGUCAGAACUCUUAUCAAUAAUUCAUGACACAGAACUAGAUAAUAAAAAUAGCCUAGAUAAUGCAUGCACGCGUUGCAAAUGAGCACCUCUCAGCUUGUGCCAACCAGCACCUACACACAACAACAGCCCAUCUGUGCGAUGGCGGAAACGUCUUACCCUAUCUCGGGUGACGUGCUACGUGUUAUAUAGCAGGGGCGCAAUAACCCUGAGGCGCAUACAUGAGUUGGUUACAUGAGAAGAUAAGAGAGAAUCGGCAUAUAACUUGAGUAGAAAGAAAAGCAAGAGAUAGACUUGGUUACAACCGAAUAGACAUCAUAUCUAGCUAAACUACUUCUUGAACUAUCUCUUUCAAGAUCCUCUUCUGUCACAUAUGCGCACCAAUGCCGUGUAUGUUUAACACUCCCCCUUAAUCACAACUUCAUCAAGUUGAGAUUAUGUUUAAAAUUUUCAAAGCUUCUCACAGGCAAAGCCUUUGUAAAUCCAUCUGCAAGCUGAUCUUUGGAGUGGAUAAAGCGAAUAUCAAGUUGCUUUUGAGCAACCCUCUCACGAGCAAAGUGAAAAUCUAUUUCAAUAUGUUUUGUCCUUGCAUGAAAAACUGGAUUGGCAGAUAGAUAGGUUGCACCAAGGUUAUCACACCACAGACAUGGAGCUGGUGUGUUCUUUAUGCCUAAUUCUUUCAGCAUGGACUGAACCCAUAUAAUCUCAGCUGUAGCAUUUGCCAGUGCUUUAUACUCUGCCUCUGUACUAGAUCUAGAAACAGUGGCCUGUUUUUGAGCACACCAUGAUAUUAAAUUUGGUCCAAAAAAGAUUGCAAAACCUCCAGUGGAGCGUCUGUCAUCCAGACAUCCUGCCCAAUCUGAGUCAGAGAAAGCACUAACAAGAUUUGAAGAUGACCUGCUGAAAUCCAGACCAAUGUUCAUAGUUCCUUUGACAUAUCUCACUAUGUGUUUUGCAGCAGUAAAGUGGACAUUAGUAGGUGCAUGAAGAAAUUGGCACACUUUGUUAACAGCAAAGGAUAUAUCAGGCCUGGUCAAAGUGAGAUACUGAAGUGCUCUUACCAAGCUUCUGUAUUUUGUGCUAUCUCCUGAACUCAAGAGAUUACCUUCUGUGAGAGACAGCUUUUCUGAGCUAGAUAAUGGAGUAGGUGUUGGCUUACAACCCUGCAACCCAGCCUUUUUUUACCAAAUCAGCUGCAUAUUUUUCCUGAGAGAGAUGAAGCCCACUUGCAUGUUUCUUCACCUCAAUUCCAAGGAAAUAGUGCAAGUCACCAAGAUCCUUUAGAGCAAAUCUGCACUCAAAUCUUUCAACAGUCCCGUGAUUGCUUCAUUUGAUGAGCUUGUCACAAUAAUAUCAUCAACAUAUAUCAAAACAAAUAUGCAUGUGUUGGACUUGUUGUAAAUGAACAAAGAAGUGUCAGAUUUGGAUGGAAUAAAACCAAGUGCUUGCAUUUUAUGACAGAGACGAGAGUACCAUGCUCUCGGUGCUUGCUUCAAUCCAUAAAGUGCCUUGUCCAGUUUACACACAUAAGAAGGGGAAUUUUUGCUUUCAAACCCAGGAGGUUGCUUCAUGUACACUUCCUCUUCCAGAACAUCGUGAAGAAACGUGUUCUGAACGUCUAACUGUCUGAGACUCCAGCCCCUAGAAACAGCAAUAGACAAAACAAGACGGAUGGUUGCAGCUUUAACAACUGGACUAAAAGUAUCCUCAUAGUCAAUACCAUACCGUUGUUUAAACCAUUUUGCAACGAGUCUAGCUUUGUAACGAUCAAUAGUUCCAUCAGAUUUUCUCUUGAUCCUGAAUACCCACUUGCAAUCAAUUAAACUUUUACCUUGCUGUGGAGGAACUAAGUGCCAUGUCUUAUUUUUCUUUAAGGCUAUGUACUCUUCAUUCAUCGCUUUCUUCCAUUUCUCAUCACCAAGUGCCUCUUCUAGAGUAUGAGGUUCACCUGGUUCACCUGUAGAACAAACCAUGCCAUAUUUUGUUAUGCGUUUGUAAUUAACAGGUUGUAUUACUCCCUUUUGUAGUCGUGUACGCCGAGGAGAGGUGCCCAGAUUUUCAGCCACAGAUGAUCCUGCAGCUUGAACAGGAGUUUGUGUAGGAGCCGAUCCCGAGGAAGAUCCGCGCACAGCAGCAGCAGUUUCUGUCCCACCUGGAUUUUCUGUGGCAAGUGGCAGCGGCUGCCCAUGUGCAGAAGCCGCAGAAGAUCCCGCCGCAGCAGUCGGCUCAUCAUUGCCGUGUGAUGGCAGAUCGGCCUCGGGUCCGAUGCCGGUCGGAUGCGUGCGCGGAUCAGUGCUGGGUUCCGCGCCAGAUUCGGGGCCCGCACCGGUCGAGCGAACCGGAUGACGCCGCUUGUAGCACACGGGUGGCCGGUAAAGCGUGCGUCGCCCGCGCCAAUCGCAGGCUGACAAGUGGCGGACGACGGUUGGUGCGGAGGUGACGACGCGCCGCAUCCUGUAGGACGCGCCUGGUUCGAGGCGGGCGUGCGCGCUGCUGGCGCCUCUGACGCCUCUGCCGCCGCUGAUCCCGAGGUGGAUCCGAUACGCUGCAAGCGCAGGUGGACGGAUCCCGAGGGGGAUUUGCCCCGAGAUUCCGGGCACAUAAAAUAUGGCACUGAUGAAGGGUUUUUUGCACCAUUUUCUUCCCUGAUUUCGCCAUUUUGCUCGCUGGUUUCACCUGUAACACCACAAGGCUCAGGCAUAUUAUCAGUAAGAGGGUUAGUCAGCAGUUGAUCAUCACUGUUAUUUCCCCCUUGAUCAACACCGGAGAGAUGAUGAGGCAAAAGAAGAAUCUCUUGGCGAAGAAGAGCACCAGCGUUGGGAUGAAAAUUGGCAAAAGGAAAUUUGGUUUCAUCAAAGAUGACAUCGCGUGAGAUAUACACACGACCAGUGUUGGAAAUAUGCCCUAGAGGCAAUAAUAAAAGUAUUAUUAUUAUAUUUCCUUGUUCAUGAUAAUUGUCUUUUAUUCAUGCUAUAACUGUAUUAUCCGGAAAUUGUAAUACACGUGUGAAUACAUAGACCACAAUAUGUCCCUAGUGAGCCUCUAGUUGACUAGCUCGUUGUGAUCAACAGAUAGUCAUGGUUUCCUGGCUAUGGACAUUGGAUGUCGUUCAUAACGGGAUCACAUCAUUAGGAGAAUGAUGUGAUGGACAAGACCCAAUCCUAAGCAUAGCACAAAGAUCGUGUAGUUCGUUUGCUAGAGCUUUGCCAAUGUCAAGUAUCUCUUCCUUUGACCAUGAGAUCGUGUAACUCCUGGAUACCGUAGGAGUGCUUUGGGUGUAUCAAACGUCACAACGUAACUGGGUGACUAUAAAGGUGCACUACAGGUAUCUCCGAAAGUAUCUAUUGUUUUAUGCGGAUCGAGACUGGGAUUUGUCACUCCGUGUAAACGGAGAGGUAUCUCUGGGCCCACUCGGUAGGACAUCAUCAUAUGCGCAAUGUGACCAAGGAGUUGAUCACGGGAUGAUGUGUUACGGAACGAGUAAAGUGACUUGCCGGUAACGAGAUUGAACAAGGUAUCGGUAUACCGACGAUCGAAUCUCGGGCAAGUAAAAUACCGCUAGACAAAGGGAAUUAUAUACGGGAUCGAUUGAGUCCUUGACAUCGUGGUUCAUCCGAUGAGAUCAUCGUGGAACAUGUGGGAGCCAACAUGGGUAUCCAGAUCCCGCUGUUGGUUAUUGACCGGAGAACGUCUCGGUCAUGUCUGCAUGUCUCCCGAACCCGUAGGGUCUACACACUUAAGGUUCGAUGACGCUAGGGUUAUAAAGGAAGCUUGUAUGUGGUUACCGAAUGUUGUUCGGAGUCCCGGAUGAGAUCCCGGACAUCACGAGGAGUUCCGGAAUGGUCCGGAGGUAAAGAUUUAUAUAUAGGAAGUCCUGUUUCGGCCAUCGGGACAAGUUUCGGGGUCAUCGGUAUUGUACCGGGACCACCGGAAGGGUCCCGGGGGCCCACCGGGUGGGGCCACCUGCCCCGGGGGGCCACAUGGGCUGUAGGGGGUGCGCCUUGGCCCACAUGGGCCAAGGGCACCAGCCCCAAGAGGCCCAUGCGCCUAGGGAACCCUAGAGGGAAGAGUCCUCAAGGGGGAAGGCACCUCCGAGGUGCCUUGGGGAGGAUGGACUCCUCCCCCCCUCUUGGCCGCCGCACCAGAUGCCAUCUGGAGGCUGGCCGCCGCCCCUUGGGGUGGGAAACCCUAAAGGGGGCGCAGCCCUCCCCUUCCCCUAUAUAUAUGAGGCCUAGGGGCUGCCCAUAACACACGAUUUGAUCUCUCGUUGGUGCAGCCCUGCCUCUCUCCCUCCUCCUCUUCUCCCAUGGUGCUUGGCGAAGCCCUGCGGGAUUGCCACGCUCCUCCACCACCACCACGUCGUUGUGCUGCUGUUGGAUGGAGUCUUCCUCAACCUCUCCCUCUCUCCUUGUUGGAUCAAGGCGUGGGAGACGUCACCGGGCUGUACGUGUGUUGAACGUGGAGGUGCCGUCCGUUCGGCACUUGAUCAUCGGUGAUCUGAAUCACGACGAGUACGACUCCAUCAAACCCGUUCACUUGAACGCUUCCGCUUAGCGAUCUACAAGGGUAUGUAGAUGCACUCUCCUUCUACUCGUUGCUGGUCUCUCCAUAGAUAGAUCUUGGUGACACGUAGGAAAAUUUUGAAUUUCUGCUACGUUCCCCAACAGUGGCAUCAUGAGCCAGGUUUAUUGCGUAGAUUCUUUGCACGAGUAGAACACAAAGUAGUUGUGGGCGUUGAUGUUGUUCAAUAUGCUUACCGUUACUAGUCCAAUCUUGUUUCGACGGUAUUGUGGGAUGAAGCGGCCCGGACCGACCUUACACGUACUCUUACGUGAGACAGGGUCCACCGAUUGACAUGCACUUGGUGCAUAAGGUGGCUAGCGGGUGCCAGUCUCUCCCACUUUAGUCGGAACGGAUUCGAUGAAAAGGGUCCUUAUGAAGGGUAAAUAGCAAUUGGCAUAUCACGUUGUGGUUUUGCGUAGGUAAGAAACGUUCUUGCUAGAAACCCAUAGCAGCCACGUAAAACAUGCAAACAACAAUUAGAGGACGUCUAACUUGUUUUUGCAGGGUAUGCUAUGUGAUGUGAUAUGGCCAAAAGGAUGUGAUGAAUGAUAUAUGUGAUGUAUGAGAUUGAUCAUGUUCUUGUAAUAGGAUUCACGACUUGCAUGUCGAUGAGUAUGACAACCGGCAGGAGCCAUAGGAGUUGUCUUUAUUUAUUGUAUGACCUGCGUGUCAUUAAAGAACGCCAUGUAAACUACUUUACUUUAUUGCUAAACGCGUUAGUCAUAGAAGUAGAAGUAGUCGUUGGCGUGACAACUUCAUGAAGACACGAUGAUGGAGAUCAUGAUGAUGGAGAUCAUGGUGUCAUGCCGGUGACAAGAUGAUCAUGGAGCCCCGAAGAUGAAGAUCAAAGGAGCUAUAUGAUAUUGGCCAUAUCAUGUCACUACUCUAUUUGAUUGCAUGUGAUGUUUAUCAUGUUUAUGCAUCUUGUUUACUUAGGACGACGGUAGUAAAUAAGAUGAUCCCUUACAAAAUUUCAAGAAGUGUUCUCCCCUAACUGUGCACCGUUGCUACAGUUCGUCGCUUCUAAGCACCACGUGAUGAUCGGGUGUGAUGGAUUCUUACGUUCACAUACAGCGGGUGUAAGACAGUUUUACACAGCGAAAACACUUAGGGUUAACUUGACGAGCCUAGCAUGUGCAGACAUGGCCUCGGAACACGGAGACCGAAAGGUCGAGCAUGAGUCGUAUAGUAGAUACGAUCAACAUGAAGAUGUUCACCGACGUUAACUAGUCCGUCUCACGUGAUGAUCGGACACGGGCUAGUUGACUCGGAUCAUGUAAUCACUUAGAUGACUAAAGGGAUGUCUAUCUGAGUGGGAGUUCAUAAGAUGAACUUAAUUAUCUUGAACAUAGUCAAAAGACCUUUUGCAAAUUAUGUCGUAGCUCGCGCUUUAGUUCUACUGUUUUAGAUAUGUUCCUAGAGAAAAUAUAGUUGAAAGUUGAUAGUAGCAAUUAUGCGAACAGUAGAAAGCUUAUGUCCUUAAUGCACUGCUCAGUGUGCUGAACCCCAAACGUCGUUUGUGGAUGUUUCGAACAUCGAACAUACACGUUUUGAUAACUACGUGAUAGUUCAGUUAAAUGGUUUAAGUAGAGGCACCAAAGACGUUUUCGAAAUGUCGCGGAACAUAUGAGAUGUUUCAAUGGGCUGAAAUUGGGAUUUCAGGCUCGUGCUCACGUCAAGAGGUAUAAGACCUCCGACGAUUCUCUUAGCCUGCAAACUAAAGGAGAAAAUCUCAAUCGUUGAGCUUGUGCUCAGAUUGUCUAAGUGCAACAAUCACUUGAAUUGAGUGGGAGUUGAUCUUCCAAAUGAGAUAGUGAUGUUUCUCCAAAGUCAUUGCCACCGAGCUGCUAGAGCUUCGUGAUGAACUAUAACAUAUCAGGGAUAAAUAAGAUGAUCCUUGAGGUAUUCACGAUGUUUGACACCGCGAAAGUAGAAAUCAAGAAGGAGCAUCAAUUGUUGAUGGUUGGUGAAACCACUAGUUUCAAGAAGGGCAAGGGCAAGAAGGGAUACUUCAUGAAACGGCAAAUCAGCUGCUGCUCCAGUGAAGAAACCCAAGGUUGAACCCAAACCCGAGACUAAGUGCUUCUGUAAUAAGGGGAACAGUCACUAGAGCAAAAUUACCCUAGAUACUUGGUAGAUGAGAAGGCUGGCAAGGUCGAUAGAAGUAUAUUGGAUAUACAUUAUGUUAAUGUGUACUUUACUAGUACUCCUAGUAGCACCAGGGUAUUAGAUACCGGUUCGGUUGCUAAGUGUUAGUAACUCGAAAUAAAAGCUACGGAACAAACGGAGACUAGCUAAAGGUGAGAUGACGAUAUGUGUUGGAAGUGUUUCCAAGGUUGAUAUGAUCAAGCAUCGCACGCUCCCUCUACCACCGAGAUUGGUGUUUGCGUUGAGCAUAGACAUGAUUGGAUUAUGUCUAUCGCAAUACGGUUAUUCAUUUAAGGAGAAUAAUGGUUACUCUAUUUUUGAAUAAUACCUUCAAUGGUCUUGCACCUAAAGGAAUGGUUUAUUGAAUCUCGGUCAUAGUGAUACACAUUUUCAUGCCAAAAGAUAUAAGAUAGUAAUGAUAGUACCACUUACUUGUGGCACUGCCAUGUAAGUCAUAAUGGUAUAAAACGCAUGAAGAAGCUCCAUGUUGAUGGAUCUUUGGACUCACUCGUUUUUUGAAAAGUUUGAGACAUGCGAACCAUGUCUAUUGGUGUAUACGCAUGAAGAAACUCCAUGCAGAUGGAUCGUUUGGACUCACUUGAUUUUGAAUCACUUGAGAUAUGCAAAUCAUACCACAUGGGCAAGAUGACUGAAAUCCUCGGUUUUAGUAAAAUGGAACAAGAUAGAAACUUGUUGGAAGUAACACAUUUUGAUGUGUGCAAUCCAAUAAGUGCUAAGGCAUGUAGUGGAUAUCAUUAUGUUCUUACUUCACAGAUGAUUCGAGUAAAUGUUGAGUAUAUUUACUUGAUGAAACACAAGUCUGAAUUAUUGAAUGGUUCAAGUAAUUUCAGAGUGAAGUAGCAGAUCAUUGUGACAAGAGGAUAAAAUGUCUAUGAUAUGAUCAUAGAGAUGAAUAUCUGAGUUACGAGUUUUGGCACACAAUUAAGACAUUGUGGAAAUUGUUUCGCAAUUAAUACCGCCUGGAACACCAUAAUGUGAUGGUGUGUCCGAACAUCAUAGUUGCACCCUAUUGGAUAUGGUGCGUACCAUGAUGUCUCUUAUCGAAUUACCACUAUCGUUCAUGGGUUAGGCAUUAGAGACAACCACAUUCACUUUAAAUAGGGCACCGCGUAAUUCCGUUGAGAUGACACCGUAUGAAUUAUGGUUUAGAGAAACCUAAGUUGUCGUUUCUUAAAAGUUUGGGGCUGCGACGCUUAUAUGAAAAAGUUUCAGGUUGAUAAGCUCGAACCCAAAGCGGAUAAAAUGCAUCUUCAUAGGAAACCCAAAACAGUUGGGUAUACCUCCUAAUUCAGAUCCGAAAGCAAUAUGAAUUGUUUCUAGAAUCGGGUCCUUUCUCGAGGAAAGGUUUCUCUCGAAAGAGUUGAGUGGGAGGAUGGUGGAGACUUGAUGAGGUUAUUGAACCGUCUCUUCAACUAGUGUGUGGCAGGGCACAGGAAGUUGUUCCUGUGGCACCUACACCAAUUGAAGUGGAAGCUUAUGAUAUUGAUCAUGAAACUUCGGAUCGAGUCACUCCCAAACCUCGUAGGAUGACAAGGAUGCGUACUACUUCAGAGUGGUACGUAAUCCUGUCUUGAAGGUCAUGUUGCUAGACAACAAUGAACCUACGAGCUAUGGAGAAGCGAUGGUGGGCCCGAAUUCCGACAAAUGGUUAUAAGCCAUAAAAUCCGAGAACGGAUCCAUGGACUUUGGUGGACUUACCCGAUGAUCGGCAAGCCAUUAAGAUAAAUGGAUCUUUGAGAAGAAGACGGACGUGGAUGGUAAUGUCACCGUCCAUGAAGCUCGACUUGUGGCGAAAAGUUUUUCACAAGUUCAAGGAGUUGACUACGAUGAGAUUUUCUCAUCCGUAGCGAUGCUUAAAGUCCGUCGGAAUCAUGUUAGCAUUAGCUGCAUUUAUGAAAUCUGGCAGACGGAUGUCAAAACGAGUUUCCUUACCAGUUUUCGUAAGGAAAGGUUGUAUGUAAUACAAUCAGAAAGUUUUUGUCGAUCCUAAGGAUGCUAAACGGUAUGCUCCAGCGAUCCUUCUAAGGACUGGAGUGAGCAUCUCGGAGUUGGAAUGUAUGCUUUGAUGAUGAUCAAAGAUUUUGGGUUUGUACAAAGUUUAUGAGAAACUUGUAUAUCCAAAGAAGUGAGUGGGAGCACUAUAGAAUUUCUGAUGAGUAUAUGUUGUUGAUCAGAAAUGAUGUAGAAUUUCUAGAAAGCAUAUAGGGUUAUUUGAAAGGUGUUUUCAAUAGAAAACCUGGAUCAAGCUACUUGAACAUUGAGCAUCAAGAUCUAUAAGGAUAGAUCAAAAUGCUUAAUAAUACUUUCAAAUGAGCACAUACCUUGACAUGAUCUUGAAGGUGUUCAAGAUGGACCAGUCAAAGAAGGAGUUCUUGCCUGAGUUGUAAGGUACGAAGUUAAGACUUAAAGCUCGACCACGGCAUAAUAGAGAGAAAGGACGAAGGUCGUCCCCUAUGCUUAAGACGUAGGCUCCUCAGUAUGCUAUGCUGUGUACCGCACCUGAAGUGUGCCUUGCCAUGAGUCAGUCAAGGGGUACAAGAGUGAUCCAAGAAUGGCUCACAGGACAGCGGUCAAAGUUAUCCUUAGUAACUAGUGGACUAAGGAAUUUCCUCGAUUAUGGAGGUGGUAAAAAGAGUUCGUCGUAAAAGUUACGACGAUGCAAGCUUGACACCUAUCCGGAUAGCUCUAAGUAGAGAGACCGGAUACAUAUAAUGGAGCAAUAAUUUAGGAUAGCUCCAAGUAGAACAGUUGUUUGGAAUAGCUCCAAAUAGAGCGUGGUAGCUGCAUCUAGGAGAUGACAUAGAGAUUUGUAAAGCACACAUGGAUCUGAAAGGUUCAGACCCGUUGACUAAAACCUCUCUCACAAGCAACAUGAUCAAACAUAAAACUCAUUGAGUGUUAAUCACAUAGUGAUGUGAACUAGACUACUGACUCUAGUAAACUCUUGGGUAUUAGUCACAUGGUGAUGUGACCUGUGAGUGUUAAUCACAUGGCGAUGUGAACUAGAUUAUUGACUCUAGUGCAAGUGGGAGACUGUAGGAAAUAUGCCCUAGAGGCAAUAAUAAAAGUAUUAUUAUUAUAUUUCCUUGUUCAUGAUAAUUGUCUUUUAUUCAUGCUAUAACUGUAUUAUCCGGAAAUCGUAAUACACGUGUGAAUACAUAGACCACAAUAUGUCCCUAGUGAGCCUCUAGUUGACUAGCUCGUUGUGAUCAACAGAUAGUCAUGGUUUCCUGGCUAUGGACAUUGGAUGUCGUUGAUAACGGGAUCACAUCAUUAGGAGAAUGAUGUGAUGGACAAGACCCAAUCCUAAGCAUAGCACAAAGAUCGUGUAGUUCGUUUGCUAGAGCUUUGCCAAUGUCAAGUAUCUCUUCCUUUGACCAUGAGAUCGUGUAACUCCUGGAUACCGUAGGAGUGCUUUGGGUGUAUCAAACGUCACAACGUAACUGGGUGACUAUAAAGGUGCACUACAGGUAUCUCCGAAAGUAUCUAUUGUUUUAUGCGGAUCGAGACUGGGAUUUGUCACUCCGUGUAAACGGAGAGGUAUCUCUGGGCCUACUCGGUAGGACAUCAUCAUAUGCGCAAUGUGACCAAGGAGUUGAUCACGGGAUGAUGUGUUACGGAACGAGUAAAGUGACUUGCCGGUAACGAGAUUGAACAAGGUAUCGGUAUACCGACGAUCGAAUCUCGGGCAAGUAAAAUACCGCUAGACAAAGGGAAUUGUAUACGGGAUCGAUUGAGUCCUUGACAUCGUGGUUCAUUCGAUGAGAUCAUCGUGGAACAUGUGGGAGCCAACAUGGGUAUCCAGAUCCCGCUGUUGGUUAUUGACCGGAGAACGUCUCGGUCAUGUCUGCAUGUCUCCCGAACCCGUAGGGUCUACACACUUAAGGUUCGAUGACGCUAGGGUUAUAAAGGAAGCUUGUAUGUGGUUACCGAAUGUUGUUCGGAGUCCCGGAUGAGAUCCCGGACGUCACGAGGAGUUCCGGAAUGGUCCGGAGGUAAGGAUUUAUAUAUAGGAAGUCCUGUUUCGGCCAUCGGGACAAGUUUCGGGGUCAUCGGUAUUGUACCGGGACCACCGGAAGGGUCCCGGGGGCCCACCGGGUGGGGCCACCUGCCCCGGGGGGCCACAUGGGCUGUAGGGGGUGCGCCUUGGCCUACAUGGGCCAAGGGCACCAGCCCCAAGAGGCCCAUGCGCCUAGGGAACCCUAGAGGGAAGAGUCCUCAAAGGGGAAGGCACCUCCGAGGUGCCUUGGGGAGGAUGGACUCCUCCCCCCCUCUUAGCCGCACCCCUUCCUUGGAGGAAGGGGCAAGGCUGCGCCUCCCCCCUCUCCCCUGCCCCUAUAUAUAGUGGAGGGGAGGGAGGGCAUCCAUACCUGAGCCCUUGGCGCCUCCCUCCCUCCCGUGACACCUCCUCCUCUCCCGUAGGUGCUUGGCGAAGCCCUGCAGGAUUGCCACGCUCCUCCAUCACCACCAUGCCAUUGUGCUGCUGCUGGAUGGAGUCUUCCUCAACCUCUCCCUCUCUCCUUGCUGGAUCAAGGCGUGGGAGACAUCGUCGAGCUGUCAAACCACUAGAGCGGAAUUACCCUAGAUACUUGGUAGAUAAGAAGGCUGGCAAGGUCGAUAGAAGUAUAUUGGAUAUACAUUGUGUUAAUGUGUACUUUGCUAGUACUCCUAGUAGCACCAGGGUAUUAGAUACCGGUUCGGUUGCUAAGUGUUAGUAACUCGAAACAAAAGGCUACGGAAUAAACGGAGACUAGCUAAAGGUGAGCUGACGAUAUGUGUUGGAAGUUUUUCCAAGCUUGAUAUGAUCAAGCAUCGCACGCUCCUUCUACCAAAGAGAUUGGUGUUAAACCUAAAUAAUUGUUAUUUGGUGUUUGCGUUGAGCAUAGACACGAUUGGAUUACGUCUAUCGCAAUACGGUUAUUCAUUUAAGGAGAAUAAUGGUUACUCUAUUUAUUUGAAUAAUACCUUCAAUGGUCUUACACCUAAAAUGAAUGGUUUAUUAAAUCUCGAUCGUAGUGAUACACAUGUUCAUGCCAAAAGAUAGUAAUGAUAGUACCACCUACUUGUGGCACUGCCACGUAAGUCAUAUCGGUAUAAAACGCAUGAAGAAGCUCCAUAUUGAUGGAUCUUUGGGCUCACUCGUUUUGAAAAGUUUGAGACAUGCGAACCAUGUCUAUUGGUGUAUAUGCAUGAAGAAACUCCAUGCAAAUGGACCGUUUUGACUCACUUGAUUUUGAAUCACUUGGGACAUGCAAAUCAUACCACAUGGGCAAGAUGACUGAAAAGCCUCGUUUUCAGUAAGAUGGAACAAGAUAGCAACUUGUUGGAAGUAACACAUUUUGAUGUGUGCAGUCCAAUGAGUGCUGAGGCAUGCAGUGAAUAUCGUUAUGUUCUUACUUCACAGAUGAUUCGAGUAGAUGUUGAGUAUAUUUACUUGAUGAAUCACGAGUCUGAAUUAUUGAAAGGUUCAAGUAAUUUCAGUGUGAAGUUGAAAGAUCGUCGUGACAAGAGGAUAAAAGAUCUAUGAUAUGAUCAUAGAGAUGAAUAUCUGAAUCACGAGUUUGGCACAGAAUUAAGACAUUGUGGAAAUUGUUUCACAACUGAUACAGCUUGGAACACCGUAGUGUGAUGGUGUGUCCAAACGUCAUAGUUGCACCCUAUUGGAUAUGGUGCAUACCAUGAUGUCUCUUAUCGAGUUACCACUAUCGUUCAUGGGUUAGGCAUUAGAGACAGCCACAUUCACUUUAAAUAGGGCACUACAUAAUUUCGUUGAGACGACACCGUAUGAACUAUGGUUUGGAGAAACCUAAGUUGUCGUUUCUUGAAAGUUUGGGGCUGCGACGCUUAUGUGAAAAGGUUUCAGGUUGAUAAGCUCGAACCCAAAGCAGAUAAAAUGCAUCUUCAUAGGACACCCAAAAACAGUUGAGUAUACCUCCUAAUUCAGAUCCGAAAACAAUAGGAAUUGUUUCUUGAAUCGGGUCCUUUUUCGAGGAAAGGUUUCUCUCGAAAAGUUGAGUGGGAGGAUGGUGGAGACUUGAUGAGGUUAUUGAACCGUCACUUCAACAAGUGUGUAGCAGGGCACAGGAAGUUGUUCCUGUGGCACGUACACCAACUGAAGUGGAAGCUUAUGAUAGUGAUCUGAAACUUCGGAUCGAGUCACUACCAAACCUCGUGGGAUGACAAGGAUGCGUACUACUUCAGAGUGGUACGUAAUCCUGUCUUGGAAGUCAUGUUGCUAGACAACAAUGAACCUACAAGCUAUGGAGAAGCGAUGGUGGGCCCGGAUUCCGAUAAAUGGCUCAAGGCCAUAAAACCCGAGAGAGGAUCCAUGUAUGAAAACAAAGUGUAGACUUUGGAAGAACUACUUGAUGGUCGUAAGGCUGUUAGGUACAUAUGGAUUUUGAAAGGAAGACAGACAAUGAUGGUAAGUGUCGCCAUUGAGAAAGCUCGACUUGUCGUUAAGAUGUUUUUCGACAAGUUCAAGGAGUUGACUACGAUGAGACUUUCUCACUCGUAGCGAUGCUAAGAGUCUGUUGGAAUUAUAUUAGCAAUUACUGCAUUAUUUAUGAAAUCUUGCAGAUAGGAUGUCAAAAACAUUGUUUCCUCGACGAUUCUUGAGGAAAGGUUGUAUGUGAUACAACCGGAAGGUUUUGUCUAUCCUGAAAUAUGCUAAUAAGUAUGCAAAGCUCCAGCAAUCCUUCUGAGGACUGGAGUGAGCAUCUCGGAGUUGGAAUGUAUGCUUUGAUGAUGAUCAAAGAUUUUGGGUGUAUACAAAGUUUAUGAGAAACUUGUAUUUUCAAAGAAGUGAGUGGGAGCACUAUAGAAUUUCUGAUGAGUAUAUGUUGUUGACAUAUUAAUGAUCAGAAAUGACAUAGAAUUUCUGGAAAGCAUAUAGGGUUAUUUGGAAAGUAUUUUCAAUGGAAAACCUGGAUUAAGCUACUUGAACAUUGAGCAUCAAGAUCUAUAAGGAUAGAUCAAAACGCUUAAUAGUACUUUCAAAUGAGCACAUGCCUUGACGUGAUCUUGAAGGUGUUCAAGAUGGAUCAGUCAAAGAAGGAGUUCUUGCCUGAGUUGUAAGGUAUGAAGUUAAGACUUAAAGCUCGACCAUGGCAGAAUAGAGAGAAAGGAACGAAGGUCGUCCCCUAUGCUUAAGACAUAGGCUCUACAGUAUGCUAUGCUGUGUACCGCACCUGAAGUGUGCUUUACCAUGAGUCAGUCAAGGGGUACAAGAGUGAUCCAAGAAUGGAUCACAGGACAGCGGUCAAAGUUAUCCUUAGUAACUAGUGGACUAAGGAAUUUUCUCAAUUAUGGAGGUGGUAAAAGAGUUCGUCGUAAAGGGUUACGUCGAUGCAAGCUUAACACCUAUCCGGAUAGCUCUGAGUAGAGAUACCGGAUACGUAUAAUGGAGCAACAAUUUAGAAUAGCUCCAAGUAGAACAGUUAUUUGGAAUAGCUCCAAAUAGAAUGUGGUAGCUGCAUCUAGGAGAUGACAUAGAGAUUUGUAAAGCACACACGGAUCUGAAAGGUUCAGACCCAUUGACUAUAACCUCUCUCACAAGCAUAACAUGAUCAAACCCAGAACUCAUCGAGUGUUAAUCACAUGGUAAAUGUGAACUAGAUUAUUGAAUCUAGUAAACUCUUUGGGUGUUAGUCACAUGGGGAUGUGACCUUGAGUGUUAAUCACAUAUCGAUGUGAACUAGAUUAUUGACUCUAGUGCAAGUGGGAGACUGUUGGAAAUAUGCCCUAGAGGCAAUAAUAAAUUGAUUAUUAUUAUAUUUCCUUGUUCAUGAUAAUCGUUUAUUAUCCAUGCUAGAAUUGUAUUGAUAGGAAACUCAGAUACAUGUGUGGAUACAUAGACAACACCAUGUCCCUAGUAAGCCUCUAGUUGACUAGCUCGUUAAUCAAUAGAUGGUUACAGUUUCCUAACCAUGGACAUUGGAUGUCGUUGAUAACGGGAUCACAUCAUUAGGAGAAUGAUGUGAUGGACAAGACCCAAUCCUAAGCCUAGCACAAGAUCAUGUAGUUCGUAUGCUAAAGCUUUUCUAAUGUCAAGUAUCAUUUCCUUAGACCAUGAGAUUGUGCAACUCCCGGAUACCGUAGGAGUGCUUUGGGUGUGCCAAACGUCACAACGUAACUGGGUGGCUAUAAAGGUACACUACGGGUAUCUCUGAAAGUGUCUGUUGGGUUGGCACGAAUCGAGAUUGGGAUUUUGUCACUCCGUGUAAACGGAGAGGUAUCUCUGGGCCCACUCGGUAGGACAUCAUCAUAAUGUGCACAAUGUGACCAAGGGGUUGAUCACGGGAUGAUGUGUUACGGAACGAGUAAAGAGACUUGCCGGUAACGAGAUUGAACAAGGUAUCGGUAUACCGACGAUCGAAUCUCGGGCAAGUACCAUACCGCUAGACAAAGGGAAUUGUAUACGGGAUUGUUUAAGUCCUUGACAUCGUGGUUCAUCCAAUGAGAUCAUCGUGGAACAUGUGGGAGCCAACAUGGGUAUCCAGAUCCCGCUGUUGGUUAUUGACCGGAGAACGUCUCGGUCAUGUCUGCAUGUCUCCCGAACCCGUAGGGUCUACACACUUAAGGUUCGAUGACGCUAGGGUUAUAAAGGAAGCUUGUAUGUGGUUACCGAAUGUUGUUCGGAGUCCCGGAUGAGAUCCCGGACGUCACGAGGAGUUCCGGAAUGGUCCGGAGGUAAAGAUUUAUAUAUAGGAAGUCCUGUUUCGGCCAUCGGGACAAGUUUCGGGGUCAUCGGUAUUGUACCGGGACCACCGGAAGGGUCCCGGGGGCCCACCGGGUGGGGCCACCUGCCCCGGGGGGCCACAUGGGCUGUAGGGGGUGCGCCUUGGCCCACAUGGGCCAAGGGCACCAGCCCCAAGAGGCCCAUGCGCCUAGGGAACCCUAGAGGGAAGAGUCCUCAAGGGGGAAGGCACCUCCGAGGUGCCUUGGGGAGGAUGGACUCCUCCCCCCCCUCUUGGCCGCCGCACCAGAUGCCAUCUGGAGGCUGGCCGCCGCCCCUUGGGGUGGGAAACCCUAAAGGGGGCGCAGCCCUCCCCUUCCCCUAUAUAUAUGAGGCCUAGGGGCUGCCCAUAACACACGAUUUGAUCUCUCGUUGGUGCAGCCCUGCCUCUCUCCCUCCUCUUCUCCCAUGGUGCUUGGCGAAGCCCUACGGGAUUGCCACGCUCCUCCACCACCACCACGCCGUUGUGCUGCUGUUGGAUGGAGUCUUCCUCAACCUCUCCCUCUCUCCUUGCUGGAUCAAGGCGUGGGAGACGUCACCGGGCUGUACGUGUGUUGAACGCGGAGGUGCCGUCCGUUCGGCACUUGAUCAUCGGUGAUCUGAAUCACGACGAGUAUGACUCCAUCAACCCCGUUCACUUGAACGCUUCCGCUUAGCGAUCUACAAGGGUAUGUAGAUGCACUCUCCUUCUACUCGUUGCUGGUCUCUCCAUAGAUAGAUCUUGGUGAUUCGUAGGAAAAUUUUUGAAUUUCUGCUACGUUCCCCAACAGCCAGUGGCAACGUCGAGGCACUUGACACCUUUAUGUUGAGUGCUAUAGCCUAGGAAAACACAUUGUUUGGAGCGGAACAUGAGUUUUAUAGUGUUAUAUGGGCGAAGAUUGGGCCAACAGGCACACCCAAACACACGGAGGGACUUGUAGUCGGGUUUGACAUGGAAAAGUCGUUCUAGUGGUGUUUCAUUGUUAAUGACACGACUAGGAAGCAUGUUGAUGAUGUGAACUGCUGUGAGGAAAGCCUCACCCCAGAACUUGAGGGGCAUAGAUGCGCCAGCUAGGAGAGCUAAACCAACUUCAACUAUGUGUCGGUGCUUGCGUUCAGCAGAGCCAUUCUGUUGAUGAGCGUGAGGGCAUGACACAUGAUGUGAUAUGCCAAGGUUUUGGAAGAAGGAAUUUAAUUUUUCAUAUUCCCCUCCCCAGUCUGACUGGACAGCAAUGAUUUUACUAUCAAAUUUUCGUUCAACGAGAGCUUGAAAGUUUUGGAAGACUUGAAAAACAUCAGAUCUUUUCUUGAGAAGAUAAAUCCAAGAAAAUUUGCUGUAGUCAUCUAUAAAGCUCACAUAAUAAGUGUGUCUACCAACUGAACUAGGAGCAGGGCCCCAAACAUCAGAGAAGAUUAAUUGCAAGGGUUUGGUAGAAACACUAGUAGAUAUGGGAUAAGGCAAUUGAUGACUUUUUGCACGUUGACAAGAAUCACAAAUUGUUUCAAGAUCACGCUCACCAACAAACGGGAGCUUAUUUUUCCUAAGCAGUUUUUCAACUAAAGAGAAAGCAGCAUGUCCUAAUCUAUCGUGCCACCUUGCAGAUGAGAGUUUGGCGGCACCAUAGGCUUGUUUAUUUGAUCUCCUACGCUCCGGAAGCAAUGGGUAGAGCCCUCGAACGCAUCUACCUCGAUAUAGCACUUUCUUCGUUGCCUGAUACUUGAUCAAGAAAAAAUAAGGAUGAAACUCAAGGAAGACAUGGUUGUCAAUGGCAAUUCUAUGAACGGAAAGGAGAUUCUUGUCGGCACUAGGAACUAGCAAAAUUUUCUUUAGAUGAAGUUUACGACGAGGGGUACUAAACAAUGAGUGACCAACAUGACUAAUCCUCAUACCUUCGCCGUUGGCAGUGUAGAUGUGAUCUUUGCCCCGGUAUUUUUCCUUCAUGGUGACCUUCUCGAACUCGUUGGUGAUGUGGCUGGUAGCCCCACUAUCACGUACCAAUUGGUGUCGAUGCCGUAGGAGCCAUCCGCAGCCGCAGCAACUUUGUCCUCGUCUUGAGAGGAGUCCUCGUCUUCAUCAUAGCGGUACCAACAGUCCUUGGCUGUGUGCCCAAGCUUGCCACAGAUCUGGCAGCGGGGCGCAUCAGGACGGGACCGGCUGGAGGCGCCGCCGCGGCGAGGCUUGGAGUUGAUGGAGCGGCCGUUGCGGGAGUUGGAGGAGCCGCCAGUGUUGCUGUUUCCUCCUGACCGCCCCUUGUUGCGGGGAGAUCCACGCGAGCGAGAGCCACCACCACGACCGCGAGACGCGACGUUGGCCGAAGACUUGAAGCCACCGAAGGAGCCGUUGUACUGCGCCAUGCGCUGAUCAAAGUUACUCAGCAUGGCAAAAAGCUCGUCGAGGGUGACGAGUGUGACGCGAGCGUCUAGUGCAGAGACAAGCGGCUGGUAGUCGGCGUCGAGGCCAUGGAGGAUGUACGAGAUCAACUCGUCAUCCUGGAUUGGUUUUCCCGCGGCGGCGAGUUCAUCGGCGAGGCCGCGCAGGGAGGCGAAGUAGGAGGCGACCGGUUGGUUGCCCUUCUGCGCGUUGAUUAGCGCAGUCCUGAUGUUGUUGAUGUGGCUGAGGGACUGAGACGAGAACAUGCCCGCCACGGCCACCCAGAGUUCACGCGGCGUGGUGAUCGCGGUGACCGCGACCAGCACCUCCUUGGACAGAGUACUUAGCAGCUAGCCAAGCACUUGUUGAUCCUCCUGGACCCAAAUUGGGUGGAGAGGGUUGGGCACAGAGGACUCCUUGCCGUCCUUGUCCUUGGUGGCGUGGAGUCGGGCCGGCUCCGGCGUGGUGCCGUCGACGUAGCCGAAGACACCGGCGCCCCGCAGGUGGGGUGUGACCUGUGUGCGCCACAGCACGUAGUUCGUGCGGUUGAGCUUCUCGGUGACCUGGCCAUUGAGGCUAGGCUGAGCGGCGCCGGAGGAUGAAGACAUGGCUAUGCACUGGAUGUAUUCGGGAGGCUAGAUUGGAAGAGGAAGGCUCUGAUUACCAUGUGCGAUGGCGGAAACGUCUUACCCUAUCUCGGGCGACGUGCUACGUGUUAUAUAGCAGGGGCGCAAUAACCCUGAGGCGCAUACAUGAGUUGGUUACAUGAGAAGAUAAGAGAGAAUCGGCAUAUAACUUGAGGAGAAAGAAAAGCAAGAGAUAGACUUGGUUACAACCGAAUAGACAUCAUAUCUAGCUAAACUACUUCCUGAACUAUCUCUCUGAAGAUCCUCUUCUGUCACAUAUGCGCAUCAAUGCCGUGUAUGUUUAACACCAUCAAACCCAUAGAUAUCACAAAAACAAAUACGGAGUAUUUCCCAGAUACAUCACUUGAUUCGGUUCGUUUAAAUCAUAACGCAAACAAUAACAGAGUUCUGCCAUGACGACAGAUAAAUAGAAUUCAGGGAUCUUACACACACACACACACACACACACACACACACACACACACACACAUACUGUAUGUUCUACUGAAGCAAACCUAAUAAGAUGGGAGGCUGGCGAAUAGAUUUAGGAAAGAAAAAACAUCUCACACUGCAGAUAAGGCACCAUGAAUUCAUCUGAUCCACUCAACAAAUUUGAUUCUGGAACCUGGCUUUGUCUCUCUGGGAAUACAGACUGAAUAUGGCUGCAGAUCAAACGCUGGUGUGGUGGCCGGCCAGUUGAAUUGCAGACUUGCAGCAAAUAGCAGGACUGGAUUGGACAACCGUUAAGCUCUCACUUGACUUGGAUCCACGUACGAACUGCUGUUGAAGAUGAAUACAGGGUCAGCACUCAGCACAAUGUAUAUGGAACAUGUUCUUAAUUAUUUUUUCAGAAGGAAGAAUGUAGGACAUAUUAUCAUUCCGAUAAUUGUUACUUCUGGGAGUGAGUAAAAACACGAGCAUAUGAAUUACCGGGAUAAGGUGGCCAGUUCCUGCUGGUUAGUCUCUUACUCUUCCUCUUCAGGUCUCGUUUCUUCGUGCGAACCUUCCAUCACGAAGUUGCCUAAGAAUUUCUUCCUUCUCCUUUCUUUCCUUCAAGACGGCCUCUUCCCACUCCUUUUCAUCCUUGAACAUGCCAUAAUCCUUGACUCUACCGACAUGGAUUUCGCGGUUGGGGUGCAGGUUGAUUGCUUUUUCAACGGAAGACUCCAAGGCCUCCACCUUGUCUAGGGCUGCUCGAUAACAAUUGAUUUUGACCUCGAGCUGUGCAAGGCCUGGAAGAUGCUCGACACCCAAGUUUGCAAAAAAGUCUGGUGCCACAAACAUGGGGCUCAAGUCAAGACAGAGCCAUCGGAAUGCUGGCACAGAACCUGGAGCAAAUGUUAGCCGCAGUCCAUCUCGUUUUUUAUUUUCUGAGAUGCGCAGUCCACCGCUUGCUGUUUGUUCCGAUACAAAAGGAGAGGCUGGCGUAUAUUUGAAGUGGAACACCUUUAGGAGUCUGAAUCCAUUACUACCCACGGUCAGCUUUUCUUCGAUGACAUGUAUAAGGCAUAGCUGAAGAUAGGCUAGCGAAGGCAUGCCCAUGAGGACUUGGAGACCCUCCUUAUCAAACUUGCAAACCCCUAUGCAUAGUUUCACGAGAUUCUUGAGGGAGGCCAUUCCCCUGGGAACCAUUUCCAUUCCAAAAACUGACUCAAUUUUAAGAACUUGGAGGCACGGGUAUGUGCAGCAUGGGUUACAGAACAGACGCUUGGCUAUCACUCCACCAGUACGAAGAUAGCGAAGGUUGCAUUUUCCUGACUCAUUUACUUCCUCCGCAAAUCUCACUGGGUCGUCAGUUUGACUUAAGCAUAACUCCUCCAAGGCCUGAAAACUCCUCCAAGUUUUCUGAAAUCUCACUGUAGCCAAUUGUGUCUCAUCAUGAACAAAUAGGCGCACCAAUUUCUGCAACUGCGCCACGGUUGAUGGCAGUCUUAGAAGUGCCAAACUGCCAAACAGUAUCUCAAAUCCAGAGUCUCCAAGUGCUGCAGCUUUCCAAUUUCACCAGGAAGCUCGGUAAUAUGCAGACUGUCAAUUCUCAAAUACCUCAGCUGACGCGAGCUUCCUAUAUGUUUUACAUGCUUGUUUCUCAAAAAAUAAAAUCCCUCAAUAUCCAACACCCGCAAAGCAUGGAAGUCCACGAGAUGUAUCUUGGUCUUAUCAAACACAGUCAAUGAGCGAAUAUGUAUCUUGGUCUCUGUAAUUGCCCCAACUGCCCCUUCAUGCUCUUUUCCACUAGAUUGGAUGGACAGACGACGUAUCUUAUUUGGGAAAGAAUUGCAUCUACGCCCAUUUAAGACAGUGGCAAAAUUCUCCGCAUCCGAGAAAGAUAUAAUAAGGUCAAGCACCAUAUCAUGGACCCUACAAUAUUUCACCGAACUGCCAAAAUUACCAUAAACUGGCUGAAUCAUAUUUCUAUUAACGAGCUCAUUAAAACAGUUCAGUGCUGCUUGAUCCAAACUUCCCCAUUGUGUAGCAAUGAAUCCUUCCGCUAUCCAUUUCCAUUUCAACUGUUUAAUACUGAUCAUUGAGUCCUCUGGAUAUAUACACAAGUACAGUAAACAAGCCUUCAGGUGGUGGGGAAGAUCCAUGUAGCUAUGUAACAAUAUAUCUUUCAUCCCUUUUAAGUUCCCAUCGUUAUCAAAUGAAGAACCAGUACCAAUGGAAUCUUGCAGUCUCUCCCAUUCAUCCUUGUUAUGUGGCUUACUGGCAAGCAAACUUGCAAAUGUAAUUAUAGCCAACGGCAGUCCGCCACAUUUUUUUAAAAUCCUAGCAGAAACUUCUUCCAGUUCACAAGGACAUGAAUCACCUGAGCUGAAAAUUCUCUUAAAGAACAGUCUUCUAGAAUCAACAUCAUCCAGAGGUGCCAUUUGAUAGGGUUGCUCAUCUGAGACGGAACAACAUAGAUUAGCUACACUUGUAAUGCGUGUAGUAGCAAUUAUUCUGCUACCAUUAUUAUUCUCAGGAAAUGCCGCCUUGACCAAUUUCCAAUCUUGUUCUUUCCAUACGUCGUCAAUAACAAUGAAGUACCUGCAUUGAGUAGUGUGCAUUGUUAAGCAUUCUCAUUAACCAUGAGACUUGCACUAGCAGUUAAUUUGAUAAUGGCAAACAGAUACAUAAAUGUUGCACGCUUAAUUUUCCAGUUCAGAAGUAUCUCACUGCAUCCUCAUGGUAAGUGAAAACAAAUUCUACUUUUUCAACCCUGGAGUUUAGUACCGUUUAAAUCACAAAUCGUUAACUAUUAACAUUGUAUUUACCUUCUAGACCCUAACCACCCGGCGGGUGCGUGUUCGUCCAGCCCACUCAACAUGGUAUCUAAUUGAUGAUUCAUUAUAUACAGAUAAGAUAUUUGUAGGCUUGUAUUUUAUCCACGUUUCCUCUGUGCUCUCUGCUAUUGUUGUGUGCACGGGGAGCCCUACUGCCCUGUGGCAAUGGAAUGCUUUAUCAGCCACUAUGGAGGAAACAAGGAUUGAGGAGGUGGUGCCCAAGCCAAAGAUUAAAGUAAAAAACUGCGAAUGUACAAGGUACUUGAAUGUUACUAGUAUUUGUGUGUUUUUAUUUUUAUUUGGUAUACUUAAUAGUUCUCUCCUGCUCAAUGUCAUUGUAAGCUGAGACCAUCUAUAGGCUACAGCUGAUAUAUUUGUGUAUUUUCUUUAAUGAAAAAAAAACACUGAAAGUAUGUAGUAUAAAGUUUAUUUCCUUGCAUGCAAUUGAUUACAACUCUCAGCGGAUCAUUAAGAUCAUUCAGAUUGAGACAGACAAGCCUACUAGCUGUAGCCAUGUUUUUUCUAGCUUAGUCAAGAAUGUUUGGUUGGUUUACGGAAUUCAAUUCUUUCACACCUUUGUAAUUUGAUAUCUUGCGUAGGUGCAUUUACUGUUACUUCUUUUAUCCUCGUUAAAGUGAAUAGUAAAGUUUCAAUUGCAUUUUCUGGUGCACAUUAAGGUGGCAUUGAAAGGUAUACUCUGUUUUAAUGGUUUCCGGGCCUCAUUCUGUCUCAAAUUGCUAUGUUUACAUGGCUUGGAUCGAUACCAUUGAGCAAAUGGUUAUGGUGGUCUGAAGAUUUAUUCUGGUGGUGGUUAUUUUCUAUCAUCAUCCCAUUAACUCGUGGCAUGGCACACAAAGAUUGCACACAUGUUUCUUCGUUCUGGUUAAGAAGAUUUUAAGGAAGUUUUUUUAUGGAGAAAGAGUGUUCCAGGAUUCUGUGAGAAAAUGUGAAAGCAAUCUUUUGGAGGAAAAAGCAGGGCAGUCUUUGUUCAGAAUCUUUGUACGCGAUAAAUAGUUUCAUUCCUUCAUGCUGAUUUCUAUAAGUCAACCUAUCUGAAUCUCUGAAAUUUCUACAAGUACUUGGGUGGGUAUUUCUAGGAUUCUAAGGAUACAACAUGGAUGCUUGGGUUAAAUUGUAGAAGUAUAGCAAUUCAUUUUGUUAGUUGGACAACUAUAGCAAGGAUUCAUAAUGUAGCAGAGCCCGUUUCUGAUUUGCUUGCACUAUUCUUGCAUUCACUGUUGUCUAGCUCUAGUGCCUAGCUCUAGUGCCUAGUCUUGUGAAGUAAAUCAGACUGAUCCAGUAUUUGUGAAGUUUGUAGCAACACUACAUCUUUUUGGGCUAUCAUUACAUGGAGGGUUGAACGUGGACUUUUUUUAUGUGUGCCUGUUUUGUGAAGCUAAAACGUAAGAUUAAAAUUAUUUACUGAAUGUGUGUUUACGACCAACAGUCAAUCGGUAGGCUAGUUUGAGGUAAUGCGAAAACAAUAUAUAUGUUCAAGGAACUGAACAUACUCAAGACAACUAGAGAUGACCAUUUGAUCUAGCUUGGUUCAAACUAGCUAAGUUAAAUAAUAAUAUUUGUUUCGAUAGUACAAAUAUACGAAUCAAUUAAUUCUAGGUGCUUGGAUAAACAGGGGGGAUAAAAUUAAACAAAUGAAAGCAAAUCAUCUAUAUACUCCGCACCUCUUUCCUGUCAAGAUCUGUUUGAUUUCACGGAUUAGUUGUUCCUUUUCCCAACUCUGACACUCUUUGUAUGCAUGUUUAUCGAUCUGAGACAAUAUAUCUUUGAGGAGCUUCACCAGAUCAAGUGUGCGUGACACUGACACACAAGCUUGGCACUGGAAGUCCCCUCCUGAUCCAAUCUUGCGAUAGACCUCCAUGGCCAGGGUUGUCUUCCCCAACCCUCCUGAUCCGACAAUCGGCACCACUUUCAACUCUUUACUCUCAUCCAUCAGCAAGGCAGUGACGUGCUUCAUUGGGCCGUCCAUUGCCACCAAGCCCUUGACCUCCUCGUGGAUCGCAAUUAUCCGCGGAUCUAUCUCCACCGUCCUCGUUGCAUUGUAGUAACUCUCAUCAAGCUUGUACCUAGUAUCAUUUUUGGACAAACGGAACUUUAUAAAUCUCACCGUGGCAUCUAGAAAUACAUCUGCAAGAGUAUGUAGGAAGCUUGUACCUGUCACGGCGCUCGCUUUCCUCCAUGACGCGAGCUUUGAGCUCUUUGAUCUGGGUUGCGAUGUCGUGGCGCACCCACAGAGUCUUGAGCCGGCGCGCCGUCCUCUUCAUGAACUUUGGUUUGGCAUCUCCGCUUCCAAGGCGGUCCAUGAAGCGGUCGAUGCAGUCUUCUAUGUCGUAGCUAAGAUCGCGCACUCUGUCUCUCCAGCCCUUUGCCAGGCCAUCGAGUUUCUCCUCCAUGUCCGCCAGCCUCUCCAGCAGGACUCGCAUGCCGCUGAGCUCGCGCUCAAGGAACUGGAUCUCCUUGCGGACGCUCUUGAGAAGAUUGUACUCGUCGCUGAGCAAGGCAGUGAGCUUGCCGAGGAGGGAGUUCAUCGCCCCGGUCCCAACGCCCACCCCAGCCAUUUCCUGUGAUGAAUGAAGGAAGGUGGACAAGUUCUUAGUAGGAAGAGAAGCAGCUGAUGAACGAGGAGUGCUAUGGAUGGCCUUGUUUGGUGGAGAAGCAAUGGCGCUGGGCACUAAGCUAAUAAUGCUGAGAUCCGAUCUUGGGAGCGGAGAAAAUUAGUCUCAGAUGCGGCUUAGAGCACAGUGUCUGUGUCGGGGUUUAAUUAACCUAGGGAGUACUAAAGCACUGCAACUCUGCAAGCAAGCAUGGGGCGGUGCACUAGUUUACUUCCACUGGCGGUCUGGCACGCAGCUCUGAGGACCAUUCGACUAUUAAUCAAACGCCGGUGUUACCGUUGGAUGGAUUCAGGAACUCAUAAGUUUCGGUUAGCUUCGGUUUUUUGCUUGCGCUGCUGCUAACAUACACAACAUCUAAGUUUAAGAAAAAAACAGCGUCUAAUGUGCCUUGCAUAAACACUCUGCCUGGCAACAACAGGUGCUCUUAUUAGUUUUUACACAUUCUUUUUAUUUUGGAAGGAAAAAGGGGCUUUAUUUUCUUUUACGGAAGAGGGGCUCUAUUUCUUAAUUAAGGAGGAAUUUGCCAUACACAGGUUUAGGGCAACUCCAACGCGUCACGCAAAAGGGCGAAUUUUGCCCCUUUAUUGUCUGUUUGGGUCGGUGUUUUGGGCGGCGUCCAACCCAUUCACGUUUGGCUGGUGUUAUGUUCGUCCAACGCACCGACGCAUUUUUUGUUUGUGGUCUGUAUGCGGCCUGUUUGCAUAUUUUUUUACAUGCAUAUGUACAUUGCCUCAAGUUUAAAUCAUAUAAAUUCACAACCAAAUAGAAAUCUCAUAGUUUUAUGCGACCAAAUACAAACCUCAUAGUUUACAAACUAAACGAAAUAUCAAUUAUCGCAAAUACAUUUAAAAGAAAAAGAGCUGAUAAUCUACUAGUUGCCGAGUUGAGUCCACAUAUCCUCAACCAAGUCAUCUUGGAGUUGAGUGAAUUUUUCAAUCACGCAUUUCAUCAUGAAAAUUGGGUGAACUAUGCAAACGUUGCCGCUCCUCCAUGCUCAAGCUGAACAUUUUCACCCUGAAAAUCAAACCCAUGGUCGAAGAUGUUGUCAUCACGCUCAUCCUCUACGAUCAUGUUGUGCAAGAUCACACAAGCAGUCAUCACCUUCCGCAACUUCUUGUGUACUCCAAGUUCUAGUAGGAGACCGAACAAAUGGCCCAUCGAGAUUGAAGCACACCAAAAGCAUGCUCCACAUCCUUCUUCACACACUCUUGUGCUUGGGAAAAUCUCGGUCUCUUCUCAUCUACCGGGUAGGGGAUUGUCUUCACAAGAGUUGACCACUGAGGAUACAUACCAUCGGCUAGGUAGUAUCUUUUUGUUGUACUGGCGGCCGUUGAAAUCAAAGUUGAUCUUGGGGCAGUUGCCUUCAGCAAGCCUUCCGAACACCUGAGAACGCCAGAGCAGGUUGAUGUCAUUAUGAGAGCCAGACAUGCCGAAAAAGGAGUGCCAAAUCCAAAGAUCUUAUGAAGCCACAAUCUCAAGUAUGACAGUGCUACCUUUGACAUGACCCCUAUACUAUCCCUGGCAAGUAGAUAAACAAUUCUUCCGCUUCCAGUGCAUACGACCUAUGCUACCAAGCAUCCCCAGAAAAGCCCCUAUCUGCAUUGAUUGCCAACAACCGUGUUGUAUCUGGGGCAUUUGGCUCUCUAAAGUACUCCGGGCAAAACACUGCUAUCACAACCUUGAAGAAUAUGUACAUUAUGGAGUCAAGGCAUGUGGACUCACUCAUGCGGACAUACUCAUCACAAGAUCAUCAGGUAUUCCAUAUGCAAGCAUCCGAACAGUUGUUGUGCAUUUUGAUAAGAGGAGAAGCCAACCUUUCCAAGGGCAUCCUCCUGGCAUACGAAAUAAUAAUCAUACGCCAGCACUCCCUCCCGAAUACGGUUGAACACAUGUCUAACCAUCCAAAAACGUGUUGAAAAAGCUUGGGAUGGAAGAGCGGGGACGUGCACUGAAAGUAAUCGACAAAGAGUAGGCAAUGGCCGCUCUCUCUAUUGCGAUCCAACACCAGGGCAUGGCCCGGGAUCGAUCCCCUAAACAAUGGCCACUACCUAGCAAUAUGGUCAUUGACGGCCAAAGCAACAACCACAAACUCCUCGGCGUCCGAUGACGAAUCGUCCGAACUGUAAAUGAAGUGUUUGAAAAAGAACUCGUCUCCACUAUCCAUUUGUAACUUGGGGUGAAACGUCGAACACCUUUUGGACGUGUUGGAAGAAGCCAGCCGGUGAAGAGCCCUACGCCUCUCUACGGUCAAGGCAGUAGGCCUGUCGACGUGGAGGAAAUUGUGGAGUGAGGCCGCCGAGUGAUGCUGGCGGCGGCGGAGACGGGAUGGUGGAGUGGUUGUGAGGUAUUACGACAACAGCGAAACCAGGCCUCCAACAUCGGGAAGAGCAUCCAUCGGGUGUAGCCUGCAUCAAGGAGAGGUGUGUGGGUGCGGCCGGUGGCCUGGGCAGCGUCCAAAACGGCCGGAAGUGGCCAGCGGCGACGUGGGCCAGGUGGCCGAGUGUGUUGGCUGUGGAUGGGGAGGGGGAGAUGGUUGAUGUGCCAAUGCGCGACGGGCCAAGGGGAGGCAAGGGUGGGCGUUGCACACGUCUAGGCCAUGUCCGCGCCGAUACAAAUCCGGCUGAAAUUUGGGCCUGAAAUGGGUCAAAGACGGAUAAAAAAUGGACACUCGUCCAUUUGCAUUGAUGCGUUGGGCUAGCAUUUUAGUAUGUUUUGACCCAAACGGACGUGCGCGGAACAAAUGCGUUAAUGUUGGAGUUGCCUUUAGAACUACAUCUGUUCCCGAACCCAACCACACCUCAGCGCGUGGAGUACAUCUACCAUUAGCAGCAAGGCCACGAGGAACCAGCAGUCGUGACAGACACCGCCUAGCAGCAUGCUGACUAGAUCCACAGCGCCACUUGCUGCUGUGGAAAAUUGGCCACGUAAAUUUUGUUGAGAUUACAAGAGCAUGCAUAUAUGCGCUCACAAAAUCAGCGUCAGCGUCUCGUUUUGACAGGGCCAGCUAGCUUACCAGAAGAUCGAUGGUAUAAGCUCAAGCACGUUGGUUCGGCUCCGAGCACCCGGACUGGAUAAUCAGCCAAACUUGUCUGCUAGUUUAGUCAAGAAUGUAUGGUUGGUUCACAGAAUUCAUUUCUUUCACAGAUUUUAAAUUUGAUAUCUUGCGUUUAUACCAUUUUCUAUUCUCAUAAAAGAAAACCAAGUAAAAUUUACAUUAUAUUUUCCUGUGCUAAAUCUAAGGUGGAUUUAAAAGGCAUACUCUGUAUUUUUAUGGUUUCAUGACCUCAUUCUAUCACAAAUUGCUAUAUUUACAUGUCCUGAAUCGAUAGCAUGGUGCCAUUGGUUAUUGUGUUUAGACGAUUGGUUCUGCUGGUUUUUUUUAUCCCCAUGCAUCCAUUUAUUUGUUGACAUGGCACAUAAAGACUGCCUGGGGCCUCUCGCGACCCACCCCAUGCCCCCUCCGCCUCUCGCGACCCACCUAGCCCCACCGCGUCGCCGCCCCCCACCGCCGCCGCAACCACCGCGCACCAAGCAAGCGCAGGCGCGCUUCUGUCCUCCUGCUCCCUCCCCCAUGCCAAUCCUCGUCAGAUCCAUGGGGNNNNNNNNNNNNNNNNNNNNNNNNNNNNNNNNNNNNNNNNNNNNNNNNNNNNNNNNNNNNNNNNNNNNNNNNNNNNNNNNNNNNNNNNNNNNNNNNNNNNNNNNNNNNNNNNNNNNNNNNNNNNNNNNNNNNNNNNNNNNNNNNNNNNNNNNNNNNNNNNNNNNNNNNNNNNNNNNNNNNNNNNNNNNNNNNNNNNNNNNNNNNNNNNNNNNNNNNNNNNNNNNNNNNNNNNNNNNNNNNNNNNNNNNNNNNNNNNNNNNNNNNNNNNNNNNNNNNNNNNNNNNNNNNNNNNNNCUAUCAGGCGUUCCCAGAUCUGCUGCAAUGGAUCGAUUCAGUCUCGCCGGAGGUCCUUGCGACGACGAGGGAGAAGCGCUGGCGGGAGCGUGCGAGGAGGGUCAUGGGCGACGCGUUCUCAUGGUCCAAGUGCAUCCGGGAGUGGAAGGAAGCAGAGGAAGAUCUGGAUCCAGAGGUUGGGGAGUUUUUGAUGGCCCGGAGAUAUGUACAGGUUUGCAAGGACCAUGUCAAUCCGGAGCUGCUAAAUCUCGCCUGGCGCAUCUACUUCGAGGGCACUUGGGAGGAGAAACGCAGGAUGCCGCGCCCGAGGGAAUCGCCAUUGGAAUUCGUCAGCUAGGCGAGGAGAGAGGCACGUUCAGGAGAUCCACAGAGGGAAGAGCGGUGGAGCUGUAUCCUUGGUCUAAUGCCGGUCAGGCCCCCAUCAGCCGCGGAGCAAGUCGAUCCCCUCCCCUACCUCUCACCUCCGCCGGCUUCGGAUUGAGGCAACAUCCACUGGGAUCCUCGGCCAAAUCAGAUAAGGAAUCAGAACCAGCCUUGGAUUUUGAUUUCCGGGAUGCAGAGCAGACGAGCGAGAAGAUUCGGCCUCGAUACUUCUCUGCUUACCAUCUGGGUCAUGACUGUGAGCAUGGGUGCAGAUUGCAGUGGUGCCCUGGGAGGACUGAUCGAUUUGUUGUGCAGGAUUCGAAUGUGAUUAUGGAUAAGUCACCAUCCGAAGUUGGGGGCGACUCUGAAUACAGUUAGAUUCCUACCGAAGAGAUGGUUGAGGAUCAGCACUCCCCCUUGUUCGUCGCGGAUGCAGCAGCUCAUGUUGAAUCCAGGCGAGACAACGCCGAUUGCAUGAAUAGAAAUCUUCAGCACUCUGCGCUGCAGCGCAGGAUGGACACUACAUUGCUGGUGCUUCAACAUUCAGGCGGCUUUCAUUUUCUGCUGAAAAAGGAGCGGGGGAAAAAGUGCAGCAAAAAGGCGGCUGACGGGGACUCCGACAUGGCACUUGCUGAAUUCCACCGUCAGCUCUGGCUGCCUAUAAAUCAUGACCAAACUGAGGCUCCCAGCAACCCUAUUCACUCCCAAUCCCCCAAACACCGCCGCCACCACCAUCCUGCACCCUGCUAUGGCGGACGGAGCCCGAGGAAGAGGACGCAACAAAGGGAAAGGGGGGAGUGGGGAUGGAAACUCGGGCUGGGGACAAGAUCACUCGCAGAUGCCGCCGCCAAUGGGCCUUCCGCCGCAGCAGUUUUUCGGCUAUGGCUUCCAGGGGCCGCCUCCGCAGUGGGGUUUCCCGGGUGGCUUCCCCCACCCUUUCCAGCAGCAGGCGUGGGGAGGAGGGCACCGCAACCGUGGUUCGGUCCGCCGGCUCAGGGCGCACACCCGCAGGGUUCAGGAGGGGUGCGGAUCUCCCGCAAGAAAGAAGCAACUUGGGGAAUCAACAAGGCCCAGGCAAAAAUCAAGGUAAGAACUCGCAGCGCAGAAAGCAGGAUCAGAUCCAGAAAACUGCCCCAACUACCUCUGCUGGCAUGAUGUUUUAUGCCAUGGUGACCUGCUACAACUGUGGCGAACCAGGCCACCACAAGGAUAAGUGUGAGAGACCCAAGAACUACUUCGUUUGCAAGAUGGUGACUCAUGUUGUUGAUGACUGCCCUGUCAAGAAGAAAGCCCACCUCGCAGCUAGGUAUGUGGGGAGUGCAGCACAGGGGUUAGGAUUCUACCAUGUUAAUGUCCCAGAUGUCAAUGAUCAGCACCUAGGUAGCCUGAAAAAUGUUGGGAUAGUGCUUGUAGAAUCUGGAGAGGUCAAUAAAAAGGAACUAGCAGAGGAGUUUGCUGACAUCUAUAAGACCAAUUGGCCAUGGCCUAUCAAUGCCCUGGAUGAUUGGACUUUCUUGGUGAAAUUUCCUCCAGAAAUAGAUGUAGCUCAUGUGGCAAGCUAUCCCUGUUUUGGCUUGAAGAAGGAUAAUGUGAUUGUCAAUGUAGAGGUCUGAAAAGGUAAUGUGGAAGCAGAGGAUGACUUGCAGGAGAUCUGGAUCAAAAUCAGGAAGAUGAACCCUAAAUGGUGUGAAUGGUCAAUGCUUGCUCAAAUCACUUCCACCCUGGGGGUGUUGCUGGAUGUAGACUGGCAGCACAACUUCAAAUCCUUCUAUGAAACAGUCAGGGUCAAGAUCUCAUGCAAGGAUCAUACUAAAAUUCCAACAGAGAGACUUUUUGGCAUCAAAGGUAAAAUCUACAGACUGUUGUUUGAAGUUGAGCCAACUGACUGUGAUGAAGCCAUAGCUGCAACCAACCCUUCAAUGGACACCAAUACUUCCGUGGAAACAAUGUCCAAAGAUAGUGCCUCAAAUGAUGGGAGAUCCCAACACGGAUCCAGGACUGGCUCUGAUUCUGGCUCCCUUACUGGGACUGGUAACUCUGCCCACAGAACUCAAGUCACAGGGCAACAACACUCCCAUGAGGCCUCCACCCCAACCUCCAUGCUCAGGAACCAACUGCCUGAAUCUCAGUACCUACCCAGGAUACAAGCUCUUGAACAAUUGCUCAAUUCAGAGCAAGGUGACUCUGUGGGAUUCAACCUGUUGAGGGAAAUGGAACUGGUGGGGGAAGAUGAGAUUGAGACUGAUGAUGAUGAGAAUGAAGUUUUGGAUGCCACCACUGAAAAUAAUCAACUUGGAGAGCAAUAUGAGAUUGAUUUCCUUGCCAUGAACACUGCUGCUGACACCAAGAAGUGGGGCCCUGUCCAAGCUGCCAGGACAAGUUCAAGGAUUGCUGGAGACAAGAGGACCAUCAUGGAGAAAGCCCAGCAGCUCAAGGAAGUCCAGAACUUGGAGGUCCAGAAACCACAUGGUAAGAACCAAAACUCUUUUAACAUGUUUUAUGAUCCUGCUUUCCUCUCAGUUGCCACUAGCAUUGGUGUAGAAGUUGAUCCAAGACAAGAAACUAGUGUUUCCUCUUCACACACUGUGGUGGAACUGAACAAAAGUCAGACCAUGACUGAAGGUCAUGUGUCUGAACUUGCAACACUGACCUCUGACCCACCAUCAAGUCCUAAUGAGGGUCUCUGGUCACUAGUUAGGAAGAAUAGGCGGGGCAAGCACCCCAGGACAGAAGUUAUUAAAUGAAUGCCCUAUUCUGGAAUGUUAGAGGUAUUUCAGCUGCAGGCAGAAAACCUCUCAUUAUAGACACUUUAGCCAAAACCCAUGCCAAUAUCAUAGGUUUUCAGGAAACCAAAAAGGAGGAGUUCUCCCCUUCCUAUCUUAAAUCUUUAAUUGGACAUAGAGAUUUUGCCUGGCAUCACCUCCCUGCCACAGGCACUGCUGGGGGCGUCCUGGUGGGAGUGGAGCAAGAUGUCUUUGAGGUGAUCUCCUGGUCAUAUUUAAAUUUCUCUGUCAGUUGUGAGCUAAGGCACAAAGGCCUGGGUCAUAUAUUUAGGGUGGUUGUAGUAUAUGGCUCCUCUUAUGAAGAGGGCAAGGCAGCUUUUAUUUCUGAGUUGCACUCCUUGUUUGUAGACAAUCACUUGCCCACCCUAAUUGGAGGGGAUUUUAAUCUAGUUAGGAAUGCUAAAGAGAAAAGUAAUGGAGUAAUCAAUCAUAGAUGGAGCAAUAAUUUCAAUGAUUGGACUCUCUAGCAAAAAAUUCACUUGGGCAAAUAACCAAGUGGACCUCAUCAUGUCUACUAUUGAUAGACUCUUCUGCAAUACUGGCAUGGAUGCUCUUUUUCCUCUAGCUACUUGUAGAUCUUUACCUAGAUGUGGCAGUGACCACACACCCCUCCUCUGGGACUCUGGGAUUGAUGUCCAACCUAGGAAAAGUAGUUAUAAGAUGGAAAAAUGGUGGCUGCUUAGAGCUGAUUUUUCUGAUCUUAUUCUCAAAAUUUGGUCUGAACCAAACAAUGCCACCUCUAGCAUAGAUAACUGGCAGAUCAAGAUUAGAAGCCUCAGGAGAGUCACUAAAGGCUGGAACUCCAAUGAAGAGGCUAACCUUAGGAGAUAUAAGAAAAUCUUAGUGGAGGAAUUUGACACUUUGGAUGUUAAAUCUGAAACCUCUGAUCUUUCUGACGGGGAGUUCAACAGAAUGAAAUUCAUUCAUACUGAACUCCAGAAAAUUUGGCUUCAGGAAGAAACUAAAGCUAAACAUAGAUCUAGGGAUAGAGAUAUUAAAGAAGGAGACAGGAACACUGCAUACUUCCAUGCAGUGGCUAAUCAAAGGAGGAGGAGAACCCUCAUCCACUCAUUAGAUGGCCCUGAUGGGCCUGUCAAUGACAUUAAAGAUAUGCUUGGAGUAGCAGAAGACUUCUAUAAAGAUUUGUUUAAAAAAGAGCACAACAGUGGCUUCACACUGAGCUCUGACUUUUUCUCUGCGGAGGAAUUAGUCACACCUGCAGAGAAUGAGAACCUAGAAUCACCUUUUACUGAAGAAGAGAUAAAGAAAGCAGUCUUUGACUCCUACCCUGAUGGUGCCCCUGGACCAGAUGGGAUUCCUUUCUUCUUCUAUCAACACUUUUGGGAGGUGAUUAGGGUGGACCUAAUAGCCAUGUUUAAUGAUUUUCAUAAGGGAGAGUUGGACAUACAUAGACUUAACUUUGCCAUGCUUACCCUCAUCCCUAAGGAACCUGAUGCAACUUCCAUGAAAAAGUUUAGACCCAUCAGCUUGCUUAACUGUAGUUUUAAAUUUUUUACUAAGGUCCUCACCAACACGCUGACUAGGAUCCUCCAGAGGCUGAUUGCCAGUAACCAAUCUGCCUUCCUCAAAGGCAGAUACAUUCUGGAGAGCUGGUCACUGCCCAUGAAGUAGUGCACUCAGUCCAUUCUGGGAAAAAACAAGGUUUGGUUUUGAAACUGGAUUAUGAAAAAGCAUUUGAUAAAGUAGACCUUGGUUUCCUCCUGGACCUCCUCAAAAAAAGAGGCUUUGGUGAUAUUUAGAUUAAUUGGAUCCAGCAGAUCACUCAUAAUGGCUCGGUUGGGGUCAAAAUUAACAAUACUGAAAGUAAUUUCUUUUUAGCUGGUAAAGGGCUCAGACAAGGGGAUCCUAUUUCCCCAUUACUCUUUAAUUUAGUAGUAGUAGAUGUGUUGACCAAGAUGCUGUCCAAAGCAGCUAGUUGUAACUUGAUUGCUGGACUAUGUACUGAAGUGUGCAAUGGAAGGAUUAUUUGUCUGCAGUAUGCUGACGAUACCCUUCUCUUUUUAGAUAAUGACCUUACCCAUGCCUCCAACCUCAAAACUAUCCUCACUUGUUUUGAGCAGGUUUAUCGCAUGAGGAUCAACUACUCUAAGAGUGACUUGAUCCCAAUUAACAUGGGAGACUCUGAUUUCAUGCACUUUCUUACUAUCCUAGAUUGUAAAGGGGGGUCCUUCCCUGUUAAAUACCUUGGCAUCCCCCUGCACCAUGACAAACUUAGGAAGGAGGAUAUCCAACCUCUCAUAGAUAAAAUUAUGAAAAGAAUUGCUGGUUGGAGAGGUAAGCUCCUCUCUUAUAAAGGUAGACUCAUUCUGAUCCAGGCUUGCCUAGCCAGUAUUCCAAUCUAUCUUUUAUCCUUCUUUAAGUUCCCUAAAUGGGCCAUUGAGAUGAUCAACUCUCAAAUAGCCAACUGCUUGUGGAAUGAUUUUGAAGGCCAUAGGAAACUUCAUCUAGCCAACUGGAAGAUGGUGUGUAUGAAGAAAGAAUUUGGAGGCUUGGGAAUCCCAAACCUCCAAGAUGUCAACUUGUGUUUACUAGGUUCCUGGGUGAAGAGAUACUAUGAGAGUGAAGGAAAACCAUGGAAAAUGAUCAUUGAUCACAAGUACAUUUAGAAUCAUUAUAACUGAGCAACUUUCAAGCCCUCCCAGGCCAUUAACCUACACAACCGUCCGAUCGCCACUUUUUGCGAUUUUCGGUCGUCGGAUUGGCCCUGGAUCGUAGGUAGGCUCGCUUCGUUCGCUACAGUUGAGCGCCAGCCGUUCUGGGCCGCUGCUCUGGUGACUUUUUUUGGCCUCUGUCGUUAAAUUGGGUUUAAUGGGCUUCUAUUACCCUCCCAUCCGGGCAGCCGAACGUACACCGGGCUUGAGAGGCGUACGAGCGACUGCGUUAGGUCCGUCCACUCGCGGCCGUAAACCCUAAUCCAAUCCCGAUCGAGGCGCGGUGGAGCGACCGCAUACUCCAAUCCAUCCACUCCUGAUUCGGUUGCUUCCAAAAAAAGUCCCGAUUGAAGGCGCAGCGAGAGCGACCGCAUCGAAUCCAUCCACUCCGGAUCCGACGCGUAGAAAGGAUCCAAUGCAUCCAUUCUGUCCCGAUUCAAGGUGCGGCGGACCGACCACGUCGAAUCCAUCUAGUCCGAAUUCGAGGCACAGAGAGGAGCCAAUUCAUCCAGUCCGUGAAUCGCCGUCCGGAUGUUUGUCUCUUGAAACUGCUACCGUGGGUUUGAAGGAAGUAAUCACUCUUCAGUUUCUCUCCAACCAUUCAUGGCAGAUGAUGUGCGCCCCUCGCGGUCAUUAAUGGAUGCCUGUCUCUUUGUUUCUCAUUCUUUCGAUGUGUAUAUAUGCUUCCUCUACGCUCACUCUUCUAACUCCGGCGACAGAACAUCCAUCAGCAUGGUGCUCUUCUAGGUUCCCCUCUAUCUUUAUUUUUUAUCAUCCAUGUACGAUUUGCUUCUUCCACCCAACGAUUACAUUGUAUCCUCUCAAUCUAAUUUUGUACAGGUAUUGUUCAAACUGGGAGAUGGUCGAUUGAUUCGGCCAGAUAUUGGAAACUGGUUCUCGCAUUUUUUUUCUUCUGAAAUUCUUCAGGUGAUAGUUCUAAUGGCUUAUGGACAGGUAAUUACUUCACUUGGACUACCAGAUUUCAUUUUAUCGAUUCAUGUUUUACCAUCCAUGUUUUUACAGCAUGGAAGAUUACUCAUAAGUUAUCCACACCAUGGUUCUUCUAUUUGUUGCUGUACGCAAUAGGUUAAGUGGAACUGUGUAGUUAUAUCAACGUGAGUUAUAUGCGCAAAAGAAUGUAGCCAUACUAUUAUAGAGGGGGGUGAAGCCUCAAUAUCUUCUUCUUCUAUGCAGAAGUGAGCAAAGCCCAAUAAUCUUACCGAUAUUUGAAAGUAUGUGUGUGGAUUUUCAAGACACGGUGCAGGCUUUGCAUCAUUCCAAGUAUAAGGUGAGUUUCUUUCUAGAUUAAUAUUGUGAACAGAAUUUGAAUCAACCUGCACGGAACUCCAAUUCGAGAUACCUCAGAUCCAUGCCUAAAACUGAAACCUAUGGAGUAGGAGCUGCGGAGACUAACAGAACAGAUAGCUGAGGGAGACUAGGGUUCCCACCUCCCCACCUCGCGCCGCCGCCGGCCCUCCCGCCGCCGCCGGCCGCCGGCCCCGCCCUCCACCUCCGCCCCCUUCUUCCCUCCCCUCUCCCCCGUCCAGACCCGCCUCGCCGCCUCCCCGGGAGGUGGCCGGGGCGGAGCUCGCGCCCCUCCUCCGCGGGCCUCCCGCUCCCCCUCUGUCCGCUCGCCGCCGCCGGCGGUCGCCCCCGGCGCUGGCCCGGGUGGCUCCGGCNNNNNNNNNNNNNNNNNNNNNNNNNNNNNNNNNNNNNNNNNNNNNNNNNNNNNNNNNNNNNNNNNNNNNNNNNNNNNNNNNNNNNNNNNNNNNNNNNNNNNNNNNNNNNNNNNNNNNNNNNNNNNNNNNNNNNNNNNNNNNNNNNNNNNNNNNNNNNNNNNNNNNNNNNNNNNNNNNNNNNNNNNNNNNNNNNNNNNNNNNNNNNNNNNNNNNNNNNNNNNNNNNNNNNNNNNNNNNNNNNNNNNNNNNNNNNNNNNNNNNNNNNNNNNNNNNNNNNNNNNNNNNNNNNNNNNNNNNNNNNNNNNNNNNNNNNNNNNNNNNNNNNNNNNNNNNNNNNNNNNNNNNNNGGCUGCCCUGCGGCGGCGGCUAGCGGCUGGCGUGGUGUCGGCGCUGCUCCUUGGCGGCGGGGCGGCGGGGUGGUGCUGGGCGGCCGUCGUCGCGACCCCGGCCCAGAUCUGGGCCCGGCGGGCCCCAUCUGGGUCCUAGCGGGCCGGCUCCCCGGCAUGGCUUCGUCGUCGUCUGUGUGGUGAGGAGGAGGAGCGGCUUGGAUGGGGGGCGGCGAUGCCGAUGGCAUGCCGGCUGCAGCGCGAUGGCGGGAGCUGUCCGGGAAUGGAGUUCCCGGCCGGGCCUGUGGGCACACGGGCCUGGUAAGCUCCUGCUUGUGUGUCCGGUCGGCUACCGUUGUUGACGGUGGAGGUUGUGCCCUCCCGCGUGCCGUCGGUGCCGCGGCCCCUAGUCUCGGCUCCUAUCCCUUGUCGUGCAGACCUCACCUCGUGGUGCCGUGGUGAGACGGCGUGGAGGUUUCUUGACCAUGGUGGCGCAAGUUGGUGGUCGGUUUGGCGGCAGGCUCUGGAGCACCCGAGGUGAAGGUUGGGAUCGGGGGAAACCUCUGUCGGCCUGUCCGACACCGACGCGGCAACGCCGGUGGGUGUCGCCGGACCUUCCUGGAGGGCGUCAGGGGUGACCCUUCCUCUCGCCUCGUCGGGUACCGGGGGAAACCCUUGGCAGCAGCGUCGUCUUCGUCGCGGUCCCUCUUGAGGUGCUGAUUGGUACCGAUGCUUCGGAGCCUUGGAGCUUGGUGGGAGACCCUCGGUGGGCGCAGUGGCCGUGAAGCUUCUUCGUUUCCGUCGAUCCGCCGUUGUCGGCUUUCUUUUCUUUUGUUGUUUCUCUUUCGUUUCUUUUGGGUGUGAUUGUGCUGCUUCCGCCCCAACACCUAUCCUUGGAUGUUCGGUUGGUUGCUUUGGAAUAUAAAGCGGGGGGGAACCCUUUUUCGUCAAACUGAAACCUAUCCGUUCUUGACAAGCUAAUACUUAACAAUUUGCUCAUGUUUUUCCGCCUUCCAUGUAAAUGCAGCCUUUAUCUUGAGGGAUGUUCAUGUGCGGGUCUUUCUAACUUACAGAAUUGAACUUUUAUCGAUUAUCAUUGAUGAAACCACCAACUAAUAAAAUGGGGGAGAAAUGCCUCUAUUUUUUUCAUAGCAAGCACGAACGGGUAGCAAAAAUAAGUUAUUUAGUGUUCAGUUGCACAUAAAUCUAAAUAGUGGUAACUGAUAUCCCUCUUCUAUUUUCUCCAUAUGAUGCACCAAUGGGUAACAAAAAUAUCCAUCAAAUUUGCAUGAACAGUGUUAUGUUCCCAUCAAUGAAGAUUUCACCAUUGGAGACAAAACAAUCAGGCAAAAUAAUAGUAUAGUACAAUGGACCUAUUCCAGCUACACAACCAAAAGAAAAGUUUGCUGUUGUGCUUGCAGAUUUAGCUUCACUGCAGGCAGAAUGCAGCUUAGUUAGAAAACAGACCUACCUACUGGGAGUCAGACUAGCUCCUGUGGCUUUUCGAUAAAAGGAGAGACAACUGGGAGCUGCCUGUCGAGUUAAGGACUCUAUUGUAGCUUUCAUGCAGCUUAAUUUAGACUCCCCUCAUUCUCAGUAGAUUGUGCUUUCAUCUCUGAAUUCAUGACAUUCUAAUUGCAGAAUUUUUGGUUUUGUUAGUUUGCAUUUGUAAGAUCUUGAUGUAUGGGAAAUGUAAUAUUUUCAGGCAAGAUACACUUGGUUCAGUCUGGGGGCAGUGAUAUCAGCAAAUCAUUAGAAGAGUUCAGUAAGUGCAGUCUAUAUCUCAUUAUCUUUCUUACAACAGAAGGCAUCACGGCAUAUAGUAAAUAAGUGAAGACCAUCGGACAGGCAACGUUGUUCUUUUCAGUGCUCUGCGCUGUGUCCAUGAUCAGAUUUGUGUGCAUAAAGAAGUGGAUGAACCGUAACAUGUGUUCAUCACAUAAUAUCAUCAUAACAACCUUCCUUUUGGCAGGGGAGGGGCUAUUUUAGUUACGACCUGAGGCACAACGAGCAGGAGGAGUUGGCCAACUGGAGUGCUAGAUUCAGGGCAAGUUUGCCAAAUCACUUUUAUUAGUUCCGUUGAUAAUACCAGGACUGGAGAACUGAAAGCCCUUGUAGAUGCAAGAGGUGUGCUAUUAAACCAAAAAAUUAAGUGCACAACAUAAUACUAUUACAUAGUUCACGUGGUCGAUUUUCACAUGAUUUCGAACUUCCUAAAUCGGAUUUCUUUUUGCAGGAACAAGAUUGACAACGGCCUUUUGCAUUGCACUCUUGAUAAAGCUUCAAGCUCAAGGCCUUCGAUAUUUGUGAAGUUUUCCAGGAAGAAGAUUGACUGUAGCAUCUUGGAGUGCACUAAUAUUAAUAAAUAAACCCUUCAAUAUUUUUGUCGCCCAAAGGCUACAAGUUCUGUAAUUUACCCAAAUACUUAGCAUUUUCUCUACCCAAAUAUGAGUGUAAUGUUUCAAAUCAUAUAUUCCCAGUAUUAUUAAGACAUGUAUGUUAAGUUAUUUGUGCUGUUCCAAUGCUAUUUUUUGCAAAUCUCUGAACAUGCCCUUCCUUCUGUGAUGUACUCGUAAGUGUUUGGUAGAUUUGAACAUGCACUCAUCUGAAGGCUCACUUGUUUCAUUUAAGUUUUCACCAUUACGAUUCAGGGACCUUGAAUCUGAUUUGUCAAAUGUAAUCUUACAUGAGAAAAGGCAUGCUUCAUUAGGAAAAAAUAAAGUUGAUUUAAGCAAUAGAACAUUGAUAACCAAACAUAUUUUCUCUCCAGUUGGUCCUCCAUAGGAUCUUUCUUUCUUUAUUAAAAUGACCAAAAAACCCUAUGUGAAGCUAUAGCUUAAUGUGCGAACGGAUUUACCCCAGACAAUUAAGACACUACUAUAAUUGACGUGACAGAUUUUUACCCCAGACAAUGAGACACCACUACAAUUGAUGUGACAAAUUUAAUGCAUCAUCAAUAGUUACAACUGCACACUGUACUCACAAAAACUGAAAUCAAACACAAUAUUGUACUGAUAUAUAAAGUCCUUAGCACGCCUGUGGACCAACUAUUAUCAGCUUCAUGGGAGACACUAUUAUCUAUAUAAACUAACAUGAGCUCUAUGUUUGUACAUAAAUUUCUAACACUUUCACAUAGCAUUCAAAAUAGACGGGCGCGGCAACGCGCGCCAUCAACGAUCUAGUGUCUGGUAAGAUUAACAUUUUUGCUCCUAAUCUAUCCCCCGGUGCCUCCAGAUUCUGGAAGGGGCUGAAAACCAUUAUCCAAGCACUAAAACUUGGUUAUAGUGGAAGGUUGGGUCUGGUGAAAAAGUUAGGUUUUGGGAAGACACCUGGUUUGGUACCUCCCCCUUAGCAGUGCAAUUCUGGCCUAUCUACUCUAUUUGUAAUGAACAAACCAAAAGUGUCAGGGAAGUAUGGGAUGGUAUGCAACUUAGGCUUACUUUUAGAAGGAAUUUUGAUGACAAACUCAUGGAACAGUGGUAUCAGUUAGUGGAGAUAACUAGUAGCGUGACCCUUACCAAUGGAACUGAUGCCCUUGUCUGGCAGCUAGAAAACAGGGGAGUUUACUCCACUAGCUUACUCUACCAUGUGAUUAAUUUUAGGGGGGGUGCAACCAGUCUUCAUACCCUCGGUGUGGAAGCUAAAAAUUCCACCAAAAAUUCAUGUCUUCCUGUGGCUCCUUGCCAACAACAAACUAAUGACCAGGGAUAACCUCAGGAAAAGACAGAUUAUUAAGCCACUUGAGUGUGUGUUCUGCUCUGAGGCUGAAACAUGCUCGCGUUUGUUUUUUGACUGUGUGGUCUCUAGACAGAUCUGGCCUCUGGUCUCAAAUCAUUUUGGGGUGGAUACUGGGACUGAUUUCGAAUUAGUGGCCAGAUUAUGGAUUGCUAACAAAAAACACUCUGCCCUCAACACGGCUAAUGCUGCUGUACUUUGGUGUAUUUGGAAAUAUAGGAACUCUAUGAUUUUCAAUAACACCUUAUAGACGUCCAUUAAGCAUGUGAUGAGGCUGAUUCUAAAAACCAUCAAGAACUGGGUGAUCCUGUCCUCGGAUGGGACGGCAGAAAGGCUGGAGGCCUUCACAACACACCUCGCGACCAAUCUGAGACAACCAUUGAUGAUCGGUGGUUGAUCAUGAAGCUCGCUGGAGCCCCGUUGGUGACUCCAUGGGACAAGCUGAAGAUCUCGGACGACGCAGUGGGCUUCUCGUCCCCCUCCAAGAAGCGUUCAGAAGCUACAUCGAUGCCGAGUCCAACCUCGACCCUGGUGGCUGCCUGGUCCCCUCAAGCGGUGACUGCACCGCCGCUGAAAGCGCGCAAGGCAUCUCAGGAGCUGAUCUGCAUUUGACACUACGUAGUGCCUGUGAUCCGGUUGCUUUACCUAUGUACUGGCUUAAGCCAUUGUCAUUCUUUCUGAACUGCUUAUGUAAUAACUGAAUUUGGUUUCAUUAAUAUAAUGUGACCGGGGAGGGCUCCCUGUUCUUCUAAAAAAAAGAUUGCCUGGUGGGUUUCACACUCAUGGGGAUGAUUCUGGCUAUGGAUUAUCAAAAGAUGAAAGUUAUGAAGAAAGCAGCUUAUCAAGUGAUGAAGUAGUAAAUUUAUUUUGUCUUGCGUUUAUAUGGUUGCCGUACUUUAAUUGGCUUGUUCAGGAAAGAGAUGCUUCUCCUUUUUUCCCCGUUCUCUGUUAAUAUUGAAGAGAUUCNNNNNNNNNNNNNNNNNNNNNNNNNNNNNNNNNNNNNNNNNNNNNNNNNNNNNNNNNNNNNNNNNNNNNNNNNNNNNNNNNNNNNNNNNNNNNNNNNNNNNNNNNNNNNNNNNNNNNNNNNNNNNNNNNNNNNNNNNNNNNNNNNNNNNNNNNNNNNNNNNNNNNNNNNNNNNNNNNNNNNCCCCCUUCUUUUUUACCAAUAGUCUGUUAAAUCAUUGAAAGGAGUCCCAAAAUUUUGGACGGAGUCGGAUAUCCUAACUGAGGUUUUUCAUUUGAUGCUUUUUCUACAAAAAGUAAAUCUUGCAGUGCAUUUGGAUGUGUUUGUUUUUCAUCGUUAAUCAUGAUUUAUUUAUUUUCUUAUAUCAGAUUAAAAGGUUAAAUGUACACAACGUUGGUAGGAUGUUUUCUCUGGUAAUCGAAUCAUGCAUUUGCUGUUCAUUUCAUUACAUUGCUUCAUCAUUUAUUUGUUUAUUCUGUUUCUUAGUCACUUCAUUCCUCUUCAGCUUUGUUGGUGUUUUUCGUGUCGUCAUUUUCUAGUCUUCGGUCUUCUUAUUCCUCCAGGGGGGUCCCCCCUUCUGUUUUGAAGUCUAUCUUUCUUCAUUUCUCUAGUCUCUCAGUCCUCAUCCUUGGUUCAGUCUUCUCUUUUUUGUCAGUUUCUUAGCAUUUGUUUCUUUUUUACUUUCUUUGUUUCUUACUAGUUCCUUGGUCUUUCUUCAGUUUUCCUCCUCGUCAGUCUCUCAUAGUUCCUUGGGUGCUUAGUCUUCUUCACUUUUGCACUCUACGUCCCAGAGAGUGUCAUUCUACCAGUGCUGCGAUCUGGGACCCACCUGACGACUGAAUCUGCAUAUAUGUCCAUAUAUAACUGCUUCUGAUAUUAUGAGUAGGCUCAUGCGUGUCUCGAUCGUUUGGAUGGCGACUUGCAUCCUUUCAGUGCAGGCGCGGAGUUAGGAGAAAAUUCAGCUAGCCAACAUCACAAUCACUCUUCCUUCCUGAUGCUGUUCUACAAUAAUACAUUGCCUAAAUUUUGGUCGACAUGACAUGAAUAUGCAGCCAUAGAUCGGCAACGAAUGUCUGAAUUUUGACUGGCCAACUUAUCAUAGAACUUCAUUGAUCGAUCACGUUGAAUGAAUAACCCAAGUCAGUCACGUUCACAACUCCAUGCUUGGGCCAACUUCCCCUUUACGCUCUUUGCCACAUGAUUGGACGAUCUCUACAUGAUGUCUUGUGUUUAGCAGCGAGUCUACAUGCCCACAUCAUGCUGAAUCUACAUGUCAAAUCGAGCAGCUCUCAACAUGUGCCAACCAGCAUCUAUACACACAACAGCAGCCACAUGCCCACAUCAUGCCCAUAGAUAUUACAAAAACAAAUAUUGCUCAGAUACAUUCCUCGAUUCAGUUUGUUUAAAUCAUAACGGAAACAAUAACAGAGUUCUGCCCUGACGACAGAUAAAUAGAAUUCAGGGAUGUUACACAACUACACACAUACUGUUUGUUCUACUCAAGCAAAACCCAGUAGGAUGGGAGGAUGGCGAAUACAUCUCUCUGAAUACACACUGAAUCAAAUGCUGGUGGCCAACCAUUUGAGUUGCAGACUUGCAGUAAGUAGUAGGACUGGAUUGGACAACCGUGUAGCUCUCCCUCCAUAUGCAUGGCUUUACUUGGAUCCACGAACAGCUGUUCAAGAUGAAUACAUGCACAGCGUCAGCACAAUGUAUAUGGAAUAUGUUCUUAAUUUUUCACAACGAAGAACAUGUAGAUAAUUGUUACUCAUAGGAAGGAGGGAAAGAAAACUCACAAUAUUUUUGAAUUACAAGGAUAAGGCAGCUAGUUCUUGCUGGCCCGUCUCUCAUUCUCCCGACCAAUGAAUCCUUCCAACUCCUUUCUUUCCAUUGAGACGGCCUCUUGCCACUCCUUUUCAUCCUUAAACAUGCGAGCUUCAGCGACUCUGCGGACAUGGAUUUCACAGUUGGGGUGCAGGUUGAUUGCUUUUUCAACGGAAGACUCCAAGGCCUCCACCCUGCCUCGAGCUGCUCUGUUACAAUUGAUUUUGAACUCGAGCUGUGCAAGGCCUGAAAGAUGCUGGACACCCAAGUCUACAAAAAAGUCGGACGCCAUCUCCAUCGGGUUCAAGUAAAGACGGAGGCGUCGGAGUGCUGGCACAGCACCUGGAGCAAAUGUUAGACGCACUACAUCUGGUUUAUUUUCUGAGAUGCGCAGUCCACCGCUUGCUGUUUGUUCCGAUACAAAAUGAGAGGAUGGCAUAUAUUGGAAGUGGAACGCCUUUAGCAGUUUCAAUCCAUUACUACCCACGGUCAGCUUUUCUUUGAUGACCUGUAUAACCCAUAGAUGAAGAUUGGCCAGAGAAGGCAUGCCCAUGAGGACUUGGAGACCCUCCAUAUCAAAUUUCUUCACCUCCAUGCAUAGCUUCACGAGAUUCUUGAGGGAGGCCAUUCCUCUGGGAACCAUUUCCAUCAGGCUUCUUCCAGACUGAAUUUUAAGAACUUGGAGGCACGGGUAUGCAUAGCAUGGUUUACAGAACAGACGCUCGGCUAUGUCUCCACCAGUACCAAGAUAGCGAAGGUUGCACUUGCCCGACUCGUUUACUUCCUCCGCAAAUCUCACUGGGUCGUCAGUUUCCCCGAAGCUUAACUCCUCCAAGGCCUGCAGACUCCGGAACCCACUUGCAGGUAAUUGUGCUGUAUAGCUGACAAAUAGGCGCACCAAUUUCCGCAACUGCACCACGGUUGAUGGCAGUCUUACCAGUGACCAACACUCUCUCAAAUCCAGAGUCUCUAAGUGCUGCAGCUUUCCGAUUUCACCAGGAAGCUCAGUAAUUUUAGAACCCCAAAUUCGCAAAUACCUCAGUUGUCGUGAACUCCCUAUGUGUUUUACAUGCUUGUUUUCCAACCAAUCACAUCGUCCAAGAUCCAACACCCGCAAAGCAUGGAAGUCCACAAGAUGGGGUACUAUUGGCUUAUUUGGCUCAAACAGAGUCAAUGAGCGAAUAUGUAUCUUGGUCUCUGUAAUGGCCUGAACUGCUCCUUUAUGCUCUUUGCCACUAGAUUGCAUGGACAGACGACGUAUCUUAUUUGGGAAAGAAUUGCAUAUACGCCCAUUUAAGACAGUGGCAAAAUUCUCUUCAUCCGAUAAAGAUAUAAUAAGGUCAAGCACCAUAUCAUGGACCCUACAAUAUUUCACCGAACUGCCAUAAUUACCAUAAACUGGCUGAAUCAUAUUUCUAUUAACGAGUUCAUUAAAACAGUUCUGUGCUACUUGAUCCAAACUUCCCCAUUGUGUAGCAAUGAAUCCUUCCGCUAUCCAUUUGCAUUUCAACAAUUUAAUACCGAUCAUCCAAUCCUCUGGAUAUAUACACAAGUACAGUAAACAAGUCUUCAGGUGGUGGGGAAGAUCCAAGUAACUAUGUAACAAUAUAUCUUUCAUCCUUUUUAAGUUCCCAUCGUUAUCAAACGAAGAACCAGUACCAAUGGAGUCUUGCAGUCUCUCCCAUUCAUCCUUGUUAUGUGUCUUACUAGCAAGCAAACUUGCAAAUGUAAUUAUAGCCAGUGGCAGUCCGCCACAUUUUUGCAAAAUCCUUGUAGAAACUUCUUCCAGUUCAGAAGGACAUGAAUCAUUUGAGUAGAAAAUUCUCUUAAAGAACAAUCUUCGAGAAUCAACAUCAUCUAGAGGUGCCAUUUGAUAGGGUUGCUCAUCUGAGACGGAACAACAUAGAUUAGCUACACCUGUAAUGCGUGUAGUAGCAAUUACUCUGCUACCAUUAUUAUUCUCAGGAAAUGCUGCCUUGACCAAUUUCCAAUCUUGUUCUUUCCAUACGUCAUCAAUAACAAUGAAGUACCUGCACUCAAGAUCAUGUAUUGUUAAGCAUUGCCAUUAUUGUGAUGACUUUUACUAGCACAUAAUUUGAUAUAUGCAAAUAUAUACAUAAAUGUUUCAUAUUUACAUUUUGGUAAUUUUUUCUUGCAUCAAGUAAUAGAACUAUUAGAAGAACUAACUCAUUGCAUCCCAGGGUAAGUGAAAACAAAAUUAUAUUAAGUACAUCAAGGGACUAUAUGACUUCUCAUUCAUAGAAGAAAUAAAUAAGUCUACUUUACAACACUAAACUAGUGUCAAGUUUGAGUUUCAAUGUUGAACCCUAACUUCGAGAGUACGUCUAGGCGUGCCAUAGCUUUAUAGAAGGCAGAAUAAUAGUUACAAGAAAACUACCACUCAAUGCGAACAAUGAGUGUAGCACGAACACCACACACCAAGUACAAACACCACACAAAGCGAGCUACAAUGCAAAAGAGCCUAUCCUAGAGAGAUACACAGAGCCGCGUCUCGACCACCGCCGAGUACCUCCGAGACCACCAACUGCCGCAGAACUUCACUUGCCGACGCACCAUCCAUCCUGAGCGCCUAAGAGAAAGUGGCAGAUGGAUGGCAGGACUCGAUCGGCUCCGGGAAGCCACCGUCUUGGACAUAUCAAAGACGGCCGCACAUAGCAGCACGAGGGAUCAAACGAGGACAGCGGUGAACACCGGAGGAGAGCAAUGAGGAGCCAGCGCGUCUCCAAACGCAAUGCUCCCACAGAGGAGUGACGUCCAGGACGCCGCCAUUGUGCCGAUCGAAGAGCCGUUUAAUCGAGGGUUUCGCCAGGAGACAUCCACCAAUUCCAAGAGCGCGAGGGGAAAGGCGAACAUGCUCGGCGAUGCCUCCAAGGAGGAGAAUGACAUCCACAGGUGCCAUCAUCGCCGGCCCGGCAGAAGCCGUGCAAGAUUUUCAUCCACGCGUAGCCCCUCACCACACCUCCAUGGAAUUGUAGGCACUAUCCAAGAAACCUCACACCGCCGCCACCGCAGCACUUGCCGACGUAGCUGCAAAGCCGAGGAUAGACGACCAACCGCCAGACAGGGUGACCACAGCCACACCAUCAAGUCCCAACCUGCACGAGGACCCGCAGCCAACCAGCACCUCCGGCCAGGUUCAGGACGCCCUAACACUACGACUAAAGACACAAACAUCAACUAUUGACAAUCAUAAUGGCUCGUGAGAUGUCAUGGCUACAUGUCAUGUAAUUUUGUGUGGGACUCGUUUUUUGUCCAUGUUUCCUUUGUUCUUCGUCCCGUGUGUACAUGGAGCCAUGCCGCCUUGCCCACUCAAGUGUAGUCGCACACGCAGCCAUCCAGACCAAACGAAACUACCACGAUUUAAACCUGAUGUUGACGCUGAGGUUUGAAUUCUAAUCGAUUUAUAGCAUUGCCUUGAGGACUUGUUUAGAAUGAAUAAACCUUUGUCCAAAGAAAGUAGUGAGGUUCCUAAAAGGAUUGGGGUUUGGAUCAGGGUAAAAUGAAGUAAAAUUUGAGCAGUCGGGACUAUGUCUUUGCUGGUAUAAUCUGCCAUUAGAACUUAAAGUCAGACAAUUUUAUGAGUUAUAAACUUAUCUAUGGAAGAAAUAGGUGCAAACACAUAAAAAGAAGAGGACCACGGUGGCAUUCUGUGUUAACUAUCACCAAUCAAACUAUUCGUACAAACAUUUUUGGUUGAGAAAGAAUAUGGCCCAAAUAUUAUAGAAAAGUAAAUUAGAUUGAUCCAGUAUUGGUGAAGUUUGUAGCAACAAUACAUCUUUUUGGGCUAUCAUUACAUGGAGGGUUGAACGUGGACUUAUUUUUAUGUGUGCCUGUUUUGUGAAGCUAAAAUGUAAGAUUAAAACUAUUUACUGAAUGUGUGUUUACAACCAACAGUCAAUCGGUAGGCUAGUUUGAGAUAGUGCGAAAACAAUAUAUAUGUUCAAGGAACUAACAUACUCGAGACAACUAGAGAUGACCAUUUGAUCUAGCCUGCUUCAAACUAGCUAAGUUUAAAUAAUACUCCCUCCGUUCCAAAAUAGAUGACUCAACUUUGUACUAACUUUAGUACAAAGUUGGGUCAUCUAUUUUGGAACGGAGGGAGUAAUAAUUGUUUCAAUAGUCCAAAUAUACAGUAUGAAUCAAUUAAUGCUAGGUGCUUGUAUAACGAGAGGGGAUAAAACAAAUUAAAGCAAAUCAUCUAUAUGCUCCACACCUUUUUCCUGUCAAGAUCUGUUUGAUUUCACGGAUUAGUUGUUCCUUUUCCCAACUCUGACAUUCUUUGUAUGCAUCUUUAUUGAUCUGGGACAAGAUAUCUUUUAGGAGCUUCAUCAGAUCAAGUGUGCGCGACACGGACACACAAGCUUGGCACUGGAAGUCCCCUCCUGAUCCAAUCUUGCGGUAGACUUCCAUGGCCAGGGUUGUCUUCCCCAACCCUCCCGAUCCGACAAUCGGCAGCACUUUCAACUCCUUACUCUCAUCCAUCAGCAAGGCAAUGAUGUGCUUCAUUGGGCCAUCCAUUGCCACCAAGCCCUUGACCUCCUCGUGGAUGGCAGCCAUCCGCGUGUCUAUCUCCACCACCCUCGUUGCACUGUAGUAACUCUCAUCAAGCUUGUACCUAGUAUCAUUUUUUUGACAAAAAGCACUUUAUUAAUCCCACGUUGCAUCCAGAAAUACAGCUGCAAGAGUACGUAGGAAGCUUGUACCUGUCACGGCGCUCGCUUUCCUCCAUGACGCGAGCUUUGAGCUCUUUGAUCUGAGUAGCGAUGUCAUGGCGCACCCACAGAGUCUUGAGCCGGCGGGCCGUCCUCUUCAUGAACUUUGGUUUGGCAUCUCCGCUUCCAAGGCGGUCCAUGAAGCGGUCGAUGCAGUCUUCUAUGUCGUAGCUAAGAUCGCGCACUCUGUCUCUCCAACCCUUUGCCGGGCCAUCGAGUUUCUCCUCCACGUCCGCUAGUCUCUCCAGCCAGACUCGCAUGCCGCUGAGCUCGCGCUCAAGGAACUGGAUCUCCUUGCGGACGCUCUUGAGCAGAUUGUACUCGUCACUGAGCAAGGCAGUGAGCUUGCCGAGGAGGGGGUUCAUCGCCCCCAUCCCAACACUCACCCCAGCCAUAUCCUUUGAUGAAUGAAGGAUAGUGGACAAGUUCUUAAUAUGAAGAGAAGCAGCUGAUGAACGAGGAGUACUAUGGAUGGGCACUAAGCUAAGGCUCAGACGUGACCUUGGGUGGGGAGAAAAUUAGUCUCAGAUGCGGCUUACAGUAGGUACCGUGUCUGUGUCGAGGUUUAAUUAACUACUCCCUCCGUCCCAAAUUACCCGUCGCUAAAAUGGAUGUAUGCAGAACUAAAAUUCAUCUAGAUACAUCCAUACAUGCGACAAGUACUCUCUCCGUUCAGAAUUACUUGUCGCAGAAAUAGAUGUAUCUAGACGUAUUUUAGUUCUAGACACAUCCAUUUCCAAGAAGUAAUUCCGAACGGAGAGAGUAAUUCGAAACGGAAGGAAUAUAAAUCUAGGGAGUAUCAAAGCACUGCAAGCAAGCAUGGGGCGGUGCAUUAGUUUACUUCCACUGCCGGCCUGCCACACAGCUGUCUAUUGAUCAUUCGACUGUUCAACAAUCAACACACGGUGUUGCCGUUGGAUGGACUCGGGAACUAAUAUUCGUUUGCUCCGGCAAAGAAUCAAUCGAGAAGCUUCCAAGCAAUAGGUCGGAUGUGUGACGUGCUGUGCCAAGCAACUAACCAAAAGAUGAGACAAAUGAGGUAGGGGAAAUGAUCGCUCCUCUUCAGCCGUUCCGCGGAAAGACAAUCAUUUCUUUAGUCUCUCAGCCCUUUGGCCUUCAAAACCAAGAUGAAUGGGAAAGAAAAUGCUUGUAAACCUUUCUUCUUCAAUUCUCUGUCUGUUUUAUUUCUCUUUACUCCCCCUCGUGUCUCCAUCUUUUUUCCUCAUCAACCAUGUUGUUUUGCCUCUUCGCCGUAGCCGUUUUUCCCGAGUAAAUUGCAAAAACCAACAUAAUUGAAGACCCUAAUUCAAAAAAAAACCACCACUUUUCGUUUUUGUUCUUCAAAAAAACGUCAUCAUUAUGCUGGCAGUUUUCAAAAAAACGCUGAUUGACCGAUUAGAGAGGUUUGAUGCAAAAUCUGACAAUUGGGUCCCAAUGUCAGGUGCCAUUUGGCUGGGGUGGAAACGACUUAUGUCACACAUGUAGUCAUGGCGCUAAGGUCUGAAGAGUGGUGUAGUCUGAUGUGACAUGCAAAAGACGUUCAGUAGGAGUUUCAUUGGAGAUAGUACGACUGGGCCACAUAUUGAUGAGAUGAACAACAAUAAAGAAAGCUUCAUCCCAAAAUUUUAAUGGCAUGGACGCUGCAGCUAGAAUAGCUAAGCCUACUUCAACAAUAUGUCUAUGUUUGUGUUCGGCAGAACCAUUUUGUUGAUGUGCAUGUGGACAUGAGAUAUGAUGUGAGAUACCUAUUUGUUGAAAGAAGGAGUUUAAUAUUUCAUAUUCACCACCCCAGUCUGAUUGCAUGGCAAUGAUCUUGCUAUCAAAUUUACGUUCAACAAGGGCUUGAAAGUUAUGAAAAACUUGAAACACAUCAGAACGCUUUGUAAGUAGGGAGAUCCAGACGGGCUUCCUUCAUGGCCGCAACAUUGCCGAAAACUUCAUCUAUGCUGCAGAUAUUCUCAGUACGUGCCACUCACGCAAAGCUCCGACUAUGGUUUUUAAGCUAGACUUUAGGAAAGCAUUUGAUUCGAUAUGCUGGUCCUCCCUCAUUCAAAUUAUGAAAGUUCGGGGUUUUCCUAACACCUUCUGCAGUUGGGUCCAAAACAUCCUCUGCACUGGCAAAACGGCCAUUCUUCUCAAUGGUGUUCCAGGGUCCUGGACUCAAUGUAGAUGUGGCCUUCGCCAGGGUGACCCCUUCUCACCUUACUUGUUCAUCAUCGUAGCCGAUGUACUUCAAAGACUAAUCGCUAAAGCUUUCCAAUCCAAUGUCCUCUGCCAUCCACUAAGACCAAACGAGCCGCCUGUGACACUCCAGUACGCCGACGACACUCUCAUUAUCGCUGCUGCCAGUGAAGCAGCCACUUUGCGGCUAAAAGAAACACUCCAUGACUUCGCCCUUGCUACGGGGCUGCUGAUCAACUUCCACAAGACAGCUCUCCUCACAAUCGCUACUGAAUCCACAACACAAAACAACAUUGCUAUGCCAUUGGACGCUCUCUGUCCUCCUUUCCACUAAUAUACUUAGGACUUCCACUAUCUCCUACCAAAUUGCCCUUGACAGCUUUCGACCCGAUCAUAGACAACUUUCGGAAAUUCCUCUUUGGAUGGGUCGCGCGUCUUCUCUCACGGGGCGCCAGGCUCACACUGCUGAUUGCGGUCCUUGACUCCUUAACAAUCUACUUUAUGUCAGUUUUCCGUCUACCAAAAUCGAUCCUAGCUAAACUAGAUGCCAUUCGGAGGGCGUUCUUCUGGUCUAACGAGUCCACCUGUACUGGGGCGAGCUGCUUAGUUGCGUGGAAAAACGUUUGCAAACCUAAAGACUAUGGUGGUCUAGGCAUUAAAAAUCUUGAAAUUCAGAACCACUGCCUGCUCAUGAAAUUCUCUUCAAAAAUCCUACAACACCCAAACGUCCCGUGGACCUUGUGGUAUAACCAACAACACCCUCUUGGCAUUACUUCAAAAACCACACGGCCCUCCUUUUUAUGGAAGAUUAUCAACAGCAACUUGCCACUGCUAAUUGAACAUUCCUUUGUCAUCACAUACAAUGGACUCUCCACCUUCUUCUGGCUUGAUAAAUGGCUACUACACUCACCACUACAAAAAGUUUUCCCAAACCUAUACUCACAUUCCAUUGAUGACAAGGUGUUAGUGGCUACUGUCUGGCAAACCAGCUUAUUAGCGAACCUGCGGAACCGUCUGUCUAAUGCUGCAGCUCGAGAGCUGGAUUGUGUGCUAUUGUUGUUGCAGGACUUCCAGCAGGUGAACCAACCGGACGAACGGUCUCUCACCCAUGGCCUGCCAUUCUCUGCCAAGAAUGCCUACUCCUCCAUAGUGGCUGAAGACGUAACUGACCCACACCAUGAUCUUGUUUGGGCCUUCAAAGUCCCAAUCAAAGUCAAGAUCUUCGCUUGGCUACUCCUCCGCGAAAGACUAAACACGAAGGCAAACAUGUUCCACAAGAAUAUUGCACAGUCUGCCGCAUGCCCCCGCUGUAAAGACCCUCAUGAAGAUGCCCUGCACCUAAUUUCAAGCUGCUCUUAUGCUACCCAAGUUUGGUCCUCUCUAGGACUACAGGCUCCAACAUAUCUCGAUGAUCUACUUCAACACCCAACGCUCCAAGGCCUCAACCCCAACAUAUGGCCCUCUGUCGCUCUGUCUAUCUCCUGGAAACUUUGGGACUCAAGAAACGCCCUAGUCUUCAGAAAUGAGGAUCACUCUACCCGGACCACGAUUCGUAACAUCGUUGCUGAUUUCUCUCUAUGGGUUUUUAGAUUCAAAAACAAGGAAUACAAUUUAUUUGCUAAGCAAUGGCUUCAUUUCUUAUCCUCAGCUGUCCCCUAAAAGCUGACUUUGUAACAAAAACUGGUUGUAACCCUCGGUGUAAUCCUCAAACCUCCCCCUUUUGAGUGGUAAUAUAUUCAGGUGGGGAAGCUCUCCCCCCCGGUGACCGUUCAAAAAAAAGUAGGGAGAUCCACAUGUAUUUGCUAAAGUCAUUAGCAAAACUCACAUAAUAAGAAUGUCUACCAACGGAAGUGGGUGCUGGACCCCAAACAACACCAGAAUAUGCAGCCACAGAUCGGCAUUAAUGUUUGAAUUUUAGCAGGCCGUCUUACCACAAGACUCCAUCGAUCGAUCACCCUGACUAAAUAACCGAAGUCGGUCACAAUUGACACAGUUACAUGAUGACAGAGGACUAGGCAAUAGCGUAGAUGCAUACACGCUCAAACCAAGCAGCACUGAACUUCUGCCCACCACCAAUCAAAUGCAGAGAUAUCACAGAAGAUGCAUAGCUCAGCAAAAAGAUUGCACACCACAUUUUCCCAUAUAUGUAUAAAUAUAUUUUUCGGAAUUAUCUGAAUAUUUUGAUUAACAUAUAAUAUUAAUAUAUUUUCCACACUGAAUCUUUUUCAAAAAUAUGGCAGUACAUACCUUUAAAGAAUCCAUUGGGUCAUCAUAAUACAAUCUUGUAUUGAGCUAGUACCACCUAUGACAUCAAGCAGGGUAGAAACAACAAUCAAUUCCAUUCAAUAAUGCAAUUUUCUAUCUGUUAGUUAUGAGUGAGCAAAUAGAAAAAAAAACACUACAUUUGAGGCUAGGGUUGCAAAAAAACACCAAUUUUCAAUUAUUAUUAUUAUUCCAAAAACAUUGGCAUUUAGUAAAUAUUUUGCAGAUAGCACUCAUCGCUAUCACAGUAGUUGAAGCAUCGCCGGUGACGCAGAGACUGGACCGAAAGCCCUCGAAGGUCGAGGUGGGUUGUCCCUUCGUCAUGACAUCGGCGAACUGCUGAUCGGUGGGCACAUGGAGAACACGAACACGACCAAGUGCGACGUGCUCCCUGACGAAGUGGAUGUCGAGCUCAAUAUGCUUCGUCCGUAGGUGAUGGACAGGGUUGGCAACAAGGUACACCGCGGAAACGUUAUCACAGUAGACAAGUGUUGCCUUGGUAACCUCACAUAGCAACUCCUGAAGUAGCUGUCGUUGCCAAGAGCACUCCGCGACGGCAUUGGCCACAGCCCGGUACUCAGCCUCGACGCUCGAUCGUUCGACCGUGGGUUGUUGUUUAGACGACCACGAAAUCAGAGAGGGCCCGAGGUAGACACAGUAGCCGGAAGUGGAGCGUCGAGUGUCAGGACACCCAGCCCAGUCGGCGUCGGAGUAGGCGACAAGGCUGGUGUCAGGUGAUGCCCUCAGGGUGAGACCCAUGGCUGUGGUGCCACGUAUGUACUGAAGAAUACGUUUCACGAGAGCCCAAUGGGUGUCACGAGGAGCAUGUAUAUAAAGGCACACCUGCUGGACAGUGUACUGAAUGUCCGGACGUGUCAGUGUGAGGUACUGGAGCGCACCGACAAUGGAGUGGUAGAAGGGAGCGUCGGACGCCGGAGAACCCUCGACGGCGGACACCUUAGCCUUUGUGUCGACGAGCGUGGGACCAGGCUUGCAGUUAAGCAUGCCCGCUCACUCCAGAAGCUCGUAGGCGUACUUCUACUGGUGCAGGAAGAAGCCAGUGGCCCGGCACACUACCUCGAUGUCGAGGAAGUAGUGGAGAGCCCCCAAGUCCUUGGGGGCGAACUCGGUGCCGAGGCGAGCUGUGAUCUGCUGAAGUAGCACUGGCUAGGAUGCAGUCAGGAUGGUGUCGUAACAUACAGGAGGAGGUACGCGGUGGCGGGGCCCUGGUGAUAAACAAACAGGAAGGCAUCAGACCGUGUGGACCAGAACCUCUGCUGCUGGAGGAAGGCCGCGAUCCGCUGGUACCAGGCCCGAGGUGCCUGCUUCAACCCGUAGAGAGAACGGGAGAGCAAGCACACGUGGUCCGGCUAGUCGGUGUCGACAAAACAAGUAGGCUACUGAUAGAACACCUGCUCGUGGAGAUGGCCAUGCGAGAAAGCAUUAGACACAUCGAGCUGGUGGACUGGCCAGGCGCGAGAAACAACAAGCUGGAGGACAGCGCGAAUCGUGCCCGGUUUGACAACCGGGGCGAAGGUGUCGGUGAAGUCCACGCCGGCACGCUGGCGGAAGCCGCGCACCACCCAAAGCGCCUUGUAACGCUCGAGAGAGCCGUCGGGGCGAGUCUUAUGGUGGAAGACCCACUUGCCACUGAUGAAAUUGGCACGGGGAGGCCGCGGAAUAAGCUGCCACGUACGGUUGCGCUACAGGUCGUCAAACUCCUCACGCAUCGCAGCUAGCCAGUUCGGAUCCCGAAGGGCUGCGCGAGCAGAGGUGGGGAGCGAAGACGGCGCCGAGGUAGAUGCAGCACACGCGUACUUGUCCGACGUGUAGCGCGUGCUAGGACAAAGUCUCCCAGUCCGAGCCUGAGUGACCAUACCGGUGAGGGGUGCGGCCGCGGCGACGGGGGCCGCAUCAGGGGCCGUGGCGGGGGCGGCCGAGGGGGCCGCGUCGACGGGGGCCGCAGCAGGGGCCGCGGCGACGGGGGCCGUAGCAUGGGCCGCGGUGACAGGGGCCACCGGCGCGUGGAGCGCGGGCAGGGCCGAGUCCGGUGCGCGGCUGGGUGGUCCGCCGGAGGUGGAGGCAGGGGCGAACCGCGCCGCGGGAGACGCCGAAGGCGACGGUACCUGCUGAAACGGGAACACCAGCUCAUCAAAGUACACAUGCCGCGAAGUGAAAACGCAGUGGGACACUGUAUCAUAGCACCGGUAACCUUUGGUGUUGGGAGGAUAACCAAGGAAAAUUCAAGGAAGCGAUCGGGGAGCGAGUUUGUGAGGAGCAGUGGACGCGGUGCUAGGAUAACAGAGACAUCCGAAGAUGCGAAGACCAUCAUAAGAUGCUACUUUCGGUAAGAGGAGCUGGUGAGGAGUGUAGUUCCAGCGGGAACGACAGGGGCGAAUGUUAAUAAGGAGGCUGGCGGUCGCGAGCGCGUCCGACCAGAACCGAGGAGGCACGUAGGAGUGGAAGAGCAACAUGCGGACAGUGUCAUUAAGAGUGUGAAAGACGCGCUCGGCGCGACCAUUCUGCUGGGACUGUAGGGGCAGGUGAGACGAAAGAUGGUGCCGUGGGACGCAAGUAAAUUGCGGACAGCGACGUUGUCAAACUCCUUGCCGUUGUCAGUUUGCAAGGCGAGAAUAGGACGACCGAACUGUGUGGUGACAUAUGAAUAAAAGGCUGUGAGUGUGGCAAGAGCGUCGGACUUGCGACGGAGAGGGAAUGUCCACACAUAAUGAGAAAAAUCAUCCAAUAUCACCAAAUAGUAUAAAUAGCCCGUGUUGCUAGCAACCGGGGACGUCCAAACAUCACUAUGCAAUAACUGAAACGGGAAGGUGGAAAUGUUUGUAGACUCGCUAAAGGGAAGACAAACGUGCUUGCCGAGACGGCAAGCCUCACAAGUGUGAUCGUCGACCUUAUUACAUGAGAAAGAAAAACUCUGAGGAAUCUGAUGCAUAACGGUGGAGUUGGGAUGACCGAGACGGGCAUGCCAAAGAUCGACACUGGCGGCGAAGGCGAUGGGACGACGGGUGGUGGUGGUGCCGGAGGGAUGCACUGGGUAAAGCUCGUCCGGGCUGUCACAUCGGUGGAGUACCAUCCAUGUACGGGCGUCCUUCACAGAAAAACCGAUAUCGUCAAAUUCAACAGUGAUAGGAUUCUCACGAGCAAGGCGACGAACAGAAACGAGAUUAGUGACUAAGUCAGGAGACACUAGAACAUUAGACAUAUUGAUGGGAGUAGAAGUAGAGGGAAAAGACAUAUGACUGACAUGUGUAAUGGGUAGGGAAGGAACCGUUACCAACGGUGAUACGGGUGGGAGUAUGAACAGGAGUGGCAGACGUGAGGUUAUCGGGAUGAGCAGUCAUGUGAGCGGUGGCGCCCGGGUCCAUGUUCCAGUCAUCACCGCCACUAUAGGAGCUCGGGGACGGUGCGGAGUGCAGAGCAGCGAGAAGGGCCGGGUCCCACGGCGGCGGCACCUGAGGAGGGUAAAACCCUCCGUAGGCCGGCGCGAGGGCGGCACAGAAGGCUGACGCAGACCCCUAGGUCGGUGCGGCGGCGGUGCCGUAGGCAGGCGCGGCCCCGUAGGCGGGCGCAGGCAGGGGGGCGGCACCAUAGCCGCUGUAGGGAGCGGCGCUCUGCACGGCGAAGAGAGCCUGGUGGCUCACCGGGCGAGGCCCAAGGAUGCCCGGAUCGGGAGCCCGAGGGACCGGCAUUGAGUACGCAUGGACGNNNNNNNNNNNNNNNNNNNNNNNNNNNNNNNNNNNNNNNNNNNNNNNNNNNNNNNNNNNNNNNNNNNNNNNNNNNNNNNNNNNNNNNNNNNNNNNNNNNNNNNNNNNNNNNNNNNNNNNNNNNNNNNNNNNNNNNNNNNNNNNNNNNNNNNNNNNNNNNNNNNNNNNNNNNNNNNNNNNNNNNNNNNNNNNNNNNNNNNNNNNNNNNNNNNNNNNNNNNNNNNNNNNNNNACUUGUGACCGCCCCCGCCGCAGUUGCCGCGACGUCCGCCACCCAGCUGCUGGGGGCAGCGGGAGGGACGGGAGGCGCAGGCCGGAGGGGGAAGUAACCCGGAGGCGCGGGGGGCAGCGGCUGCUGGCGCGGCGCGGGUGGGGCGGCCGAUGGAGGAGCGCCACGUGAGGUGCCGACGCCGAGGGCGUGAUGCUGCACACGCUUCUUGAUCCCCUUCAUCCGGCGCUCCUCCAACCGCAAGUACGCCACGAACUUGGGGAAGGAGCGCUCCGGCAUCAAGGUGAGGUUGGAGGCGGCGUUGCCGAAGUCCUCGUUGAGACCGGUGGUGAGCGUGCUAAGGAGGAGAUCGUCAUCCACCGUGGCUCCAAUGUCGCGAAGCUUAUCCGCCAACGUCUUCAGGCGGCGGCAGUAGUCAUCAAUGGACUGUUCAUCCUGGUGAUAGUCAAAAAAAAUCUGCUGCAAAAAAACGCGGCGCUGAAGCUUGUUGUCGGUGAAGAGGCCGUUCCGCUUGAGCCACAUGGCGCGGGCGUUGUCGCCGGCGGCAGUAGUCAUCAAUGGACUGUUCAUCCUGGUGAUAGUCAAAAAAAAUCUGCUGCAAAAAAACGCGGCGCUGAAGCUUGUUGUCGGUGAAGAGGCCGUUCAGCUUGAGCCACAUGGCGCGGGCGUCGUCGCCGGCGCUCACGACCGUGUGGAACAAGUCCUUGAAGAUGGUGGUGAAGAACCACCGGAUGAUCGUGGCAUCGAUCGCGGUCCACUCGGCGUCGUCCAUCAUGGCGCAGGAGUCAACGGUGCCAUCCACAUGAUCCAUGAGGUUGUUCUCGCGGAAGAGCAGCGAAAAGUACGUGGAGUUGGAGGUGUCGAGGAACACGGGGACGCGUGCGUGGACGUUGAUGUCGCGGAUUUCAGCAGGGUCGACGGCGAAGGGGUUGGAGUAGGUGGAGGCGUUGGACGACAUGGCGGCGAGGGUGUGGGGAAGGGGGCGGCGCAGUGGUGGGAGAUGGGCGGCGCGGCGGGAGGGCGGCACGGCGGGGAGGAGAGGGCGCGCGGGGAGGCGUGCGUGGGGAGAGGGGGUGGCGGCGGCAUGGGGCGACGGCGGCGGCAGAUCGCGGCGGUGGCGGCGGCGGCUCGAGGCGGCAGCUAGGGUUUGCGGAAGCGGUAGGAUCGACUUGCGACAGAUACCAUGUAGAGAAUGAUUUGGUGCAUCAAUAAUUGAUUGAUCGUGCACUAGGUCUAUAUAUAUAUAGAUACAAGGGGUGCGACCGGUAUCUUAUCUCUUAAGAUACACGUACAUACAGAGGGAGACAGACACUACAAGUACUGCCUACAAAACCCAGACCUAUAUACAUGUGCACAUGUUCAACACUAUUAAUGUCCGAGUGCACUUUCACACUUGCUGCUGUUCAGUAUCAAGUGACAAAACCAAGAACCAACCAACUGUUAGGCAACAAGCAAGCAGGGCCUAAUGUACAUACACGACCAACUCACAAGUGACAACUCCACAAGUGACAAAUAGCAAGCUUGAGCACGCGGGCGUGAUGCAAAGCUGAUGGUGCACUUCACUUCACUACACCAUAGUGGUGGAGUAAUUUUAUAAAAUAGGCCUAAGCAACUAGUGCACUGCCCCUGAUUUGUGGAGAAAUUAGUGGGCAAGUAGGUAACGGUGGGUGACUGAUUGUCGUUCCACCAGCACCAAGACUAGCAAGCUUUUCUAGGACUAACAUUUCACGGUUCAACGGAAUAAAGAUAUGAUUGACCAACGCAUAACAGCUAGGGGAGAGGAUUGUACAUAUAUGCACGCGCCAACGGCCAACCUAUUGACGCUGGAACGCGUCACACGAACACGUCGAUGUGUACCCGCGGCACCGAGGGAGAUGCUCCGCUACUCACACCGCGGGAAGCCGACUUCCAGCGCGAUACGCAAGACAGCAAGCCGGCGCUUUUGGACCCGAAACCCCACACGCCCGGGAGGGACCCCGUCUGGGCGCGUGGCAGCUAUGGGCUGCCCUAGGUCGACCUGAUCGCCCCUAGGGCCUCGAGGUUCGCCGCCCUGCAAUGAAGAAGAACGAACGAAGAACGAGGAAGAAGAAGAACUAGGGUUAAGGAGAAAAGAUAAAAGAUAAAAAGUGGUAGAUUGAUUGAUCGAUUGUGUGUUGUUCAAUCGGCCGUCACCCCUUAGGUAUAUAAGAGGCGGCUGGACUUCCCGUGCAAGGAAAAGGCUUGGAUUCACGUCCAAAACCCUAGUCAAAUUCGGAUUGGUUUUGUCCGAACUUUCCAGAACUGUUCGGUUUAAACUGGCUGCACCUUGCGGGUCAUUUUUGUGGUGGUAAACGAUCUCGGAUGGAAACGAGCCCAAAAGCAAUCUUGACCGUUUCGACGAGGCGAACAACUUUUGUGUUGAACGUUUUUUAAUCAGAGGUCAUCUUGAGGGUCAAAUCGGUCGCGCAAAACAGGCUAUCACUCGCGCUACCCAUCAGACAGGGUGUCUCGUUGGGCGCGCCAGUUUUUGCCUCCUGACAGGGCUAUAUUCCGAUGGCUCUAACUUUUGCAUACGAACUCGGAUUGGAACGACUUUUAUAUCAAAAUCGAUCUUUUCGACGAGACGAAGACAAUCCGUGUAGAUAAUCUUUCCAUUUGAGGUAGUCUUGGGGGCUUAAUCAGCCAAACUAUACUCUGAAUAAAAGAUCUUAGUACUUUGAGCAUAGUUUCGGCCUUCGAGAUGAAAUCGGAUUGCGAUGACCCAAACUUCAAAGAUGUUCAUAUCGACAAUACGGAACUCUUUCAUGAAGAUCACUUCUCCAUUUGAGGCCAUCUUAAAUAAGUUAUUGACCGUGCCAAAAUCUGGUGUCAACACAUGCCCCCCUGUUUUUCGGCAAAGUUUGUGUGCUGAAAAAUAACUUCCGCAUAGCUUAUUCUAAGGACGAUGUCAACACUCCAUCGGCCAUUUUGCAUGUUCUUACGGCGACAAGUAUAUAUCGGCCAUUGCUUGUUUGAACCUCUUGAUGCAAACUUGGGUGAAAACUUCUCAGCUUCUAUAACAAUCCGGUGAUAAGGUUCCAUAGAUCAAAACCAUCCUCUGAACCAUAUUGUUCACCCUUUCGCUAGGAUUUUGCAGAUAAUCAAGAAUGAACUUCCUCCAAUCCUUACUUCGCCUGCAUAAAAGUUUCAUUAGUGGCCGAAGCGGUGGGCUUCGAUUCAGCCUUACCUAUGUUGACAAGACCUAGCAUCGGCUAUUGAUAGAAAUGCAAUACACCAUGGUUAACAUAGUAGCCAGAUGCUUGCUGUGCCAACUCUUUCGAAUUGUCAUGUCUAGAUAUAUGAAGGAUAUUAAAGCAACCCAAGGUAAAUUUUGCAUCUAGACAUCUCCCAAGAUAAACUAUAAGUGAUUCGUCAAAACAUUGAUAACCCUUGUAUAUUUGUCGCACUACUUAUAACGAAUCACUGAAGGCCUCAAUCUGUAUAGCACCUACAACAACAAAAAGCUCCAAACCGAAUAAAUUUUCAUAUUCGGCUUUUAUUAUUGUGCAAACAUAUUUUAAGUUGUAUGAGGCUUGUUUUGGUCUCCUAUUGAACUAAGGACGAUAUUUGGAUACCACACCAACCAUGCAUUGACAUAAUCUUAGGACGAUAAAUAAAUAUCGGCCAUUACCAUGUAAACUUCAUUUGAAGCACAUAUAGCCAAAAUAAACAAACGAAAUGACAAAUCAAGUAUUUCGGCCCUUUGGAUCAGCAACAAACUUGUAGCUAAUCAAAUGUAUAGUGAUUUGGCAAUACCCUUUCAUGAUGUAAGAAAUUAUAUUGCAUCCAUGGAUUAAAAUAAGCCCAUUGAGGGUUACCAAUCAUACCUGAUGACGAAUUCCAUGGCAUAGGCAUUAAUGGCAUAGUUGCAGAAUAUGGAUAAUGUGUAGACCAAAGAUGUUGAAACCUUCGGCUUGGUGCUUCGUAGUUUUCACACUUUUCCUUCUUCACCUUUGCCGCACUUCUUGUAAUGGAAGCUUGCACAUAAUUCUUAUUUUGAGCACUUCCUUUGGGAACCCAUGCCAUGUUCCUUUCUUCAAGUUCUUGUGCACUAAGUUUUUGUAAUUUCUUCUUUUGCCAAUACGAUAAGCCAAGCGGGCAUCUCGGCUGUGAUUCUAUUUUGACCAAUGGCAAUUCCUUUUUGGCCUUGUGCACUCUCAAAUUCUUUUCUUCAAAUUUGGCACUUCGAUUCUCAAUAAUUGGUUGCUUUGUCUCAUUGCCUUUAGUAGCCAAUGUCAACACUUUAAUUGGCUCUUUUUUAUUUGAGAUCAAAUCUGAAAUUGCACUCUUACGACCAUCUCUCUUAAUGCGGUAAACCUGCUUGACCACCUCUUUCUUCUUCCUUGAGCUCUGGACCGAUUCCUUAUGAUUGAAACGGUCUUUGAAGCGUGAUUGUUCAAAUGUUGAUCUUCUUGGAGCUGCAUAGUAUUGGUGAGAUGGUCUAGAAUAAGAUGGAGAAUGUGCCCUUGUAUCAUACUUGUCCCAUGAUGAAUAUGUAUCUAUAUGAGAAUAGGGAGGCAUCCACGGCAUUGGCAUUGGCGGCCCAAAAUAAGGAUAUGAAUAUGUUGCAUUAAAAUUAUCACUUUGCCAAUACCGAUCCUCAUAUUUGCGCCUUGGGGGUGACCUUGGUUUCUUUGCAUGAUUUGGCCGAUAAGCAUUCUUCUCUUCACUCUUCUUUUGAUAUUUAUCCAAUAGUUCAGCGAAGGUGACUUUUGAUCUCUUACACUUGCGCUUAUUUCGUCCUUUGUUUUCUUCUGGUUUGCUUUCAUCGGUCAUUGCAUUUGCUUGUUGCCCCCCAGUCCUUGGCGUCUCCAUUGUAGCUUUGAUGGAAUUCUUGCCCUCAAGAUUAUGUUCAUUAUGCUCUUCAACAACUUCUUUACUUCAAAGCUUGAUCCCAUCACCUGUAGUUUUUACCUUCUUUUCAAAUGGAUCGGCUUGAAUCAGCCGAUGCAAAAACUUUCUACCAUCGGGACCAAUCGGAAUAGACUGGUCAUCUCUUGGUGUCUCAACAAAUUUCAAUCGUCCUUUAUCAAUGGACGAUUUAACUAUUUGACGAAACAUGUUGCAAUCCUCAAAAUUAUGCUUGGACGAAUCAUGCAACUUACAAUACAUUCGUCCCUGGAUAGAUGGUUCAACAUGGUGAUCAAGAAUUCUAAUAUAAUUAUUUUGCAACAACAAAUCAAAUAUUUGAUCACACAUGCUUGAAUUGAAGGUAAACUUUUCAUUCUCUAGCCUAUCUUGUUGUGAGAACGGCUUUGGAGUUAAGCAAACGAAUGGUUCAGAUUUUGUAUCACACCAUUCGGCUAUGCAUUGUGGUUUGCACUCUAUCUCUGAUAUCUUUGGGUAAGAUAUUAUACUAGCAUCAGUUUUCUCAACAGAAUUUAACCUUGGCUUUAAAUUUCUAAAAUGAAAAUAGUUAGAACAUACAUGUCUCAAUUGAGACCAAGUGCAAGCCAAUUAUGAAAUAAGCAAGGCUACCCAAAUAGAUAUGAACUUUAGAUAAAGCAACGGGGAAAGCUUUGGCUGCAAUAAUAAGUCAUUAUCGGUCUUUAUAAAUGGCACAAUUGGUUGACCGAUAUGUUCUAAAACAAUUUUAUUGCUAACAAGUAAAUUACCCUUCUUCAUUGGUCUUUCAAAAUUACCUAUGAGGAUUUUUCUAAUAGAUGCAUCAACAAUAAAGUUGUGACCAAAUCUGAAAAUAGGUAAAUUACCCGCUAUGCAUACCUCUUCAAAUAUGUUGGGAGAGCAUGAUGGUGGUGCCACUUGAAGAACAUCUUGCUUGGUCUUUGGAUGGCUCCCCAACACCUUGUCAUCAUAUUUUUCUUGAUUCUGUGCAUCAUUGCUUUGAAGAUCCAUGUCAGCCGAACUUUGUUCGGCUACUUGUUCUUGUCCUUGAGGCUUGUCAAUUUCUACGGCACGGAACUCAUAUGGCAGGAAGUAGGUUCCAUUAACUUCAGAAAAAUCAAGCACCGUUGUUUUCCUAUGCUUGCCAUGCCCUUUCUCAAUAAUGCUUGCCUCGUUGGAUUUGAUGGAUUCAGAAUAUAUACUACUUGAUUCGGAUUUUUCAACCAAAGAACAUUCAUGUUCCGAAUCAUCCUUCUUUUUGUUGAUACUACCAAUUGGCAAUGCUUCUUUUAUCUGAGCCAAUUCUUUUUCUAUUUGUUUCUGACGGCGAGCAGCAAAAUUAGCUUUAAGCUUUUUCUCAAUUUCAGCCCACUCCGGAUAUGAUUGCCCCCCAAUGCGUUUAGAUUCUUUCGGCAAUGACACACGGGUGUUGCCGAAAUUUUGCAAUUGUGUAGGGGUUGUAUAAUAUGAUAUAGUACUAGGUGAAGGCAUAUGCAUUGUUGUAAGACCAUCCUUUUGCUCGCCAAUUUUAUCAAUUGGCAAAGAUUCAUCUUCUUGCAAAACUCUAGCUUUUAUUGCGGCAUAAUCAGGAAAUAGCGCAUUUUCAUGUUGUUCAAGGCAAAGAGCACUAAUUCUCUUAUUUUGGGCUAAACUCUUCAAUGCAGCCACCACUACCUCAUCCUCUACAAUGUUGGGCACAACCGCUCCUGUAAAAUUUACAUUCAUUCGGCUAUAACCAGGAAGGUGUGAAGCCGAAUUAUGAGCAUCUACAGUUGUGUAUGGUGCCGAAGAAUUAGUAACAUGAGGUGUAGCAUAUGACAGUUGAGAGUAACUGGCCGAAUAGCCACUAGUAGCAUGGCCAAUUCUUUCAUUCAUCGGCAUGGUUGGAUUACUAUAUUGCACAUUAGCUGCCGAUGAAUAAAAGGGUGAAACACUUUCUCGUAUGGCAUUGGAAAUUCUAACUUGGGGUGUUUCAAAUUGAUUAAUCGAACUCAUCAUGUUGCUCAUCGGCAUAUGAAUUUGCUGGGUGGCCGAUGCGUGUGAGUUGGGAUACAUAUGGUGCAUGUUACUAAUAUCAUAAGAAGUUGAAGUAUGUAAAUUACUUUGAAUCGGCCCUUGCACGUAGUUAGUUGCAUGAUUGAAGAAACUAGGGUUGGCCGAUAGAGUAUACUCAUUGAACAAUCUAGUAACACCAUAUGAACUAUUUGCAUCUACAUAAAGGGAUUGGGUAUUCAUAUUACCUUUGUAGACGGCAAACCCUAGAUGACGAUCUCUUUGUAGCAAGAACGGGCCGGAGACCGUUCGAAACUUCGUCCCCAGCGGAGUCGCCAAAAAGUGUGUUGACGCUGGAACGCGUCACACGAACACGUCGAUGUGUACCCGCGGCGCGGAGGGAGAUGCUCCGCAACUCAAACCGCGGGAGGCCGACUUCCAGCGCGAUACGCAAGACAGCAAGCCGGCGCUUUUGGGACCCGAAACCCCACACGCCCGGGAGGGACCCCGUCUAGGCGCGUGGCGGCUAUGGGCUGCCGUAGGUCGACCUGAUCGCCCCUAGGGCCUCGAGGUUCGCCGCCCUGCAAUGAAGAAGAACGAACGAAGAACGAGGAAGAAGAAGAACUAGGGUUAAGGAGAAAAGAUAAAAGAUAAAAAGUGGUAGAUUGAUUGAUCGAUUGUGUGUUGUUCAAUCGGCCGUCAUCCCUUAGGUAUAUAAGAGGCGGCUGGACUUCCCGUGCAAGGAAAAGGCUUGGAUUCACGUCCAAAACCCUAGUCAAAUUCGGAUUGGUUUUGUCCGAACUUUCCAAAACUGUUCGGUUUAAACUGGCUGCACCUUGCGGGUCAUUUUUGUGGUGGUAAACGAUCUCGGAUGGAAACGAGCCCAAAAGCAAUCUUGACCGUUUCGACGAUACGAACAACUUUUGUGUUGAACGUUUUUUAAUCAGAGGUUAUGUUGAGGGUCAAAUCGGUCGCGCAAAACAGGCUAUCACUCGCGCUACCCAUCAGACAGGGUGUCUGGUUGGGCGCGCCAGUUUUUGCCUCCUGACAGGGCUGUAUUCCGAUGGCUCUAACUUUUGCAUACGAACUCGGAUUGGAACGAUUUUUAUAUCAGAAUCGAUCAUUUCGAUGAGACGAAGACAAUCCGUGUAGAUAAUCUUUCCAUUUGAGGUCGUUUUGGGGGCUUAAUCAGCCAAACUGUACUCUGAAUAUAAGAUCUUAGUACUUUGAGCAUAGUUUCGGCCUUCGAGAUAAAAUCUGAUUGCGAUGACCCAAACUUCAAAGAUGUUCAUAUCGACAAUACGGAACUCUUUCAUGAAGAUCACUUCUCCAUUUGAGGCCAUCUUAAAUAAGUUAUUGACCGUGCCAAAAUCUGGUGUCAACACAACCCAGUGCUCCUCCCAAGCAAGUAAAGUGUCGUACCAUACACACAUCCAUCCAAACACAUCCAUCCAACGACCUGCAGUCAAUGACAUGGCAAUCCAACGCGUCCCCUUCCUCGUGUCUUUGAGCCUUCUGCUACAUCUAUGCGCGGCCGAGGCCGCCGCCGGCCACUCAGAAGAAUCGCAAGCACAGGCACUCCUCCGAUGGAAGUCCACGCUGCUCCACUCCUUCUGUUUGUCCUCGUGGUCGCGUGCCACACCGACCUGUUCCUGGGAUGGUGUAACAUGUGACCACCACGGCCAUGCUACCGAGCUCAAGCUUUCACAGUGCAACCUCAAUGGCACGCUUGACGCCUUGUACUCCGCCGCGCUCGGGAGCCUCACCAAGCUCAGCUUUUACGGGAACAACCUCGUCGGCACCAUCCCGGUCAACAUCUCCCUAUUUCUCAACCUCACCUCACUGGACUUGAUGAGCAACAACCUUGUUGGUCCUAUACCUACCAAUUGAGCAAACUCAAGCACUUGGCGUACCUUGAUUUGUCUAGCAAUAGGCUAUCUGGGCCGAUACCACGUCUCCUCUCGGUGCUCACAACACUAGAGUCACUGAAACUUGGACAGAACAAUCUUACCGGAGGAAUCCCAGAGGAGCUCGGGAUGCUGCAUAGUUUGCAUCCGCUUGAACUAAACAACAACUCUUCACAAACUUGGGCAACUUCGGAUGCUAGAAUGGCUAAACAUAAGUAAAAAUCAUUUAAGUUCAACUAUCCCUUUUGAGUUGGGCAAUCUUACUAGGCUCUUCCACAUAGACCUGUCCUGGAACAAGCUCUCUCGUGGUUUGCCCACCACCUUUUCCAGGUUGCAGUACUUGGAUGGGUUUGCGAUGAGGAACAACAGUCUCAACAGCAACAUUCCACCAGAACUCUUCACAAACUGGAAAACAACAACUCUUUCACUGGAGGCAUCCCACCGGAGAUUAUUCGAUGGGAGAAUAUGUGUCAGUUGUCCUUGUCUGGCAAAGUUUUCACUGGCAUGAUCCCCACUGAGUUAGUAUGCAUGCAACACUUGGAUAUGGUGGACCUAUCCAAUAAUCAUCUUAAUGGUGUGAUACCAUGAGAGAUUGGCAACUUGUCAAGUUUAGUAAUCCUGGACCUUAGCUCCAACCAGUUGGAGGGCAGUGUUCCUACUAUGAACCCUGACACUGCCAAUAACAAUUCCUUGUCUUUUGCUACUCUCAUCUCCUUGUCUGGAAACAAAUUUAUAGGCAUUAUUGACUGGAGUUUUUGUCAGCUACCAAAUUUACAGUUCUUGGAUUUAUCAGACAAUCUAUUGUUAGGAGUUAUCCCUAAUUGUCUUUGGAGGUUGCUGAAUCUUGCGUAUCUGGAUUUGUCAAGCAAUGCUAUUGACGGAGAAGUUCCGAUAUCAGUACACAUUAUUUCUCCACUGGGUUCACUACAUCUAUCUAACAACCACUUCACAAGAUGCUUUCCCUCUGUUGUAAAGAACUUCAGGAACCUAAUCACUCUAGAUCUUGGUGGCAACAAGUUUUCUGGUGUAAUUCCUACUUGGACAGGACCAAGCAAUCCUUCGCUAAGGGUUCUCCGGCUAUGAUGGAAUAUGUUCCAAGGAAGUAUUCCUCAUGAGGUUACACAACUCAUUCGUCUUCAAAUACUUGACCUAGCUAAAAACAAUCUGACAGGUUGCAUACCAGUUAGUUUUGCCAGCUUUACUCACAGGAAAUGGCCAGAACGGACCUCGUUAGGGAUGUAUCUGUGGUCUAUGUCCUAAUCAAUUGAUGGCCAGCUUGACAUAAUCUGGAAGGGGCAAGAUUGUACUUUCCAUAGAACAAUUUGGCUUAUGAGUCGCAUUGAUCUAUCAAGCAAUUCUCUUUCUGGCGAGAUCCCCGCAGAAGUAGUUUAUCUUCAAGAAAUCCGUUUCCUCAACUUGUCUAGACACAACUUAUCCGUUGGUAUCCCAAACAACAUUGGCAACAUGAAAGAUAUGGAGUCCCUCGAUUUAUCUUGGAAUAAGCUCUCAGGUCCCAUUCCAUCAAGCAUAGCAGACUUGACGUACUUGAGCUCACUUAAUCUCUCCAACAACCUUCUUUCAGGAGAGAUACCUGAUGGCAAUCAGCUUCAAACGCUCAAUGACCCGUCGAUUUAUAGCAACAACAGAGGACUCUGUGGCCCCGCUCUAAGCAUUCCAUGUACCGAUGGUUCGAGUGGUACAACAACACCAUACGGGGUAAAGGAACAUCAUAAAGAACUUGAUGCGGUCUGGCUGUACUACUCGGUGGUCGCUGGAAUUGUCUUUGGUUUCUGGCUAUGGUUUGGAACAUUGUUCUUUUGGAAGCGUUGGGGGUUCGUGUUAAGCGACAGAGUUCAGGCGCGUACAGGUUCGACCAGAGGUUCGACCAGGAGUCCAUAUCUGAACCGAAACCAUAGACUAGGGUAGUUGUGAUAUUCUCUUAUCUAUUGUAAUCUCUAUCUCUCUAGUCUAUCCCUUGGAUCUCAAGUCAAGGAUCCUAACGAUGUAAUCCUCACUGUACGCUAUACGGGAGUCGCGCCCCGUCCUAUAUAACACGAAGCCGUCGCCCUAGGCAGGGUACGACGUUCUCUCACAGUUCGCUUUCUUCCAUUUCAUCGACGCCGUGCAGAAGAAAGUUACGAGGAAGACGAAGCAUAUAUAAUGAGACCCUAUCUGGAGUUCAGAAAAGUUCUCAAGCAGUUGCAAUUAUCCGCAAUGGACAUGCAUGUAUUAUUACUGAAGCCCUCCUUUAAUAUCAUCAGGGAAGUACAAUUAUCAAAUCCUUUGUUCAUAGGAUCGACUUAGACAAGAUCUUGUGAUGAAGCCAGUUUCACACGUACUAGUAUUGUGAUGAGCAGAAGUUUAUUCUCUGAAUUUUUAUGUGUUACUAGUAUUGUGGUGAGUAGAAGAUUAAAAUCGAAACGUGUGAAUGUACAAGACGCUUGAUUGUUACUAGUAUUUGUCUGUUUUUUUUUUGGUUUAGUUGGUACUUGUUGGUUCAUUCCUGCUAAUUGUGGUUGUAAAACAGCUUGAUAUAUUUGCGUAUUUGCUUUAAUAAAAAAAGAUGGUCUUGUAUAUUUUGUCUAAAAGUAUGUAGUAUAAAUUUAUUUCUUUGCAUUCAAUUGAUUACAACUUCUCAGCGAGUCAUUAAUAAGAUCACUUGAAUUGAGACUGAAUAGCGUAUUAUCUUUUUUUUUGAAAAGGGGAGACACCCCGGCCUCUGCAUCAUCAUGAUGCACACAUCCAUUUUUAUUAAAAGCAAAUAAAUAGGUCUGAGACGAACAUAGUAUCAACUAAAACCACAAAAAGAAAAAGAAAUCACCACAAAAGGUGGGUACAAACGAAAGAUUACAUGACUUAACCACAUAAUCUAUUAGUGACAUGCCAACCAAACCGGUUGAAUAACGCCUAUGAAACCAUCUCCAGACGGUUGCAUCCAAAGGCCAUGAGCCCCCAGCGUCCCCAUGCUGAAGUGAUGACCACAUAAUCGGUGCGGUGGCUCUAAAGAUAACCUGCAAAAAGUUAAUAGAGCGAGACCUGUUAAAAACACAGUCAUUCCGGCAAUUCCAAAUUGCCCAAAGUAAGGCACAAACCCCUACACGGAUAUGACCCUUAAGUAUUUUGUUGAUACCAACCAACCUGUUUCCAAACAAAUUUGGGAUACUUGUUGGUGGUGUCAAAUUAUAUGCAACAUGAACCGUGCGCCAAAUCAAAGCCGCGAAAGGGUAGGAAAUAAAAAGAUGUUGAAUUGUUUCAUCCUUAUCACAAAAACAACACUUCCUACAUCCGUUCCAGUUUCGUUUACCCAAAUUAUCUUUGGUUAGGAUCACCUCCCUCUGAACAAACCACAUAAAAUUUUUAAUCUUUAAAGGUACUUUGAUUUUCCAUAUAUGCUUUCUACAGAACACAGGCCCCGUAUUAAUAAGAUCUUCAUACAUAGACUUGACAGUAAACGCCUCAUUGGUAUUUAGUCUCCAUCUAAAGACGUCAGGCGCAUGAGAUAGGUUGACCAACAUCAACCUACGAACUAAAUGGAGCCACACCAUCCAUUUAUCACCAAUCAAGGCCCUCCUGAAUUGGAUGUUCAGAGGUGUUGAACCAAGGACUGAUUGAACUGUAUCAUCUUUCUUACGCACAAUAUUAUACAAAGAUGAGUACUGGACCGCAAGCGGAUUGUCCCCUAGCCAGGUAUCCUCCCAGAAACUAGUGGAUUGACCGUCCCCAACUUCAAAUGAACCUCUCAUAAAGAAAGAAGACUUGACCUUCAUCAAGCCCUUCCAAAAUGGAGAGUCAGUUGGUUUGGCUUCCACCUGGGAUAAGGUCUUCGAAUAUAAGUAUUUAUUGUGGAGGAGCUCUUGCCAGACCCCUUCCUCAUUUUGUAACUUGAAUGGCCAUUUGCUAAGCAAGCACCUAUUUUUGAUUUCCAAGUCUUCAAUGCCCAAUCCGCCUUGGUCCUUAGGUCUACACAAGAUAUCCCAUUUUGCCAAUCGAUACUUCCGUGUGUGCUCAUCACACUGCCAGAAGAACCUAGACCGAUAGAAAUCAAGUCUCUUUAAUACCCCUUUGGGUAUUUCAAAGAAAGACAACAUAAACAUUGGCAAACUUGUGAGAACUGCGUUGAUUAGAGUUAAUCGUGCCCCAUAUGACAUGAGUUUACCCUUCCAGGAACUCAGUUUUUUUCAAAAUGAUCUUCUAUAAUUUUCCAUUCUUUGUUAGUGAGCUUUCGAUGAUGAAUGGGUAUACCAAGAUAAGUAAAGGGUACUGUGCCGACCUCACACCCAAAUAACUGUCUAUAUUGGUCUUCAUUUUCUUUGGCUCUACCAAAGCAAAAAAGCUCACUCUUAUGAAAGUUUAUCUUGAGGCCAGAAAGUUGCUCAAAAAGACAUAGUAUCAGUUUCAUAUUUGCCGCCUUCUGCAAAUCAUUCUCCGUAAAGAUAAUUGUAUCAUCAGCAUAUUGAAGAAUAGAGACGCCUCCCUCCACCAAGUGCGGGAUGAGCCCACCAAUCUGGCCAUCCUCCUUAGCCCGUGCUAUGAGGAUGGCCAACAUAUCGGCUACAAUGUUAAAAAGGAUAGGAGACAUAGGAUCAUCUUGUCUUAAACCUUUUAGUGUUUGGAAAUAAUGACCAAUAUCAUCAUUUACCUUGACCCCGACACUCCCACCCUGGACAAAAGAUUACACUUGUUGACGCCAUUCGGCUGCGAACCCUUUCAUCCGCAGAGCUUGUUGAAGAAAAGGCCAUUUGACUUUAUCAUACGCCUUUUCAAAAUCAACCUUAAAGACAACUCCAUCAAGUUUCUUUUUGUGAAGCGCAUGGAUAGUUUCAUGUAGAAUGACUACACCCUCCAAGAUGUUUCGUCCAGGCAUGAAAGCAGUUUGAGUAGGGCGGACAACCGGUUGUGCAAUCAUGGAGAGCCUAUUAGUACCCACUUUGGUGAAUAUUUUAAAGCUGACAUUCAACAAACAAAUAGGUCUGAAUUGCUCGAUCCGAAUGGCCUCUUCUUUCUUAGGAAGUAAAGUGAUAAUCCCAAAAUUGAGGCGAAACAAACAUAAAUCUUCGUUAAAAAGAUCGCCAAACAUAGGGAGCAGGUCACCUUUGAUAGUCUCCCAACACUUCUAGUAGAAUUCAGCAGGGAACUCAUCCUGUCCCGGAGCUUUAUUCCUUUCCAUCUGUGAAAUAGCGUCAAAAAUUUCCUUCUCUGAGAAAGGUGCUGUCAAGAUAGCAUUUUUCUCCCGAGAAAGUUGGGGUAUAUCCUCAGACAUAUCCUCGUCCAUCAUGACGAAAUUGGAGUCCGGUUGCCCAAAUAAACGUUUAUAAUAAUUGGUAAUAUAUGCCUUUAGCAUAUCUUGACCGACAAUAGUUCCUUCAUCUUGUUCAAGUUGAUGAAUUUUCUUUUUCCUACGCUUUCCAUUUGCAAUCAAAUGGAAAAACUUAGUAUUAUUGUUCCCUUCACGAACAGAUUUUACUUUAGCACGACGGGACCAUUUUAACUCUUCCUCCCGCAUAAGCUUGGCCAGAAACUCAUCCGCCUCCUGCUUGGCAGCACGAUCUGCCAUGCAGAGUGGUGAAGAUUCAGCCUUGAUAUCUAAAGCGUUAACAAUAUCCAUCAGACGUUCUUUUUCUUUUUUAUAUUCACCACUCAAAUUCUUCGCCCAACCCCGAAGAAACCGUCUAAGAUGACAUAUCUUGAACUGCCAACGUUCAAUAUUUGUUGCACCUCUCGUUUCCUUAGACCAUUCCCGAGCUACUAAAUCAUGGAAACCUUCCCUCUCAAACCAAUAUGUUUCAAAAGAGAAUGCUGCUUUGUUCCCCAAAUGAGCAGCCUCAUCGGAGUCCAAAAGAAGAGGUGUAUGAUCAGAAAUACUUCUCUGGAGAGCUCUAACGGUCACCAAUGGAAACUUUUGCUCCCAUUCAACGCUCAUCAAAACACGAUCGAGCUUUUCAUAGGUGGGAACCUCAAGAUUAUUAGCCCAGGUAAACUGUCGACCUGAUAGAGCAAUCUCUCUCAGGUCUAAGUUUUCAAUAAUCACAUUAAACAUAAAAGGCCAUCUAGCAUCAAAGUUAUUAUUGUUUUUCUCGUCUUGACGCCUAAUGAUAUUAAAAUCCCCACCCACCAACAUCAGUAGAGACUCGGACCCACAUAUUCUCACUAAUUCCGAUAGAAAAUCGGGCUUAAGCUCUGGUUGCGCAGCUCCAUAAACCGCCACCAAUGCCCAUGAGAAGCCAUCACUUCUCGAGCGCACAUGAAACUUAACCACAAAAUCACCUACGUCCAUAUUAAGAACCUCGAUACUAGAAUUGUUCACCCCAAGCAAGAUACCGCCAGACCUCCCCUUGGGCGGUAGGCAGUACCAAGAAAAAUCUAAGCCCCCACAUAGAAAGCUUAGAAACGGUGUCGAAAAGGUUGGCCGACCAGUCUCCAUAAGAGCGAUGAAAUCUAAAUUUUGCUCUCUGGAUGUGUUCGAAAGAAAUUGCCUUUUAGCCAAGUCACCAAGACCUCUGCUAUUCCAGAAAAUUCCUCUCAUUCGUCAUGAAAUUUCAUUUUAUAUUUUAGACGCGCACUACGACGCACCGCUGAGAGGUCAAAUUCCCUCUUGGUACGCUUACGACGAACCUCGAUCUCGACAGGCUUUGCCAAAAAAUCCAUAUGAUUUUCUGGAAAACUUGUCUCCUCUGGGAUCAAGUCCUCGCACAAAUUUUGAAUAAAAGGAAUCGAAAGCCCAUGAGGAUCAUCAUCCUCAAUGGGAGUUUCAGCGGCUUUUUUCUUUAACAUCACGACAACUCUAUCCGUCUCUAAAUCCAACAACUCAUUCACUGAACAGGCAACUUCAUGACAACUGCUACCCAAAGAAACCCCGAGUCUAGAUGCUUUGUGGAUAAUAUCAUCUUCGGAAAAUGAAAGAACUGAAUAUUUUUUAUUGAAAUUCAUACCUGAAGAAGUCUCAAUGUCACGGAGCUUGGCAGCUCGCAGCCUGGUUUCUGUUUGUUUAGUCAAGAAUGUAUGGUUCUUUCACGGAGUUCAUUUCUUUCACACAUUUGAAAUUUCAUAUAUUGCAUAGUUGCAUUUAUUGUUGCUUCAUUUAUUGUCAUAAAAGGGAAGUAAGUAAUGUUUAAAUUACAUUUUCCUGUGCACAUCUAGGUGGUGUUAAAAAGAUAUACUCUGUUUUGAAUGGUUUUUGGGCCUCAUUCUGUCUCAAAUUGCUAUACUUAUCGAUGCCAUGAAGUUUUGUACGGGGAAAUAGUGUUUGAGGAUUCCUGAGAAAAUGUAAAACUAAUAGUUUGGAGGAAAAAGCAGGGCAAUCCUCCCUCAGAAUGAAUUUGAGCUGAUUUUUGCAAGUCAGUCUAUCUGAAUCUCUGAAUAUUCCAUACAUUGAGUAUUUCUAGGAUUCUAUUGACCCAUAGAUGCUUGGGUUUAAUUGCAGAAGAAUAGAAAUUCCUUCUGUUUAAUUGCAGAGGUAUAGCAUCUCAUCUUGUUAGUUGCAGAACUAUAGCAACCAACAAUUGGAGGUGAGUACGAUAUAUUAGUCACCAGGAAAGCUAUCCAGCAGGCCGGUGACCUGAUAUAUGGUUUCUUGACCAAACUUGAUGCCGUUUUAAGAGUAGUUAUGUAAUGUAGUAGAAGAGGGAAGCAAGACGUGGCAAGUUGAGAGAAGAGGAAUGUGCCUGCCGGAGGACUCUGUUUCAAUGGUGCAGGGGCAGAGUUCGACGAUUGCCUGCGGUGCUCCGGUGAUUUGAUUGUGAUUCAACCACAAGUGCUCUUGUUGAUUUCUACACACUCCGUAACUAGUGAUUAGUUGAAUGUUCAAGCUCACUCUGUAACGUCGAGCAGAGGGGACUGCAGCAGGUAGCGCCGUCAGUCACAGGGGACUGCUUUCCAGACAUGUUCAUAGGGGACCAACACCAAGUACAGAGAUCGCUGUGGCGAGCAGCACAACACACCAAAAGGAAAAGAAGAAGAAACAAAUGCCAACCACGGCAGCUCGGCAAAGCGCGGAUGACCCGCCACCGCGGCGCCCACCGGAUACAGACCACCACAGACCGAGGCUCCGAACCACCGCGUACCAAGCAGCACCUCCAAGAAGGGGUGCGGCGCCGACGCCGCUGCUGCCCGGACGAGUCCUCGGGUUUCCCCCGGCACGCGGAGGGAGGUGGAGGGUGGAUACCACCGACACCCUCCAGGAAGGAAUGAUGGCACCCGCAGGUGUCACCGCGUCAGGGCCGAAGCCGGCAGGGAUUUCUCCCGCAUUCCAACCCCAACAGCCCAACCGGACGGAACCAACCCGCCAAACCAUCGUCCACCACCACGCGCCAACGCAAUAGCGCCGCCACCCAUGCCGCCUCACUAUGAACACCACCACGAGGCCAUAAGGACCGGAGAGAAGCUCACCACGACGGGAGCAGCAACACCGACGCCGAGCGGGAGGGAACCACCUCCACCGUCGUCGUGCGGGAGGCCCGCGCCUCCGGCACCGUCGCGGUAGCCGUCCGGACGCGGCAGCGGGGCAUGCCGGGCCACCCCUGGCCUAGCCAGGCCUGAAGCGGGCCCGUUAAGCCCCGCCAGCCGCGAUGCAGCUAGCACCCAGCCACUCGUCGCGUCUCCCCCGCCUCCCAGAAGCCACGCCGGAGACCAUCCCCGCUGCCGGCUCGCCAAGACCCAGAUGGGGCCCGAAGGGCCCAGAUCUGGGCCGAGUUGGCGACGUCAGAUCCCGCCGCGCCGCCGCCUCGCCGCCACCCAGCUGCCCGCCUGCAUGUGCCACGGAACCCCGCCGCCACGCCAGACCGCCGCCGCCUAAAAGCACCCCCCGGAGCAGCUCCGCCCACGCCGGAGAGCGACCGCGGACAAGAGAGCAUUUGUCCUUGUCACCGAGGCCUUGAACAUUCCAAGAAAGAAACGAGAGGCAGUUACGGUUGACACUAUCCAUAACCAAGGCGAGCACCAGACAUACAAGACGUACAAGGGGAGAGAAGCGCGAGGGGUAACAUGACAUAGGUGGGGGAAACAUAGUACAUGAAGGCGUACACGAAGGCUAGCAGAAGCAAAGAUACACAACGCCCGAACGAAAGAGCCCCGGGCGUCCAGCGGGCAGAGAAGACAGAAGGUCGCUAAUCAUCGACACCUGCCGACACCGGAGCAGAUGGGAUGGCCGCCGCGGCCCUAAGCUCGAACACAGAGUUCAUUCCCAGAGGCUUGAGGAUGGCGGCGAUCACUUUGUGUUUGAGAACUUUGGCUUGGAGAGCCGUUGAGCAGCCUUUGAGGGAGUCUUUGAGUUCCCUCUGCUUGAUAGCUUUGGCAGUCAUGGAGACAUACGCGGCAGGCUCCUUGAGGGCCAGGCGACGGCUAUGGCGCACGCCCGGGACGGCAGGAGCAGGGGCAGCGACGUCGGGCACCACGUUGCAUGGCGCAUGCAUAACGGGUGCCGGGGACGACCCAGUACCCGCAAGCACGGCAAGCACGCUGGCGUUGAAGGGGCCCGACCCACCAUCCCUAGUGUCAUCGUCAGAGUCCUCACCCAGCUCAGUGAUGACCACCGAGCUACGGGGGGUGGAGGUGGCUAUGUUGCUGGAGUAGCCCAAAGCCACGGACGGCGGAGGAGCACGGAUGGAGGCGGGAGACCCGGGAAGAGGCGAGGCGCCAUGCAGGCGAAGCAAGGUGGCAAGCCGUUGCCCGCCACCCCCANNNNNNNNNNNNNNNNNNNNNNNNNNNNNNNNNNNNNNNNNNNNNNNNNNNNNNNNNNNNNNNNNNNNNNNNNNNNNNNNNNNNNNNNNNNNNNNNNNNNNNNNNNNNNNNNNNNNNNNNNNNNNNNNNNNNNNNNNNNNNNNNNNNNNNNNNNNNNNNNNNNNNNNNNNNNNNNNNNNNNNNNNNNNNNNNNNNNNNNNNNNNNNNNNNNNNNNNNNNNNNNNNNNNNNNNNNNNNNNNNNNNNNNNNNNNNNNNNNNNNNNNNNNNNNNNNNNNNNNNNNNNNNNNNNNNNNNNNNNNNNNNNNNNNNNNNNNNNNNNNNNNNNNNNNNNNNNNNNNNNNNNNNNNNNNNNNNNNNNNNNNNNNNNNNNNNNNNNNNNNNNNNNNNNNNNNNNNNCAGCCAGCCUAAAGGAAAGCCGUGCAGAGGCGGCGGAGCUCCGUUGUGGGCAAACGGCGGAGGCGGUGGCGGGCCGAAGAAGGGGAUGUAGACGUCAUCGUCGCCGUAGGAGUCCGCUUGCAGCCAAACAGCAAGCGUACUGAAAGUGACGACGCGGGAGCCCCAGAACCCGCCGCGCGGCCACACGUCACAUUGGACCUCCCUGGCAUGCUCAAGGAGGAGGACGACCCGAACGGCAGAGAGAUCGGUACCGGAGAGCACCCUGUGGUCAAUCUCGACCAAGUCACCAAAGCCUGAAAAGGCGCGAGCAAUGCCGACGGGGUUGAUGUGCUCGGUGGGGAAUCUGGUGGUAGAUAUGAAGGCGUGGGUUCUGGCCCUUGGUGGCACCUGGUCAGCCUCCUCUUCUUGGGUGAAGAUGAUGAGAGCGCCCUCAAAAGGCAGCUCCCGCAGCGCGACGCACGUCUCGCGGUCCUUUGGAGAGUUGAACCGCAAGUACAUGGCGCCAACGGAUGAGCCGACCGUAUCGAAGAAGAGGUGGGGCGCCGCAGCCAGUGCAGGGCGUCACGGACGGACGCCGUUGGGGAAGGGAAUGCACCGGAGGGGUCACCACAGCCAGCCGGUGAGCCACCGUGAGGUCGCCCGUGGGCAUGAAGACCUCAAGGUAGUGCGGCCGCUCGGAUUCCGCCACCAGGGACGGAGCGCUAGCGCUGGAGCUGGCCUUAGAGCCCGAUGGGGAGCGGUGCAUCAGGCCGCCAGCACUGUCGAAAUCGGGCUGCUCACCGGAGACAGUAGAGGCGUCCGAGCCCAUCUCAUCGGACUCGUCAGAAGCAGCACGGCGCCGAAGGCCAAGGGCCAGGGGAAGGUGCACCAGCGAUGGAGGGGUGCGGCGCCCGCUGCUAGGGGAGGCAGGCAUGGAGGCGACCGAGCCGUUCGGCGAGUUGCCUAUGAUGCGGAACCGAGGCGGGGAGGCUUGGGGAGACCGAGGCGCCGUACGCCUGCGAAGGCACAAGGCGUUCGGGGAGGCCAAAGCAGAGCACUCCCGGACAAUGAGAGCAGGGGCGUUGGUGGGCAGUGGGGGCGUGGGUAGAGCGGAAGGGAAGGGCACAACGGGGCGGGGCUCUGCGGCGGGUGGCUGAGGUGGGGGAAGGGGGUGGGAGGACGGUCACAGUGGGGCGCGCCAUGCACUGGUGAAGACGGUGGCCGGAGCCGCCGUACCCCUUGCAACAGGUGGGGUCAUGGCAGUCGAUGACCUGGUGACAGGAGGUGAGGCACCUGAAGCACCCGGUGAGCGAGCGAAGGGGGCGAGGUGGGGUGCGAGGAGGGGGGUGGAGGCGCAAGGCGGAGGAGGACCUGUAGAUAAGAGGCGGGAGGAGCGGGGGAUUGAGGAGCGGCGGUAGCAGCGGCAUUGAAGCCUGUCGCGGCGGUAGGAGCGGCAUUGAAGCCCGUCAGGGGCGUGGCUAGCUCGGCGACGGGACAGGGGAGGGCAGGGCUAUCCUCCGUACCUAGGCCGGUGGCCGCGGUCUCGAGGGGAGGCAGCACGCCGGCAUGGUUUUGAUGUUGCGUCGCGGAAAGGGGGGGCUCUUCAAUGGCGCCAUAAGGUUGGGAUGGGACGUCGAUGAGCUGGGGAGCAGAAGGGGGGAUGGGCAACAGACCAGGGGAGUUAGAGCAGACGGGAACGGGCGGGCGUGGGCGCCGAAAACCACGCGACCGUCGAGCCAUAGUCAAUGCAGCCGGUCGCUUUCUCACCAACCGGCCAGAGAUGACGGGCUGGAGGGUAGCGGCUGCAGCCAAUGCAUCCCCGAGGGAGAGAUGUGGCUGAAGCUUGAAGGAGGCCAACUGCCCCACCCCAACGGCGGCGAUGAAACGGGCCACGACCGAGCUGGCCAGCUGCGCAUGGAAGACGACCGGAGAGGCCUCGGACACCACAAUCUCUCCGGGAGGGGCGCAGAAAAAGUAGUUAACUAGGGAGCGAACGCAGGCGGCGGAGAAACACGAUGAGAGGAACGGCGGGGUGAACCAGAGAUCGCCGGGGACACGGCAGGAGGGGAACUCGAGAGGAUCGAACGUCGUUCCGGAGUAGAACUGGCGAAGGAUUCUGGAUUGGAAGGCCUCACCUGGGCGCAGGACGAGGAUGGUUCUGCUGACAUGCGUGCUUGGGGCCAGGUCCUCGCCGCCGCCACUGCAAGGAAAGGUUGGCGGCUCACCGGGGUCGUCUAGUGGGUGGCCGCCACCAUCCGGAGUGACGGCAGCGGAGGAGGUGGUGGAGCGGGGGGCCGGCGAGCUGGGAGCGACCGCGUCGACCGCGCCGCCAGCGUCGCCAGUUGAGUCGCGAGAGCUCAUCCAGAUGCAUGCGCAUCCAAACCAAACAGCUCUGAACUAUUGCCAAAGUCACUCUCACUGAAUAACCACGGUGACUUACAAGUGACACCACUCCAUGGCGACAGAGAACCAGGGUAGAUGCAUGUAUGUCCAGACCAAACAACACUCAACCUGGACUCGCUCUGUGCCGGGGUUUUGAAGCGUGGUAUUUCAAAGACGCAGAUUUCAUUCAUGUCGGUUGUUCUAAGAGUGCCUCGUUCACAUGGAAAAGUAUCCUAUUCGGGCGAGAAUUACUGCAAACAUGGUUUGGUGUGGCGCAUAGCCUCGCAAGUGGUACUACUUCGACCGAUCAGCCUGACUAAAUUACUCACAGCUCCAUGAAUAAUACGUAGCACAAAACUAUAUAACAUCUCAUUCCUAGAUGCACGCACGCCCCAUCCAAAUCAAGCACUUUGAUUAAACUUGUGCCCUAUCAAACGCAGCAGCAGAGAUCGAUCUUACAAAACAUACGUAGCUCAGUUUGGUCUGUCCAAAUCAAGUAGAAACAAUGACGGAGUUUUUGCUAUGACCAGAAGAUCAUUUGUUAUAAUUCUGAAAAAGGUUUCCCCGCUUUGUAUUCCAAAGCAACCAACACCGAGUACAGAGAUUGUUGUGGCGAGCAGCACAACACACCAAAAGGAAAAGAAGAAGAAACAAAUGCCAACCACGGCAGCUCGGCAAAGCGCGGAUGACCCGCCACCGCGGCGCCCACCGGAUAUAGACCACCACAGACCGAGGCUCCGAACCGCCGCGUACCAAGCAGCACCUCCAAGAAGGGAUGCGACGCCGACGCCACUGCUGCCCGGACGAGUCCUCGGGUUUCUCCCGGCACGCGGAGGGAGGUGGAGGGUGAAUACCACCGACACCCUCCAGGAAGGAAUGGUGGCACCCACGGGUGUCACCGCGUCGGGGCCGAAGCCGGCAGGGAUUUCUCCCGCAUUCCAACCCCAACCGCCCAACCGGAAGGAACCGGCCCGCCAAACCGUCGCCACCACCAUGCGCCAACGCAGUAGCGCCGCCACCCACGCCGCCUCACUAUGAACACCACCACGAGGCUAUAAGGACCGGAGAGAAGCUCACCAUGACGGGAGCAGCAACACCGACGCCGAGCGGGAGGGAACCACCUCCACCGCCAUCGUGCGGGAGGCCCGCGCCUCCGGCACUGUCGCGGUAGCCGUCCGGACGCGGCAGCGGGACAUGCCGGGCCACCCCUGGCCUAGCCAGGCCUGAAGCGGGCCCGUUAAGCCCCACCGGCCGCGAUGCAGCAGGCCGGCGUCGGCGCAGCCGGCACCCAGCCACUCGUCACGUCUCCCCCGCCUCCCAGAAACCAUGCCGGAGACCAUCCCCGCUGCCGGCCCGCCCAGACCCAUAUGGGGCCCAAAAGGGCCCAGAUCUGGGCCGAGCGGGCGACGUCAGAUCCAGCCGCGGCGCCGCCUCGCCGCCUACGGUGGCGCCGCCGCCCAGCUGCCCGCCUGCAUGUGCAACGGAACCCCGCCGCCACGCCAGACCGUCGCCGCCUAAAAGCACCCCCCGGAGUAGCUCCGCCCGCGCCGGAGAGCGACCAGGAGGGGAAGGGCCAGGAGGCCGCCGCCACCAGCAGCCCUGGGACCAAGCCGGCCGCGGGUGCCGGUGUCGGCGGCGGGAAGGGAGGAGGGAGGGGAGGGCCUGGAGGUCGCGCGGCCGGUCGCCCGCGGGGAGGGGGGGUAGGGGGGAGGGGCGACCGGCGGGUUACGUUUUAUAGAUUUUUUUAGGGGUCUUUACGUUUUAUAGAUUUUUUUAGGGGUCUUUACGUUUUAUAGCUGGACAGGCCAAAAAAAUCAGUCGAGCUGGAGAGGCAAAUGGUGUGUACGUGCUUACGAUCGCACGAACGGGUUUGGGCUGGGCCUUGGCUGCCUUGUGCCUCGUCCAUUUGGGAUGGGCCGGCCGUUUACGCUCUCCGUCUCUCUCUCUCUCUGUUUCUCUCUCUCAGUUCCCGACACCUAAAAAAAAGUUCCCAAAUCCCCCACAGUCCACACUUCCCUCCCCUACCAAAUGUUAACGUGUAUUAUACCUGUGUAACUGUAUGUACUUGUAUUCCUAGUAUAUAGGAUCAUAGAUCUCGCCCGGGCCUGCGUGCCACUUGUAUUCCUAGUAUAUGGGAUCAUAGAUCUCACCCGGGCCUGCGUGCCACUUCCUUCGGGCUCUCUUGUAACCACUCUAGCACUAUAUAUGAUGUACAUUGUGUGAUGAUGGAAUAGACAGACUGAAUUCAUCGUCCUACUUGGUAUCAGAUCCGGGUGCCUUCUUCAUGGCUGAGCCCUCCACCUCCUCCGCCACCUCUCCGGCCACCAGCUCAGCCACCUCGCCGGCAGCUCUCUCUCCAGCUCCUCCGGCGCCGGCACCACCGCCGGCGACUCCCCUCCCCUCAUCUUCGGUACCCUCCCCUCCACCCACAGCGGAUCUUCCCCCUCCCUCAGAUCACAGUUCGCCCCCCUCUUCUCCCCCUCCACGGCGCCGCCGCUCCGUCCAACCACCCCAUCUUCCGCGACAGCAUCCAGAACCAUAUCAAAUUUCUCCUCAACCCCGACGAGCACAACUACCACAAAUGGAAGUCCUUCUUCCUCCUUGUUCUCAUCCGCUAUGGCGUCGCCCAGAUCAUCGAGCAGCCCCUCCCGGCCAAUGCCACCGCCUUCCAGCGCGAGCUCGACGCCCAUCUUGUGCUCUGGAUUUACUCCACCCUCGCCGAUAACCUCGUCGACCACGUCGUCGGCGCUACCACCACCUACGAUCUCUGGCACCGCAUCCGCGAUUACUUCCUGGUAAACCAUGCGGCGCGCUAUAUGAUGCUGAACCGCCAAUACCGCAACCUCAAACAGGGGGAUCUCUCCGUCGCCGAGUACGCUCGUCGCAUGAAGCUCCUCACCGCCGGGCUGGCCGACAUCGAGCACGCCGUCACUGAAGUGGAUCUCACCACUCAGUUUCUUCACGGCAUCGACAAACGCCUCAACACCAUUCGCGUCGUGCUCGGCGACACGGUUCCUCUCCCACCGUUCGAGACGGUCUUCUCUCGCCUGAAGCUCACCGAGGAGAACCUCGCCCAGCGCGUGGCUGACGAGCCGGACACCAUCCUCGCCGUCACUGGGGGUGGCGGCCCCUCCGGGUCCGGCGGCCCCGCUCCUCGCUCCGGCGACCGCGCCGACCGCGCCACUGAUCGGGGUCCCAGCUCCCCGGCUGGCCGCGCCUCCGGCAACCGCGAUGGUGGUGACCGCGGUGACCGCGGCGGCCGUGGUUGUGGUCGCGGCCGCGGUUGUGGUCGCGGCGAUUCCGGUGAUCGCGGCGCUCCUGCACCCAUGGCGUACAACCCCUACAUGGGGUUCUUCGUGCCCUACGGGAUGGCCAUCCCGAACCCACGCCCUGGUUGGGUCCCUCCGAACGCCGCCGGCGUGCUCGGCCCACGGCCCGGGUCGCAUGCCCAGGCCUACCCGAUGCAGAUCUCCGGGUACCCACCCACGACGCCCACCCAGCCACCUUCCUGGGAUCACCUGGCCAUGCUCCAGGCCGCGUACAACGCACACGGCAAUGCCUCCGCUCAGCACGAGUGGUACCUCGACAGCGGCGCCUCCUCCCACGUCACCGGCAACCCUGGUAAUCUCGACCUCUCGAAUUCUCCUUUAAAAUCUCGUUUCACUAGCAUUGUUGUUGGCAAUGGCACUCAUCUUCCCAUUCAAUCCACCGGCUCCGUUACCCUUCCCCCUCAUAACUUUCAUCUUCGGGACGUUCUCUUUUCUCCUCACGCCGUAACUAGUCUUAUUUCAGUUCGCCAAUUCACCAAAGAUAAUUUGUGCUCUAUUGAAUUUUUCCCAUAUGGCUUUGUUGUGAAGGAUCUUCGAACCAGGAGGGUCAUCAUGAUCUCCGCUAGCUCCGGUGACCUCUACCCGUUCUCCGGCAAUAACAAGCCAUGGCGCGCUGCUCUCUCCACCACCACCUCCACCGCCGACGUUUGGCACCGGCUCCUCGGCCACCUAAGCCCUCAAGUCACCGCCUCCUUAGCAGCCCAUGAUUUUCUUCCCUCAUGUAAUAAGCUUGUGCAUAUUCCAUGUAGUGCUUGCCAAUUAGGUAGGCAGCCGCGCCUUUCCUUUUCUUCAUCCCUUAGUCGCACCUAUGCACCCUUUGAGUUAGUUCAUUGUGAUUUAUGGACAAGCCCGGUUGUAAGCUUUUCUGGUUAUAAAUAUUACUUAGUUGUUCUUGAUGAUUAUACUCACUUCUCCUGGUCCUUUCCACUUCGCCACAAGUCGGAUACCUCCAUCACUCUACAACGUUUCUUUUCGUUUGUUCGCACUCAAUACAACGUGAUCAUCAAGGCACUACAAUGCGACAACGGCGGUGAGUUCAUCAACUCCAUCCUCCGUGCUUUCUUCUCCGCAAAUGGCAUUGCCUACCGCUUCUCUUGUCCUCAUACAUCACCCCAAAAUGGCAAGGCCGAACGACUUCUUCGCACCACUAACGAAAUCAUACGUACACUUCUUCUCCAAGCCAACCUCACACCUCCCUUUUGGGUUGAAGCACUACACACGGCCACUUAUCUCCUUAACAGACGACCCUCCCGCGCCAUCUACGAUCAGACUCCUUACUACAUGCUCCACGGCAUUCAUCCUACAUACGAUCACUUGCGCGUCUUUGGGUGUUUAUGCUACCCCAAUCUCUACGCCACCGCCCCCCAUAAGCUCUCCCCCCGCUCCACUCAAUGCAUUUUUCUAGGCUAUCCCCUCGAGCAUAAGGGUUAUAGGUGUUAUGAUCUUUCUCAACGCCGCAUGAUCGUUUCCCGUCAUGUUAUAUUCGACGAGAACGUUUUUCCGUAUGUCCCCUCCACACCAUCCCCCACAUCGAGCCCAUCNNNNNNNNNNNNNNNNNNNNNNNNNNNNNNNNNNNNNNNNNNNNNNNNNNNNNNNNNNNNNNNNNNNNNNNNNNNNNNNNNNNNNNNNNNNNNNNNNNNNNNNNNNNNNNNNNNNNNNNNNNNNNNNNNNNNNNNNNNNNNNNNNNNNNNNNNNNNNNNNNNNNNNNNNNNNNNNNNNNNNNNNNNNNNNNNNNNNNNNNNNNNNNNNNNNNNNNNNNNNNNNNNNNNNNNNNNNNNNNNNNNNNNNNNNNNNNNNNNNNNNNNNNNNNNNNNNNNNNNNNNNNNNNNNNNNNNNNNNNNNNNNNNNNNNNNNNNNNNNNNNNNNNNNNNNNNNNNNNNNNNNNNNNNNNNNNNNNNNNNNNNNNNNNNNNNNNNNNNNNNNNNNNNNNCCACGCGCAUCCUCGGCCCUCGCGCCCACCCGGUCGCCCGCGCCCCACGCCUCGGAUCGUACGCCAGAUUCCCCUGCGACCGGAUCCGCCUCGGAUCUCUCGCCUGCCAGCCCUGCUCCUGGCCCCACGCAAUCCGCCUCUCCUUCCGCGCCCUGCACUCCCGUGCAGCCACGUCUCCCAGCUCAUGCAAAACCAGUAAAACCAACCCACAACGCACACAAAAUGCAUACCAGGUCCAAAUCGGGUUUCUGCCAACCCAAACGACUCUUUCUCUCCCAUUCCCCCCAUGUACCGUUCCGCGCUCAAAGAUGCCAAUUGGCAACGUGCCAUGCUAGUUGAAUAUGAUGCUUUAAUUGCAAAUUCUACUUGGUCGUUGGUUCCUAAACCUGCAGGUGUUAACGUGGUGACUGGCAAGUGGAUUUUUCGCCAUAAGUUCAACACCGAUGGUACUUUGGCUCGGUACAAGGCACGAUGAGUGGUUCGAGGGUUCACUCAGAAGGAGGGUGUCGACUACGAUGAGACAUUUAGUCCGGUUGUCAAGCCGGCUACCAUUCGCGUUGUGCUCAGCAUCGCCACCUCCAGCUCUUGUCCUAUUCAGCAACUCGACGUCAAGAAUGCUUUCCUCCACGACGAUCUCAAGGAGACGGUAUACUGUGCUCAACCAGCUGGGUUUGUGGAUUCCUCCCGGCCGGACCACGUGUGCCUCCUUCGUAAGUCCCUCUAUGGCUUGAAGCAGGCACCACGCACUUGGUUCCAGCGCUUCCGCUCCUUCCUGUUGUAUCUUGGUUUCCAUGCAUCCAAGAGCGACACCUUUCUCUUCAUCUUGCAACGUGAUGACUCCAUCGCCUACCUCCUUGUGUACGUUGAUGACAUCAUACUCAUCGCAAGCACUCCCCGCGCUCUUCAUCACAUCAUUUCUUCUCUCAAACGUGAGUUUUCCAUGACCGACCUUGGAGAGCUUCAUCAUUUCAUUGGCAUCAACGUCACACCCAACACCCAUGGCUUAUUUCUCUGCCAACAGCAGUAUGCCCUUGAGGUUCUCGCCCGUGCCAAGAUGCUCAAUUGCAAGCCCGUCUCCACUCCCAUUGAUACACAGUCCAAACUCUCCGCUCAUGAUGGUUGCCUCCUCGAAAAUCCCACUCUAUACCGUAGCUUAGCCGGUGCCCUCCAAUGCCUAACUCUUACUCGCCCGGACCUCUCAUAUGCGGUUCAACAAGUGUGCUUAUUCAUGCAUGCACCUCGUGAUUCCCACAUGACACUUGUCAAACGCAUUCUACGGUAUCUUCGUGGCACCACCCACUUUGGCUUGCAGCUGUACAAGUCCUCUCCUAACGAUCUUGUGGCCUACACCGAUGCUGAUUGGGCCGGAUGCCCAGACACGUGCAAGUCCACGUCGGGCUUCUGUGUUUUUCUCGGUCACAACUUGCUAUCUUGGUCAUCCAAACGGCAAGCCAGUGUUUCUCGUUCGAGCGCUGAGGCCGAGUAUCGUGGCGUCGCGAACUGUGUUGCUGAGGCAUGUUGGUUGCGACAACUCUUACAUGAGCUCUGUCGCCCUCCGACCCGUGCCACCAUUGUCUAUUGUGACAACGUCUCGGCCUCCUACAUUGCAUCCAAUCCUGUCCAACAUCAGCGCACGAAACACAUCGAGAUUGAUCUGCACUUUGUAUGUGACCGCGUGGCCCUCGGCGACAUUCGUGUUCUCCACGUACCAUCCAGCUCGCAGUUUGCAGAUCUCUUCACCAAGGGGCUUCCAUCACAGGUCUUCCACGAGUUCAGAACCAGCCUCAACAUCCUUCCCCAUGGAGUUCCGGCUGAGGGGGGGUAUUAUACCUGUGUAACUGUAUGUACUUGUAUUCCUAGUAUAUAGGAUCAUAGAUCUCGCCCGGGCCUGCGUGCCACUUCCUUCGGGCUCUCUUGUAACCACUCUAGCACUAUAUAUGUUGUACAUUGUGUGAUGAUGGAAUAGACAGACUAAAUUCAUCGUCCUACUCCAAACCCUCGUGCCGCCGGCAAUGGAGGACGCGGCGGCGGCCAUCCCCGAAAUGCACACUCCCAAGAGGCACCGACCCGUCCGUGUCGACGGCCUACAGGAUCCGCCGCCGGUCGGCGGCGACCUCGACCUCAUCAGCCGCCUUCCCGACGCGCUGCUCGGCACCGUCGUCUCCCUCCUCCCCACCAAAGACGGCGCGCGCACGCAGACCCUCUCCCGCCGCUGGCGCCCCCUCUGGCGCUCCUCCAACGCGCCGCUCAACCUCGUGGCGUCUCGUGGCCUCUCCGGCAACGAAUCGCGCGCCACGCUGGUCUCCAGCAUCCUCUCAUCAACCUGGAAAAGUACCAGUACUACCCGCUGCCGCAGCACUCGCUGACCCGCUUCGCGCCCACCCUGCGCGUGCUCAGCCUCGGCGGCUGCCGAUUCCCUGACCUAGCCACGCCGCCGAGCUUCCCGCACCUCAAGCAGCUCAUCCUCAAGCACCUCAAGCAAUCUCUGCAAAGCAUGAUCUCUGCCUGCGCUGUUCUGCAAAGCGUCUCGCUGCACAACAUGGGCUUUGGUCGCCUUUGCAUCAGCUCGCUGACGCUCAGGAGCAUCGGCUUCUAUGCUCCUCAUGCCGAAGGUGUCGCCACCUUCCAGGAGCUGGUCAUUGAGGAGGCCUCUUGCCUUGAGAGGUUGCUACCUAUUUAUCCGGACUCUAGUCCGGCGACCAUACGAGUGAUCCAGGCUCCUUGUCUGAACGCAUAUCCACACUCCACCUUGGAACCACUGUCUUUCAGGUCAGGUAGCAGCAAGGACAUUCGUGCAUUCACCAUUCCUGUAUGCAUGCUAUUAUUCUUACAUCACACUUGUUUUGUUUUUCUCCAGAAGAUGAUUGCUGUCAGCUUGACAACCAAAAUGCACUCAAUAAAGAUUUUGGUUCUUGACUCUAUUGGCCCUAAUCUGGGCGUGCUUGUUGACUUUUUGAAGUGCUUCCCCUGCUUGGAGAAGCUCUAUGUCAUUGUGAGUACUCAUAUUUAUUGCUAGAAAUGUCAAAACAACAUUGGUUCAGAAUUAUGAUCUAGUGAACUACUAGUAUUUAGCUGCCAAUUUGUUAACAACUAUCUUUCUAUCAUAUGUUUUCGAAAAUGUUAACGCCCACACGUGUGGGCGUUUGCACAUCCCCCACACGCCUCCAUCACCACUCAUUUUGCCACGUAUGAAUAGAUGACAUUAGCAGAUUUUUUUUUGGUUUUCGGCUUAAAAAUGUUGUAUAUCCUAAAUAAAAAAGCGAACUAAAAAUCCGUUUUUAUCAUUAAAUCCGUCUCGACGAGAUCUUCAAAACUAGACCCCAUGUUGAUAUGUUUCGACGAAUUUUUUUUUGCCAAAAGUUGCCACGAUGUUUACACUGCAGUUGUCAUAGGGCUCAAACUAAAGUUGCCAUGUGGCAAUUUUAGUUUGUAGAUCAUGGCAAUUUUAAUAUUUUGAUGAUGGCAACUCCAGUACUUUGACCAUGAAAAUUAUUUUUUGUAUGAACCAUGGCAAUUUUACAUGCAUGUAUCAUGGCAAUUUUAGUUUAUGGUUCAUGGCAAGUCUAGUUUCUUAAUUCCCCGUUUUAUAAAUGUCAAAAUUUACUUUUAAAUGUAGAAGAAAAUAGCUGAAACAUAUCAUGGCAACUUCAGUGUAAACAUCAUGGCAAUUCAUAUGCAAUAGACAUGGCAACUUUUAAUCCAAAAAAAAUUUCAUCAAAACAUAUCAACAUGGGAUCUAGUUUCGAAGAUCUCAUCGCGAGGGAUUUAAUGGUGAAAACUGAUUUUCAAUCGGAUUUUUCGUUUAAGAGAUAAAACAUUUUAAAAACUGAAAAAUCCAAAAAGAUUCCUGCAUGCAUGCAUGCGAUGACGUGGCAAUCUGUUUACAUUAGAGACGUGUGGUGCGUCUCGCUUCCUGCCACACGUGUGGCAGUUAGCGCGACCCUAUGUUUUUCCUAUCCCCAGUUGAAUCGGCACAAGGAUGUAAAUUAUGUGUGGAAGCAUGGUCCACUGGAUCCAGUUCGAUGCCUUGAGCUCCAUCUAAAAAAAGUGGUAUUGAAGAAUUACAAUGGUGACAGGAGGGCAUUUACUAACCUUGCUAAGUUCUUUAUUUUGAAUGCAAAAGUGCUGAAAGAAAUGGAAAUCGGAUUCUUUCAAAUUGGCAACGAAGAAUGGGUUUGUUGUCAACAUAGGCAGCUACAAGUUGAGAAUAGAGCUUCUCAAGGUGCUCGAAUUGAACUAAAAGAUGAUAUGGACCUGAAAUUCACUGACCAUGUGCAUACCCAUAAUUUGUCAAUUGCUAAUCCCUUUGACAGAUCCUUGUGUGGAUGCUCCAAGUGUGUUAGGCAGCCCUUCUGAAGAUUGUGUCACCCUAUGUCCAAAGCCAAAAGAACGUGUCCGCCCUUGCUUGUGUGUCUAGUGUUGUCACACCCUUAUGACGCUCUGUAGAAUGAUCUACUCACUUCAGGAAUGGUAUGAUUUGUACCGACUCUGGAGCAACCCAGGAUUGAGGAGGUGGUGCCUGAGCCAAGGAUUAAAAUUGAUUUUGCAAAUGUAUAUAACCCUUGAAUGUUACUGCUAGCUCUUGUGUGUGAUGCUUAGUUCGUACUUGUUGUUUGUGUUCCCCUAAAAGUCGUAUUGUAAGCUUAGACC
rnacentral:lncRNA from 1 species